GCGGUGUACGCUGGCCUCAAGUUCCGUGCACCGGUGGAGCCCUACUAGAUGGGAUCUGCACGAGUUUUUGUGAAAAUGGGUGUGUUUAACCUCCGGAAUGAACUCUGGUUGAAGCUCUUAGGAUUGAGCAAUAAUGAAUGCCGCGCAUGUUUUAUGUGAACGGAACGGAUAUGUACCCCCAAACUUGCUCCAAUUUUGGUCCUUGUGGAUAUGUACCUGAUUCGGCCCUGAACCUUUUGGAUGUGUAAUACUAGUUUUUGGCGCAUCAUCUUUGCCGUUAUUGUGUUAGUUUACUUGUUGCAGAAAGCAUGCUUCUGAGAAACUUGCUUUCAUCUUUGUUUGCUAUUCUCAAAACACUGGUUUUCCAUUGCCAUCUGUUUUUCUUUUAAAGAAACUUGCUUCUGUUGUCAUUGAUGGGGCGUCCUGGUUGAUUGGAGAUGAGUACUUGAAGCACGUCAUGAUUUCGGAGGUUUGCCUCUGACAGCAACGGAUUUCAACUAGAAAAACUGGGCGAAAAACAGAUUGAAAACCGGCUGAAAACCAUCAUAUCUGAACAAAUUACUCCAUAGGUGAUUGUCGAGAUAACCCACAUUGUAGCGGACGCGUGAAGGUGAAUGAAAAUCUGCACAAAAACUUAGCCACUUGCAACCACCUUCAAUCUUGCCACAAAAGCCUGGACACCACCACCGCUAACCAUCGGUCCUGCUUGUCGUGAGCUCCAAGAUGAAGCCCCUGAGAGGGAAAAUGACACACCCGAGUGCCACAAUCGUCCGAUCACAAGAUCAAGGGUUUCCCUUGAAGAGGGAGGCCAUGAUGGUCGGGUCCCUGCAGGAGGUGUGCGAUAGCAUAACACCGAUGCCUAAAGGAAGGUUAAGGACGACCACAACCGCAACCAUUGUUGGUCAUGGCACAAAGGUCGAGAUGGGGUCUUCACCCAAGCUCCCUUACCACCUCGGUCGCACAUCAUCCCGCACUGGCGCCGGCAAGACCGCCAACCACCGUCUCUCACAAACCAUCAUCCCACACUGGCGCCGGCAAUGUCUCUUCUCUCUACUCGAAUCAUUAUCACAUGGGCCGCUCGUAAAGAUGGAAGUUACUCUCUGGGCCAUUUGAUCGUCACGUUGAAAGGCCAUUCACGAAAGCAUCUUUCAAAGCCGGGCUGCAUUGCAUUCUUUUGUCACAAGAUUCAUUGAUGUCCAAAUUAUUCAUGAGAAGAAGCCGUUAGCUGCUGUGGUGGGCAUUGCUACUGCAAAUAUGGGUGCUCAUCGCCCCAAGGGGCCCCCUCCGUACUUUGCAAAAAUCCACCUUGACGCGACUAUUCAGCCAUGUAUGGGAGAAUCGGCGGUGGCUGUUUGCCGGGACAACAACGACAACUAUCUACGCAGCUCGGCACUAGUUAUUGGAGGUGUUCAUGGCCCAACGGCUGGCUUGCCGUGAAGCUCUAUCAUUAGCAAGAGACCUUCAUCUACACAAUUUUAUCAUAACAUCUGAUUCUAAACAAGUUGCGGGAGAUAUUAGGCAAGGUAGCUAGGGUAGAGUUAGUGCCAUCAUCAGUGAGAUCAAAGCAGAGCAGCUUCUUUUAAUUGUAAUUUUACUUUCGAAUGUCGUGUUAUUAAUUUCGACGCACAUAGUUUACUAGUGAGGUUCUCUUUCUUUACCUCGGCCCGAAUUGUAUCCCACUAAUUAUGGUCUUUGAUCCCCUAAAAAAAUGAUUUUUGAUUAAUAAAAUUGGCUUUACCCUAAAAAGGUAAAAAAUAAUUAUCUCCCAAAAAAAGCUAAAACGAAAAAAAAACAUCACCCCAUCUUCUCCCCACUCCUUGAUGGCGCCUCCCGCCGCCGGGGAAACCCCACCUACGGAGGCUGCGGAGAACAGCGCCAAGACCGAGGAGUCGCGGUGGCUCGCGGCCCUCUCCGAGCCAGAGCUCGUCCGUGACGCCCCUCCUCUUCUUAUUCUCUCUUAGCUUCUCUUCCUAACGACUGGUGUUAAUGGCGCCACGGUGGUGUUGUGCAGGAUCUCCUCAUCAGCCUGAAGAUGCUGGCCGUGAAGCGGGCGGAGACGGCCGGCCGCCCCCACCUCGCCGACGGGUUCGAUCUGCGCACGCUGCGUGCCCUCGGUACUUACUACCUGAACCACUUUGCCAGACACUCAUCAUAUAUAGCCGCAGCGAUCUCUUUGCUGAGCAACAUGCUAUAUGCUUGUGCUUUUCCAGGUGUUGUUUUGCUGGAGGAUUUCAAGGCACGGUUAGAAGAAACCUCGGUCGAUGCAUCCGUUCUUGAUAGACUUGCGCUGUCGAGGGACUGUGUCGCGGAUGCCGGCGGCGGCAGUGGUGACUCUGAGGUGCUCAGGCGGCACGGCAAAGAUGAGCCAAAGCCAAAUAGCGUCAAGAGAGAACGAAAGCAGAGGCAGGAUGGGUGAGUCCUUUUGAGUAUUCGGUCGGUUUGGCUGAAGCAGUGCAGUCCAAUUUAGCUCAUGCCGAUAGUUUCUUGAGGUUCUGUCACUACUAAUGCAGUUACGGCGUGUUUGCGUAUGAUGCAGGCGCCAUGGAGAAACCGUGAAAAGCAAGAAGAAAAGAAAACUGAGCGAGAGGAGAUAGCAUCGAGAGAGCAGACUGCGACGAUCUUCCUACUGAUAGUGAUCUAGUGCAAACACCGCCCAGGGAUGUAUGUCGUUGAGCGACAACACUGAAGCUGCUGCUGCUGCUGUUAGUGGUGUAAAUUUUGCUUUUUUUUUAUCUGAACUCGAAACUUGUUUUGGGAAUGCAACCCGGCAGGGAAGGGAUGCCGUGAACUGAUGAUGAUGACUGCUGUGGCAACCAGGCGUAGUUUAAUGCAUCUUCGUUUCAGGACUCUCUUAACUGUGCCAUGAUUUCUUUUCUAGCAGCUGUAGGUUGCUGGGACCUGGGAGCAUGAGACACUCCCCUCCAGGAAACUGCUUUCGAAUCAACAACUAGGGUGGGUUAGCUGCUGGAUUCUAAUUUGUUUCGUUGCCUAGGCACCAGUUAGGUCGAUCAUAGCACAACUAAGAAUAUGAUUUCACCUCCUAUUCUUGGCAAAUAAUAUUUAGUGUCACAAAUUCAGUUGCUAGCAACAUGACGAUAUUUUCAGUAUCUAAUAGCAUUGCUAAUAAACCUUGCACCUUUUUUUUGGCAAAUGAUUACCUCUACUGAGCAAUGCCACAGCCUCUCAGGAAUGUGGAGAAUUUGGUUUAGCGUUAGCUGAAUCUUUAGUCUCUACAACAAUGCACCAAUAUCAAUUUUUGGAUUCUGCAACAAAUUAACUGAAAUAAUUUUCAAGGCAUAUCAGUGUUGAUGUUGAUUAAUUAUUCACUGCCAGGCUAAGAUCCUUUGGCAUCUUCUGUCACGGCAGCUGAAGAUGAUGAUUUAUAAUUUUAUAUAGUUGACUUGUCUGUUGUGACAUAAACUUACUUACUCUUUGUUUCCUUGAUUAAAUUUUCUUUUUUGUGGGGAUCUUAUGCACGGAAAGACCAUGUGCAUAACUUUACAUGCAUGUUCUUCCACCUAGACUGCUCUACGGCUGUGUUAAGGUGCCGGUUGGUUGACAAUGGUCACACAUUCAUAAUAUGAAUGUCUAUACAAGGGAUUAGGAUCCUAGUCUGUGAUGCAGUUUUUCUUCUAGAUGUACUAGUUCAACUCCUUUUCAUCAGUAUUUGAUGUUAAACUAGAUUCUUGUGCAGAUGGUUACCUCUUCUGAACAAUGCUUGCAAUGCUCUGGAAUGCUGAAAAACUAGUUUACCUUUUUGCUGAUUCUUUUUUAAUUCUUACAAAUUUAGUUGAGUUGCAUAACUAUAUUAUAUCUUAUAAGUAGCCAUCCGAGUACUUCUGUUAACUAAUGAUUUAGAGACUCACGGUGACCGUGUGACCAUUGGAUAACGCCGUCGAGGUGUUAACAAACUGGUGUUACCAAUAGAACAUCUCACAUUUAAUUUGCAUUUCUUGAUGUUUUAUAAUAGCACAUACCAUCUCUCCUGAAAUUUUAGAGACGACCAAUGAAUCACAGGUCUUGAUCAGUUUGUCCUUCUAUACAUACAAUUUGAUCGACUCAGGAACUAUCGAGAGGACAAAAACGACAGACGGACAGAUAAUCAACACAUAUCCAAGUUGUUUCAAAUUAAUUGCAGCCUGCAGGAUGCAACCUAUCACCAGAAUCUAAUUUCAAUUAUAGGAUUUUGGAAGCGCUUACCAGCUAGUCAUAAAGUUCAACAAUCUCUGAAUUGCUGCGGUGUCUGAAGAGCAGGAUGAGAACAGGUAGCUCCAGAAGCUGUAGAAGUUCACCCUCUCGUUGCACUUAUUUGUAGCCUGCAUAGCUCAUCUUUUGCUUCUUGUGGCACACCACCUACUUAAUUAAUAGAAUGAGUCAUAUAUUUGAACUCUCUACCUUGUUUAUCCUGCCAACCCAAACCCAAGAUAAAAGAUAUUAGUCAAUAAUAAUAAUAAAUGCUGACCAAAAUACCACUGUGUUAUUACAACUGUUGUUUCGGUGCUACCACAGUACACGAUGCGCGCAGAUUCAGGUUGCCACAGCUAUCACAAAUGCAACACUUAAUAUACUACCACCGUGGCAACUGGCAAGUCACAAAAGUUAUCAGUCCUUGGAUUUAAGUGAAGAUAGUUCACCUUCUUUGUGUACAUGACACCAGCAGAUCAGAAGAUAAUACACCAAAUGCACAUAAAAGACAAUACAGUUAACACCAUCUUGUUUACAGCAAGGCAAUAUAGUAGCAUGCCUCUGACACAUCAUCUUGUUUGAAUGCCUUCCGGCAAGAAAUGGACAACUAGUCUAUUUCUCUCACAUUUUCAGAGUAACACCAUCAACAGUGGCAGGACCAAGCUGCUCCAGCCUAAACAAUUGACUGGUACUGCUGGUUAAGCAAUGCAAACUACUACGAAACGUAACUUACUGUCAGCGCAUCGUCAAUAACUUAUAACCACAUGGCAGAGAUUAGCAAUCAUAGCUGAAAUGGAUCACUACUUUUGAUAUGUCAGUUUACCAAAAGAAAAGAAGCACAGGUCCAGUUCUUGCAGGCAACGAACCAACAGAGUAUUGGCAAUCAUUCGGCAAUUCCCAUCCAGCCAGCACUAAUACCACUUCUACUUUCAGAUAACCAGAGUCAGACAGGCACCAAGUAAACAGAACCAUCUACAGUUGCUACUAGAUGUACAAUCUAAGAGGAGGUGAACUUGGUGACGGCCUUGGUGCCCUCGGAGACGGCGUGCUUGGCGAGCUCGCCGGGGAGGACGAGGCGUACGGAGGUCUGGAUCUCCCGGGAGGUGAUGGUGGGCUUCUUGUUGUAGCGGGCGAGCUUGGCGGCCUCGCCGGCGAGCUUCUCGAAGAUGUCGUUGAUGAAGGAGUUCAUGAUGGACAUGGCCUUGGAGGAGAUGCCGAUGUCGGGGUGCACCUGCUUCAGCACCUUGAAGAUGUAGAUCUUGUACGUCUCCACGCUCUUCUUGCUCUUCUUCUUCGACUUUUUGUCGCCGCCGCCCUCCUUGCCGGAAGUCUUGCUCUUGCCCGCCGCCGGCAGCCGCUUCUCGGCCCUGGGCUUCUUCCCGGCCGGCGCCUUCUCGGCCUUCUCCGUCGUGGCCUCCUCCUCCGCGGGCUUCUUCGCCGCCGGCUUCUUCUCCGCCGCCUUGGGGGCCAUCGCUGCUUCUGGAGCGGGGAAAGGGGAAGCCGCCGAAGCCGGUGCGGGUUGGUUUGUUGGGGAAAGGUUGGGAGAUUUGGAACGAGAUGCUGGGAAAGGAGGAGCGGAGCUGAAGGAUUUAUACAGGGAGAGAUGUGACUGCUGAUUGGUGGAGGCGUGGUUGUCCCGGAUCAGUGACGUGGGACGGUGUGAGGCGUUCGGUGCUGUUUGGAUGGACGAUCGUGAUCUCUGCCGGGCGGACCGUGGUUUUCUUGAAAAAAAUUGGACCCUGAUAAGGCCCGAACGUUCGGUAGAAGCCCUUUCCAUACCGAAGAAAUGAGGAAUGCUGCGUCCACGCAAAGCUAUCUAAGGUUUACGUUUGUCUAAAAAAAAAAAGCUAUCUAAGGUUUACGUAGUGCUGCUGAUUUGGCAAAUUGGAAUAGGGAAGGGAGAGGGGCCCACACCCAUGAAAAUUAGGGGGAGGAGAGAAUUAAAGGGAAAGUUACGUAGGAUCACGUAACAGGUUACGUUGAUGUAAUAUUAGUGCCGAACAAAUUGUUCCCCAAGGCAGAAACGACCCAACGAUUCCGCUCGGAGCGGGGGUGUAGUGGGAAGAGAUGGAUUCGUUCGGCCGAUGGCGUGGUUGCGUUCGGCCGAUGGCGUGGUUGCGCCGAAGGCCUGAGGAAAAUGACGCGGCACCAUAAUUGCUUCAAGAUGCGUGUGAUUUCAUCCGACGGCCAUCGUGGUGUUCGGCCCAAAAGCUUAAAAUCUGGUCAUUCGGGAGUUAUAGGUUCCGAAGUUUUUUUAGGCGAACAGUGCACUUCACUUAAUAAAAAAUGUCUACGUGGAUACAAAUAUUUUCUGGAGGUUUUUUUAGGGGAAGGCCACAAUGGUUAGUGUCGGGGCCGGAUUUCCGGGACAUAAAUUCCCAGCAAACGACCCUUAUGUCACCACCAGCCCCAGGAUUACUGUUGCUGAUGGACAUUUCCUUGAUACAGAAUUCCAAGCAAUUACAAGUAUUUGAGUACAAGACCUUAUAGGUCCAUUGAGUACAACAAUGAUUUCUAGUGGCAGGUGAUGGAAACGACUCGUGGAUCUCCAACGUUGGUGGAACUCCAUUCCCACGGGAACAGCUGACCUGGAUAACUCCUAUCUCGCGUGGCUGCUAUCUCCGAAUCCUAGGUUGCGGGGUGUCUUCGUAGUGCUCGUCUCUGAGUCAUGAUCUGGCCAAGACAAUAGCCAGGGACAAGCCAGUGAGUACGUUUGAAUGUACUCGCAAACAUCAAGAACAAAAGAUAUACCGGAUGCAUAUGCUCAUGAUGAAUUAAAUUAUACUACCUCAUUUCCGGUUUAUAGGGCUCAAUUCAAAAAUCUCACCAACCAAGGUGGAUGAUGAGUGAUGGAAUAAUUUUCGUGGUUUGUAAAAGCACUCAAUUAAUGCGUUCGUUUUCCUCAAAGAAUUGUGUUUACCAGUGCAUUAAUUGCAAUGCAUGCAUGCAUGAAGUACAUGCAUUGGUCAAGUUUCUCAUAAUCCUUGCAUGCAAUGAAUUAAUGCAUCUUGAAAUCUGAGCAUGUGAUGGGGAACAAUCAAAUUGAGACUUAUAAAACGAGAAACCGAAAUUUUUGAGAUAAGCCCUAUAAACCGGGAAGGAGGGAGUAUGCAUGUGCUGACCGAGAAUAAAAGCAUGGCAUGACAAAUAUUCAUACGGUGCAGAAGGGUAAAUAAGUCAUAUGAUUAGUAAAUCAAAGAAAUGAAACGAAACAUCGGGCGUUGGACCGCCCAAAAAAUUCCAAGAGAAAUGCCAAACGGGUGUCUAAGAGAGAAUCGGGCGAGACAGGACCGCCCGAGAACUCAAGCGACGCCACGAGAGGUCUUGAAAAUGCAUGCCACAGUCGGGUGUCUGAAGCGACGCCUCAUAAAGGGCUUAUAUGAAAAUAAUAAAACGAGUAUCCAGGUGGACUAGCCAUCCUAAGUGAUACUCAUAAAAGAAAAGAAAACGAGUAUCCCGGGUAGUCUAGCCAUCCCAAGAGAUACUCAAGGUUAAACAUAAAAUGAAAAGGUUAGUCCACAACAAUAUCCAUAUCAACAAUAAUAUUCAUAGUGGCACCAGUAGUGACAAUAAUUAUCCUGCAGAACGAACCAUGAUCAAUUUAAUUAUUUCCUUCGGAGACUGACACUAAGACCGACACUUGACCAACUGUCGGGGGGAUGAACCCCGGGCAGGCAACGGAACCCGUAUCCUUUUCAAAAAUGACGAGGCCAACAUCGCCCCUCAAGCCGGCACGUGCUUGGCCGGGUCGCCCAACCCGGCCAACCCCCUCGACCCGGCCAAACUUCCAACCCGGCCGGACUCCUCAACUCGGCCCCAACAACCAGCUCAAGACAGUCAAACCCGGCACCAAGACUUCUCCAACAAGCCAGCUCCACCCUUGGCGCGUUCCUCAACCCGGCCACGGGUCAGUUCCCGUCCCAGCCCAGCCGUACGAUGGGACGAGUCUCCACCUACCAAUGACCGAGGCAACAGUGCCCCGCCCAUGCCUCUGGUCAGCCGGGGCAUGGCAACAGUGCCCCACCUACCCACUGACCAGGGCCGGCGUGGCAACAGUGCAACCAUCGUCACCAAUGACGCCAGCAAGCGGCGACCUGACGGAGCGCCACUGUAGCCGACUGAUAACCCACAAGUAUAGGGGAUCACAACAGUUCUCGAGGGUAGAGUAUUCAACCCAAAUUUAUUGAUUCGACACAAGGGGAGCCAAAGAAUAUUCUCAAGUAUUAGCAGUUGAGUUGUCAAUUCAAGCACACCUGGAUAACUUAAUAUCUGCAGCAAAGUAUUUAGUAGCAAAGUAGUAUGGAAGUAACGGUAACGGUGGCAAAAGUAACCGUAGCAACUUUGUAGUAAUUGUAACAGUGGCAAUGGUAAAGUAACUAAGCAAAGAUCUAUAUGUGAAAAGCUCGUAGGCAUUGGAUCAGUGAUGGAUAAUUAUGUCGGAUGCGAUUAUUCAUGUAACAGUUAUAACAUAGGGUGACACAGAACUAGCUCCAGUUCAUCAAUGUAAUGUAGGCAUGUAUUCCGAUUAUAGUCAUACAUGCUUAUGGAAAAGAACUUGCAUGACAUCUUUUGUCCUACCCUCCCGUAGCAGCGGAGUCCUAUUGGAAACUAAGGAUAUUAAGGCCUCCUUUUAAUAGAGUACCGGACCAAAGCAUUAACACUUAGUGAAUACAUGAACUCCUCAAACUACGGUCAUCACCGGGAGUGGUCCCGAUUAUUGUCACUUCGGGGUUACCAGAUCAUAACACAUAAUAGGUGACUAUAGACUUGCAAGAUAGGAUCAAGAACUCACAUAUAUUCAUGAAAACAUAAUAGGUUCAGAUCUGAAAUCAUGGCACUCGGGCCCUAGUGACAAGCAUUAAGCAUAGCAAAGUCAUAGCAACAUCAAUCUCAGAACAUAAUGGAUACUAGGGAUCAAACCCUAACAAAACUAGCUCGAUUACAUGAUAAAUUUCAUCCAACCCAUCACCGUCCAGCAAGCCUACGAUGGAAUUACUCACGCACGGCGGUGAGCAUCAUGAAAUUGGUGAUGGAGGAAGGUUGAUGAUGAUGACGGUGACGGAUUCCCCUCUCCGGAGCCCCGAACGGACUCCAGAUCAGCCCUCCCGAGAGAGAUUAGGGCUUGGCGGCGGCUCCGUAUCAUAAAACGCGAUGAAUCCUUCUCUCUGAUUUUUUUCUCCCCGAACGUGAAUAUAUAGAGUUGGAGUUGAGGUCGGUGGAGCACCAGGGGGCCCACGAGGCAGGGGGCGCGCCUAGGGGGGCAGGCGCGCCCCCACCCUCGUGGACAGGGUGUGGGCCCCCUGGUCUUGAUUCUUUCGCCAGCAUUUUUUAUAAAAUUCCAAAAAUAUUCUCCGUGAAGUUUCAGGUCAUUCCGAGAACUUUUAUUUCUGCACGAAAAUAACACCAUGGCAAUUCUGCUGAAAACAGCGUUAGUCCGGGUUAGUUCCAUUCAAAUCAUGCAAGUUAGAGUCCAAAACAAGGGCAAAAGUGUUUGGAAAAGUAGAUACGAUGGAGACGUAUCAACUCCCCCAAGUUCAAACCUUUGCUUGUCCUCAAGCAAUUCAGUUGAUAAACUGAAAGUGAUAAAGAAAAACUUUUAAAAACUCUGUUUGCUCUCGUUGUUGCAAAUAUGUAAAGCCAGCAUUCAAGUUUUCAACAAAGAUUAUGAACUAACCAUAUUCACAAUAACAUUUAGGUCUCAUGUUUACUCAUAUCAAUAGCAUAAUCAACUAGCGAGCAAUAAUAAUAAAUCUCGGAUGACAACACUUUCUCAAAAUAAUCAUAAUAUGAUAUAACAAGAUGGUAUCUCGUUAGCCCUUUCUGAGACCGCAAAACAUAAAUGCAGAGCACCUCUGAAGAUCAAGGACUGACUAAACAUUGUAAUUCAUGGUAAAAGAGAUCCAGUCAUAGUCAUACUCAAUAUAAAUUAAUAGUAAUGGAUGCAAAUGACAGCGGUGCUCUCCAACUGGUGCUUUUUAAUAAGAGGAGGAUGACUCAACAUAAAAGUAAAUAGAUAGGCCCUUCGCAGAGGGAAGCAGGGAUUUGUAGAGGUGCUAGAGCUUGAUUUUUGAAAUAGAGAUCAAUAAUAUUUUGAGCGGCAUACUUUCAUUGUCAACAUAACAACCGAGAGAUCUCGAUAUCUUCCAUGCUACACACAUUAUAGGCGGUUCCCAAACAGAAUGAUAAAGUUUAUACUCCCCCUCCACCAACAAGCAUCAAUCCAUGGCUUGCCCGAAACAAUGGGUGCCUCCAACUAACAACAAUCCUGGGGGAGUUUUGUUUGCAAUUAUUUUUAUUUGGUUUGAGCAUGGGACUGGGCAUUCCGGUGACCAGCCAUUUUCUCGUGAGUGAGGAGCGGAGUCCACUCCUCUUGAGAAUAACCCGCCUAGCAUGGAAGAUACAGAUAGCCCUAGUUGAUACAUGAGCUAUUCGAGCAUACAAAACAGAAUUUCAUUUGAAGGUUUAGAGUUUGGCACAUACAAAUUUACUUGGAACGGCAGGUAGAUACCGCAUAUAGGAAGGUAUGGUGGACUCAUAUGGAAUAACUUUGGGGUUUAUGGAAGUGGAUGCACAAGCAGUAUUCACGCUUAGUACAAGUGAAGGCUAGAAAGAGACUGGGAAGCGACCAACUAGAGAGCGACAACAGUCAUGAACAUGCAUUAAAAUUAAUAAACAUCGAGUGCAAGCAUGAGUAGGAUAUAAUCCACCAUGAACAUAAAUAUCGUGGAGGCUAUGUUGAUUUUGUUUCAACUACAUGCAUGAACAUGUGCCAAGUCAAGCCACUCGAAUCAUUCAAAGGAGGAUACCAUCCUAUGAUACCACAUCACAACCAUUUUAAUAGCAUGUUGGCACGCAAGGUAAACCAUUAUAAACUCCUAGCAAAUUAAGCAUGGCAUAAGCAACUAUAAUCUCUAAUUGUCAUUGCAAAUAUGUUUCAUUCAUAAUAGGCUGAAUCAGGAACGAUGAACUAAUCAUAUUUACAAAAACAAGAGAGGUCGAGUUCAUACCAGCUUCUCUCAUCUCAAUCAGUCCAUCAUAUAUCGUCAUUAUUGCCUUUCACUUGCACGGUCGAGGUGUGGACAAUAAUAAUAGUGCACGUGCAUUGGACUAAGCUGAAUUUUGCGAGCAUUUAAUUCAAGGGAGAAGACAAGGUAAUAUGGGCUCUUGGUUAAAUCAACAAUAAUGCAUAUGAGAGCCACUUCAACAUUUCCAUUAUGGUCUUCUCCUCUCGACCCCCAAAGAAAAAGGAAUAAAAUAAAACUAUUUACACGGGAAAGCUCCCAACAAACAAAAAGAAGAACGAGAAAUCUUUUUGGGUUUUCUUUUUAAUUAUUACUACUACAGGCAUGGAAAGUAAACUAGCUAAAAGCUACAACUAUUCUUUUUGUUUUUCUUAAGGUUUAUCAAACACACAAGAAGAAAGCAUAAAAAGAAAAAUAAACCAGCAUGGAUAGUACAAUGAAAAAGUAUGAGCACCAACAACUAGAAUGGGUGUGUGAACAUGAAUGUAAUGUCGGUGAGAAAUACGUACUCCCCCAAGCUUAGGCUUUUGGCCUAAGUUUCUCUAUGCCCAUGGAUCAAAGUUGUAGCUGGGGUCGUACUGAGAUGCAACAACUAUUGCCUCAUGAGCUGCAGCUUGGAGGCGAGCUGCCUCCGUCCUCCUCUCGUACUCGGUCGCCUCCUUCCUGGUUAUAAUAUAUCUCCUUUUUGCCUGAAAGUCAAAGAAAGUAGGAGCGGGGAGAGCAAUAUGGACAGCUUGACGCCUGUCAAACAUUAGUCGGUACUGGAGGGGCUGUUCAUUCCUCUCAACAAACUGAUGGCGAACCAUAGCAUUAUAAUCUAAAUAAGCAGGAGGCAAUUCCAUAUCAUUUUCAUGUAUGGGUAUCUCAAGAUAAUUAGCCACACGGGUUGCAUAAAUUCCACCAAACAAAUCUUCACUAAUACUGUUAUUAUGCAACCUACGUGCAACAAUGCCCCCCAAGUUAUAUUGUUUAUCUCCUAACACAACACUCUUGAGAACACUAAGAUCUGGAACACACAUGUGACAUGCCUCAUCCUUACCGUUUAUGCAUCUACCUAUAAAGAGAGCAAAAUAAUGUAUAGCAGGAAAAUGAAUGCUCCCUAUGGUAGCUUGUGUUAUUUCUCUAGAUUCCCCCACAGUGAUACUAGCAAGGAAAUCUUUAAACUCAGAUUUGCAAGGUUCACUAGCACUACCCCAUUGCGGGAGUUUACAAGCAGUAUUAAAAUCUUCUAAGUCCAUGGUAUAAGAUUUAUUAUAAAGAUCAAAUAGGACCGUGUGAGAAUUGUGUGAAGAUGUAAAUUUAAACCUUCUCACAAAGGAAUCAGUAAGGUGGUAGUAUUGAGGGCACUUAUCUAACAUGAAGCCCUCGAGUUCAGCAUUACGCACAUACGCGUCAAAUUCAUCCUUAAUUCCUGCUUGGACCAUGAAAUUUUAUGACGGCCAUUCACAAGGCCGCACUUGAGCUUCUCUUGGUGGUUCAUGGUCCGGCUCACGUAUUGCAGGCCUGGGUCCCUGCUUCCUUGAAGAAUCACCUUGGUACAUUUUCCUAAAUAUAUUUCUUCCUCUGAAAUAUUUCUGAAAUUUUUAGUAACUCGAAAUAAAAGUGAACCAAACUCAACAAAAUUGAUAGCAACCACUCCCACAAGUGCCUAGAGACUAUAUCAUGCAUUAGAACUACUUGGGACCAAAUAAAUUUGAUAUGCAAGCUCAAGAACAGGGUCACCUAAGCAACAAAAAUUUGCAAUGAAUAAAGCACUAGAACAAAAACUAAUUGGACCAUUGGAGGAGUCACAUAUCAAAGAACAAUCCCCCAAAGCAGUUUUGUGAGUGGAGCUUUGAGCAAGGAGAUCGAAAAUCGCAGCAAAACUAGCUAGAACACGGGUUUGAGCUAGGUGGUGAUUUUUUCUGGAGAAAGACAAAGUGUGUGGGUGCUGGAAUAAGUGGAGGGGGGCCACCAGGGGUCCACGAGGCAGGGGGCGCGCCCAGGGGGUGGGCGCGCCCUGGACCCUCGUGGCCAGGUGUUGGCUCCCCUUGAUGUGUUCUCAGUGCCAGAUAUUCUCAAAUAUUCUAGAAAAAAUCAUAUUUCAAUUGCAGGGCAUUUGGAGAACUUUUAUUUUCGGGGUAUUUUUUAUUGCAGGGAUAAUUCAGAAAACUGACAGAAAAUACUAUUUUUGCUUUAUUUAAUCUAAAUAACAGAAAGUAAAAAGAGGGUACAGAGAGUUGUGUUUUCUAACUUCAUCCAUCUCAUGCUCAUCAAAAGGAAUCCACUAACAAGGUUGAUCAAGUCUUGUUAACAAACUCAUUCCGAAUCGCAUGAAACCAGAGAAUUUUUGAAUAGCACUAGGUUACCUCAACGGGGAUAUGCACGUCCCCAACAAUAAGAAUAUCAUAUUUCUUCUUGACAGUAGGAAGAGGAAAUUCAAAACCUCCAAUAGUGAUCGUUGGAAUCUUUCCAAUAGAAUUGAUACUGUGGACUUGAGGUUGUUUCCUCGGAAAGUGUACCGUAUGCUCAUUACCAUUAACAUGAAAAGUGACAUUGCCUUUGUUGCAAUCAAUAAUAUCCUCUACAGUAUUCAAAAAGGGUCUACCAAGGAUAAUAGACAUACUAUCGUCCUCGGGAAUAUCAAGAAUAACAAAGUCCGUUAGAAUAGUAACGUUUGCAACCACAACAGGCACAUCCUCACAAAUACCGACAGGUAUAGCAGUUGAUUUAUCGUCCAUUUGCAAAGAUAUUUCAGUAGGUGUCAACUUAUUCAAAUCAAGUCUACGAUAUAAAGAGAGAGGCAUAACACUAACACCGGCUCCAAGAUCACAUAAAGCAGUUUUAACAUAGUUUCUUUUAAUGGAGCAUGGUAUAGUUGGUACUCCUGGGUCUCCAAGUUUCUUUGGUAUUCCACCCUUAAAAGUGUAAUUAGCAAGCAUGGUGGAAAUUUCAGCUUCCGGUAUCUUUCUUUUAUUUGUAACAAUAUCUUUCAUGUAUUUAGCAUAAGGAUUCAUUUUAAGCAUAUCAGUCAAAUGCAUAUGCAAAAAGAUAGGUCUAAUCAUUUCAGCAAAGUGCUCAAAAUCCUCAUCAUCCUUCUUCUUGGAUGGUUUAGGAGGAAAGGGCAUGGGUUUCUGAACCCAUGGUUCUCUUUCUUUACCGUGCUUCCUAGCAACGAAGUCUCUCUUAUCAUAACGUUGAUUCUUUGAUUGUGGGUUAUCAAGAUCAAUAGCAGGUUCAAUUUCUACAUCAUUGUUAUCGCUAGGUUGAGCAUCAACAUGAACAUUAUCAUUAACAUUAUCACUAGGUUCAUGUUCAUCACCAGAUUGUGUUUCAGCAUCAGAAAUAGAAAUAUCAUUGGGAUUCUCAGGUGUGUCAACAACAGGUUCACUAGAAGCAUGCAAAGUCCUAUCAUUUUUCUUUUUCUUCUUCUUAGAAGGACUAGGUGCAUCAACAUUAGUUCUCUGAGAAUCUUGCUCAAUUCUCUUAGGGUGACCCUCAGGAUACAAAGGUUCCUGAGUCAUUUUACCCCCUCUAGUCAUAACUCUAACAACAUUAGCAUUUUUAUUAUUAUUUAAUUCAUUGAGCAAAUCAUUUUGAGCUUUAAGCACUUGUUCUACUUGAGUGGUAACCAUAGAAGCAUGUUUACUAAUAAGUUUAAGUUCACCUUUUACUCUAGACAUAUAAUCACUCAAGUGUUCAAUCAUAUAAGCAUUACGUUUCAAUUGUCUACCAACAUAAGCAUUGAAGUUUUCUUGUUUAACAAUAAAAUCAUCAAACUCAUCCAAGCAUUGGCUAGCAAACUUAGUAGAUGGGAUUUCACCCUUAUCAUAUCUAUAGAGAGAAUUUACCUUUACUACCUGUGUCGGGUUAUCAAGACCGUGUAUUUCUUCAAUAGGUGGUAAAUUAAGACCAUGUAUUUCUUCAAUAGGAGGUAAAUUCUUAACAUCUUCAGCUUUAAUGCCUUUUUCUUUCAUAGAUUUCUUUGCCUCUUGCAUAUCUUCAGGACUGAGAAAUAGAUGCCCCUUUUCUUCGUAGUUGGCUUAGGAGUUGGUUCAGGAAGUGUCCAAUUAUUUUCAUUAGUCAAAAUAUUAUUCAAUAGCAAUUCAGCUUGAUCAACUGUUCUUUCCCUGAAAACACAACCAGCACAACUAUCCAGGUGGUCUCUGGAAGCAUCUAGUAGUCCAUUAUAAAAGAUAUCAAGUAUUUCAUUUUUCUUGAGAGGAUGAUCAGGAAAAGCAUUAAGUAAUUGGAGAAGCCUCACCCAAGCAUGUGGGAGACUCUCUUCUUCAAUUUGCACAAAAUUAUAUAUUUCCCUUAAAGCAGCUUGUUUCUUAUGAGCGGGGAAAUAUUUAGCAGAGAAGUAAUAAAUCAUAUCCUGGGGACUACGCACACAACCAGGAUCAAGAGAAUUAAACCAUGUCUUAGCAUCACCCUUUAAUGAGAAUGGAAAUAAUUUAAGGAUAUAGUAGUAGCGAGUUUUCUCAUCAUUAGUGAAUAGGGUGGCUAUAUCAUUUAAUUUAGUAAGAUGUGCAACAACAAUUUCAGAUUCAUAGCCAUAAAAAGGAUCAGAUUCAACCAAAGUGAUUAUCUCAGGAUCAACAGAGAAAUCAUAAUCCUUAUCAGUAACACAGAUAGGUGAAGUAGCAAAAGCAAGGUCAUAUUUCAUUCUAGCAUUCAAAGAUUUUUCUUUCAGCUUAGCUAAUAAUUUCUUAAGAUCAUUCCUAUCGUUGCAAGCAAGAAAGUCUCUAACAGUUUCUUCAUCCAUAACAUAACCCUCAGGCACAAUAGGCAAUUCAUAUCUAGGGGGAGAAUCUUCAUCAUCACUUUCAUCAAUAUUAUCAGUUUCAAUAAUUUCAUUCUCUCUAGCCCUAGCAAGUUGUUCAUCACGAAAUUCACCUAGUGGCACACUAUUAUCAAGCAUAGAAGUAGUUUCAUCAUAAGUAUCAUGCAUAGCAGAAGUGGCAUCAUCAAUAACAUGCGACAUAUCAGAAUUAAUAGCAGAAGAAGGUUUAGGUGUCGCAAGUUUACUCAAAACAGAAGGAGAAUCAAGUGCAGAGCUAGAUGGCAGUUCCUUACCACCCCUCGUAGUUGAGGGAUAAAUUUUGGUUUUCUCGUCUUCCAAGUUCCUCAUAGUGACCAGCAGAUAUAAAUCCCAAGUGACUCAAAGAAUAGAGCUAUGCUCCCCGGCAACGGCGCCAGAAAAUAGUCUUGAUAACCCACAAGUAUAGGGGAUCGCAACAGUUUUCGAGGGUAGAGUAUUCAACCCAAAUUUAUUGAUUCGACACAAGGGGAGCCAAAGAAUAUUCUCAAGUAUUAGCAGUUGAGUUGUCAAUUCAACCACACCUGGAUAACUUAAUAUCUGCAGCAAAGUAUUUAGUGGCAAAGUAGUAUGGAAGUAACGAUAACGGUGGCAAAAGUAACAGUAGCAACUUUGUAGUAAUUGUAACAGUGGAUAUGGUAAAGUAACUAAGCAAAGAUCAAUAUGUGAAAAGCUCGUAGGCAUUGGAUCAGUGAUGGAUAAUUAUGUCGGAUGCGAUUAUUCAUGCAACAGUUAUAACAUAGGGUGACACAGAACUAGCUCCAGUUCAUCAAUGUAAUGUAGGCAUGUAUUCCGAAUAUAGUCAUACGUGCUUAUGGAAAAGAACUUGCAUGCCAUCUUUUGUCCUACCCUCCCGUGGCAGUGGGGUCCUAUUGGAAACUAAGGGAUAUUAAGGCCUCCUUUUAAUAGAGUAUCAGACCAAAGCAUUCACACUUAGUGAAUACAUGAACUCCUCAAACUACGGUCAUCACCGGGAGUGGUCCCGAUUAUUGUCACUUCGGGGUUACCGGAUCAUAACACAUAAUAGGUGACUAUAGACUUGCAAGAUAGGAUCAAGAACUCACAUAUAUUCAUGAAAACAUAAUAGUUUCAGAUCUGAAAUCAUGGCACUCGGGCCCUAGUGACAAGCAUUAAGCAUAGCAAAGUCAUAGCAACAUCAAUCUCAGAACAUAAUGGAUACUAGGGAUCAAACCCUAGCAAAACUAACUCGAUUACAUGAUAAAUCUCAUCCAACCCAUCACCGUCCAGCCAGCCUAUGAUGGAAUUACUCACGCACGGCGGUGAGCAUCAUGAAAUUGGUGAUGGAGGAAGGUUGAUGAUGACGACAGCGACGGAUUCCCCUCUCCCGAGCCCCGAACGGACUCCAGAUCAGCCCUCCCGAGAGAGAUUAGGGCUUGGCGGCGGCUCCGUAUCGUAAAACGCAAUGAAUCCUUCUCUCUGAUUUUUUUCUCCCCGAAAGUGAAUAUAUGGAGUUGGAGUUGAGGUCGAUGGAGCGUCAGGGGGCCCACGAGGUAGGGGGCGCGCCCCCACCCUUGUGGACAGGGUGUGGGCCCCAUGACGUGGAUUUUUCUUCCAGUAUUUUUAAUAUUUUCCAAAAAGAUGUUCCGUGGAGUUUCAGGUCAUUCCGAGAACUUUUGUUUCUACACAUAAAUAACACCAUGGAAAGUCUGCUGAAAACAGCGUCAGUCCGGGUUAGUUCCAUUCAAAUCAUGCAAGUUAGAGUCCAAAACAAGGGCAAAAGUGUUUGGAAAAGUAGAUACGAUGGAGACGUAUCACCGACUCAACCCGGCCACUCCCUGACGAUCGACAAGACGGCCAACAGUGCCCCCAUACCCGGCGGGCCCAGCGCCCGGAGAACCCGGCGAGCCCUGACCCCAGGCAGGUCCCAGCGCCGGCUUCUCGGACAAUGACAAUCCGGCCCCACGGCCUUGUAACAUUACCCUUGUACCCCUGGGGGGUUGGCCUAUCACUACUAGGGAAAACCUUAUACAUAGAAUCUUAGCAGCAGCGCGGCACAAAAAGAGGCGCUACUGCUAAUUAGCAGUAGCGAGGUUAAGAAAAGCACGCUACUGAUGUAUAGCGCGUGAUGUCUAAACCGCGCUGCUACAAAAAUCUACCGACACUACCCAACAACCUAAGUUUACCAGCAGCGCUGUGUGACGAUGCGCGCUACUGCUAAUGCGAUAGUAGUAGCGUGCUUUUGAGUCACGUCGCUGCUGCUAAUUUUGAAAUUGUCCACACGGUUGGCCCGUUUAGCAGUAGCGCGUGUGAUGAAAGGGCGCUGUUGCUAAGCUCUUAGCAGUAGCGCGUUUUUCCUCCCGCGCUACUGCUAAGACGCAGCACCCCACCACCUUUUCCCACCCGUACGUCCUCCCCUCCCCCAUCUCCUCUCCUCCCUUUCCCCUACCUCCCACAUCCUCCCUCUCUCACUCUUCUUCUUCCUCAAUACUUCUUCCUCAAUACUUCUCCCCCCAUUACUCUCCCUCUUCUACCUACCUUUCUCUCUCUUCAUUACUCCUAGCUAACUAACACCACCUCCAUCAAUGCAUCUCCUUUCUCUUUUUCCUUCCCCCUCCACUAGUUGAAGUUGUCUCCUCCCAAAUUAGCUAGCUAGGUAGAUGUAGCAUUUAGUCAAGUGACCUAUUUGCCCCCUAACUAGAUCUAUCUUUGUCAAGAAGAGCUUUGUGCACUUGAUCUCCCUACAUCAUCAUCUCCACCGUGUGCUCGAUCUCGAGAUAGAGGUGAUUAAAAUUUCAUGCUUUUGCAAAAUGGAAAUAUGUGUAUGUGUGUGUGAUAUGAUAAUUGGGCAAUAUGAUGGAAAUUGUGUGUGUGGCAUGAGUUGACGCCAAAUUGUGCUUUUGAGUUGCCUAUGUUUUGCCGAAAUGUCGAUUUAUUUCCGUUUCGGCGAAUUCCGGGCAAACUCUAGAUCUAUAUAUGUCCUAUUUUUAGGGAAGGUCAUGCCGAAUUUUUGUAUGACUUUGAUGCAUGCACGCAUUUUUAUAAUCAAUUUGUUUAUUAUUACCGUGCAGACGUUCAUGAUGGCAGUGGAACGAUGGUGGACAGGUGGUUGCGGUCGGUGGUGUAGGACAUGAAAGAAAAUAACCGGACAGAGGUUUUAUGUCCGUGUCAGAAAUGCAAAGGAAUAGUUUGGCUCGACCCCUAUGACGAUGGUCGUGUCGAAGCACACCUGCUCAUGACUGGUUUCAUGGAUGGCUAUACUCGAUGGAUAAUUGAAGAUGAGGAUGACGAUGUUGAGGACACCGACGGGGCAGGCAAUGACGACACGGGGCAAGAAGAAGAGAUGAUCGAUAAUGGCGGCGGGGAAGAGGCCGGACAUGGCGGCGGAGAAGGGGCCGGACAUGGUGGCGGAGAGAACGACAUGGACUCCACGCAGCAGAGUUCGUCGGUACUAAGUUCAAUCGUGCGGGACCCUCAUGUUCAAGCACUGCUUCACAAGGAGACGAGUACUGAGAGAGCUGCUUCUAGAGAGGAGGCUAAGCUGGAGCAACUGGUGGUAGACUCAAACACUCCAUUGUAUGAUGGUUGCAAUCCUGAGGUGACCCGCUUGAGUUUCACGCUCCAACUCCUGAAGACGAAGGCUAAAAACAAAUGGACCGACACUAGCCUCGAUGAGCAUCUCAAGUACCUAAAGGAUGUUCUUCCCGCGGGGAAUCUAUGUCCUACUAGUGUUGAUGAGGCCAAGAAGAUCGUGUGCCCUCUUGAUCUGCCGCACGUUAGAUACCAUGCAUGCAUCAACGAUUGCAUAAUUUAUCGGAAGGAGCACGCGGAAAAAACCAGCUGUCCGGUGUGCAAUGCUUCUCGAUACAAGAAGGCCGGGAAGAAAUGUCCCCAGAAAGUUGUAUGGUACUUACCGAUCACUCCCCGUCUCCAGCAGUAUUUCAUAGAUCCCAAGGAAGCAAAGCUAAUGCGCUGGCACGCGGAGAGGAAGAAGCCCGACGAUGGAGAUGAUCCGAAGCUGAGACACGUCAAGGAUGGAAGCCAGUGGAGAGCGUUGAACAACUUCUAUCGGUAUUUCGAAUGUGAUGCAAGGAACAUCGUGCUCGGCGCGUGUACCGAUGGCAUGAAUCCGUUUGGCAACCAGAACACCAACCAUAGCACAUGGCCCGUGUUUGUAUGGAUGUACAACCUCCCCCUGGUUGUGCAUGAAGUCGAAGUACAUUCACAUGAGCAUGCUUAUUCAAGGGCCAAAACAACCAGGAAAUAAUAUUAAUUUGUAUCUUGGGCUACUUCAAGAGGAGUUAGACACAUUAUGGAAAACAACGGCCAAGACAUGGGACACCAGCAAAGGCGAGUAUUUCUACAUGAGAGCCGCGCUGAUCACGACGGUGCACGACUAUCUCGGUUAUGGAUAUGUCGUAGGCCAGGUGUGCCAUGGAUAUUGCGAAUGCACGCGGUGCAUGGAUGAUACGACGUCUCAGCAGCUAACGUCAAGGAAAGAUGGCGGGUCUGGGAAAAUCGUGUACAUGGGGCAUCGAAGAUGGCUCGAACAGGACGACCCAUGGAGAAACCAUGGAGAUCUAUUCAAUGGUCACGCCGAGCAUCGAGGACCUCCACGUAAGCGGAGCGGUGCCGAAAUCGAUGAGCUGUUGAAAAACUGGAAGGAGUGCCCCGCGCCGGGGAAGACGAUGAAAAAGGCGCCAGAGCCGCUGCUGAAGGUAUGGAAGACGAAGUCUGUGUUCUGGGACUUGAGUACUGGCACAAACUCGAUACACCUCAUUACCUUGAUCAAAUGCAUAUCUGUAAGAAUGUCCUUGAGAGAUUGCUCGCGACACUGAUGAUCAUGCCGGAUAAGACCAAGGAUGGGCCGAAGGCAAGAAAAGACUUGCAAGAUUUGAAAAUCAGGGAAGAUCUGCACAUGCCGCCCCGUAAAAAGUUAGACGAGACAGAGACGGAGACAAAGGCGCGGGAGAAGAAGGGCAAGAAAAUAAAGAAAUAGGAUUAUUGCCCCCCUUCUUGCUUCACCUUAAGUCAGGCUGAGAUCGAUCAAUUCUUUAAGUGCCUUACUGGAGUCAAAGUUAGUUCCGGUUACUGUGGCAAGAUAAGUAGAUAUCUAGACACGGACAAGAAAAGGUUCAGCGGGAUGAAGUCCCAUGACUGUCAUGUGAUGAUGACGCAGAUACUACCUAUUGCCCUUAGAGGGAUAAUGGACAAGCACGUCCGUGACACGCUUAUUGGUCUCUGCAACUUUUUCGACGUCAUCUCUCGAAAGUCGAUCAGUCUGAAGCAGCUCCGAAGGCUACAGGAAGAGAUCAUUGUGAUACUGAAUGAGCUUGAGAUGUACUUCCCGCCCGCGUUCUUUGAUGUGAUGGUGCAUCUGUGUGUCCAUAUUGUGGACGACAUAAUAGACCUGGGGCCGUCAUUUCUGCACAACAUGAUGCCGUUUGAGAGGAUGAAUGGGAUCAUCAAAGGAUUCGUUCGUAACAUGUCCCGUCCGGAUGGAAGCAUCGUCCAGGGCUAUCUGACACAAGAGUGCAUCUCUUUCUGCAAGAAUUUUCUAUAUGGCGCAGACCAGCUGCCUGGUGUUAGUGUUGGUUUGCCCAUUAACAAGCACGAUGGGAGGCUCGAAGGAGAAGGUCACUCCAACGGUCGCAGGGAACUGCACGUGGCAUACUCAGAUCGACGCAGCGACUUUGACAGAACAAACUUGGUAGUGCUACAACACCUAGACGAGGUAGAUCCUUUCGUGGCACUGCACAAAGAAAUUAUCGCAAAGAAGUAUCGUGACCGGGGGGUAUGCAGGACGGACGCCGAAGUUACUAGAGAGCACAACUCCACUUUCCUGCAUUGGUUCAAAGAGCAUAUUAUUGCUAAUCCCCCGGAGGAGGGCUCUAAGGACGGAUUACUCAUAUACGCCUUAGCACAUGGCCCCUCGCCCAACCUCGUUACCUAUCAGGCAUACGAUAUCAAUGGAUACACGUUCUACACGGAGGCCACAGAUAUGGACAGUGAUGAUCAGAACUCAGGGGUGACGAUGGAAUGCAUGACCGGCAGCGACAACAGCGCAACUGAAAGAUUUUACGGAAGGGUCGAGGAGAUCUGGGAGCUUGACUACUAUGGACUGCACAACACGACGAUGUUCCGUGUCAGAUGGGCUAAGAAUGUCGAAAGAGAAAACCGAAAUUUCACUACCAUGACUAUACCCGACGCCAAGAGCCCUACCGUGAACGCUAUCGCAAAAAACGAGCCAUGGGUACACGCUAAGCACGUGACACAAUGCUUCUUCAUAACCGACCCGCGCAAUCCCAGCCGUGUUAUCAUGAGGAGAGGCAAAAGGAACAUCAUUUGAAUGGAUGGAGGCGCCAACGAGGAAGACUACGAUCAGUACGGCAACCCAAUGAGGGAAGAUGACGAUGAUGAUGAAGUAUACGUCAAAAUAAGAAUCAAUACUACAUUACCUAAGAAAAAUCGUACUCCAUGGAAAAGGCAAAGUCACAAUGAGGGGCUCAAUUAUUCUUCAACGAACAAGAAGGGAAAGAAGCUGACUCAAAAACGAAAACGUCAAUGAUGAGGAACCGUAUGUAUGUUAUCGGUCAAAUGAUGUAAUAUAUAUGUUCCUAUUUUGUAUACACACUUAGCCAUUAUUAUGCAUGGGUCCAAUAAUGUAAUAUAUAUACAUAUGUUCCUAGUUUGUAUACAUAUUUAACCGUCAAAUGAUGCAAUAUAUAUCGCCUUCCAUUCGUUCACUGCUCUCGGAAAAAAAGAAAAGUAAAGUGAGAGAAAAUAAAGGAAAAGAAAAUAGAAGGAAACAAACAGGAAAACUGUUAUAUAGGUGUUAUAGCAGCAGCACUUUUGUGAGAGAAGAGCUACAACUAGUCAAGAUAGCAGUAGCGGUUUCUACACGAAACCGCUAUAGCUACCUCGGGUAGCUAUAGCGCGUUUUUCCUAAACGCGCUACUGCUAUGCCCACUUAACCCCCAAAAUCGGUCCCCACUCCUCUAUUCAUCCCACCUCUUUUCCCCCAAAUCCCCCGUCGCACCGCGCGCCGGAGCCCUGCCCUCGUCGGGCCUCUGCGCUCGCCCCCGACCCCGACCGACCCCGGCGCCGGCUCCGUCCCCNNNNNNNNNNNNNNNNNNNNNNNNNNNNNNNNNNNNNNNNNNNNNNNNNNNNNNNNNNNNNNNNNNNNNNNNNNNNNNNNNNNNNNNNNNNNNNNNNNNNNNNNNNNNNNNNNNNNNNNNNNNNNNNNNNNNNNNNNNNNNNNNNNNNNNNNNNNNNNNNNNNNNNNNNNNNNNNNNNNNNNNNNNNNNNNNNNNNNNNNNNNNNNNNNNNNNNNNNNNNNNNNNNNNNNNNNNNNNNNNNNNNNNNNNNNNNNNNNNNNNNNNNNNNNNNNNNNNNNNNNNNNNNNNNNNNNNNNNNNNNNNNNNNNNNNNNNNNNNNNNNNNNNNNNNNNNNNNNNNNNNNNNNNNNNNNNNNNNNNNNNNNNNNNNNNNNNNNNNNNCCCCGACCCCGACCGGCCCCAGCGCUCGCCCACGGCCCCGGCCCCGACCCCGGCUCCGGCCCCGGCGCUCGACCCCGACACCGACCCCUCCCAACCUCGGCCGUCGUCGGGACUGCACCCUCCAUAAGCCCCCCACCGCUCCUCCUCUCUCUGGUAGCUAGGGUUUUUGGUUAAUUUACUUAGGUUUUAGUUAGGGAAGAUGGUUAAUUAGGUUAUAUAUUUAGUUAUGAAUUUAGCUAGGUUUUUUCUUCAAGUUCUAUAUUUUUCUUCCUUCUAUAUGCAAAUUUGAAGUGGACAUGUGAUAUGUGGACAUGUGAUGUUUUGGACAUGUCAUAUUUGGAAUUUGGACAUGUCAUUUGGACAUGAUGAUUAUGUGCAGGGUAAAUGAUCCAAGUGGCCUAUGUUACGCCGGAAUGUUGAUUCAUUUCUGUUCCGGUGAAUUUCAGGCGCUCGAUAUGUCCAUUUUUUUAGCAAAGGUCAUGCCAAAAUUUUCCGUGAAUUUUGGCAUGAUUUGUGCUAGACAGUAGGCAUAUCGAGUGCCGCGAGUUGCUGGGAAACGACAUUCCAGCAAACAUAGAUUUCUUUUUUAUGUCAUUUCUCAUUUUUUCAUAGUUUUAGAAUUAAACGACGAGACUUAAUCAUAGGAAACAUGUCGAACAACAAAGAAAUCGGGCCUACUGACCAAGAUGCAGACGAGAUGGAUUAUGAGGGUGAACAAGAGUACCUUGACUAUUUGACUGCUAAGAAAUUCCAAAGUCAAUGUUUGUAGGUCGGCCUAGAUGAUGGUACUGACGCCGACAUCGACACCGACGGCGCCGGCACCGAUGGCGGCGCCGAGACGGGCGGGGAAGGUAUCGGCGGGGAAGAUACCGGCGGGGAAGGUACUGGUGCCGAUGCCGCUAUCGAAAGGAAGAAGCAGAAGAAGCAGAGGAUACAAAAACCUAACAACCUAGGGAUUGGACGACUGGUGAUCACAAAGAUGGCACCUGGCAAGUUUGAGCCAUUAGAGGCGGAAGAACCUCGCAAGUGCUAUGGGAACCAAGUAGGAUGCAUCCUACGGGAAUGCGCGAGCAUCAACGACGAUGACUUAAGGAGUAAAGAACAUUUGAUGCAGUUGCUCCCGACGAAGUUGCCCAAGAGACUCAAGUUCCCCGACCGGGAUGAUAACAUAGAACAACCGUGGGAUGAUCCGAAGAUGAAAAAGAUUAACAAUCACGCCAUGGGCAUGUUCAGCAAUGAUUUGGCCUCCUGGAAAGGGGGGGUGAAACGAGCUAUUGAGGAUGAGGAACCCCUGUCCAAGAUUCUGGAGGAAAAUCCGACACUUACGGAAGAGGAGUUCGAAAAGUUCAAGGACACUUGCGCUACCGAGGCAGCCAAGGCUAAGGCUGCAAAAUUCAAGAGCCUUCAGCAAAGGAACACGGGGAAGCAUCGCCCCGGAAGUCGUGGCUACCUCGGUAAAAGGUCCAUAUGGGAUAAGGAGGACGCGGAACGUGAAGCCACGGGUAUCCCAGACCCCAUCGCGAAGUUCACCAACCCCUUGGAGCGUGACUUCAUCAGGGCCCGCUACAAGUGGGACAAGGAAAAGAAGGUUUUUUACACGGACCAGAUCACGAGGAAAUUGAUUAGACUACUGGUAAUUAUUCUUUUACCACCUUACAUUUAGCUCCAUAUCUAGUCGACUACACAUUCCUAAACAGUUCACACUCCUUCUGCAGGAGAAGCAACACCAGCUUGCAGCCGAAAGCCCUACUUCUCCGAUGAGGCCCAAGUGGGACACCCCUCUCAACCGGGCCUUGAACGAACUUAAGGGACUGCCUUUGGGCCAGCGGCCGCAAUAUAGUCGUGUGCACGGCGCUGGAGACGGCGCCACGUGGAAGGUGUUUUAGAACGAGGGCCCGGAGGCCAAGAAGCAGAAAAAGAAGUUUAGUCAGGCGGACAUCAACGAGAAGGUGAAGCUUGCGGUCGAGAAAAAAGCAGCUGAGGAUGCGAAAAAAAUAGCCGAGGAGAAAAAUGAGUUGCUACAACAGGCAGUCAAUGCAGCUGUAACUGCCUACAGAAAUGAUUUCGCUACUAACUUGGUUCCAGCUAUCAUCAACUGGACAAAGGAAAAUCCAGACAAGACGGUACAUGAUUUCCCGUUGCCCAGUUUCGUCAGGAGCAACUCCAUGAACAACAACACCACCGCACCAUCACUUGCUCACGCAACUGGGCCUCCUCUCGCAGUUGCUCCCGCUCAUAGCAGCCAUCCUCAGUCUCUGGCGCGCUAGGUGGGCCUUCAUCUUUGGCUGAGCUCGACGCCCUCACGGUAAUUACAUGUCGCACCAAAAUAUAUAGAAUAUUCCAUUUUCGUUGCCUUUCGGAUGUUUUAUGCCACAGACAUAUGUUUUUGCAGGCCGAAGAAACCCCGUGCACCAUACUCUACUUGAUCAAAGGCCAAAAGGUGGACGUGGGAAAGGGGAUGAUAAUUGUAAGUGCAUCUAGUGCCACCCCUAGUUGGUUUUGGAGUAUUGACGACAAACCUGGUUGAGGGACUAAUGUGUUUGUGAGAAUUGCAGGAUAACACAGGUAGUAGUCCCUCAUUGAUUCGGUUUACCUACCGGAGUUGACCCCUAAAAAUGUAUGAAGACAUUGAAGACAAUGGUGGUAUGUGAAGAUAUUCACAUUGAAGACUAUGACCUGAGAAGACAUUGUGUGAAGAGUAUGGAGCGCGAAGACUUAGUUGUUUCGUUGUUUCCUUUUCUUCUUUGUUGAGUCGUAGGAACCACCGUACUGUUAAGUGGGGUCCCAGUGAACAAAGUCAGAGUGACUGAAGUGAUGCUCAACCAAAAUCCUAUGUCUUCGAGCGAAGACAAUGAGAGCAAAUCAUAUCCAGAGCUGGAUGAGUCAGCUUACUUGCAGCCCAAGUCAAGCUGUCGCGUGUGUUUGAAAUAUGACCGUUGGAACACGUGUCAGUUCCUGAGUGACCCAGGGUCAUUUCGGACAAAUUAGGUCGGGUUGCCUAGUGGCUAUAAAUAGCCCACCCCCUACACCAUAAAUUGGUGGCUGCUCAGAGUUAGUGCACGGCUUCUGUCGUUUGAGAGCAACCCACCUCCGAAGCUUUUGAGAGAGAGAAAUCCUUGCGAGGACAAAGCCCAAACACCCAGAGCCAAAGAGUGUUAGGCAUCACUGAAGUCUUUCUGUCCGCGUGACCUGAAGACUUGUUACACUUGAGGACUGUGAAUCCUCCAGCCAGUUAGGCGUCGCGUUCUGAGCAUCCAAGAGUCAUUGUGGAUCGCCGGUGAACGAAGUCUGUGAAGGUUUGGAAGUCUACCUUGAAGACUUACCAGAGUGAUUGGGCGAGGACUGGGUGUCCUUAGCUCAAGGGGAAUAAGGUGAAGACGUGGUCUUCUGAGUUGAAUCUCAGCCUCCCUAACCAGACGUACAGUUGUCACAGCAACUGGAACUGGUCCAACAAAUCCUGUGUCCUCACCAAGUGACUGGUUCUAUCCUCUCCCUCUCUUUACCUACAGUUUGUCUUCGUGAAGUCAUUGCCUGCUUGCACUACUUGUUUGACUUCACUGUGUGACUACUAUCAUUGUUUGGCUUCAUACCAUCUUCCAUCCUGAUCUGUUCUACCUAGCUGCUAUUAGUCUUCGUGCUUUCACUUCAUUGCAUACUUGACUAUGGCUUGCUUAGUGUAGUCCACCUUCCACUGCAUAUCAAUAGGUUCAUUUCUAUUUGGACGUUCAUAAGACUCGCCUAUUCACCCCCCUCUAGUCGAUAACUAGCACUUUCAAUUGGUAUCAGAGCAAGGUACUCCCUUGUUCUGUGUGAUUUGGUUUAACCACCUGAAGUUUUAGCUAUGUCGACUGCAGGGAUAAUCAAAGUCUCCGCUGCUUGCCCCGUCUUCGAUGGAACUGAAUAUCCCUACUGGAAGAAUAAGAUGCGCAUGCAUCUUGAAGCCAUUGAUGUCGACCUCUGGUAUGUCGUCAAGAAUGGCGUUCCCAAGACUGGUGAAGGUGUCACCCCUGCUGAUGUCAAGAAGUUCAUUCAACUGGAUUCUACUGCCAAGAAUAUCAUCUGUGGUCAUCUGACCAAAGGAUAGUAUGGCCGUGUGAGUGCUCUGGAAAUGUCGAAGCUAGUCUGGGACUGGCUCUCCAAGGUCAACGAAGGCGUCUCAACCCAGAGAGAUCAAAGGAUCAGUGUUCUUCGCAACCUCUUCAACCGCUUCAAGAGAAAUGACAAUGAGAAUGUCCAGCUCACGUUUGAUCGCCUCACUGACAUCACAAAUGAGCUACGUGCUCUCGGCGCCACUGAGAUCACCAAGCAUGAAAUCUGCAAGACACUACGGAGAUCACUUGACAGCUCGUUUGACACCCUUGCCCUGAUGAUACAAGAACGCCCUGACUUCAAGACACUCGAUCCGUCUGAUAUACUUGAGAGGCUCAACACACAUGAGUUCCAGCUAUCUGAGAAAAGAGAUAUCUAUGGUCCCAACUAUGGCCGAACUCGUGCUUUGAAGGCAAAAGCUGUUUCCUCAUCUGAAGAAGAAUCUGACUGCAGUUCUGAUGAUCCUGAAGAUAUUGGAAAGGAACUUGCUAUGCUUGUGAAGAAGUUCCUGAAGUUCACUAAGGAGAAGGGCUUCAGAAAGUCUUCACGAUCGAGCUCAAGAAAUGAUGAAGCUUCCACUCAUGACUACAAGAAGAGAACAUGUCACAAGUGCAAGAAACCUGGACACUACAUCUCUGAGUGUCCACAGUGGGACAAUGAGAACAACAAGAAUAAGAAGAGCAAGGAAUAUGAUUCUGAUGACAAGAAGAAGAAGAAAUCCUCAAAGUCCUCUUCCAAGUCCUCAUCCAAGUCUUCAUCUCACAAGAAGAGCUCAUCUGGCAAGGCUCGUGCCUUUGUGGGCAAGGAGAUGGAUUCAGAGGAGGAGUCUGCUUCUGAGGAGGCGGAGGUGGAGUCUGAGGAGGAGUCCGACCCUGGCAUUGCAAGUCUGGCUCUAGCUACAGCCUACGUCGCCAAGUCUAUCUUCAACACUGAAGACAAUGGCCCCGUCACCAACGCUGAUGCUAAUGACAAGGACGACUCUGCUCCCACCUACUGCUUCAUGGCACGUGGUGCCAAGGUAAAAUCACGCUAUGCUUACUUUCAAACAUCAAGUGAAGACGACUCUGAUUGUGAAUCCAAACCCAGCUACAAAACACUUGCUAAAAUUGUAGCUGAACAACAGAAAGCUAUGGAACAUACUGAAAAACUGUUAGACAAACACGAUGACCUGUUGGACGCGGAAAUGACCCGUUCUCAGUCCUUAAUUGAAUACAUAAAAAAUAUUCAUGUUAAGUACCAGGAACUUGAAAGUCGUCAUGAAACGCUCUCAACCACUCAUGAAAAGCUCUCCUAUGAUUAUCUUCAAAGGAAGCUAGAGAUUGAGAAAUUGAGAGCGGCUCAUGAAGAUCUUCAAAAAGAAAAUGAGUCACUUCGCGCUCAACAGAUCAUGAAACGCUCUCAACCACUCAUGAAAAGCUCUCCUAUGAUUAUCUUCAAAGGAAGCUAGAGAUUGAGAAAUUGAGAGCGGCUCAUGAAGAUCUUCAAAAAGAAAAUGAGUCACUUCGCGCUCAACAGAUCAGUUCCGCUCAGGAAGGAUUUGAACCACCAUGUCUAAAAUGCCUUGAGCGUGAUAACGCUACUUCUAUUGCUGAAUGUUCUACUGCUGCUACUGUUGCAAUAUCUUCAACUGUUGAUGUGGUAACUAACCCCUCUGCUGAGGAUACCACUACUAUUGCUGAUGAAAAUGCUAGGUUAAAUACAUUGCUUGAAACAGGGAUGUACAAAAGUCUCAAAGGGCAUCAGACAUUGUGCGAUGUCCUCAAAAAGCAGAUUUUGAACCAAAACCCUAGGAAAGAGGGUGUUGGGUUCGAGAGGAAAAUGAAUGUUGAUGGCUCCUACUGGAAGCCUGAGCAGUAUCCCAAAACCACAUGGGUUGCUGCAAAGGGACCUUCAGUGGAUCCAUCCACCUUAUCUGGCUUCACUUGUGCUAACCCUAUUAUCAUUGAUGAAUCCUUUGAUGCAAACUAUAAACUGUUUAAGAAUCAGAAUGGUGAAGUGUUUGCCAGGUAUAUUGGUACUAACUGCAGGAAUGGGCCACCUAUGAAGAAGAUCUGGGUUCCCAAAAGUUGUCUUGAGAAUCUUCCUGUGAAUAUCAUCAUGACACCACCUGGGAAGAAGACAAAUCUCAGACCAAAGGCUUCAUAUGGUCCAAAGGCUUCAUACAGAUACAGGACUCAACUGAGUCACCCUAACGCCAAUGUUUUGCAGGGAAAUCGUACUAAGACUUAUGAAUAUGAGCGUGUGUCUUCAAACCGCUAUGUUCGUAAAACUAAGAACUUUUCUGCUUAUUCAUAUGAGUAUCAUUCAUCUCCUGCAAGGCUAUUUGCUAGGGCUCCAAAGCCGAAGUUCUCAGAUGCUGCACUUAGACUCAUUGCUUCUAAGCCACCCCUGAAGAUGUGGGUGGUUAAGAAGAAUUAACUUUCUUUUGCAGGGAAAGGUCUCCAGCCGGAAAUCAAAGGCGUUUGAUGCUAUUGCUGGGGACCUAAAACAUCUUGUAGGGCGCAAGAUCAAAUGCCCAAAUGGUCUUACUAUGUAUUUUGUUCCUGAAUCGCUUGCCAAUCAUCCUAUCAGUCCUAAUCUUGAUCUGAGCUUUGAUAAUCCUCUUGCCCGUCAAAUGUUUAUGCUUCACAAUACUCUUGGUGAAGCCUAUCCCCCUAACUGUACUAUAGGGUAUGACACUUCAUGCUUUAGAAUGGACGAUGGACAGCGGAUGCACUAAUCAUAUGACUGGUGAUCGAAGUCUUCUCAUGGACUCAACCUUACGACCAUCUGACAAGAGUCACAUCACAUUUGCUGACACUGGUAAAAGCAAGGUAUUGGGUCUAGGUAGAGUUGCAAUCUCAAAGGAUCAGCACAUGGAUAAAGUGAUGCUUGUUGAAUCCCUUGGUUUCAACUUAAUGUCUGUCUCAAUGCUUUGUGACUUAAACAUGAUUGUGAUAUUUGGAAAAUAUCGUUGCCUUGUACUAAUGGAAUCUGACAAAUCUUUAGUCUUUGAAGGGUACCGGAAAGAUGAGCUGUACAUGGUAGAUUUCUCAGCAGGACCACAGCUUGCCGUAUGUCUUCUUGCAAAAGCUUCAGAGUGCUGGCUCUGGCAUCGGAGGCUAGGGCAUGCUAGCAUGAGGAACUUGCAUACUCUCGCAAAGAAGAAGCAUGUCAUAGGCAUCGAGGGCGUCAAGUUCAAGAAGGAUCACUUGUGCGGUGCCUGCGAAGCUGGAAAGUUGACUAGGGCCAAGCAUCCCUCGAAGACAAUCAUGACGACAUCACAACCCUUCAAGCUGCUACACAUGGACUUAUUUGGCCCUACUCACUACUCUACUCUCACUACUACUGCUUGUCUUUAUGGCUUCGUCAUUGUUGAUGAUUACUCAAGAUAUACGUGGGUGCAUAUAAUUCUCUACAAGACUGAAGUGCAGGAUGUCUUCAGACAAUUCGCCAACCGUGCCAUGAACAACUAUGGCGUCAAGAUCAAGCACAUCAGAAGUGACAACGGCACAGAGUUCAAAAACACCGGCCACGAUCUUUACUUGGAUACACUGGGAAUCACUCAUGAGUUCUCAGCUCCGUAUACACCUCAGCAGAAUGGCAUCGUGGAGCGCAAGAACAGAACGCUCAUUGAGAUGACAUGGACAAUGCUUGAUGAAUACAAGACUCCAAGAAAGUUCUGGCCUGAAGCUAUUGAUACUGCAUGCCAUGUCAUCAACCGUGUUUAUCCUCACAAGCUUCUGAAGAAAACAUCCUAUGAACUCCUCACUGGUAAGAAGCCGAAUGUCAGUUACUUCAGAGUAUUUGGUGCUAGGUGCUGGAUCAAGGAUCCACAUCACACUUCAAAAUUUGCACCGAAAGCACAUGAAUGUUUUAUGCUCGGUUACGGAAAGGAUUCGCACUCCUACAGAGUCUUCAACCUCUUUCACUAUAAAGUGGUUGAAACUAUGGAUGUGCGGUUCGAUGAGACUAACGGCUCGCAAAGAGAGCACCUGCCAAAUGUGCUAGAUGAUGUUCCACCUAGUGAAUCCAUCAAGCUCAUGGGAACUAGAGAAAUCAUACCGUCUGAAGCACAGCCUGAAGAGGAACUUAUCAUUUCUGCACCUAAUCAACCAGAAGACAGUGCUCAGCCCGAAGACAAUCCUCCUAACGAUGACAAUGAUCAGCAAGAGCAAAAUCUUUGUCCGGUUCAUCCUCGUGUUGCAACUGAAGUACAGAUUGAGAAGAUAAUUGAUAGCAUCAAUGCGCCUGGUCCACUCACUCGUUCAAGAGCAACACAGCUAGCAAAUUUUUGUGGGCACUUUGCAUUUGUCUCAAUAUCUGAACCCAAGAAAGUCGCUGAAGCCUUCAUGGAACUUGAAUGGAUUCAAGCCAUGCAAGAAGAGCUUCAACAGUUCAAGCUGAACAAUGUCUGGGAACUUGUCAAGCGUCCUGACCCCCGCAAGCACAACAUAAUAGGCACACAAUGGAUAUAUCGCAACAAGCAAGAUGAGCAUGGUUAAGUUGUCAGAAACAAGGCUCGUCUCGUUGCUCAAGGAUACACUCAAGUUGAAGGGAUUGACUUCGAUGAAACAUUUGCUCCUUUGGCUAGGCUUGAAGCUAUUCGCAUAUUGCUAGCCUAUGCAAAUCAUCACAACAUCCUGCUGUAUCAAAUGGAUGUGAAGAGUGCAUUUCUCAAUGGAAAGAUUGAAGAAGAAGUGUAUGUUGCACAACCUCCUGGCUUUGAAGAUCCAAAACAUCCUGAUAUGGUGUACAAACUAAACAAGGCACUGUAUGGCCUCAAACAAGCCCCUCGCGCUUGGUAUGAUACACUCAAAGACUUCCUGAAGAGCAAAGGCUUCAAACUUGGUUCCCUGGAUCCCACACUCUUCACGAAGACAUAUGAUGGUGAACUAUUUGUAUGCCAAAUAUACGUGGAUGACAUUAUCUUCGGCUGCACCAACCAAAAAUACAGUGAUGAGUUUGGACACAUGAUGCAAGAGCAAUAUCAGAUGUCCAUGAUGGGUGAGCUGAAGUUCUUCCUUGCUCUUCAAAUCCGUCAACAAAGCAAUGGCAUCUUCAUAUCUCAAGAGAAAUAUCUCAAAGAUUGCCUGAAGAAGUUUGGAAUGCAAGACUGCAAAGGUUACACGACGCCAAUGCCAACCAAGAGUCAUUUGGGUCCUGAAGCCAAUGGUAAAGAGUUCGAUCAAAAGGUAUACCGCUCCAUGAUUGGUUCUUUACUUUAUUUAUGUGCAUCUAGGCCAGAUAUUAUGCUUAGUGUUUGCAUGUGUGCUCGAUUUCAAGCGGCACCAAAGGAAUCACAUCACUUAGCUGUGAAGCGAAUUCUUCGAUAUUUGGCUUACACCCCAACAUUAGGAUUAUGGUAUCCAAAGGGCUCAGAGUUUGAUCUAGUUGGAUUCUCGGAUGCUGAUUAUGCUGGUGACAAGGUGGAUCGCAAGUCUACAUCAGGCACAUGUCACUUUCUGGGACGAUCACUUGUCUGUUGGUCUUCAAAGAAGCAGAACUGUGUAUCACUCUCCACUGCUGAAUCUGAAUACAUUACUGCUGGAUCUUGUUGCGCUCAGCUUCUAUGGAUGAAGCAAACACUCAAGGACUAUGGCAUCCAUCUGAAACAAGUACCACUAUACUGCGACAAUGAAAACGCCAUCAAGAUUGCCAACAACCCAGUUCAGCACUCGAAGACAAAGCACACUGAAAUUCGUCAUCACUUUCUCAGAGAUCAUGUCAUGAAGGAAGAUAUUGAUAUCAUACACGUCAACACUGAAGAGCAACUGGCAGAUAUCUUCACAAAGCCCUUGGAUGAGAAAAGGUUUUGCAAGUUGCGGUGUGAGCUAAAUAUCUUGGAAUCCUCAAAUGUCCUGUGAUCAGGCACAUCUCCUAACACUUAUGCAUGUUGAUGACUUCGAUGUGCAACACACGAAGUAAAGUAUAUCUUCAAUCAAUGAAGACUUACACUCUAAGUGUGAAUACAUUAACGCGAAAUUUGACUUCGGAGCGCCACAAUAAUUGUGCGCCGUGUCUGGGUCUAAUACUUCCUAUACGGUGGGUAACACCACCACCAAAUUUUUCUGUUUGAAGUGUUUUUCUCAUGGCGUUACAUUUGCUAUGUCUUCGCAUUUGGUUUGUCUUCAAUAUCAACAUGACUUCAUGUUUUUCUUCACAAUGAUGAUUUGGUUUCAUUCUGAUAUAUACAUAUACAUAUAUUAGUGUUCUGUCCUCUACAGCAUUCACUUAUAGCUAUGUCUUCUUGUUUGAAUCUUUUGAACUAAGUGAACUAGAUGAUUCCCCGCGCGUUGCUGCGGGACUUUGUUGUGGAUUUUCUGUGACAUCACUACAUCAAAUAAGAAAAUAACUUGAACAAAUAAUAUGAUAGAUUUUUCCAUAGGGAGUUGUGAAUGGCUGCCGAACAACACAACCCACUAUCGAAACAUGGACCCUAAAUAAUAAGCAAUACAACAUGGCAAGCAUUCACACAAUGGUAAGACGACAAAUUUCCAAAAAAAAGUAUGUACUGUAUUGACAUAGUUCAAGCAAAUACAUAUAGAAGCAAGAAUGUUGAGCCCCCCAAGCUGUAAGGGCUUAAAGAUGGCUCCUGGAAGAUGGGUCACUAAACAUUAUUUGUGUGAAAACAGUACUACAUACACCUGCAAGCUACCAAGAAGAGAAGUGAACGACAUAAGCUUACGGAAUACGGAUAUGGGAAAAAGGGUCAAAUUUGGUGCUUGCAAAGAUGAGUAUUUUUAGUUUGGCUGUUGAGUCAGUGAACUCAUGUGUUAAGAUGCUGUUUUGAUUGAUACCAAGAAUACAUGAGAUCUCAUGUGCUUUUAGAUAAAGUGAUAGAUAUAAUACAUGAGAACUUGAGAUCUCAAGUACUUCAUCAACCUAACUAACCUCUAUUAAGUUAUCUACGGUACUUUUUCAGCUCGUGCAACCAGGGUUGGUCAUGGGAUUAGAACAGGUGGCAAUGGUGUGUGCGUGGCGUGGUCCGCGAGUACGUCCAUGACCUUGUAGAACCGCGACCCCCAAUCUUAUAACCACAAGGGUAAAUUAGAAAGAUUAUCAAAAACUCAGUACCGACUAACAAAAUAAUAUGGUCCCUUGUAUUGUGCUCCACAUGCUAGUUAACCUUAAAACUGUUCUCAGAAAGUGUCUCAUUAAAUUGAUUUAAUUAAUAACAUGUUAAUACAUAAGUGCUCCACAUGCUAGUUAACCUUAAAACUGUUCUCAGAAAGUGCCUCAUUACAUUGAUUUAGUUAAUAACAUGUUAAAUACAUAAGGCGGGGAACAUGCAAAGACAUGGAUGUGUCUCAUAAAUUCAUAGUACGAACAUUGAUUCACUGAAUUCAAUAUAGGUAAAGUCUCAAGUUCACCAUAGUAAUCUGACAACAAAAGAGAGAACCUGGCAUAUAGAGGGGAUCGUGACGGGUCGCAGGCAAUGUCGAGGGCACAGCUGGGUCCUGGCCUAAUACGUUUCCCACCCUCCCGUUAGUGAUUGCAAGAGAAACCUGCAUGAAAAGGUGGCCUGAUAAGGACAAUUCUAAUUCAGCAACUUAGUAGUAAUUUAUUGAUGACUAAACAAACUGUAUUGACCACGUAGGUAUGCUAAUAUGGCUGUAGUUCUACCUGUAGACUAAAGAUGGUCAAAAAUUCGGUAAUAUCCAUGUAGAAAAUCAUGGAUGCACACCAUUUGAUCAGUUGGUAGCAGUGAACACCAAAGUAAGAGAGCAUUUUAUGUAGCUUCAGAUAGUAAGCAGCAAAGUAACAGUGGCAAUACAUGGUCGCAUCAAGGCUCUUUUUGGGUAUGCAUUUAUAGAUAAGUCAAUUUGACCUGCAGCUUUAGGAAGACAGUUAAAUUUAAGAGCGAAAUAUCAGUAUAGCAGUCAGAUCGAUAGUAUCAAGUUUCAGCAUCUCUAUAAUCUGAUAUUUGCAUCAACCAAGCAUGAAUAUUGCAACACGGUAUCUCUGCAGCUUGUGCAGUUAUACAAACAUCAAUUGUAAAAUCUCUGUAUUAAGAACGGACCUGUAAAAAACAAAAAACUGGAUGUCCGAGACCAGAAUCAACGAACGCCGCGAGUAAGAAGGUGUAGGGAGAACCUUGCAUGGAGAAGGACAGUAGCAAAAUGGCCACCCACCCACCCACCCGCCCGCCGCCACCCUAAAACCCUAGCCCACUCACCGCCGGCGAUCUCCACGUCUGACCGUGGGAUCACUCAUCGAAUCCGGCCAUCGUGUUCGGCGUCGUCUGCUCCCUCUUUUGGUUGUCAUCUCAAUGGCGGUACAUGCUUCCAUCUCCCUAGGUUUGGAUUUCUCAGCGGGGAUGAGCAUGGCGCAUGAGAUCGGCCGCUUGUUUCACCGCACGGUCCAUCCUACGGAUCGAUCUGGCCACUUUGUCCUGGUGGCUUCAUUUGCAUGGCACUCUUUCCAUUUGGACGAGGACAAUGUGGGCUUGGCACUUGAAUCAGCCAUUGGUGGAUAUUGUUCUGCUCUCAAGGUAUCUCAACUGCAUGAUCGUGUUUUCUCUUUCAAUGUUUCGUGCAAAGAAGUUGGGUUUUUUAUCUUGCAUCAAAGGAGUUUUGUCUACCCGCAAUUCAAAUGUUACUUUCAUCUUUGGGGUCAUGGUGGCCCAGAUUGGGAAAAAGAAUUUAGGUUAUGGCAAUCUGAAUGUGAUCAGGAGUGGACUUUGAUUAGUCCCUCUAAGAAGAGAGCUAGGUUAGGAUUGGAAGCCAUGCAACAUGCCCCAAGGAAAUCUUCUCUCUGUACUCAAUCAGCUAGAUCUAAGCAUUCCAAGCAUAUUCAAUUUGCCACGUUCAUGCAAUACCCGACUAGAAAAGGUUAUAAUUAUGGGCCUACGUCUGAUGAGGUCACAAUUGUCCGGGAGGCAGGCUAUGUGGUCUCUGGGCAUGAAGCUGUUUCUUCUACGUCGUCGGCAUCUUCGCCGGUACCUGUUUCUUCUUCGUCAUCGGCAUCUUCGCCGCCGGCGUGCCCAGUCAUUCAGUUUGGAACGUUGCCGCCAUCCCCGCAGGGAUCCCAUGCAUGCGACAAGUCUGGAUUUUCGGGUGGUCUAUUGUUACCUGCCACGGCAAGUUUAGACUCGCCCGUAUUGCCUUCUGUUGCAUCUUUGGACCUUGUCACGGCCCUGGGCUCUAGUGCCCAGCCCAUCUACCUAUCGGAUGAUGAAGUUGAAAGCCCAUCUUCGCCGGCGAUUCAGUUUCCCUCUCCAAAAGAUAUUGUUGAUGAUCUGCAGAGUUUUGAUGAGAUGAUUGAGGAUUUAGCUGCAAGCUAUUGGGACUACCAGAAUUGUUUGGGCAUGCGCCACACGUCAGAGACCUGCACAAACCUGAUACGGUGCAGAAAUUGUUUUCGUUCCGGUCAUAUUAAAAAAGAUUGCACCGGUCACGCUCCUGACUUAUCCCUUUGGGUGCCCAAAGUCCCAUCACCUUGCUUUGGAAAUCAUGAGAGGAAGGAAAUUUACUCUGCUUCCCUUGCCUCUUCGGUUUCCCAAGAACAAACGCCUCCCCAGCAUAAAACCCCACCUCCUGCUACUCCACCGUCAUCGCCAUUGCCACGCCCGCCGCCGCAAACCACAUAUCACCAAGCAGCAUCAAGCUCUGAUCCUCGCCCGCCUCCCCCAAUGGCGGUGUAUGAGAUCGAUCCGUUUUGCUUCAUCCCUGCUGGCUUCGACAUUGUGGAUGGUGGUGCGGAUCGUCUGCCGCGCACCUACUACACUCCGGCGAUCCCUCCCCCCCCGAGUGCAUGAGCAGUACAUGGUGGCAAUCGUUGAGCCCGUCCCCCCGGCUCAUCUGGUUGGUGCUCGUCGGCAGGAGGUGCUUAACUUCUUAGUUCAGACCAUGCAUGUUCCUGUCCUCUCUGCUCAAACUUGGUUUCAAGGAGUUGGUUUAUUCAAGAUGGAAGAUCCUGUGGUCCGUGACUCUUUCACUUCGCAUCCGCCUUUUCCUUUGGGUUUAGAUGAGGAUGGCCAGGAGUUCUUCGUCAGAUUAAUUUUGCAUAACCAGGGAGAGGGUUUCAGAGCUCUACAUGGACACAUACAUGGUUGGUUGAUGUUUAUUGGCAUACCUCUGGAUUACCGUAAUACACAGUGCAUUGCGGAUAUGGUUAGUACCUUUGAUCAGUUCCACUACUGGAAUAGUAUAGAUCGUCAGAAAGUCAGAUCAUUGGUUCGAGCUUCGUUCCCUGACAAUGCGCUGGUUCCACGCUCGGUUGCUUUUAGGGAAUUUCCUAAUUGGGGCGGUACUCUAGUUUCUUGGACGGCUGGCUGCUAUAUCCUGGAUGGUGACUUUGCUGAGGCUAUGGUUCCAGCGGAUGAGGACCCUAUGCCCCUAGAUGGCAACCCACAUCCCAUGCCAGGCGCUAAUGCUCCCCCUCAGCCAUUCUGGGCCAUGCCGCCGUACCCUGCUUUGGGUUGGAAUGCGGUGCCCCCUGGUCAUGAUCAAGGACACAAUGAUGCUCAAGGAUGGGGACAGAACUUGAACAAUGAAGGUGGUUGGGGGCCUUGGGAGGAAGCCAACCAGCCCGCCCAUGAACCUGUACAGGACCCAAUCGUACAGGACCAAAACUCCAUGAUCCUCAAUCCAUCCAUGAAUUCUGAUGAUGAUGCUGACAUGGAAGAUGUUCAGGAGCCUUUGGUCCAUGUUCAUCCAGCGGGGCCGCUCGAUCCUAUCAACCUGGGUAUUGUCAGGGUGUUCUAUGGGCCGGUGCCACCACCAGCAAUGAUUUGGGAAAAAUCUUUCAAGUCCUUGAUGCCAGAGUUCUUAAUCAUGAAUAUUCCAGCCUUUCUGCCAGGCCUUUGCUUGCCGCCCUUGCCUGUUAAGUUGAGCUCGCCUCUUUUGGAGCAAUGCUGGCACUCCCUGGCUUUCUACAAGACUGAUUUCUGCACUCAACCACGCCCCUCUAUUGUACUUCAAGACAUACCAGAUGAUUCGCAGGACCCUGCCUCUCAAGCAAUGGAUCAUUCCCAGGAUGAGUUCCUGUUCAGAUCUGUCACCCCCUCGCCCUUGGGGAAGAGACCACGGCAAGCUCGUCACUCCAAGCGUGAUGUUCAGAUCGUUCAAGAGUUGGCUGAUUUUUCUGUCAGACGGAUGACACGCAACUGUGCAAAAAGGACUGGCAUGAAGCCCACCUCUGCAAUUCCUGUGAAGCCUACUCCUCUCCGUCGCCCAAGGCCAAGAAGCUCAAGCUCGACGCGGAUGCAGGCCAAGAUACUCCUCUGCCACCUCCGACGCUGAUCGCUACAAUGCAGGCAAUCGGCUCUUCACUUGUGUAACGCCCACGAUGCGGCUAUAUCUCCCACGUGUCGAGGCACGACUUAGAGGCAUAACCGCAUUGUGGUUUUGUCGCAAGAAGGGUCAUCUUCACACAAUCCCAUGUAAUGAACAAGAAUGGGAUAAAUAGAGUUGGCUUACAAUCGCCACUUCACACAAUACAUAAAUUAAUUCAUACAUCAUCCAAAAUCCACACAUAGACCGACUACGGUCAAAUCCAAAUGAAAAGAAGAUAACCCCAAAUGCUAGAUCCCCGAUCGUCCCAACUGGGCUCCACUACUGAUCAUCAGGAAACGAAACAUAGUAACGACCAAGUUCUUCGUCGAACUCCCGUUAGAGCUCGGUAGCAUCACCUGCACUGGUAUCAUCGGCACCUGCAACUGUUUGGAAGUAUCUGGUGAGUCACGAGGACUCAGCAAUCUCACACCUGCGAGAUCAAGACUAUUUAAGCUUAUGGGUAGGAGAAGGUAGUGAGGUGGAGCUGCAGCAAGCACUAAGCAUGUAUGGUGGCUAACAUACGCAAAUAAGAGCGAGAAGAGAAGCAACGGAACGGUCGUCAACUAGUAAUGAUCAAGAAGUGAUCCUGAACUCCUACUUACGUCAAACAUAACCCACAAACCGUGUUCACUUCCCGGACUCCGCCGAAAAGAGACCAUCACGGUUACACACGCGGCUGAUGCGUUUUAGUUAAGUCAAGUGUCAAGUUCUCUACAACCGGACAUUAACAAAUUCCCAUCUGCCACAUAACCGCGGGCACGGCUCUCGAAAGUUUAUACCCUGCAGGGGUGUCCCAACUUACCCCAUUAUAAGCUCUCACGGUCAACGAAGGAUAUUCCUUCUCCCGGGAAGACCCGAUCAGUCUCGGAAUCUCGGUUUACAAAACAUUUCGACAAUGGUAAAACAAGACCAGCAAAGCCGCCCGAAUGUGCCGACAAAUCCUGAUAGGAGCUGCACAUAUCUCGUUCUCAGGGCACACCGGAUUGUCCAAACUUCCGGUAGGCGAGCCCAGAGUUGCCCCUGGUGGCCACCGGUGGCUGACAGGUUGGACCAACACUCAGAGGAGCACUAGCCCAGGGGUUCAAAAUAAAGAUGACCCUUGAGUCUGCAGAACCCAAGGGAAAAAAAGGCUUAGGUGGCAAAUCUUAAAACCAAGGUUGGGCCUUGCUGGAGGAGUUUUAUUCAAGGCGAACUGUCAAGGGGGUCCCAUAAAUCACCCAACCGCGUAAGGAACGCAAAAUCAAGGAACAUAACACCGGUAUGACGGAAACAGGGCGGCAAGAGUGGAACAAAACACCAGGCAUAAGGCCGAGCCUUCCACCCUUUACCAAAUAUAUAGAUGCAUUAAUAAAAUAAGAGAUAUUGUGAUAUGCCAAAAUAUCCAUGUUCCAACAUGGAACCAACUUCAACUUCACCUGCAACUAGCAACGCUAUAAGAAGGGCUGAGCAAAAGCGGUAACUUAGCCAAACAACGGGUUGCUAGGAAAGGAUGGUUAGAGGAUUGACAUGGCAACAUGGGAGGCAUGAUAUAGCAAGUGGUAGGUAGCGCAACAUAGCAAUAGAACGAACAACUAGCAAGCAAAGAUAGAAGUGAUUUCGAGGGUAUGGUCAUCUUGCCUGAAAUCCCGCAAGGAAGAAGAACGAGUCCAUGAAGAAGACAAACGGACGUAGUCGAAUGAAUCCUCACAAACGCAACAUUACUGGAACUAUCAAGGGGAAGCGCAACCGGAAAGAAGCAAACAACAUGGUAAACAACCAUCACAUAAGCAUGGCAUGAUGCACAAUCAAGUAUGAUGCAUGUCCGGUUUAAAGAGGCAUGGCAAGGUGAAGCAAACAAUACUACAAUUUAAGUGGAGCUCAAUAUGCAACGGGUUGCAUAUUGACGAAACACCACAUCAAUUAUUUAGUUCGCUCUUGUUUAUGCUACUCAUCAAUAUUAAAUGUUGGUUAACAUGGCAAGAGGUGAGGCUUAACAAAACUACCUAUCUAGGCAAAUUUAAAUGAGGCCGGAACAACAAACAACAAUUCCGGAAAAUCCUCAUGUGCAUAUUUUAUAUUUGGUACUGUUCUGCCUAAAACCAUAUUUUAAUGGUAUUAAACAGUAAAACAAAGUGCACCAUGUUAAUCUAUGCAUUUUUCCACUCCAAUUACGUAUAAAGUUUAUUUAAUUCGGAGCUACGGUUAUUUAAAUAUGAAAUAAAUCUUUUUAGCAUGGCAUUUGAGCAAAUUUAAUCAAACAGCAAUUUAAACAUUUCAAACAUGGAUGAAAGUAGCAUAUUAUGAAACUAGAAAAAAUUCUAAGCAUUUUACAUGUCUAAAUCAUUUUAAUCCGAUGCACGGUUGUUGAGUUAUUAAAUGCAUGAUGUUGAGGGUUUUUCUGUAAAACUGCAGUUCCUGGAAAAAUAGUUAAAAUCGUUCCGUGGAAAAAAACAUGAAUCGGGCCGAAUCUGCUGGCCCAACAGUGCACAGAGGGGGCGCUGGAUCUGAUGCUCACCAUGGGUUUGGCCCGGGUCGGUGGAGAGGGGAGGCAGGGCGAAGUGGGGCUGGAGACGCGUUGGGCCUUCGCGCCCUUGCAGCCCACGCACGCGACGAGGAGGCACGAGGCAGCAGGCGUCGCCCUUCUUUGCUUGAUGCAGAGACUGAAGCCGACCGCGGUGGCUUCAGGUGAGACAGGGGACGACAUCUACGCGGGGAACGCAAGGAGGCGGCGGAGACGAGCGGAACCAGACGCGUGAUGGUGUUCUCCGGCGAGGUGGCACGCGGGCGAAGCUGAAGGUUGCGGCGCAUGUUCUCUGUUCAAAUGCAGAGAAGGUUUCAGAGAGAUAAAGAAAUCGGGGUGGAAACAAGAAGGCCGUGAGGAGGCUUGCUGACCAGCGAAGGAAUGGCCAGGAUCCGGCGGAUCCUGAUGCGAUCGAGGCUGGGGAACGGCGAGGCCGGAUGGAUCCACCUCGGACCCGGCGAGGCAGCUUGAGCUCGGCGGCUGGACUCGUUCUGUAGGCAAACAGAGAGGGAGAGAUAUUUAGAGAAGCAGAACGAAAAGGGAAAGAAGAGAGAAGGCGAGGGCGACGGGCGCGCGACUUGCAGGGCUCCGGCGACGAGGCAACGCGGCGGCCACGGACUUGGCGAAGCAGGGGAGCUCCGGGACAUGCGGGACGCGGGGAUGGACGCUGGAGGACGGAUCCGUCCGUCUCCCGGCUGGCCUGGUGCAAACGGCGGCGAGGGAGCUGCGGCCAACCAUGGCUGUUCCUGGUACAGAGAGGGAGAGGCAUGAGAGACGAGGGAGAGGUGCGGCGGCCUGCUCGUACUCGAUGGCGAAGGGACGAAGCAGCAUCGGCGGUGGCGCUCGCCGGCACGGUGCUGGAGACGGCAGAUGCAAGGGCAAGGGAGGAGCACGACGCAGGGGCUCCUCGGGCUCAGACGUGAGGAAGGAGGAGGCAACUGCGGGCUGGUUGGUCCGAUGAAGAAAAUGAGGGAGGAUUUUUGGAUCGGGAGGGGAUCCCGAGGUGGGAGACGACCAGGUGGAGUGUGGCGGCGGCUAGGAGGACAAGGGGGUGGAUUUCUACGGUUAUCCAAAAUGGACUAGGAAUUGACUAUAAAUAUGGAAAGGAGGGAAGUUUGGAUCUUCUGAUUGAAAUCUGACGGACGAGAAUAAAUAGGCUACGGAGUCCAAUAAAUAAAACAAUCAUAUCUUAGGGAUACUUGGAGAUGAUCCGGAUCCAUCGGUAACGACAGCCGGGUUCGGGUUCAGGGAAGUUUUGGAAGCGCACACGAGGGGGUCUGUGCACUAUACAGAGAGACUCCAGUUUAGGCAAGAGGGAAACGGAGAACAAGGUUGGCUCAGAACGGUCAACAAAAGCAAGGGGGGAUGCGGCAACUACGAGUAGAUGCGAGUUUUAAAAAGAAUGACGACAACGAGUGCCGAUGCAAUGCGGAUGAUGCCAUGAUGAAAUGCAACAAACAAAAUAAAACACACGACGGCAACGAAGAACAUUGAAGGCUUCUGAAGCGUCGGUCUUGGGGCGUUACAACACUCCACCACUACAAGAGGAUCUCGUCCCGAGAUCUAAGGACGGCACCGGAGAAAAGCGGAAGAGGAAGAGAAGAGGUAAAGCUAAGUUGCUUCUUUGACAAACGAGUGAAACCACGAACCUUGAGAGAUUGAAUGAAUGAAAAGAGAGAAUACAAGGGAGAUGAACGAGAUUGAAAACACUCCGUUAUCAAAGAGGAACAAGGAACAUUGCGAGAACCUUUGUAGGUUGAAUAAUAUGAAACAAGAGCUUAACGGAUCAGAAGGAAUAUGAAAGCACACCGGUAGAAAAGAGAAACAAGGAACACCAUGUGAACCUUGGAGUUUGCAAAGCUAUGAAUGACGAGAACAAUGGACGAGAAGUACAUGCAAGCACUCAGGUUGAAACGAGAUGUACAAGGAACGAUAAGGAUCAAUUACGAUAACGCUCCGGUUGGAAAAUGGAAGGGAUAGAAUAUGAACUUGGCAAAAUGAAAGCACUUGGACGAGACUCCGGUUAAAAUAGGAAUGAUAGACACAACACUCCGGUUAAAUGGAUAAGUAAGAAAAGAACACGAUCCUCACAAUUCGAUAUGAUGAGCGAAGAGAGCAACAUCACCAUGCCUCCGGAAGAAAAAAUAGAAGAUAGAUCAUUGGAAUAAAGGAAUGGAGAAGAAAAUGCCAACUUCUGCCACCAAUGAUCUUGGAAAGCACCCUUCCAAGAAUGUUAGAACGGAGUUGUUGGAAAAAACCAACAACGAAACGAAUAAGCUUGUAGUGGGCUAAUGGAAACAUCUCAACAUUAUGAGGUGACAAACGGCCACUAAAGGAAGACAUUGGUUUGAGUGAGAGCACCAAGGCGAUGAAAAACUUCUUUCACCAAGAGGAUAGGAGAAAACUUGGAUCAUUGAUAAGCACCAUAAUAGCAACAUUCCUUAGGGAAGGCUUUAAGUGAAACAUGACACAAGAUAAAUCCAACGAAGAGAUUGGUGGAUUUAAAAUAUCUCAUUCUUGACAACAUGUGAAUCAUGAAACGCGAACUCAAAUUGUCAAGAAUGACAUAACACCACCUCAAAUGAUAAGGUAGAAUGAAUUGCACUUUAGAAUGCAAGAUGAAGAAUGCUUGGAAUCCACAAAACAAAACAUGUGUUGAGCACCAUGUUUAUUUUGAAGUAUGGCUUGACAGUUCAUAGCUUCGAGAGAAAUCUUGAAGAACAAUUGAAGAAUGAAAGGAAUCCUUGACGAAGCACCAUGUAGAGCCUCCAUGAAGAACUCCGGUCAAACCAGGAUGAUAGAAAGAGAUAGAAGUUGAAAACACAAGGUGAAGCCUUGCGAUGAUUUAGAUGUAGCUUCGCGACGAGAUAAUGCGAAAAAACUUGGAACUUCGGAAAAGAAAAGAUGAAUCAUCCGGAAUCGAGAAUGUGAUAUGAUGAACAACUCUGGAAAGAAGGAACUAGAUCACUUGGAUGAAAAAUAAUAAGAAUUACGUUAUGCGUAUCCUUCACCAAUUUAAAUUGAUGACAAGCAACGGAUUUGGCAUACUACUUAUUUUUGUAGAAAGGAUUAAGAUAGAUAUGGCGCAAAGUUGGGAAGGUCUUCAACGAACCACCGGUAGGAUUGAAAAGAACGAAUGAAUCUAUAUGAUAACGAAGGAAGAGAAUUCUUGAACGAACCACCGUAAGAAUUGAAAAUGAACGAAGAAAAGAUAAAGAAACACCGGGAAGAAUUAGAAAAUGAACGAAGAAACUUGAGAGAAUUUAGAUAAAAGUGAACGAAGAGAUCAUGAGCUGAUUAGAGAAUACUUGAACGAUGCACCGGAAGAAUAUGGAGAUGAACGAAGAGACAUCAAUUUAGAAUAAUUGGAGAACGAGGCUGAAAACUUAGAACGAAGAAAUCUUCUGAAAUGAUGGCCUUUGGAUGAUCAAGAAACAAAAACAACUCAUGAAAUGCUCCAGAUGGGUAUGAAAAGAAUUUUCACAAUCGAAAAACAAUUAUGAGAGGAUGGCAUAAGCUAGAACUAUGAAUCUUCAAGAGAAUGGACAAGAUUUAAGAGAAACUCUUCUUCGGUCUUCAAAUGUUGAGAAUGACGAUGAGAAACACCACCAUGAAUUGUUGAGGCACUCCGCAAUGAAAUUAGAAAGGUUGAACCAACGAUGAAAAGAAUUUGAAAGAUCUUGGAGAAGGAGUAUGACUGAUGAUACUUCAUUCUUACAUCAAACUUCUAAAAGAAUUUGGGAAUAGCUCCGAAAAGAAUUAGAAGAGUCAGGUAAGAUCCUGGGAAAAGACCUAUGGGUUAGGGCCCACUCAAAAGAUACACCGUUGAAUGACUAAAAGAAAGAUUGCGCCGGUUGAAUUAAAUGGCUCAAAAGAGAUAACAACCUCGAGAUAGCUUGAAUGGAUUGGGAAUGGAAAUGCGAAUCUUCUGAGAUAUCUUCAGCACUCCAGAUAACAUGAAUAGCAAGAGGUGGAUGAUUAAGAGAUGCACCGACAUGAGAAAGCAUUUGAAACAAGGAAAGGAAUGUGAUUAACCCCGAAAACUUGAAUUGAAUCCACCGGAGAAGAAAAGAGAAUGAUGAACUUGAAGCUCCGUUAGUAUCUUCCUGAGAAUCACCGGAUAAGAACAUUGACGGAAAAGGAUGGAGAGACUUCCCAUCAAUAAAAAGGAUACUUGGUUAAGAAAUCUUAGUCCUUGAAGAAAAAGGGUGGGAGGGCGGGAAAACAAAGACAAUUUGGGACGGAUGAAACAAACAACGUUGGGAAAAACUGAGAGGUGAUCUUGUGAAUGUUGAAAUGAUCGGAUCCACUUGAAGAGAAGCACACCGGUUGAAAAGAAUUAAUAUGACAACCUCGAUGAUCGAAAGGAUUAGCAACCACAUAGAAAUAUGAGAACACCACUUAGAAUAAGGUAUGGAAUCAACACUUCGCAUUGAAGCAACUCGAAUACCACAAAACAAAACAACAACAAAGGAUUGGCUCGCAAAAUAAGCCAGAACAAACAUAUGAUAGAUAUUUCAUCCGAAGUUUUCGUGGUGGGGCCCACACGGGCUCGAUCGUACAGCACCAUCAUGUACAAGGCAGUGCACAUGACAUACGAAGCGUCCCCGAGUCGGCAUAGCCAAGGAAUCUUUAAGACACUACGAGACCACUGUAAAACCAACCGUGGAUAGGCAGACCACUAGACGUCGAACCCCAAUCUCAUAUCAUGCUUCUGUCGGAAAGAUAUCCUAUGAGCUACUUGAAUUCCCACUUAUAAACUCCCGAAACUUUCUGGUUAUGCAAUCAGGUGUUGGGGAUAUAGGGGACGCAAUAUAUCUCACCCAAACUAACAAUACCUAGAUCCAGCUGUAUCCAUCCCUCAACACAUAACCAACAAACCUUCGGAAAUCAUUUACCUCAACCUUCGAAAAGCAUCCGUUAUACGAGUUAUGGCAAUACUCCCGAACUCCCGCCCCAGUACUGGGUGGCGUCGAGGUGAUCUCACCAACAACUGCAUAAAAGAGAUUUUCGAUGUCGGCGAAAAAAACUCAGGUAUUCCAGAACUGCAACGAUAAAAUUGUGACGACAACACCUCGGAGCUCAACUCCCCGGGACACUGCCACAACCCCUAAAUGUCAGGAGGCACCAAGAACAAUGUUCUCGUCACAAAACCAUUGGAACGAUUCCAAGAUACCCGCGUGAUCCUAAAAAAAAAUUCGUGAAAUUUGAGGAGAGGAGAGCCAAAACUUCUACGUCAGGGGGCCUCACCAGAGAGAUGAAGGGACUGAGGAGUAAAAAGAAUCCUACUCUCCGAUAUAUAUAAUCCUAAGACUCAAAACAUUUUUGUUCUAGACUCAACAACACCAGCGAUUCGAUCAAGCAGGGGGCUCCUAAGUCGGCGAUGGCUCUGAUACCAACUUGUAACGCCCACGAUGCGGCUAUAUCUCCCAUGUGUCGAGGCACGACUUAGAGGCAUAACCGCAUUGUGGUUUUGUCGCAAGAAGGGUCAUCUUCACACAAUCCCAUGUAAUGAACAAGAAUGGGAUAAAGAGAGUUGGCUUAUAAUCGCCACUUCACACAAUACAUAAAUUAAUUCAUACAUCAUCCAAAAUCCACACAUAGACCGACUACGGUCAAAUCCAAAUGAAAAGAAGAUAACCCCAAAUGCUAGAUCCCCGAUCGUCCCAACUGGGCUCCACUACUGAUCAUCAGGAAACGAAACAUAGUAACGACCAAGUUCUUCGUCGAACUCCCGUUAGAGCUCGGUAGCAUCACCUGCACUGGUAUCAUCGGCACCUGCAACGGUUUGGAAGUAUCUGGUGAGUCACGACGACUCAGCAAUCUCACACCCGCGAGAUCAAGACUAUUUAAGCUUAUGGGUAGGAGAAGGUAGUGAGGUGGAGCUGCAGCAAGCACUAAGCAUGUAUGGUGGCUAACAUACGCAAAUAAGAGCGAGAAGAGAAGCAACGGAACGGUCGUCAACUAGUAAUGAUCAAGAAGUGAUCAUGAACUCCUACUUACGUCAAACAUAACCCACAAACCGUGUUCACUUCCCGGACUCCGCCGAAAAGAGACCAUCACGGUUACACACGCGGUUGAUGCGUUUUAAUCAAGUCAAGUGUCAAGUUCUCUACAACCGAACAUUAACAAAUUCCCAUCUGCCACAUAACCGCGGGCACGGCUCUCGAAAGUUUAUACCCUGCAGGGGUGUCCCAACUUAGCCCAUUAUAAGCUCUCACGGUCAACGAAGGAUAUUCCUUCUCCCGGGAAGACCCGAUCAGUCUCGGAAUCCCGGUUUACAAAACAUUUCGACAAUGGUAAAACAAGACCAGCAAAGCCGCCCGAAUGUGCCGACAAAUCCUGAUAGGAGCCGCACAUAUCUCGUUCUCAGGGCACACCGGAUUGUCCAAACUUCCGGUAGGCAAGCCCAGAGUUGCCCCUGGUGGCCACCGGCGGCUAACAGGUUGGACCAACACUCAGAGGAGCACUGGCCCGGGGAUUUAAAAUAAAGAUGACCCUUGAGUCUGCAGAACCCAAGGGAAAAAGGCUUAGGUGGCAAAUGUUAAAACCAAGGUUGGGCCUUGCUGGAGGAGUUUUAUUCAAGGCGAACUGUCAAGGGGGUCCCAUAAAUCACCCAACCGCGUAAGGAACGCAAAAUCAAGGAACAUAACACCGGUAUGACGGAAACUAGGGCGGCAAGAGUGGAACAAAACACCAGGCAUAAGGCCGACCUUCCACCCUUUACCAAAUAUAUAGAUGCAUUAAUAAAAUAAGAGAUAUUGUGAUUUGCCAAAAUAUCCAUGUUCCAACAUGGAACCAACUUCAACUUCACUUGCAACUAGCAACGCUAUAAGAAGGGCUGAGCAAAAGCGGUAACUUAGCCAAACAACGGUUUGCUAGGAAAGGAUGGUUAGAGGCUUGCCAUGGCAACAUGGGAGGCAUGAUAUAGCAAGUGGUAGGUAGCGCAGCAUAGCAAUAGAACGAACAACUAGCAAGCAAAGAUAGAAGUGAUUUCGAGGGUAUGGUCAUCUUGCCUGAAAUCCCGCAAGGAAGAAGAACGAGUCCAUGAAGAAGACAGACGGACGUAGUCGAAUGAAUCCUCACAAACGCAAUAUUACCGGAACUAUCAAGGGGAAGCGCAACCGGAAAGAAGCAAACAACAUGGUAAACAACCAUCACAUAAGCAUGGCAUGAUGCACAAUCAAGUAUGAUGCAUGUCCGGUUUAAAGAGGCAAGGCAAGGUGAAGCAAACAAUACUACAAUUUAAGUGGAGCUCAAUAUGCAACGGGUUGCAUAUUGACGAAACACAACAUCAAUUAUUUAGUUCGCUCUUGUUUAUGCUACUCAUCAAUAUUAAAUGUUGGUUAACAUGGCAAGAGGCGAGGCAUAAGAAAACUACCUAUCUAGGCAAAUUUAAAGGAGGGCGGAACAACAAACAACAAUUCCGGAAAAUCCUCAUGUGCAUAUUUUAGAUUUGGUACUGUUCUGCCUAAAACCAUAUUUUAAUGGUAUUAAACAGUAAAACAAAGUGCACCAUGUUAAUCUAUGCAUUUUUCCACUCCAAUUACAUAUAAAGUUUAUUUAAUUCGGAGCUACGGUUAUUUAAAUAUGAAAUAAAUCAUUUUAGCAUGGCAUUUGAGCAAAUUUAAUCAAACAGCAAUUUAAACAUUUCAAACAUGGAUGAAAGUAGGAUAUUAUGAAACUAGACAAAAUUCUAAGCAUUUUACAUGUCUAAAUCAUUUUAAUCGGAUGCACGGUUGUUGAGUUAUUAAAUGCAUGAUGUUGAGGGUUUUUCUAUAAAACUGCAGUUCCUGGAAAAAUAGUUAAAAUCGUUCCGUGGAAAAAAAACAUGAAUCGGGCCGAAUCUGCUGGCCCAACAGUGCACAGAGGGGGCGCUGGAUCUGAUGCUCACCAUGGGUUUGGCCCGGGUCGGUGGAGAGGGGAGGCAUGGCGAAGUGGGGCUGGAGACGCGCUGGGCCUUGGCGCCCUUGAAGCCCACGCACGCGACAAGGAGGCAUGAGGCAGCAGGCGUCGCCCUUCUCUGCUCGAUGCAGAGACUGAAGCCGACCGCGGUGGCUUCAGGUGAGACAGGGGACGACGUCUACGCGGGGAACGCAAGGAGGCGGCGGAGACGAGCGAAACCAGACGCGUGACGGUGUUCUCCGGCGAGGUGGCGCGCGGGCGAAGCUGAAGGUGGCGGCACAUGUUCUCUGUUCAAACACAGAGAAGGUUUCAGAGAGAGAAAGAAAUCGGGGAGGAAACAAGGAGGCCGUGAGGGGGCUUGCUGACCGACGAAGGAAUGGCCAGGAUCCGGCGGAUCCUGAUGCGGGCGAGGCUGGGGAACGGCGAGGCCGGAUGGAUCCACCUCGGACCCGAUGAGGCAGCUUGAGCUCGGUGGCUGGACUCGUUCUGUAGGCAAACAAAGAGGGAGAGAUAUUUAGAGAAGCAGAACGGAAAGGGAAAGAAGAGAGAAGGCGUGGACGACGGGCGCGCGACCUGCAUGGCUCCGGCGAUGAGGCAACUCGGUGGCCACGGACUUGGCGAAGCAGGGGAGCUCCGGGACGUGCGGGACGCGGGGAUGGACGCCGGAGGACGGAUCCGUCCGUCUCCCGGGUGGCCUGGUGCAAACGGCGGCGAGGGAGCUGCGGCCAACCAUGGCUGUUCCUGGUACAGAGAGGGAGAGGCAUGAGAGACGAGGGAGAGGUGCGGCGGCCUGCUCGUGCUCGAUGGCGAAGGGACGAAGCAGCUUCGGCGGUGGCGCUCGCCGGCGCGGUGCUGGAGGCGGCAGAUGCAAGGGCAAGGGAGGAGCACGGCGCAGGGGCUCCUCGGGCUCAGACGUGAGGAAGGAGGAGGCAGCUGCGGGCUGGUUGGUCCGGUGAAGAAAAUGAGGGAGGAUUUUUGGAUCGGGAGGGGAUGCCGAGGUGGGAGACGACCAGGUGGAGUGUGGCGGCGGCUAGGAGGACAAGGGGGAGGAUUUCUAGGGUUAUCCAAAAUGGACUAGGAAUUGACUAUAAAUAUGGAAAGGAGGGAAGUUUGGAUCUUCUGAUUGAAAUCUGACGGACGAGAAUAAAUAGGCUACGGAGUCCAAUAAAUAAAACAAUGAUAUCUUAGGGAUACUUGGAGAUGAUCCGGAUCCAUCGGUAACGACAGCCGGGUUCGGGUUCAGGGAAGUUUUGGAAGCGCACACGAGGGGGUCUAUGCACUAUACAGAGAGACUCCAGUUUAGGCAAGAGGGAAACGAAGAACAAGGUUGGUCUCAGAAUGGUCAACAAAAGCAAGGGGGGACGCGGCAACUACGAGCAGAUGCGAGUUUUAAAAACAAUGACUACAACGAGUGCCGAUGCAAUGCGGAUGAUGCCAUGAUGAAAUGCAACAAACAAAAUAAAACGCACGACGGCAACGAAGAACAUUGAAGGCUUCUGAAGCGUCGGUCUUGGGGCGUUACAACUUGGCAUCGCUCCGGACGAUUUAUCGGAGGAGAAGCUUAUGGCUCCUCCUAAACAAGCUCCACAAGACGAGGGUUCUCAUGAUGAGUGAUUUACAGAGUUAUUUGCUGGGACCAAGGAAACAUCUGGUCGUUUGUUCUUUUGGUUUUCUUUUGUCUUAUGUCGCUCUGAACUUGUCUGAUGUGGCUGUGUGUUACUCUGCGGAAGUUAUACCUAAACUGUUAAGCAGCUCAGUAGGAUUCUAUUGUCUUAUGUUAGUUAUUUAUGGAGACUACAUCGUUUCGUAAUUGGAAUGUGCUGUGUUGGAAUGUACGUGGUCUGAAUUCUGAUGCUCGCCAGCGUGAUAUUAGAGCUAAGAUCGAGGAGAGCCACUGCUCCGUAAUUUGUUUACAGGAAACUAAGUGUGAGCAGUUUGACAUUAGGAAGAUUCGGUCCUUCUGCCCUAGGCGUUUUGAUCAGUUUGCUUUCUCUCCUUCUGUGGGUGCCUCUGGUGGAAUUUUGGUCAUUUGGAAUUCUUCUGUCUUUGAGGGGCAGCUAGUGGAGGUCCAACGCUUCAGUGUUGUUGUUGUUGUUUCUUUCAAGUCUGUUCGUAACUCAGAACGAUGGACUCUGGUUUCAGUGUAUGGGCCAUGUGAGGGUCAACCUAGAGACGAUUUUGUGAGUUGGUUAUAUCAUCUAACUAUCCCUCUGGAUGAGAAUUGGUUGCUCCUUGGUGAUUUUAACUUCAUUCGCUCUCUAGAUAACAGAAAUCUGCCAGGAGGUGAUAUAAAUGACAUCUUUCUCUUUAAUGAAAUUAUUGGUCAUCUUGGGCUAAUGGAACUGCCAAUAAAGGGUAGAAGCUUUACUUGGUCCAAUAUGCAGCAAAUCCCUCUCCUGGAACAGCUCGAUUGGUUCUUCACAACCUCCGACUGGAUCUCUCACUACCCUAAUACAGUUGUCUUUCCUUUGGCUAAAACUGCAUCAGAUCACGUGCCAUGUGUGGUUUUAAUUGACACUAAAAUCCCCAAGUCCAAGGUUUUUAGGUUUGAAAAUUUCUGGGUGGAAAUACCAGGGUUUAUGGAGUGUGUCAAGAAAUCUUGGGAGGCCCCUGUGUUUUCUGACCUCUCUGCAUCUGCAGUUUUAACCAGGAAAUUUAAACGCCUCAGGUAUGAUUUGAGAGUUUGGAGUAAAACCUCUCUUACCUUAAGAAGUUAACUGUGGAUUGCAGCAAGGUUAUUCUCUAUUUUGAUAAGAUGGAGUUAAGACCACUCGUUAGAACUGAGUUCAAUUUCAGAAAAAUCGUCAAGCUUCAUUAUGAGCAUUUGUUGAAACUCCACUAUAUUUAUUGGAAGCAGAGGUGUACGAUCAGGUAUAUCAAGGUGGGUGAGGAAAACUCCAAAAUUUUCCAUGCCAUGGCAUCUGAGCGCAUGAGGAAAAACUCUAUAGCUAGUCUGAAAACCCCGAGGAUGGAUGAUCCCGUUUCAGAUCAUGAUCAAAUGGCGGGAAUCCUCCGGGCUUCCUUCAAAAACCGAAUGGGCCAGGCCCAGGACAUCUCAAUGGGCUACGAUUUGGGCGCACUCAUUCAGCCUGUCCCUGGUUUGGAGGAAUUUUCACUUCCCUUCUCUGAUGCUGAGAUUCAAAAGGUUUUGCAAGAGCUGCCAACCGAUCGGGCACCAGGGCCUGAUGGUUUUAAUGGCAUGUUUGUCAAGCGCUGUUGGCCGAUCGUCGAGAAAGAUUUCUUGAGUUUGAUCAAAGACUUUUAUGAAGGGAAAGUUUCUCUGGAAAAUAUUAAUGGAUCUCUCAUUACCCUCAUCCCUAAGAUGAUAUCUCCUGAGGGGCCGGAUGAUUUUAGGCCUAUUUCUCUUACCAACACCUGCUUGAAGUUUCUAACCAAGUUGUUGGCUAAUAGGUUGCAAAGGGUGAUUUUGAAUUGCAUCCAUAAAAACCAGUAUGGCUUUCUCAAGGGUAGAUCAAUCCAGGACUGUCUGGCUAUUGUUAUUCUGAAAUUGGAUUUUGCCAAGGCUUUUGAUAUAGUUAAUCAUGAGGUUAUUUUGCCGAUGCUCAAACACAAAGGUUUUGAUGAUAAAUGGAUUGGUUGGGUCAAAGAGAUCCUUUCUACAGGGUCUUCUUCUGUGUUGCUCAAUGGCAUCCCUGGCAAGCAGUUCAAGUGCAAAUGUGGGGUCAGACAAGGGGAUCCUUUAUCACCUCUUCUAUAUGUAAUAGCAGCUGACCUUUUACAAUCUGUGGUUAAUCAAAUGCUGGCCCAGGGUAUCUUAUCACUCCCAAUCCCCACACAUGACCAGGAGUUCCCUAUUAUACAGUAUGCUGAUGAUACUGUUAUCUUUCUGUCACCCAGAGAUGAGGAGCUGGUUGCUCUCAAGAACAUGCUGCUUACCUUUCAGCAAUCUACUGGUCUCAAGGUCAAUUUUGCAAAGUCUUUAAUGAUCCACUCAACCUUGAGGAAGGUGAAGCAAUUAGGUUAGCUGCUGUGUUGGGCUGCAGGAUUGGCCAACUCCCUUUUACUUAUUUAGGGUUGCCCCUUGGAACCACUAGGCCCAGGAUUGUUGAUCUCAUGCCUUUAGUGAACACUUUGGAGAGGCGUCUGACUGCUAGCUCAUGUAUGCUAAACCAAGGAUCUCGUUUGCAGCUCCUAACUUCAGUCCUGACUUCUUUGCCAAUCUACUUUCUUUGUAGUUUGCAAAUCCCACCUGGUAUUAUCAAGCAGUUGGACAGAAUCUUCAGACAGUGCCUCUGGAGGGGGAGUUCUGAUGUUCCCAAGCAAUCUUUGGCCGCUUGGGAUUUAGUCUGUCGGCCAAAAGACAAAGGUGGUCUUGGGGUUAUCAACUUAAACAUUCAAAACAAGGGUCUUCUGCUCAAGCAUUUGCAUAAAUUUUAUAAUAAGGCUGACAUACCCUGGGUGUCCCUCAUCUGGAACAGUUAUUAUGCUGAUGGUGUUCCACACGCUACAACCCCAGUGGGCUCCUUUUGGUGGAGACAUAUCCUCAAGCUCCAUGAUGCAUACACAGCUAUUGCCUCAGUGCACAUCAACAUGGGUGACUCUGCUCUGUUUUGGACUGAUGCUUGGUUUAUUGGUGGCUCUUCUAGACCUUUAUGUUGGAGAUUGCCAAGGUUAUUUUCCUUUGUUAACAAUGACAAGGUUUCAGUGCAUGAAUUCCUCAUAUCGCAGGAUAUUUUUACCAUGUUCUUCUUGCCAUUGUCUCAUGAGGCUGCUCAGGAGUUGCAAGUGCUAGAAGAUUGGAUCAUGGCCUUGAACAGGGACACCAACAUACCAGAUGUUUGGGUUUGGCCGGGCAGAUCUAGUAGUUUCUCAGCCAAGAGUUUCUACACCUUGAUGCACUCACAUUUACCCACAAUUCAACCGUGUAAAUGGUUGUGGAAAAGCAGAUGCACCAUGAAGAUCAAAGUCUUUGGAUGGUUACUUUUGUUUAACAGGCUUAACACCAAGGACCUUCUGAUCCGCAGGCACUGGAGAUCCCCCCUGGAUGAUAAUCUUUGUGUUAUCUGUCAUGAAUUUUCAUAUGAGGAUACGCUGCAUUUGUUCUUCAACUGUAAUUUCAGUCGGAGGGUUUGGAACUACCUUUCUAUUGACUGGUCAAGAGGGCCGGAUAUUCAGCAAUGUAUCCAACAUGCUAGCUCAAGCUUCAGGCAUCCUUUCUUCUUCGAAGUAAUUUUGACGGCAUCAUGGAAUAUUUGGAUCCUCAGGAAUGGCAGAACUUUUAGAGGGGAGAGAGCUACUUUUGCUGCUUGGCGGUCUAACUUUGUACAUGAUCUUUCACUCCUAACUCAUAGGCUCAAGGAUGAUACCAGCAUCAAGCUUAAAGCUUGGAUAAAUGCUUUAGCCUAAUUAGUCCAGGUAGGUAGUUCUAGUCUUGUACCUUAGCUUUGUAGGCUAAUUUCUUAGCUCCUAUAUAUAAUCCUACUAUUCCUUUUUGUACAGUUGCUCGAUUUCAAUAAAGGGCUGUGGGGCUUUGCCUCACAGUAAAUAUUAAAAAAAAACCUUGCAUGGAGAAGUGAGACGACGCCUAGGUUGUAGGUGUGUCCCGGGGAGCACGUGCAGCACCAGUAGGCGAUGAUUAGUGGAUCUGUUGAUGAUCAAAUUCAUCACAUCCCAUGAUCAUACGGACUACGGAGGGUGAAACAUGGCGAUUGUGGAUCAGAGGUGCAGGCUUGAGACAACGGGAAUGGAGCAGGUUCGCCACUUAAAAGGGGAGGGGGAAGUUCGUCGGCUACACGCACAUGAGCAGGAGCAAUAAACCCAGCCGUUCCUUUUCUCGAUAGUGGAUCUGUCGAUUGGAGAAGAUGAAGAGGAAAAGGGGCGGCCGUGAAGAACACUGGAGGUGUUAUGGGAAGAACAGGAGUGCCAUGAUGGGAGGGAAUUGAAGCGAUGGGCAAGGCACUACGAUGGGGAAGAAGAAGCGACGGGGAAGAAGCGCGAGGGGAUCCCCUUUGGGGGAUAAAAAUAUCUGACGCUACAAAGCGGUGCGCCUGGAAAAAAAGGACGACUUCUUUAGAGAAAAAAAGGGACAUGAAGAAAAUGAUGCCAAGUGACGUGGCAUCAUCACAAUCUAGGAAAAAUCAAUAGUGGGAGUUUAGGAAUAGAGGAUGACGUGGCACACUGAUGUGGAUAGUGUGCAUGAUGAGAGAAUAGGGAGUAGUGGGGAGUAACUUCUUAAAAAUGGUAGAUGUGAUCGGACCCUAACCUCUCUAUGCUUUCUGCCUCAAACUCUAUAUAUCCAAAUCAUAUGCAUUCUGUUGAAACGGUCAAAUGUAUUCUCUGCGUCCUUGUCAGCGGAAGAUACAGAGACAAACAUUAAAUCUAUUUUAAAUGCUCAAUUCUUAUUGCCUGAAACCCGGAGAAGCCGGAACGAUCAUCCGACAGUCCAGGCGGGCGUGGGAACGUGGGACAACUCCCAAUGUGUUGCAUGUUCGCCAUGUGUCCCUCAGAUGUGAACCACCAGGGGCGCCUGCGUAAUUGUGCUGUGCUGUCCCUUUCCCUAUAAAUACACAUCCAAUCGCGGUCAAAAUCUUUCUUCCACCUCUCCACCUCAACAAACCCUAGCGCCAUCGCUAGCUCUCGACGACGCCGGCGACGAAGCGCUUAGCUGCCGCGACCUCUCCGACGCCGUCUUCACGCCGGCCGCGGACAUCGUCUUCUCCGCCGCCGCCUUAGGUGUCCUCCGUCGCCAAGUUAGGGCACGGAAGAUCGAACUGCUCGGCCUCAUCUUCUACUCCGUCUAGCAGUUCAUCGUGUGGUAAAUUAAAACCCUCUUUUUACCGUCUUUUUGAUCCUAUAGAUUAAUCCUUUCUACCAAAAGUGGUUUCUGCCUCCACAAAUUUGGAUCUAUCCUGUUUGCAUCUCAUAUGAUGCCUAGUAUAUUCACUUAUGCUUCACACGUAGUUAGAUUCCUCACUUGUACGUAUUCUUGGAUUCGUACAAAUCUGGAACCAACUCUCAACAUAUAAGUGAAUGUCUUCGCGCUAUGAGGUCAAUGGCUUCUAAACUGAUUUAUCUUCAAAAUCUUCUAAGAAUGCAUAUGACCUCUUCCCCUUCCCUCGCAUCUCUAAUGCUGUCACAGGUACAUGUCCGUGGGAGAAUCCCUUGGUUCUCAUAGUCUGCAUUCAUUUGCAGAAUUCUUACAACAUCAUAUCAACUCUCCCGAAGCCAGUUCCUGUCUGACCAGCAGACGGAAGCCUUUGACAGUGUUGAAGCCAUUCAGUCUGAACCUCAUGGCAAUAGAAAAGUCUGCAAGGAAGGGUGGCAGACAGCGCCGUGGGAACACAUCGAAGGAUUUGCCACCAUAUCUCUAUGAGCUGUACAAGACAGAUCCAGAGGAGGACUACAAUCAGUGAAAACCCCGAAUCCAAUGGAUUCGAAGAUAUUGGGCAGAACAAUGGUACAAGUACAGGUUCGUGACCCAGGAAUAUGCUGAGAAGAAUGCCAUCAAGCGACCCUGGGGAGACAUCUUGUACAAAAAUCUUCCACCCAAGUCCAGAGCUGAAGCCAUUGAACAAGGCUUCUACCCUUGCAUGGUCCGUGGACCACAGCCUGCAGAUGCCGACCCAUCUUCAUUGCUAUGGUGUCGUGACGACAAUCUGUUCAAGCGCAACUUCCAGUUUGCCAAGAACUCGGCCAAAGAAAACAAGAAGUCGCGGGGAUUAGACUUCAACCCCGGUCCCUCUGCUCCUCGUGCUGAUGGCACACGCGAAGCUGAACCCAAUCUUGUUGGUCCCUUCUACAACCUGGAAGGUCUCAUCACUCAUAUUAUGGUUCAAGGGACAGACGUGGAUCAACCUACAGAUGACGCUGAUUCUGACGAAGCGCCUGCACCACCGAAGACUAAGAAGCUGAAGAAACCCAAGGCUUCGAAGCCUUCCACUGCACCAAAAGCUUCGCAAGCGAAGCCUCUGGCCACUGCUCCUUCUCCACCAGGUGUGCAGUCUGAAGCCCAUGCACACCACUGGUCCAGCUCUGACCCCUGCUGCUGUUUUGAGGAAUGAAAAUGACGCCAUUGAUCUGUCAAGUGAUGACGAUCUUGCCGAUGACGCUCUUGAGCAGCUGAUAAAGAGCAAGCAAGAGGCAUAAAUCUUCAAUGAUUUGCCUCUCUUUGACGUGGAAGUAUUGAACAACUUCAUUGAUGAGUGGUUUGACACCCCCAAUCUCAGCUUUGAUGAUCUGCAACUUCCCAUUGGGCUAAGCGUCUCCUUCCAUGGCGCCAUUGCUGCUGAGCUGGCUCUUGCACAGAAAAUUGUUGAGCUGAAGCACAAGAUCGACUAUGAAAAGGCUCAGUUCAAGAAGCACAUGGCCAAGCUCAGCGUAACAGACGUCCAGAACUUCAAGGUCGUGCUGCAUGAGCUCAAGGAAGCGUUUCACAAGAAACGUGAAGAAGCCAAAGGUUCUCGAGAGCGCAUGAAGCUUCUGGCUGCAAAGUGUGUUCAAGCUUACAAUGAAGCUGAGAAGCGCAAGGCACUUGGGCAUCCUGGCAUCGACCCUAAGAUGGCUGCCAAGCAGAAGAAGAAGCCUGCUGUGGACCAAGCUGAACCAUCCAGGCGGGAAGAACCUCGCAUUGUCUUCCCCGCUAGUAUGACAUGCGUGAAGCCUAAGGUCCCCAUAGUGGCUUCAGAGCUUCAGAAGACAAGGGCAGCCGAAGCCAAAGCCAGAAAGCUCAAGACCAAGAACACCACUGACAAUGCUCCACCCACCAAGAAGCGCAAGACCAAGAAGAAAGAUCGGGCUGCUCCCACAGAGCCCCUUGUCGUCGAGCCAAUUUCUGUUGCUCGUCCUCCAUCUGCACAACAAGAAUGUCGUUUGAUAGUUCAUGAGCCUGCUUCCCCAAAGGCUCUUGAAGUUGAAGACAUUCCAGCUGUUGACCCCACCGCAGCUGAAGACAUUUGUCAUCAAUACAAUGUUGAAGAUGAUUAAGUCCUUCCUCAGAUCGAGCAUAAUGUGGUAUCAUCGCCUGUUCUCACGAACAACGAACUCAUCAGCAUUGGUCGUCCUUUGACGCUAAUUGCUCAGGAUGACUCAUGGGCUGAUCACCCUCAAGACUCCCCUCGUCAAGCAGAAACACCAGUUACUCCCCCAACUCAAGUCACCACUCCGAUGAUUGAAGAUGAAGACUUUGUGGCCCAACCAACUCCAUCUCCACAAGCGUCACCAGCAUUCCGCAGGCUUCGCAAAGGACCAAGGCCACAGGUCACUCUGUCAAGUGUUCCAGAAGGAGAAGAGCGCCAAUCGGUUUCUCGCCAAGUAUUUCCUGAAGCCUCUCCAACUGUGAACAACCCUGAGUCUGAAGCCAACGCAGCUGAAGAUAUUCCGGCUGCAUCAGCCGAUGACCAAGAAGAAGAACCAAGAGUUGAAGAAGUUCGUGUUGCUACACCCCUGUCCAACCCUGAAAUUGUUCUCGAGGAGAACGUGACCGACCCUCCAGCUACUCAAGUGGAGGUCAACAACAUUCAGGCGAUCACCAACACCAACACUGAAGCCAAUGACGUUGUCAUGGCUGAAGCUAAUGUGGCGCCUGAAGUCAAUGUGGUGCCUGAAGUGAUAGCACCUGAUGCAAAUCAGCAGCCUGAAGUCACAACCACUGUCACUGCUCCUGUACCGCCUCCCAGGCCACAUACUAUUGAGCAAGCAUACAACUAUGGUCAGCUGAUCACUGUCAGAUGGCCUAUUCUGGUUCCUCCACCUGCUGCUGGUCCGCAGUUUGAUUACCAUGUCGAGCACAGGCCUCAGGUCCAGAAGCCAAAGCCAAGACUGCCCAGGUUUCCAGGUACUGCCACUUCACCAGGGUCCUUUCUUUGACAGCGCCAAGAACCCCUAUUCCAAGCCAAGGAUUUCAUCUAAUCGGUUCUGGAGCUGUCAGCAGCGCAGCUACUACUCAUGUGUUCUCUAUGAUCAAGGGCACAUCUUCCCUCAUAUGCGUCUUGACUGUGAAGCCAUUGCCGGAUUGCCAUGCCUUGAAGAGCCCUUGACUGCUUCCGUGAUGCUGGAUUGCUGAAUUUUGUGACUGAUAAGGAUCAUUGGAAUGAAGAGCUUCUGCUGCAAUUCUAUGCCACCCUCCACAUUCGCGGCCACAACAGGGAUCCGAAGACAUGGGUCCUUGAGUGGAUGUGUCGGUGUACAAAAAGAGGGGUGCGUUUUUGUACCCCUUUACCUGUGCACGGGCAGUCGGAGCGGCGCCCACGGUCACGCCAAGCAGAACAGGGGAGGUAAGCCAAGGUAAGACCGAAGCCCAAGAUAAUCAGAGCAAAGCCAAGGCCAAGACCACAAAGAGCAGAGGGACGAAGCAGAUUCCCCCGGCAAGACCCUUGCCGGGGCAGCCUCAGCAGCCCCGGCAAGAUCCUUGCCGGGGCAGCUCGCCCCACACCAACAGAGCGAGCCACCCUUGAGCCCACGGUCCCCAACGCCAUCAUCCACGUGGGCCCAGGGCUCGGGAAGGCACCUCUGUGGUGGCAUGCAGAUCUUUGUGAAGACAUAUUCAAGGUCAGAUGAGGAUUAGAAGACGACGAUCCUCGGCAAGAUCCUCGCCGAGGAAGGCCACCAGAGCCCCGGCAAGGCCCUUGCCGGGGACGACAGCGCGCCACGGCAACACCCUUGCCGGGCCACACGGCAAGACCCUCGCUCGGCCACCCGGCAAGGCCCUCACCAAGGACGCCAGCGGGGCCACCGCCAGGCCCAUGCCAACCAAGCUUCCACCGCCGUUCACAUGCAGCUGCCAGCCCAACCAGCUGGGCGGGCACCUGCGUGGCGACAUGCAGCCUCCAGGCCAACUCAUCAAGCGCCUGCGUGGCGGCAUGCAGAUCUUCGUGAAGGCUCCACCACCGCGCCACCUCAGCUGCCUGCCUGCCUACAUGGCGCCGCACACAUCGCUGGCCAGGGCGCGUGUCAAAGCGAGGAGGAGCGGCGACGGAUGGGACGGGCCUCGCCCCCGUCCCCAAUAAAGCAAGGAGACACCUAAGCUACGCAUUAAUGCGUCUUGUCCUGUAAUACGAGCGAUAAGCUCAGGGCACUGUACGCCUUUCCACCUCCUGUGUGCCACUGUGGCAGCCCCUUCCGACUAUAAAAGGAGGCCCGUGGCAUACUGGAGAAGGAUUCGGCUCUUUCGAACCACGCACUCACCACAGCUAGUUCGAGAGCUCAAGAACUCUCUGAAAUACACCCUCCAAAGCAGGACUAGGGUUUUACGCAUCCUCGCGGCCCGAACCUGGGUAAACGAUCCUUGUGCUGUCUACUAGCCCUGCUCUUCUCGCAACCCCGCGCCCCGGCAACCGUAGUAGGGAUUCUUGUGAUCCCAUAGGUGUCGUUCCACACCGACAUCUUUGGCGCGCCAGGUAGGGGAGUGCAAUUGUGAGAAUCUGGUCUAGUAGUUAGCCUAGCGGUUCUUCAUCGCCAUGGCUCCCAAGAAGAAGAUGGCCACGGCGAUCGGCUCAUUGGGAGCCGAACGGCCCGUGCCGGUGCGCACGAGCAGUGGACCGGUCGUGGGCAGGACCCGGGCCGCGGUCCGCGAGCACCAGCAUCGCCCUGGCAGUCAGAACCUGGCGAGUGGCGUCGUUUGCGCCCUAGAUGACCGGCCGCACGUCGCCAGAUCCAAAGACGGAGCUGGGGCCCCCGCAGGCGGCGCGGGGCCCUCCAGGGGUGUCGUUGUGCCACCUCCGGGCGGCGCAGCGACCUCCAAGACGCCCACGCCGGCGACCACUGCGCGCUCUUCCCAUGGUGUGCGCGCCGAUCAGCGUCACCACGCUGGUGACCCUGGGCACCGCCGUGGGAAGAGCCCUGUGCGUCAUCCGCGGGAUGAAGGGGUUCAGCAUGCCCACCGAAGCGCUGGCGAAAAUGGCAUGCAGCUGCUGGGUCGUAACGGAGCUCCUUCUAACAUAGUUAGAAGUCGAAGCGCGCCGCGAUCCACGCAGCAGUCGCCGCCGCCCACGCCAGCAGAAGCUUUGGCACGCGCGCGCAGCUGCUCCUCGACUUCUGUAACGCCCACGAUGCGGCUAUAUCUCCCACGUGUCGAGGCACGACUUAGAGGCAUAACCGCAUUGUGGUUUUGUCGCAAGAAGGGUCAUCUUCACACAAUCCCAUGUAAUGAACAAGAAUGGGAUAACGAGAGUUGGCUUACAAUCGCCACUUCACACAAUACAUAAAUAUAAUUCAUACAUCAUCCAAAAUACACACAUAGACCAACUACGGUCAAGAUCCAAAUGAAAAUAAGAAAACCCCAAAUGCUAGAUCCCCGAUCGUCCCAACUGGGCUCCACUACUGAUCAUCAGGAAAAGACACAUAGUAACGACCACGUUCCUCAUCGAACUCCCACUUGAGGUCGAUCCCAUCAUCUGCACUGGCAUCGUCGGCACCUGCAACUGUUUUGGUAGAAUCUGUGAGUCACGAGGACUCAGCAAUCUCACACCCGCGAGAUCAAGCCUAUUUAAGCUUAUAGGACAGGAUGGUGUAAUGAGGUGGAGCUGCAGCAGGCACUAAGCAUAUAUGGUGGCUAACAUACGCAAAAGAGAGCGAGAAGAGAAGCAAUGGAACGGUCGUCAUCUAGUAAUGAUCAAGAAGCGAUCCUGAACUCCUACUUACGUCAAACAUAACUCAAACCGUGUUCACUUCCCGGACUCCGCCGAGAAGAGACCAUCACGGCUACACACACGGUUGAUGUAUUUUAAUUGGGUCAAGUGACAAGUUCUCUACAACCGGACAUUAACAAAUUCCCAUAUGCCUCAUAACCGCGGGCACGGCUUUCGAAAGAUAAUACCCUGCAGGGGUGUCCCAACUUAGCCCAUCAUAAGCUCUCGAAUGUGCCGACAAAUCCCGAUAGGAGCUGCACAUAUCUCGUUCUCAGGGCACAACGGAUGGGCAAGACGUCGGGUUGGCAUAGACCCUGGUUGCCCGGGGGCGCCGGACAUCGCCCAGUUUGGGCCAGCACUUGAAGGAGCACUGGUCCGGGGGUUUAAAAUAAAGAUGACCCUCGGGCUCACGAAAAACCGGGGGAAAAGGCUUAGGUGGCAAAUGGUAAAACCAAGGUUGGGCCUUGCUGGAGGAGUUUUAUUCAAGGCGAACUGUCAAGGGGGUCCCAUAAUCACCCAACCGCGUAAGGAACGCAAACUCAGGGAACAUAUCCCGGUAUGACAGAAACUAGGGCGGCAAGAGUGGAACAAAACACCAGGCAUAAGGCCGAGCCUUCCACCCUUUACCAAAAAUAUAGAUGCAUUAAUUAAAUAAGAGAUAUUAUGAUAUCCCAACAUAUCCAUGUUCCAACAUGGAACCAACUUCAACUUCACCUGCAACUAGCAACGCUAUAAGAAGGGCUGAGCAAAAGCGGUAACUUAGCCAAACAACGGUUUGCUAGGAAAGGAUGGUUAGAGGCUGUCAUGGCAAUAUGGGAGGCAUGAUGUAGCAAGUGAUAGGUAGCGCAGCAUGGCAAUAGAGCGAACAACUAGCAAAGCAAAGAUUGAAGUGAUUUCGAGGGUAUGGUCAUCUUGCCUGCAAGGUUCUCAGAGUUGUCGAAAGCUUGAUCCUCGUAAGCGUACUCAACAGGUUCCUCGUUCACGAACUCGUCUCCCGGCUCUACCCAAAACAAGAACACAAGCAAUGGAACCACAAUCAAUCACGGGAAAUGCACAAGCAACAUGAUGCAAUACAUGAAUGAUAUGCAAGAUAUGAUAUGCGAUGCAUAUGCGUGCGCCGGAAGAAAAAUGAUGAACAAGGCAGUAACUUGGCAAACCAAGUAUGCCACUGGAAAGAUGAGAUGAUUUCGGUCGAAAUCGAUAUAAAGAUCACCGGAAACGGAUGCACGGUUCGCGAAAGGCAAGCAAAACAAGAAUGACACGAAUCUGUGAUUAACAGCAUGAUAUCACUUAGAAUACAUCAAGUAACUAUGCUACAGCACUCCAACAUAGCAACAAAGCAUAUGAAAGUAAUCUAAAGGAGGUGUUUGACAAAAGAUGAACACUGAGCUACGGCUAGAUCACAACAUAACAGGCUCAAACAAGCAUGGCAAAAGUGCGAAAGAUAUCAGGUUAACAGACUUGGUGAAAUUACUGGACAUGGCUGAAACAGCAUCAGGUAGCAAUGUUCAGAGCAAGAAACACACAUGCUACAGGAACUUAAUAUAGCAAAACAAGGCAUGGAAUGAAUCUACUAAAUGCAUAGAACAAAAGUCCCUUACUGACCAUAAGCGAAAAACGACCAAAAGUUAUGAUGGCAACCAUGUGAACAUAGCAAGUUUCGUUAACAGGUUACAGACUUGGCAGAAAACAGAGCAUGGCAGAAACAAUAAUAUGAAGGCAUCUUGGUAAGCUUGAUGCACUCACCACAAAGAAAUUCAUGACAAAACAAGCAUACCUACAGCAAGAUGGCAUGUUUAUGAAGCUAUCCAUGGCAAGAGCAAGUACAUAGCAUGUAUGAAACAACUACAACAAGCUUGGCAAAUUGAAUAACACGUAAACAAUCUGCCAUAAAUAUUUUAUAGCAAAAGUAGAGCAAGAUUGAGUCAUUCUAUGGCACUCCAUAAUUGCAAACAAGGGUAGUAGUGGAUCAAUUACAACAAUAUCUACAAAACAUCCUUACUGAACAUCUCCAAAAUAUGCAUGGAUCUCUCUGUAGCAUCAAGUUUACAUGGCAACAAAAUAACAGCAGACAAAGACUUGGAGAAAUCACCAAGUCUCUGAAAUCAGAAACAUUACAGAGCCUAGUUUGCAUGCUUGUGCUAGUCACCACACAGAUCACAAAAAUACAUGGCAUACACCUCUGUAAAUAUGGCAUGGCAUACAUCAAAACACAUGUAGAGCUCCUACUCAUAAGAUGCACAUAUCAAAUGCAACAAAAAUAACAAAUCCUCAUGUUCUGAUAAGUAACAGCAGUUAACAGCAUAUAGCACGCUUGCACCAGAGAUUUGGGCAUCAAGAUCAACUCAAAUGAACAUAGUGCAAUUGAACAAAAUGUAGAGCAUCACAAGACGAACAUUUCGAUAUAUUACAUGCACGAAACGGAGCUAUAUGCAGAGAGUUAUGCCAUGAUGAACAGGGGUAUAUAAUGUGAACAUGCAAAAGACUUGGGAAUAUUUUCGGGGAGAGGAGAGGAAAGUCAACCGUGGGCUUCCUCGAUCCAGAUCUGGCCCGGGCCGGGCUUCGAGCUCGCCGGCGGUGGAUGGCGACGCCGGAGGAGAGGAGGGAGAGGCCGGAGGGAGGCGGCGCUCGGGGCCGCUGGCGGCGGAGGAGGGGGGCGCCGGCGACGGGCACGGCUCGGGCGGCGCCGACNNNNNNNNNNNNNNNNNNNNNNNNNNNNNNNNNNNNNNNNNNNNNNNNNNNNNNNNNNNNNNNNNNNNNNNNNNNNNNNNNNNNNNNNNNNNNNNNNNNNNNNNNNNNNNNNNNNNNNNNNNNNNNNNNNNNNNNNNNNNNNNNNNNNNNNNNNNNNNNNNNNNNNNNNNNNNNNNNNNNNNNNNNNNNNNNNNNNNNNNNNNNNNNNNNNNNNNNNNNNNNNNNNNNNNNNNNNNNNNNNNNNNNNNNNNNNNNNNNNNNNNNNNNNNNNNNNNNNNNNNNNNNNNNNNNNNNNNNNNNNNNNNNNNNNNNNNNNNNNNNNNNNNNNNNNNNNNNNNNNNNNNNNNNNNNNNNNNNNNNNNNNNNNNNNNNNNNNNNNNNNNNNNNNNNNNNNNNNNNNNNNNNNNNNNNNNNNNNNNNNNNNNNNNNNNNNNNNNNNNNNNNNNNNNNNNNNNNNNNNNNNNNNNNNNNNNNNNNNNNNNNNNNNNNNNNNNNNNNNNNNNNNNNNNNNNNNNNNNNNNNNNNNNNNNNNNNNNNNCGUAGCGGACGCGGAGAGGCUGCGGGCGGCGGCGCGUUUGUCCGGCGGGGUACGGACAUGUCCGGCGGCGCGGAGGGAUAGGGUUAGGGUUUGGACUGCGGAUUAUCUCGGGAGGGGUGCAAUUAUAUAGGUAGAGGGAGCUAGGAGACUCAAAACGAGGUGCGGUUUUCGCCCACACGAUCGUGAUCGAACGACCUAGAGCAUGGAAAUGACUUGGAGGGGUUUUGGGCUGUUUAGAGAGGGGGUUUUGUGGCAACACACAGAAGGCAUCUGCGGUUACCCGGUUAACCGUUGGAGUACCGAACGACCUCCAAAUGGAACGAAACUUGACCGGUGGUCUCCCGGUGGUAUACCAAGGCCACUUGACAAGCCUCGGUCCAUUCCGAGAACGUUCGACACCCGCUCACGAAAAGAAACAAGAGGGGUGCGCCGAAGGAGGUGGGAGUGCCGGAUUGCAAAACGGACAACGGGGAAAUUGCUCGGAUGCAUGAGACGAACACGUAUGCAAAUGCAAUGCACAUGAUGACAUGAUAUGAUAUGCAUGACAUGAAAAAAAUGCAAAAUGAAAGACAAAACCCGACCACGGAGGGAAUAUCAUAACACAUAGCCGAAAAUGGCAAGAGUUGGAGUUACAAAUAUGGAAAGUUACAUCCGGGGUGUUACAACACUCCACCACUACGAGAGGAUCUCGUCCCGAGAUCUAGGACUGAAAGAACUCCGGAUAUUCGGAACGAAGAUGGUCCUCGCGUUCCCAGGUGGCUUCUCGGUCGGAAUGGUGUGACCACUUCACUUUCAGGAAUUUGAUUGACUUGCUGCGAGUCUUGCGCUCAGUUUCUUCAAGAAUAGCAACGGGGUGCUCAUGUUAAGACAAAUCUACUUGGAGGUCAAUCUCUUUGAAGUUGAUAGUGCGCUCAGGCGUCUUGAAGGACUUGCGGAGCUGUGACACAUGGAACACAUCGUGCACGUUCACGAAGUUGGAAGGAAGCUCAAGUUGAUAGGCGAGGUCGCCUCUUUUGCGAAUGAUCUUGAAAGGACCCACGUAUCUAGGGGCAAGCUUCCCUUUGAUACCGAAGCGACGAGUGCCUUUCAUUGGAGAGACGCGGAGGUAGACAUGGUCUCCGAUCUCGAAAGCCAAAUCACGGUGCUUACUAUCAUAGUAACUCUUCUGGUGCGAUUGCGCGGCUUUGAGAUUAUCACUGAUGACUUUACACAUUUCUUCAGCUUCAGUGAUUAAGUCAUUGCCAAGAAGUUGGCGUUCACCAGUCUCUGACCAAUUGAGAGGAGUACGACACUUUCUGCCAUAGAGAAUCUCGAAUGGGGCCUUGCCCGAACUCGCUUGGAAGCUGUUGUUGUAGGAGAAUUCAGCAUAUGUAAGACAAUCUUCCCAUUUCAUGCCAAAGGAAAUGACACAAGCCCUGAGCAUAUCUUCAAGAAUUUGAUUGACUCGCUCGACUUGGCCACUAGUUUGAGGAUGGAAAGCUGUGCUGAAGCGAAUGUUGGUGCCCAUGGCCUUCUGGAAGGAGUCCCAGAACUUAGAGGUGAAGAUGCUUCCACGAUCAGAAGAAAUCAAUUGUGGAAUGCCGUGCAAGGAGACAAUUCUGGAGGUGUAUAGCUCUGCCAACUGAGCUGCUGUGAUAGACUCUUUCAUUGGAAGGAAAUGAGCCACUUUAGAAAGCUUGUCGAUGACAACGAAGAUAGCAUCAUUUCCGCGCUUGGACUUGGGAAAACCAGUCACGAAGUCCAUUUCGAUAUGAUCAAACUUCCACUCUGGGAUAGCAAGAGGUUGGAGGAGACCACCUGGUCGUUGGUGUUCUGCUUUCACUCUUCGACAGACAUCACAUUCAUUCACGAAUUGAGCAAUUUCUCGCUUCAUUCGAGUCCACCAAUACGACCGCUUGAGGUCAUGGUACAUCUUCAUACUUCCAGGAUGAAUGGAAAGAAGAGAAUUGUGCGCCUCGUUCAUAAUGACUUUCCUUAGAUCACCUUUAGGAACCACAAUCCGGUCCUCGAAGAACAAAGUGUCUCUGUCAUCAAUGCGAUAACACUUGUAUUUGGAAAGACCCUUGUCGACACCACGUUUCACCUUCUUCACCAUGGUAUCCAGGAGUUGUGCCUCACGAAUUUGAUCUUCCAAAGUAGGAGAGACUAUGAGGUUGGCAAGAAAGCCUUGAGGAACAACUUGGAGAUUCAGCUUGCGGAAAGCUUCACAAAGAUCCGGUUGGAAAGGCUUGAGAAUUAAGCUGUUGCAAUAAGCCUUCCUGCUUAAAGCAUCUGCAAUGACAUUGGCCUUGUCUGAGUAUAUUCAAUACUCGGAUUGUACUCUUGAAUCAUUUCGACCCAUCGAGUCUGCCUGAGGUUGAGGUUGGGCUGAGUGAAGAUGUACUUGAGACUCUUGUGAUCGGUGAAUAUGUCCACUUGUCUUCCCAACAAGAGAUGUCUCCACGUUAUUAAUGCAUGGACAACUGCCGCCAACUCAAGAUCGUGAGUGGGGUAGUUCUUUUCAUUGGGCUUCAACUGACAAGAGGUAUAGGACACAACUUUCUUCUCUUGCAUUAACACAACACCGAGACCUUGGAGAGAAGCAUCACAGAAAACUUCAAAUGGCUGGAUUCGUCAGGAGGAGUUAAGACAGGAGCUGUGACGAGUUUCUCUUUGAGAGUGUUGAAAGCAACAUCACACUCAGGAGACCAGACAUACUUCACAUGCUUUUGGAGGAGGUUGGAAAGAGGCUUUGCAAUCUUAGAGAAAUUCUCAACGAAUCUUCGGCAAUAGCUUGCAAGACCAAGAAAACUGCGGAGCUGCUUGACAUUCUGAGGAGGUUCCCAAUUCACAAUUGCGGACACCUUCUCGGGGUUAACAGCGAUGCCCUUGGCAGAGAUGAUGUGACCAAGGUAAAGAACUUCAUCAAGCCAAAACUCACAUUUGGAAAACUUCGCAUAGAAUUGAUACUCUCUGAGCUUGUCGAGCACCAAUCUCAAAUGUUUGGCAUGAUCCUUCUUAUUCUUGGAGAAGACCAAGAUAUCAUCGAGAUACACCAGGACGAAUUCAUUGGUAUAGGGGUUGAAGAUGAAAUUCAUCAUCCGAGAGAAUGUUGGAGGAGCAUUGACAAGGCCGAAAGACACGACAGUAUAUUCAUAAGAACCAAAGCUUGUUCUGAAUGCUGUCUUGGGAAUAUCUUCUUCACGAAUGCGAAUCUGAUGAUAACCCAUGCGAAGGUCAAGCUUGGAGAAUACUUUAGCACCUUUGAGUUGCUCGAAUAGCUCAUUGAUGUUGGGAAGUGGAUACUUGUUCUUGAUUGUCUUCUUGUUCAAUGGACGGUAGUCGACACAAAGUCGGUCCGUGCCAUCCUUCUUCUUUACAAAAAGAACACCACAACCCCAUGGAGAAGAACUCGGUCUGAUCAAACCCAGACGCUCUUGUUCAUCGAGCUGUUUCUUCAAUUCCUUCAGCUCCUUGGGUCCAAGCUUGUAUGGACGCUUGCAAACGGGUUCAGUUCCUGGCUCAAGAUCGAUAACGAACUCAACUGGCCGGCGAGGAGGCAUACCCGGAAGCUCUUCUGGAAAGACAUCUUGAUACUCACAAACAACUGGAAUUUGAGAGAUGGCAUUCAAUUCGCCCUUCUCAUUGAGAGAAAAUAACCGAAUGGUUUCAUCACGAGCGGCAUAGAUAAUCACAUCCUCAGAAGAGUGUGUCAAUUGAAUUUCCCUGGCAGCACAAUCAAGUUGAGCCUUGUACUUAGAAAGCCAGUCCAUCCCGAGAAUUAGAUCAAUAUCCGAGUCACCAAGAACCAUUGGAGAAGACAGAAAUUUAUAAUUGCCCAUCUUGAUAGAAACAUCCGGAGCCAUCAUUUUGGUAUUCAUGAAUAAUCCCGGAGCGGAAACCGCUAUCGGCUUAGGAAGAUCAACAGUAUGCAAAUUGUUCAUGGAUGCAAAAGGUCUUGAUAUGAAAGAAAUAGAUGCACCAGUAUCAAACAAGACUUUUGCAGGAAUAUCAUUAACAGGAAGAUUACCCAUUAUCACAUCAGUAUAUUCCUCCGCUUGAGCUGCAUUCAUCAUGUUCACCUUUGCAGACUUUGGAUUAUGCUUGACCACUGCAUUGUUGAAAGAUCUGACAGGGGGAGGAGGCGGAAGACGCCUUUGGUUGAAGCACUUGUUAGCAUAGUGACCUUUCUGCUGACACUUGUUGCAAGUCACCUCUGAGAGUGGACGGUGAUAAGGAGCAUUGGACUUUGGAGCUUGAUUCUGAGACUUGUUCUGAUAGCCAGAGUUGGAAGAGUGGGAAGAACCAUGGCCACCUUUGUUCUUCUGCUGGUAAGGCUGACGAAACGGAGGAGGAGGCAACCAGAACUUCUGUUGCUUAGCUGCCACAAGUGAGGAAGAAGAAGACUGCACUGCAUCCCUGACUCUCUUCUUAGAAGCCUCACACUUGAGCUGAGCAGCCUCUUGCUUCAGUGCCAUAUUGUAGAAUUGAUCAAACUGAGUAGGCUCAACAAGAACGAGAGCUAACUGCAGAUCCUCUCUAAGGCCACCUCUGAAGUGAUAGAUCAUGCUCUUUUCAUCAGGAACGUCUUGUUUAGCGAAGCGAGCAAGUUUCUGAAACUGGAUGUUGAAUUGAUACACAGACAUGUUGCCUUGCUUGAGAUUGCAGAACUCCUCACGCUUGCUCUCAACAACACUUUGUGGAAUGUGGUGCGCUUUGAAAUCCCGACAGAAGUCAGUCCAAGUAAUCACAGGACCUCCUCUGGAAUCUUUGUAUUGUUGAUACCAAUCAGCAACUUGGUCCUUGAGCUAAAAAGAAGCGAACUUGACAUAGUCCUCAGGCUUGACAUUGCUACAUUCAAAAUGCUUGUUGAUGUCCACGAGCCAAUCAUCGGCAUCCGUGGCCUCGGCACAGUAGCUGAAAGACUUGGGCUGAUUUGCGAGAAACUGGUUGAGGGUAGCGAAGUGAGGCUGAUUGUUGCCUUGGCCUUGAUUCCCUUGAUUGCCUUGCCCUUGGGUGCGGUCUUGCAAGAGUUGCAGAAUCAUCUGAGCAUUGGCGUUGGUGGCUGCCAUGAUAGCUUGCCAUGCCUCCGGAGGUGGAGGUGGUGGUGGAGGGUUCUCUUGACUCCCUUCAUUGCGAUCCGGAUUCUGACGCGUUGGCGGAGCCAUCCUGAAGAGGGUGACGUCCGUUAGCAUCUUGAUAGACAAAUAGACAAGUAGAAUCAACAGAUAGAAAUUGCAACAUAUAGUCUUCACAAUAAACAUUCGAACGAGGAUGAACGAAUGAAUUCCAUAGUAAAUCAUUGCACUUCCAUAAAUUGAGAAGCCACUUAGAACAAGGUAUGGAAAUCAACAUUUGACUUCGAAGCAACUCGAAUACCACAAUUCAAAACAAAACAAAGUAUUGGCUUGCAGAAUAAGCCGGAACAAACAUAUGAUAGAUAUUUCGUCCGAAGUUUUCGUGGUGGGGCCCACACGGGCUCGAUCAUACAGCACCAUCAUGUACAAGGCUGUGCACAUGACAUACGAAGCGUCCCCGAGUCGGCAUAGCCAAGGACUCUUUAAGACACUACGAGACCACUAUAAGACCAACCGUGUACAGGCGGACCACUAGACGUCGAACCCCAAUCUCAUAUCAUGCGUCUAUCGGAAAGAUAUCCUAAGAGCUACUUGAAUUCCCACUUAUAAACUCCCGAAACUUUCUGUUUAUGCAAUCUGGUGUUGGGGAUACAGGGGACACAAAAUAUAUCACCCAAACUAGCAAUCCCUAGAUCCAGCUGUAUCCAUCCGUCAACACAUAACCAAGAAACCUUCGGAAAUCGUGUACCUCAACCUUCGAAAAACAUCCGUUAUACGAGUUAUGGCAAUACUCCCGAACUCCCGCCCCAGUACUGGGUGGCGUCGAGGUGAUCUCACCAACAACUGCAUAAAAGAGAUUUCGAUGUCGGCGAAACUCAGGUAUUCCAGAACUGCAACGAUAAAAUUGUGACGACAACACCUCGGAGCUCAACUCCCCGGGACACUGCCACAACCCCUAAAUGUCAGGAGGCACCAAGAACAAUGUUCUCGUCACAAAACCAUCAGAACGAUUCUAAGAUACCCGCGUGAUCCUAAAUUUUUUUUAGUGAAAAUUGAGGAGAGAAUAGUCAAAACUUCUAUGUCAGGAGACCUCACCAGAGCGAUGAAAGGACUGAGGAGUAAAAAGAAUCCUACUCUCCGAUAUAUAUAAUCCUAAGACUCAAAACAUUUUUGCUCUAGACUCAACAACGCCAGCGAUUCGAUCAAGCAGGGGGCUCCUAAGUCGGAGAUGGCUCUGAUUACCAACUUGUAACGCCCACGAUGCGGCUAUAUCUCCCACGUGUCGAGGCACGACUUAGAGGCAUAACCGCAUUGUGGUUUUGUCGCAAGAAGGGUCAUCUUCACACAAUCCCAUGUAAUGAACAAGAAUGGGAUAACGAGAGUUGGCUUACAAUCGCCACUUCACACAAUACAUAAAUAUAAUUCAUACAUCAUCCAAAAUACACACAUAGACCAACUACGGUCAAGAUCCAAAUGAAAAUAAGACAACCCCAAAUGCUAGAUCCCCGAUCGUCCCAACUGGGCUCCACUACUGAUCAUCAGGAAAAGACACAUAGUAACGACCACGUUCCUCAUCGAACUCCCACUUGAGGUCGAUCCCAUCAUCUGCACUGGCAUCGUCGGCACCUGCAACUAUUUUGGUAGAAUCUGUGAGUCACGAGGACUCAACAAUCUCACACCCGCGAGAUCAAGACUAUUUAAGCUUAUAGGACAGGAUGGUGUAAUGAGGUGGAGCUGCAGCAGGCACUAAGCAUAUAUGGUGGCUAACAUACGCAAAAGAGAGCGAGAAGAGAAGCAACGGAACGGUCGUCAUCUAGUAAUGAUCAAGAAGUGAUCCUGAACUCCUACUUACGUCAAACAUAACUCAAACCGUGUUCACUUCCCGGACUCCGUCGAGAAGAGACCAUCACGGCUACACACACGGUUGAUGUAUUUUAAUUGGGUCAAGUGACAAGUUCUCUACAACCGGACAUUAACAAAUUCCCAUCUGCCUCAUAACCGCGGGCACGGCUUUCGAAAGAUAAUACCCUGCAGGGGUGUCCCAACUUAGCCCAUCAUAAGCUCUCACGGUCAACGAAGGAUAAACCUUCUCCCGGAAAGACCCGAUCAGUCUCGGAAUCCCGGUUUACAAGACAUUUCGACAAUGGUAAAACAAGACCAGCAAAGCCACCCGAAUGUGCCGACAAAUCCCGGUAGGAGCUGCACAUAUCUCAUUCUCAGGGCACAACGGAUGGGCAAGACGUCGGGUUGGCAUAGACCCUGGUUGCCCUGGGGGCGCCGGACAUCGCCCAGUUUGGGCCAGCACUCGAAGGAGCACUGGUCCGGGGGUUUAAAAUAAAGAUGACCCUCGGGCUCGCGAAAACCCGUGGGAAAAGGCUUAGGUGGCAAAUGGUAAAACCAAGGUUGGGCCUUGCUGGAGGAGUUUUAUUCAAGGCGAACUGUCAAGGGGGUCCCAUAAUCACCCAACCGCGUAAGGAACGCAAACUCAAGGAACAUAAUCCCGGUAUGACAGAAACUAGGGCGGCAAGAGUGGAACAAAACACCAGGCAUAAGGCCGAGCCUUCCACCCUUUACCAAAAAUAUAGAUGCAUUAAUUAAAUAAGAGAUAUUGUGAUAUCCCAACAUAUCCAUGUUCCAACAUGGAACCAACUUCAACUUCACCUGCAACUAGCAACGCUAUAAGAAGGGCUGAGCAAAAGCGGUAACUUAGCCAAACAACGGUUUGCUAGGAAAGGAUGGUUAGAGGCUGUCAUGGCAAUAUGGGAGGCAUGAUAUAGCAAGUGAUAGGUAGCGCAGCAUGGCAAUAGAGCGAACAACUAGCAAAGCAAAGAUAGAAGUGAUUUCGAGGGUAUGGUCAUCUUGCCUGCAAGGUUCUCAGAGUUGUCGAAAGCUUGAUCCUCAUAAGCGUACUCAACAGGUUCCUCGUUCACGAACUCGUCUCCCGGCACUACCCAAAACAAGAACACAAGCAACGGAACCACAAUCAAUCACGGGAAAUGCAAUAGCAACAUGAUGCAAUACAUGAAUGAUAUGCAAGAUAUGAUAUGCGAAGCAUAUGCGUGCUCCGGAAGAAAAAUGAUGAACAAGGCAGUAACUUGGCAAACCAAGUAUGCCACUGGAAAGAUGAGAUGAUUUCGGUCGAAAUCGAUAUAAAGAUCACCGGAAACGGAUGCACGGUUCGCGAAAGGCAAGCAAAACAAGAAUGACACGAAUCUGUAAUUAACAGCAUGAUAGCACUUAGAAUACAUCAAGUAACUAUGCUACAGCACUCCAACAUAGCAAAAAAGCAUAUGACAGUAAUCUACAGGAGGUGUUUGACAAAAGAUGAACACUGAGCUACAGCUAGAUCACAAGAUAACAGGCUCAAACAAGCAUGGCAAAAGUGCGAAAGAUAUCAGGUUCACAGACUUGGUGAAAUUACUGGACAUGGCUGAAACAGCAUCAGGUAGCAAUGUUCAGAGCAAGAAAAACACAUGCUACAAGAACUUAACAUCGCGAAACAAGGAUGGCAUGAAUCUACUAAAUGCAUAGAACAAAAGUCACUUACUGACCAUAAGCCAAAAAGGACCAAAAGUUAUGAUGGCAACCAUGUGAACAUAGCAAGUUUCGUUAACAGGUUACAGACUUGGCAGAAAACAGAGCAUGGCAGAAACAAUAAUAUGAAGGCAUCUUGGUAAGCUUGAUGCACUCACCACAAAGAAAUUCAUGACAAAAUAAGCAUACCUACAGCAAGAUGGCAUGUUUAUGAAGCUAUCCAUGGCAAGAGAAAGUACAUAGCAUGUAUGAAACAACUACAACAAGCUUGGCAAAAUUGAAUAACACGUAAACAAUCUGCCAGAAAUAUUUUAUAGAAAAAGUAGAGCAAGAUUGAGUCAUUCUAUGGCACUCCAUAAUUGCAAACAAGGGCAGGAAUGGAUCAAUUACAACAAUAUCUACAAAACAUCCUUACUGAACAUCUCCAAAAUAUGCAUGGAUCUCUCUAUAGCAUCAAGUUUACAUGACAACAAAAUAACAGCAGACAGACUUGGAGAAAUCACCAAGUCUCUGAAAUCAGAAACAUUAUGGAGCCUAGUUUGCAUGCUUGUGCUAGUCACCACAGAGAUCACAAAAAUACAUGGCAUACACCUCUGUAAAUAUGGCAUGGCAUACAUCAAAACACAUGUAGAGCUCCUACUCAUAAGAUGCACAUAUCAAAUGCAACAAAAAUAACAAAUCCUCAUGUUCUGUUAAGUAACAGCAGUUAACAGCAUAUAGCACUCUUGCACCAGAGAGUUUGGCAUCAAGAUGAACUCAAAUGAACAUGGUGCAAUUGAACAAAAUGUAGAGCAUCAUGAGACGAACAUUUCGAUAUAUUACAUGUACGAAACGGAGCUAUAUGCAGAGAGUUAUGCCAUGAUGAACAGGGGUAUAUAAUGUGAAAAUGCAAAAGACUUGGGAAUAUUUUCGGGGAGAGGUUUGGAAAGUCAACCGUGGGCUUCCUCGAUCCAAAUCUGGCCGGGGCCGGGCUUCGAGCUCGCCGGCGGUGGAUGGCGACGCCGGAGGAGAGGAGGGAGAGGCCGGAGGGAGGCGGCGCUCGGGGCCGCGGGCGGCGGAGGAGGGGGGCGCCGGCGACGGGCGCUGCUCGGGCGGCGCCGACGACGGGCGAGGCGGCGAGCGGCGGCGGGGCCNNNNNNNNNNNNNNNNNNNNNNNNNNNNNNNNNNNNNNNNNNNNNNNNNNNNNNNNNNNNNNNNNNNNNNNNNNNNNNNNNNNNNNNNNNNNNNNNNNNNNNNNNNNNNNNNNNNNNNNNNNNNNNNNNNNNNNNNNNNNNNNNNNNNNNNNNNNNNNNNNNNNNNNNNNNNNNNNNNNNNNNNNNNNNNNNNNNNNNNNNNNNNNNNNNNNNNNNNNNNNNNNNNNNNNNNNNNNNNNNNNNNNNNNNNNNNNNNNNNNNNNNNNNNNNNNNNNNNNNNNNNNNNNNNNNNNNNNNNNNNNNNNNNNNNNNNNNNNNNNNNNNNNNNNNNNNNNNNNNNNNNNNNNNNNNNNNNNNNNNNNNNNNNNNNNNNNNNNNNNNNNNNNNNNNNNNNNNNNNNNNNNNNNNNNNNNNNNNNNNNNNNNNNNNNNNNNNNNNNNNNNNNNNNNNNNNNNNNNNNNNNNNNNNNNNNNNNNNNNNNNNNNNNNNNNNNNNNNNNNNNNNNNNNNNNNNNNNNNNNNNNNNNNNNNNNNNNNNNNNNNNNNNNNNNNNNNNNNNNNNNNNNNNNNNNNNNNNNNNNNNNNCACGGGGCGGACGCGGAGAGGCUGCGGGCGGCGGCGCAUUAGUCCGGCGGGGUACGGACGUGUCCGACGGCGCGGAGGGAUAGGGUUAGGGUUUGGACUACGGAUUAUCUCGGGAGGGGUGCAAUUAUAUAGGUAGAGGGAGCUAGGAGACUCCAAACGAGGUGCGGUUUUCGCCCACACGAUCGUGAUCGAAAAACCUAGAGCAUGGAAAUGACUUGGAGGGGUUUUGGGAUGUUUAGAGAGGGGGUUUUGCGGCAACACACAGAAGGCAUCUGCGGUUACCCGGUUAACCGUUGGAGUACCAAACGACCUCCAAAUGGAACGAAACUUGACCGGUGGUCUCCCGGUGGUAUACCAAGGCCACUUGACAAGCCUCGGUCCAUUCCGAGAACGUUCGACACCCGCUCACGAAAAGAAACAAGAUGGGUGCGUCGGAGGAGGUGGGAGUGCCGGAUUGCAAAACGGACAACGGGGAAACUGCUCGGAUGCAUGAGACGAACAUGUAUGCAAAUGCAAUGCACAUGAUGACAUGAUAUGAUAUGCAUGACAUGAACAAAAUGCAAAACGAAAGACAAAACCCGACCACGGAGGGAAUAUCAUAACACAUAGCCGAAAAUGGCAAGAGUUGGAGUUACAAAUAUGGAAAGUUACAUCCGGGGUGUUACAACUUCCCUCCUGUUGCAGAGAAGCUCGACAAGUGGAGGGCCACCAUCCGGAGCCUCGUCGCCAUCGCCAACAAAGACGAUCCACGACCAGCGGGGCCCUCAGGUCGGCGCUCCACCGAGCCACCACGUGCUGGCGCUGGGAGGACCGGGGGAGCUGCGGCCACGGUGCACUCUCCUCCUCCUCGCCAGCCGCCGCGGGCGUCUGCCCGUCGUGACGACGCUUGUGAUAACAUCUCAAUAGCGUCGUCCGACCCACGGACCCUCCGCGACCAGCGCCAGGUCCUUCGGGAACGAGCUCACAAAGACGCUCGAACCAGCGUCGAACGCCGACGCGAAACGCGCGUCCAGUCGGACAAGCGGGCGGGACCCGCUAUGGACCACCCGGCACCGGGGGGCUCCGGCGGCCUACCUUACGAGGUGGGAUGCCCGGCCUUUACCCGUGAGCUGCGGCAGUUCCAGUGGCCGUCCCAUUGCACGUUCAAGCCCGACGUCAGCGAGAAGUACACUAGCAGGACCCAUCCGUCCGAGUUCCUCAGCAUCUACACCAUCGCGAUGCAGGCUGCUGGGGCUCGCGACGACAAGGUGCUUGCCAACUAUUUCCCGCUGGUGCUCAAGCCCAAUGUGAUGUCUUGGUUGAUGCACUUGCCGGUGGAUUCCAUUUCUUCCUGGUCGAAUCUGUGCCAUGAGUUCGUUGGCGCCUUCACAGGAGGCCACCAAGCUCAUGGCCAGGCCAGUGAUCUGCAUAUCAUUCCCCAGAAGGAAGGGGAGACCCUACGCAAGUACAUCCAGAGAUUCAGCCGGGUGCAGUACAACAUCCCUGACGUUCAUCCCGCCGCUGUGAUUAGCGCGUUCCACCAGAACAUGCGCAAUCGCAAGAUGCGCGAGGAGCUGGCGAUGACCAAGGUCAAGGAUGUGGCCGAGCUCUACGUUCUGGCCGAUAGAUGCGCCCGGGCUGAAGAGGGAAGGAAGUACCCCGGCGAAGACGCCGGCACGGAAACCGACUCUACCGAUGAGGACGCCGCUACCCCGACGAAGAAGGGCCGGCGUUGCAACAGGAAACGCAAGGGCCAGGCCGUGCUUGCCGUUGAGGGAUCUGACGACACCGGUGCCGGCAAGAAGGUCAAGGCAGGCGCUCCCGGCAAGGAGAUUCCGGGUGCGCCGCCUGCCGGGCCUUGGUGGCUACCGACAAGCCAGGGAGCUCCGGCAAGCAAUACUGCAAGAUCCACCGCACCAAGGGCCACGACCUCCAGAACUGCCGACAAGUCGAGCUGCUUGCUGAUAAGCAAAAGGCUGAGUACAAGAGGCGGGACAAGGAGAAGGACAAGGACGGUGCCGAGGGAUCCGACAAGAAGCGUGGCGGCCAAGGAGGCUGCCCCGGCAAGGACAACCAGCAAGAGAGGCCCGCCCGGGGCCGCGACAAGAAACAAGAAGAUGAUGAUCACGACGAGGAGGACGAGUCUGGUGAGCAAGGGUUCCAGAAGGCUACGGAGGCCAUGUGCGUCGAUGGCGGCGCCUCGCUGCAUACCUCUCACCGCCAGCUCAAGCAGUGGGCGCGUGAGAUUACAGCAGCAGAGUCGUUGUUCGACUCUCAGAAGCCACUGAAGUGGUCCAACACGCCCCUCAUCUUUGACGCCGAGGACCACCCUAACCGCACUACCGCGGUCGGGUGUUUGCCAUUGUUGGUCACACCAACGAUACGCAACCUCAGGGUGAACAAGAUGUUGGUUGACAGCGGGGCCGGCUUGAACCUGAUUUCGCCUGUCGUGAUCAAAAGGUUGCAAAUCCCUGAUGGAUACCUCGAGGAAACGGGCAUGUUUCAAGGGGUCAAUCCAGGGAGGAGCCAGCCGAAGGGAAAGGUCACACUGCCCGUGACAUUUGGAGGAGAGUUGAACUACAGGACAGAGAGGAUUGUCUUCGACGUGGCCGAGAUCCCCUUGCCCUAUAACGGGAUCCUCAGCCGCCCGGCACUAGCCAAGUUCAUGGCGGCAUCACACUAUGCCUACAACAUGCUAAAGAUGCCUGGGCCGUUGACCAUCAUCUUCGUCCCCUCCGGCAAGAAGGACAUGCUGAUCUGCGCCGACCAACUCUACCGGGAAGCAGUUGCAGCAGCUGCCGUCAAGGCACCUGCUCCUGCCGCUGAAGGGCUGGGAGGGAAGAAGAAGCCCGACAAGACCUCUCGCACCCACUCCGGCAAGCGCACCUCCUCGGAGUGUUGCGCUACCGUCGAGGACGUGCCAGAGAGCUCUACCGACAAGAGCAAGAGAUCCAGAGCCGAGCCGCCGCAGACCAAGAAGGUGCCCAUCAGGGAGGAUGGCGCGGGAGGGGUCUUCACCAUAGGCUUCACCCUCGACAGCAAAUAGGAAGGCGCGCUCGUCACCUUCCUGCGGGCGAAUGUCGACGUGUUUGCGUGGCAAGCAUCUGACAUCCCCGGUGUUCCCAGGGAGGUGAUUGAGGACCACCUAGCUGUCUGCCCCCACGCGCGGCCCGUCAAGCAGAAGGUCAGAAAGCAGGCUCUGGAGAGGCAGGAGUUCAUCACAGAGGAGAUCAGGAAGUUGGAAGCGGCAGGUUUGGUGAGAGGAGUGCUCCACCCGACGUGGUUGGCCAAUCCGGUAGUGGUGCGCAAGGCGAAUGGGAAGUGGAGGCUGUGUAUUGAUUACACAGAUAUCAAUAAGGCUUGUCCUAAGGACCCCUUCCCGUUGCCGCGCAUCGACCAGAUUGUUGACUCCACAGCCGGGUGUGAUCUGUUAUCAUUCCUCGACGCCUACUCAGGCUACCACCAGAUCUUCAUGACAAGAGAGGAUGAAGAGAAGACAACAUUCAUCACCCCAUGUGGUACGUAUUGCUUUUUACGGAUGCCUUUCGGGUUGAAGAGUGCUGGCUCAACGUUCGCAAGAGCAGUCCAAAUUGGUUUUGAACCUCAGCUCCAUAGAAAUAUGGAGGCCUACAUGGAUGACAUAGUGGUCAAAACCAAGGACGGGCCACCUCUUGUGCAAGAUCUGGAAGAGACAUUUGCCAACCUGCGCAAGAUCAACCUCAAGCUGAACCCUGAGAAGUGUGUCUUCGGCGUUCCAUCCGGCAAGCUUCUCGGGUUCUUUGUGUCGCAGCGCGGGAUCGAGGCAAACCCAGACAAGAUCAAGGCUAUUGGGUUGAUUGAGGCGCCCAAGCGGAUCAAAGAUGUGCGUCGGCUCACCGGCUGCGUUGCCGCCAUGAGCCGAUUCAUCUCCAAGUCUGCCGAGCGCGCCCUUCCCUUCUUCAGAAUCUUGAAAAAGGCAGGCCCAAUGGAGUGGACCCCAGAAGCCGAGGCAGCAUUGCAGGAUCUAAAGAAAUACCUUUCCUCCACGCCAAUACUGGUUGCGCCUAAACCACAAGAGCCGUUGCUGCUGUAUCUGGCGGCGACGAAUCAAGUGGUCAGCGCUGCGCGGGUGGCACAGAGGGAGGUCAACGAGGAGGCAGUGACAACGGCAGAACCAGCGGAUGGCAAGCCCAAGAUUCCCCCGGUAGGGCCUGGUGCCAGCAAGGCGAGGCCCCCGACAGAGUCUGAUGCCGCCGAGGCAGUGCCUGCGCAGUCAAGUGAGGUGGUGCAGAAGAAGAAGAUGAUGCAGCACCCGGUUUACUUUGUCAGCUCCCUCUUGCAGGGAGCUAGAUCGAGGUACUCCGGUGUGCAGAAAUUGCUCUUCGGCCUCCUGAUGGCCUCGAGGAAGCUGCGUCAUUACUUCCAAGCCCACGAGAUCACCGUCGUCACCCGCCUCCCAUUGCAACGGAUACUGUACAACCUAGAUGCGACUGGAAGGAUUGUGGAAUGGGCCUUGGAGUUGUCAAGCUUCGGUUUAAAGUUUGAAAGUACCUCGAGAAUUCAGAGCAGAGUCUUGGUGGAGUUCAUUGCAGAAUGGACCUCAACGCCCGACGAAGAAAUCCAGGAGACCACUCUCCCCGGCAAGGAAGCAGACCGCGACUGGAUCAUGUACUUUGAUGGGGCUUUCUCGCUGCAAGGCGCCGGUGCCGGUGUGCUGCUCGUCGCGCCAACCGGAGAGCACCUCAAGUACAUUAUCCAGAUGCACUUCCCCAGGGAGAUGUCCACCAACAACACUGCUGAGUACGAGGGAUUGCUCGCCGGUCUCAGGAUCGCGGCAGACCUUGGGGUUAAGAAGCUCAUCGUCAGGGGAGACUCGCAGCUUGUUGUUAGGCAUGUCAACAAGGAUUACCAGAGCCCAUUGAUGGAGGCCUACGUAGAUGAGGUGAGGAAGCUGGAGGAACGCUUUGACGGUAUCCAAGCGGAGCACGUCCCCCGAAUGGAGAACGACAUCGCCGAUUACCUGUCAAAGCGUGCUGCAUUCAAGCUACCUGUGGAACUAGGUACCUUUUUACUCCGGUUAACUCAACCAUCCGUCGAGCCAUCAACGGGGCAGAACAAGCAGAAGUAGUCAGGUCCCGGCAAGUACUUUCCUACCGAGCCCCCUGGGGCCGCCGGCAAGGGUGCUGCCGCGGACGCUGAGCCUGCCCAAGAGCAACUGGCUCCGGCAGGGCGUCAAGCCCUGGCCGUAGAGACAGCCGUUCCCAUGGCGGAAGAAAUGCCUUUGGCCCUUGCCGUCGAGCCCCAGGCUCCGGCAUGGGCGCAGCAUACCGUCCAAUUCCUCCAAACAGGGGAGCUUCCUCAGGAGCAGGAAGAAGCGGAAAAAGUAGCCCGUCGGUCCGCCCUGUACCAGUUCGUCGAUGACGUCCUGUACAGGAGAAGGCCGAACGGCGUGAAAUUGAAGUGCAUCCCCCGGGAGGAAGGACUGGUGCUGUUGGCGGAGAUACAUGGAGGCAUAUGUGGCUCCCACAUAGGGUCGAGGGCCCUUUCCAGAAAGGCGUUCCGGCAAGGUUUCUUCUGGCCCACCGCCCUCCAGGAUGCGACGGCAGUAGUAACCAAGUGUGAAGCGUGUCAGUUCCAUUCAAAGAAGCUUCAUCAACCAUCCCAAGCCCUUCAAACAAUCCCUCUCUCCUGGCCAUUCUCGGUCUGGGUCUCGACAUACUGGGCCCUUUCCCCCGCGCUGUCGGGGGCUUUGAGUACUUGUACGUUGCAAUCGACAAGUUCACAAAGUGGCCGGAGGUGGAAGCAGUGAGAAAGGUGACUGCUCAGUCACCUGUCAAGUUUUUCAAGGGACUGGUCUGCCAUUUUGGUGUGCCAAAUAGAGUCAUCACCGACAACGGCACGCAGUUCACGAGCCACACCUUCAUGCAAUACAUUCAAGACCUCGGCAGCAAGGUCUGUUUUGCUUCCGUGGCACACCCACGGAGCAACGGCCAAGCGGAGAGGGCGAAUGUUGAAGUGUUGCGAGGCCUAAGGACAAAGACUUUUGACAAGCUGCGCAAGAGCGGAAGGCGCUGGAUUGAUGAAUUGCCGGCGGUUCUUUGGUCGAUCAGAAUGACGCCAAAUCGAGCCACCAGCCAGACACCUUUUGCCCUGGUCUACGGGGCAGAAGCAGUUCUCCCCACGGAACUCAUAUACGGGUCACCUCAAGUGCUAGCUUAUGAUGAGCUUGAGUAAGAGCAGUUGCGCAAAGAUGACGCGACGCUCCUUGAGGAAGAUCGUCUUCGGGCGGCUGUGAGAGUAGCACGCUACCAGCAAGCCUUGCGCCGCUACCAUAGCCGCAAGGUUCAUGCCCGAAGCUUUGAGGAAGGCGACCUUGUUCUUCGGCGCGUUCAGUCGGCCAAGAAUGCCAACAAGUUGACGCCGAAGUGGGAAGGCCCUUAUCGGGUAAUACGAGUCACCAGGCCCGGCGCAGUCCGCCUGGAGACCGAAGAUGCCGUCCCAGUGAGCAACUCCUGGAACAUCGAGCAUCUUCGCAAGUUUUACCCAUAAGGUGCGGCUUGCCGGGCCUCCCGGCAAGCCACCUUUUGUACAAGCUUUGCCGGCAAGGCAUGUGACCCUUUGUACAAAGCCAGGCACAAACCCUGAGCAUAAAUAAAUGAAGCGCUGGCGCCCUAAGUCAUAGCAUGCAUGCUAGGUCGAGUCCCUUCCUUGGUUAGGGUUGAUAGUACUCAGCAGCGACUAACCCCUAGCUUAGAGGUCGAGUGCGCGUCUAUCUGUUUCUCUUCUGUCCUCUUUUGGUUCGCAGGGCACAUGAGCACUUCUACCGAGCUACUUGGAAGAAAGAAAACGGAACAGCGUCCUGACCCCGGCAAACCAGAGUUGCCGGGGGCUGCAAGCACAAGGAUCCAACCGCGGCAAGAUGAGAUUGCCAGGGGCUGCAGAUCUAGAUAAGUCUUUCAUCCUCUGUCAUGUAUUUCGGAACCGGACUGGGGCAUGUGAAACCUCGUUUUUAUCUCUAGGCUGCCGUGCUCCCCUUUUUCCUAUACCUAAGGAUUAUUUCCUGGGUUCGGAUUUGGUUGUAGCCGCGGUAGCAAGGAGGUAGAACGAGGAGCCUAAAGCCCACUUCAUCCCUGCCUCCGCCAAGAGCGCGAGAAGGUCGAGUGGAGUGGGGGGACGGCAAGGUCUGUUGCCGGGUGAAAAACGUUUAUCUUAAACAAUAACAAGGAUUCGCUCCUUGUCGCGGGAUUUACCCAUGAACGAAAAACCCGGCAAGCAUCCCUUUUUCAUUAAAAACAUCCCAUACAGGUACAGUUCGUACGGAAUGAAAAACUUGAGCAAGGGGAUUACAAGUUCUAAAUUUAACGAAGGCCCGCAGGCUUACAAACUAAAAAAGAGAUAAGAUGCCCGUAAUCCCUUUCUUGUCCCUGUCCUCAGGAGGCAGGUCGAGGAGGCGAGAGGGCAAAAGGGGCGCCUAGGCGAGCUACGAGCAGCAGAAAGCACCAAGAGAACACCUCGGUGGCUGCCCACGGGUGGGUCGGUGAUGACGGUGCCGGGAAAGGAGCUGGAAGAUGAGGCGGCAGGACCGGCAAUACGCGAUGAAGGCGUCGGUGCCCGCGUACUCCGAGUUGAUGGCCUUGCCACCCGCCCUCUUCCUCUUCCGCAGCCUCCCGACGCUAGCCUCCCAAGGAGACGGCCCCGAGAAGUUCAAGGAGCUGGCCCCACCCCUGGCAAACCUCUGCCGGAGGAGCGGCCAGGUGCAGAUGCUGCUGCUGCCGCACCCGCCCAGGCGCGGGGCGUCCGACGCCUAGUCGGACUCGUCCCCGUCAUCUGCCCCGCUGUCCUCCUCAUCACUUUCACUCGAGGAAGAGCUUCCAUCAUCGGAAUCUUCGUCGGAGGAGCUUUCCACGCAGCACUUCAGGCGAGUUCCAAACUCUCCGAAGACCUUGACGGAGAGCAGGCCAUCCUCCAUUAAUUUGAAGUAGAGGACGAGCCCCGCCGUCAGGCUGUGGAUGCGAGCAAACGUCUUCCAUCCACGGCGGAUGUACAUAACCCGAGGAGCCGAGAAGUCGACGUAGACCCGCGUGCCCCCGUUCCCACAGCCCCUCAUGUGCAACCUGAGGGUCUGGGGCGGGUCACGCUCCAUCACCCGAGCAAACGGGGCGGGGAGACGAAGACGAUGACACGGAGGCCGGCGCAGCCUGAUGAAGAACUCGCGGGGCUGGUCUCCGACAUGGCCUUCCAUCGGAAAAGGCAACAUUGGCGGGGGCGAAGCCGGCGCGCCGCCUCGUCCUCCUCUUCCCCGAGCACUGCGACCUCUGCCCCGGCCUCGCCCACGGCCUCGCCCCCUCCCCCUUCCCCUCGCGGCCGGCUCCACCACCGCGGGCUCAGGAGGAGAAGGGACGCGCUGUCGAGCGGCGACCCUCGCCGCCACCGUCGAAGGACCAGGAUUCCCUUUCUCCAUGGCGAGUGAAAGGAAGAAGCAGAAGCGAGAGGAGAUAGAUGACAGAAGAGUGCGAGACGCCAUCUCUCCUCCCCCUUCCUUAUAAGGGAGCGGGGUCGGGGCUCGGCUGCCCCGCUCGGCCAAUCCGGCCACCAGAGGCGCAGGGAAUCGGGACCGACCCGCUGCCCCAACCAGCGACGGCCUGGUUUCCCGCCUCCACCGCUUGCCACCCCAAGUGCAUGGAGGACGCGUGGCGAACGUGCAGAACCGAGGGGACGGGCGAAGCGACCUCUCCCCACCCCGUGAUCGUGGGGAGUGGACGCCUUGAAGACCGCACCCUGGCCCCGUUCAGUAAAUGAGCCGCGCCUCCACGCCUCCCUCUUUUUACAGGGAAGGCGCGAGCCGCCUCUUUACUGCGAUGUGACGCAUGCAUGUGGAGACCGCCCCAUGCAUGCCGCCCAUGUCACGCACACCCCUCCACGCCGCGCUGCGGGCGCGGGUCGUGGGUAGUGCAGCGCGCGAAAAGUCUUACCACGGUAAAAAACUGCCCCGCCUGCCCGCGCACCGUUUUGGGCCUGGCCUAACAACGUGUCGUGCUUAUGUGUAGCAACACGAACUUCUUCAACUCUUGGUUCUUCUUCUUGGUCAUCGGCUGAUGUGUCGGUGUACAAAAAGAGGGGUGCGUUUUUGUACCCCUUUACCUGUGCACGGGUAGUCGGAGCGGCGCCCACGGUCACGCCAAGCAGAACAGGGGAGGUAAGCCAAGGUAAGACCGAAGCCCAAGAUAAUCAGAGCAAAGCCAAGGCCAAGACCACAAAGAGCAGAGGGACAAAGCAGGUUCCCCCGGCAAGACCCUUGCCGGGGCAGCCCCGUCAAGAUCCUUGCCGGGGCAGCUCGCCCCACACCAACAGAGCGAGCCACCCUUGAGCCCACGGUCCCCAACGCCAUCAUCCACGUGGGGCCAGGGCUCGGGAAGGCACCUCUGUGGUGGCAUGCAGAUCUUUGUGAAGACAUAUUCAAGGUCAGAUGAGGAUUAGAAGACGACGAUCCUUGGCAAGACCAGACCCCCGGCAAGGCCCUUUCCGGGGACGACAGCGCGCCACGGCAAGACCCUCGCCGGGCCACCCGGCAAGGCCCUCACCAUGGACGCCAGCGGGGCCACGGCCAGGCCCACGCCAACCAAGCUUCCACCGCCGUUCACAUGCAGCUGCCAGCCCAACCAGCUGGGCAGACACCUGCGUGGCGACAUGCAGCCCCCAGGCCAACUCAUCAAGCGCCUGCGUGGCGGCAUGCAGAUCUUCGUGAAGGCUCCACCACCACGCCACCUCAGCUGCCUGCCUGCCUACAUGGCGCCGCACGCAUCGCUGGCCAGGGCGCGUGUCAAAGCGAGGAGGAGCGGCGACGGACGGGACGGGCCUCGCCCCCGUCCCCAAUAAAGCAAGGGGACACCUAAGCUACGCAUUAAAUGCGUCUUGUCCUGUAAUGCGAGCGAUAAGCUCAGGGCACUGUACGCCUUUCCACCUCGUGUGUGCCACUGUGGCAGCCCCUUCCGACUAUAAAAGGAGGCCUGUGGCAUACUGGAGAAGGAUUCGGCUCUUUCGAACCACGCACUCACCACAGCUAGUUCGAGAGCUCAAGAACUCUCUGAAAUACACCCACCAAAGCAGGACUAGGGUUUUACGCAUCCUCGCGGCCCAAACCUGGGUAAAUGAUCCUUGUGCUGUCUACUAGCCCUGCUCUUCUCGCAACCCCGUGCCCCGGCAACCGUAGUAGGGAUUCUUGUGAUCACAUAGGUGUCGUUCCACACCGACAGGAUGACAGGCAACGUACACCAUGAAGCUAAAGCUUUUGACAUUAUUGAGCUCACUGGUCCGCCCACUCCAGGUGAACUAUAUGAACCUGGUUGUCAGCUUCACCGCAAUGCUUUGGAGAGCAUCUUUUAGAAGCCAGAGCCCAACAUGAGCCAAAUGCUGAGCACGAUGAAGCCUCUGCCACAUGACGCUGAUUACCCAAAGGAAUUCUUUGUUGAAGACCUAGAGUAUCUGCCCCGCACUAUUUAUCAUAUCAUCAGGCGAACUCUAUGGCCUGUCAAAGGACAUUCUUCAGCAGCGAAACUUGAAGGAGCAAUGAAGACUUUGGUCUUUUAUAUCUUCAAUGGCAUCAACUUCAAUGCUCAAGACUUCUUUAUCAGGCAGUUGGCUGCAUCAGGCUCUGAUCUCUUUGGACCGAAGUUCUACGCUCCAUGGGUUAUGCGCCUCAUCAAGCUACAUUCAGCUGUGAACUAUCAGCCCUCUGCUCGCAACCAUCUGAUCUUUCUGCCAGAGGUUGAUAUGUCAGUUGAAGCCAUAUACCCAGAGCCUGCCAAGGAGCCUGUUUGUCUUCACAAUGCUGAUCACCAAAGCUUCACACAACCCAUUGAAGGAGUCCAGGCAGUCACUCGUGUUUAUCCUUUGGCUGGCAAUACACGCUUACCUUGCCGUGCUCAAACUGAAGCCACUGAAAGCACUAUUGCUCAAAGGCCUCGGAAGCGAUCUCGUGUUCUCAAUGACCGAGAACUUCUUGUUGCCCUGCAUCAGAAACAGGAUAAGCAUCACUUCUGGCUGAAGUGGCAGAUGCAAAGCCUCUUGGUGGACGUCAAUCGCAUUCGCAAUCUUGCCACCAAGAAUGCCUUUGUUACACAUGAAACCUGUCGGAGGUCAUGGAAGAGUUUGACAUUGCUCAGUGCUGAAGCAGAUCUUCAAGACGAUGGCUUCACUGAAAGAUUCAAGUUUGACUCCACUCCUCCAAGGAAUGCUAUCUUGUGUCGACCUCCGUCUCUUGAAGACUCUGACUAUUCCUCCUCCGCUGCAAUGGUGAAUGCCAGAGUAAUCGAUGAUCAAGAUGAUGCUACUUCACCUCCUCCAACUUCAGCGCGUAUCGACACUGCACCAAGUUCGUCUGCACCGCCAAACCCCGACGCCGACCCUGCAUCCUCUCCUACUCCUUCUGGGAAUGAGUAGAGGCUCUAUGUCUUCAAACCUUUUUGGUCCUUACUGACAAAAGGGGGAUAAGCAUAUGAGUUGAUAGUCUUCAAGCGGGUCCAUAUGGGCGGUUGCUUUAUAUUUUGCCUAGUGUUUACAACUCUCGCUUUUGAAACAUUUGGUUCUUUUGAGUUGUAACACUUAAACUUGAUGGUCGUCUGCUACCUCUUUGCUAUUCUGUGAUGCGAUGAUAAAUUCCGCAUGUGCGAUGAUAAAUCCCGCACGAAGUCAAAUUGCAGACGUCCAUUUUUCAUUAUGCAUGUCAUUAUCUUCGUUAUAUCAAAUCAUGCAUGAUGAAUUGUCUUCAUAAGUGAAGAGAAUCUCCACAAGUACAACCUGCCAUGUGCAUUUGCAUUCCAAAAGCAAAUUACUUAUAUGCACAUCUUCAGGGGGAGCCUUUUGCUACUUAUGAAGACAAUACCUAAACCCCAGUGAACAAAGUCAGAGUGACUAAAGUGAUGCUCAACCAAAAUCCUAUGUCUUCGAGCGAAGACAAUGAGAGCAAAUCUUAUCCAGAGCUGGAUGAGUCAGCUUACUUGCAGCCCAAGUCAAGCUGUCGCGUGUGUUUGAAAUCUGACCAUUGGAACACGAGUGACCCAGGGUCAUUUCAGACAGAUCAGGUCGGGUUGCCUAGUGGCUAUAAAUAGCCCACCCCCUACACCAUAAAUUGGUGGCUGCUCAGAGUUAGUGCAUGACUUCUGUCAUUUGAGAGCAACCCACCUCCGAAGCUUUUGAGAGAGAGAAAUCCUUGCGAGGACAAAGCCCAAACACCCAGAGCCAAAGAGUGUUAGGCAUCACUGAAGUCUUUUUGUCCGCGUGACCUGAAGACUUGUUACACUUGAGGACAGUGAAUCCUCCAGCCGGUUAGGCGUCGCGUUCUGAGCAUCCAAGAGUCAUUGUGGAUCGCCGGUGAACGAAGUCUGUGAAGGUUUGGAAGUCUACCUUGAAGACUUACCUACAGUUUGUCUUCGUGAAGUCAUUGCCUGCUUGCACUACUUGUUUGACUUCACUGUGUGACUACUAUCAUUGUUUGGCUUCAUACCAUCUUCCAUCCUGAUCUGUUCUACCUAGCUGCUAUUAGUCUUCGUGCUUUCACUUUAUUGCAUACUUGACUAUGGCUUGCUUAGUGUAGUCUACCUUCCGCUGCAUAUCAAUAGGUUCAUUUCUAUUUGUUUGUCUUCGAAACUCUCAUGUUUUGAAGACGUUCAUAAAAAUCGCCUAUUCACCCCCCUCUAGUCGAUAACUAGCACUUUCAAUAAUGAACCCCUUGCAACCCACGUUCCACAACCAGCCGAUCCCCGCUGGGCACUUCAAGGUUAACUUGUCCAGUGUGAAAUCGGGGCACGGGGAUUUGCCUCCUCCAGUACAGCAUGUGGGAGAGGACGACGAGACCCCGCCGCGGAUUGGAAGCUGCCAGGGUUGGGUGCUGCUAUGGCCGAAGAAUCUUAUUCACCUGGAGCCGGCCGAGAGCACACCAAUAACCACACAUCAACAAGCAUGUGCGGAGACCACCACCCCGCCUACGCAAUUACCAGCUCCUGUAGUGCCGGGUGAGAGCGGCGGACGACGUGAUGAAGGGGGUGCAAUAGUACUGGCUGCUGUAAUAGGUCCUGUAGAACAAAGAAUGGAUGAUGAGACGGAGGUCGACCCAAUGGGUUUCCUCAAUACAAACGCGUAUGACUGUGACUUAGAUAUGAUGAGUCAACCAUAUGACGAACCGGGCUAUCAGCAUGCUAAUGAGGAUAUGGAUGAUCUGCCCGGGCAGGAAGGUCGUAGCAGGGAUUGCAAAAAGUCUCUCUUCAUGAAAUCCUCACAGGACACGCCUGAAGAUGCUGCCUCAACACAGGCUCAACUAGCCGGGGGUCGUACAGUGCUUAGCCCGGGAACACCGGGGCAGGGGUUAAGGAAGGGUCUGGAAGGUGUGCCCAAGAAAAAGGAGAGGAAGAGAUCGGGGAAGAUAGCUGCCUCCAAACAAGCCAGAGCACAUAGCAGCCAGACGAUGGAUUCUGAAGAGCGUGUACCCGUGAAAUGUGCGGCCAUGUUCCAUCUCAUGGGCGAGCCGAUGCUACCGCCAAAACCGCUGGAGGCACUAUCAGGGGAUCUGAGGAGACUGCACGACCAUGUGGUGUCGACUGAGAAAAGCCUACUAGCCUCGAAGGAUCCAGGAUAUCUGACAUACGCGGCUCGUGUGCCUGAGGGGAAGUGCGACGUCGACACACGGCCCGUGGAGGUGUUCUUCCUGCGGUUUGACCAUAUCUUUGAGAUGUUUCUGACAAGGUGGCUCGAUUUUACAAUCGUUCGCCUUUUUGCGCUACAUAUGAGCUCCGUCAUGAAGAGAGAAGAAGUCUCGCAAAUCUGUGUGGCGGAUCCGUACUACAUGCACGAGUCUUUCUUGAGUCUCGUCGACUUUGAGUGUGAAACCGCUAGGGACUACCUCCAAAACUUCAUGGUACAGAAUACGGACCAGGAAAUUGUCCUCCUGCCUUAUCAUCCAAAGUAAGUCAAUUCCGGACAACCCUUUCGUACAUUUCAAUCAUUCCUUCUUGCUCAUAUGGAGAGUAAUUUGAGGUGUCUUUUCCCCGCAGCAACGGGCGCGCCGUCCUUAUCGUUCUUUACCUGCGAGUCUCCCACACCGUGUAUUUUGACCCUUCUAGAGACUACGAGAAAAAGGACUACACCCACAUAAUGAAUAUUCUAGAUGAUGCUCUCCAAGGCUUCAGCAUUAGAGGUGGCCACAUGCAGAUCAGGAAACAAAGGAACAAGAAGAUGGGUUUUGCGCAUAAAACUAACUUCUGUUGCAUCCAUGUCCCAGAACCAAGUAAGAAGGAUGGAUUCUACAUCCUCCAUCUCAUGAUUGAGUUCAGCACGGAUCACCAAAAGCUUCGCAUGACAAGCAGAAAUGAUGAUCAUAUCCACAAGUGGCUAGAAUCUCAUGGAGAAGCGGAUUAUAAACUUAGAGAUGACUUCUUUCGCAUCCAAAGGGACAUUGCGAUGAUCAUCAUGAAAGAAGUCGUCGAUGAGAAGGGGAUGUUCCACCACGGCCCUAUAUCGCGAGCUGACGUCCGAACUCGCAUAGGCAUGCAACGUCAAGACCUUAUGCCGUUUAACAAGCUAGGGUCCAUCCUCGAUGAUAUGGAAGGAUGGAACUUCUAGUGAUUUAUGAUGCCGAUGAUGAUGAUAUGUGUCGGUUGAACUUGUAUACUUUCUGUAGCGAUGAAACUUUGUGAUGUCCAUGGUCCCUGCCAAACUUGCAUAACGCUACUUUGUUAGUUUGCGUACGAUGACCUGCGUACCUCUAGUUAAUUAGUUUGCGUACUGUAUGUUGCAUCUAGUUGCUAACCCUUUCUUUUUCGUGUUGCUCUAGUAUAUUUUGUUGCAUAUGAUUGUACAUCCUCUUCAUGAAGAUGCAUCUCUAACAGGUACCUAGUUUCUUGAUGGCGAGAUGGCAGUGCUAUGUCGUGUACAAAGGGAAGGUUCCGGGGGUGUACAACGAGUGGCCUGAGUGUUAGGCGCAAGUGAAUGGGGUCUCGGGCGCCAGCCAUAAAGGCUUCAAAAGCAAACAAGAAGGAGAAGCUAGUUACUUGAGGUUCACGCUAGCGCGAGAGAGGACUCGUAACCGCCGCCUCAUGUACUGCAUAGUUCCGCUCUCACUCAUAGUGAUAGCUCUUCUCGCGUAUACCAUUGUUUAGAUGGAUGACGUUGUAGUUGCAAGUAUUCGAGACUUGCAUGUAUCGCUAUUUUUGAGAUGAUGACGAGAUACCACUUUGUGUUGGAUGAUGAUUAUGAUGAGACUAUUUGUAUGUAUAUGCUAUGAUUACAUUUCUGGUCUCGGAGCCAUUUGUAUGUGCAUCAUGAUGACAUUUGUAUCUGCUAAAGAUUCCUGUAUAAAGCCUGUUCAAAUACAAAACAAACAUGCAGAAAAAAACAAAAACUACUAAAAUUAGCAGUAGCGAGUGGAGAAAAGUUAGCAGCAGCGUCACAGUAGCAGUAGCGCGUCCUGGCAAAGCGCGCUAGAGCUAUUAGCAGUAGCAAGCUUCCACGAAGCACGCUGCUGCUACACUUGUAUAGCAGUAGCGCGGGUGUGCACGCGUUGCUGCUAUGGGUUAGCUGUAGCGCCUUAUUAGUAGCGUCGGUCCCUGCGCUACUGAUAUACCUAGAAACCGCGCUGCUGCUAGCACUACAAAAAAAAAAGACACAUCCAUGACAUUUUGGGCCGAACGAAUUUUUUUUUCUGUCAUACUUAUGACACUUCUAUGACAAUAAUUGUGACAAAACACGGUAUCAUCAUAGAUGUGGUGGGGUCCUACUUCUAUGACAAAAAAUCAUGAUAGAAAAUGGGCUUUUCGUCCUGGGCGGGCCGGAGACGCAGCUGCAUGACAUUCUUUGGGCCGUCCAUGACGGAAAAAACCGUGGUAGAAGCGAGGGCGAGGAAAAUAUCGGGGUGUUCCCGGUUAUGGUGGGUGGUCGGGGCCGAGCGAUGCGCGUUUCUCUUGUACACGCACGCGCGUGGGUGCGAGGCGUUGGGCUCUAACUGAACCCGAGCGAGGCGUUGGGCUCUAACUGAACCCGAGCGUUUGCACUGCAGGCUACACGUUACUGAACUCGAGCGAUCGAUCGAUGGCUGUUAACUAAACCCGAUCGAGCGAUUCCUUCGCUACUACUGCUAACUGAAGCCGAUCGAUGCUGCCUCUGGAUGAACAGUGAGCGUUGCUGGGGGGGGGGGUUGGAUGAACAGUUCCCAGUGAGGGUGGAUGAACAGGACCCUGUGGUGUUGCCUCUGGAUGAACNNNNNNNNNNNNNNNNNNNNNNNNNNNNNNNNNNNNNNNNNNNNNNNNNNNNNNNNNNNNNNNNNNNNNNNNNNNNNNNNNNNNNNNNNNNNNNNNNNNNNNNNNNNNNNNNNNNNNNNNNNNNNNNNNNNNNNNNNNNNNNNNNNNNNNNNNNNNNNNNNNNNNNNNNNNNNGGUUUGGAUGAAUAGUCCAGGCGGGGGUGGAUGAACAGGACCCCGUGGUGUUGCCUCUGGAUGAACAGGACCCCGAUCGAUCGAGCCGGUUGGGGCUGGAUGAACAGGACCCCAUGGAGGGCUGGAUGAACAGGACCACCCCGUGGAGGGCUGGAUGAACAGUAGACGGUGGAGGGCUGGAUGAACAGUAGCCCGUGGAGGGGUGGUUGAACAGGAGCCCGUGGAGAGGGCUGGUUGAACAGUAGCCGGUGGAGUAGCGCGCGGUGGAGGCUGGAUGAACAGGAGCCCGUGGAUGAACAGUCGCAGGUGGAGGCUGGAGGAGGUCGACGGUGGAUGAACAGUAGGCCGUGGAGGCUGGAGGGGGUCGACGAUGGAGAUGAACAGUAUCCCGUGGAGUCCCGUUUUGCGGUACGCCACACCCCUCCCGAUGAACAGGACCCCCUUUGUAGCGCUCCAACACAAGUCCGUUUCCUCCGUUUUGCGGUACGCCACACCCCUCCGAUCAACAGGACCCCCGUUUCGACCGUAGGAGGUCUGUUUCCUCCGUUUUGCGGUACGCCAGACCCCUCCUGAUGAACAAGAUCCCGUUUCGAAUGUGGCCGGGCGAACACAAGGCCGUUUCCUCCGUUCUGCGGUACGCCAGGCCUCGUUUCCAUCGGCUGUUCCGUCCAAGCCGGUUGGCUCCCACGCGUUCCGUUGCCUCCCGAUGAACACGACACAUUCCGUUGCCUCCCCAUGAACACGACGACGACGCAGUUUCUCCAUUCCGACCCAGCCAUGUACACGAGCCCUGGCCGUACGUACGCACGAGUAGGCGUUCGAGACCCCGCCCGUAUGUACGUACGUGGCCGUAUUUACUUUCUUGCACCCUGGCCGCUGUACGUACAUGUACAUGCUACGUGCGCGCCUCUACAUUGACCAGUAUGUACGUACACGUUCGCGAUCAGAAUGACAACGCUACGUAUGCUUCGACCAGGUGGGUCCCGACUGUCAGGCACUUCCUUGCGUGCGAAGAUGUAGCUGGUGGGUCCCAGCAGUCAGUGGGGCGAAUUAUUUUUUUUUGCCCGGACGCACUUCCUUGCAUGCGAAGAUGUCGCUGGUAGGUCCCAGCAGUCAGGGGGGAAACGUUUCUUUUCACGAAAUACGGUUGCCCGUUCGGUGGGUCCUUGCUGUCAGGUGGAGGAAUCAUUAUUUUCCGCGUAAUAAGGAGGCACUUCCUUGCUGCGUCCGUGGACCCAGCCGUCAGCCUCUCCACGUACAGUCCACAUCCGAUGGAAGCCGUUCCUUGACCACGUUGACCACGGGGUGCCGAGAGCACCAGGGCGGUGGACGACGGCGAGGCCUAGGAAGGGGACGACACGGAGCCGGGGAAGACGCGGCAGUGGAUGCCCACGCGUAGAGGAGUAUGAGGGUUCACUGGUUCGCUGUGGUGUGAGGCUGUUGUCGCCGCAGAAUAACAGGGGGUGUGGGUGAGUAGAGGGAUGGCCUGGCCAGCGGUGGGAGUAGUAGAUGUGGUGAGGCCUCCGCGACGUCGCAGCCGGCCACGAGAGGCAGGAGCACGAGGCACGACCGGCGCUGCUUUGGGCGGCUGGAGCAAGAAGACCAGAGGUUGAAGAAGCACUACGGCCGUUGGAUGGACAUCGUACGGUCACUGGAGCUAGAAUCAUUCAUAUUGACUAAGUUGACAAAGCACUCCGUCCCCAUCAACUUAGUAGGCCCACAAGUCAGCCUCCCACCAAGGUGGGUCCCAACUAGCAGGGGGAGUAUUCAUUUUUUGUGCGUAAUAAGGAGGCACUUCCGGUGGGUCCGAGCUGACAGCGGGGGGAAUGUUUUUUCGCGAAAUACGGUGGCCCAUCCGGUGGGUCCCAGCAAUCAGGGGGGAAACGUUUUUUCGCGAAAUACGGUUGCCCGUCCGGUGGGUCCCUGCUGUCAGGUGGAGGAAUAAUUAUUUUCCGCGUAAUAAGGAGGCACUUCCUUGCUGCGGCCGUGGACCCAGCUGUCAGCCUCUCCACGUACAGUCCACGUCCGAUGGAAGCCGUUCCUUGACCACGUUGACCACGCCGCGCCGAGAGCACCAGGGAGGUGGAUGACGGCGAGGCCUAGGAAGGGGACUACGCAGAGCUGGGGAAGACGCGGCAGUUGAAGCUCGCGCGGAGAGGAGUACGAGGGUUCACUGGUUCGGCUGCGGUGUGAGGCUGCCGUCGCCGCAGAAUAACAGGGGGUGUGGGUGAGUAGAGGGAUGGCCUAGCCAGCAGUGGGAGUAGUAGGGGGCAGUGAGGCCUCCGCGGCAUCACAGCCGGCCACGGGAGGCAGGAGCACGCGGCAUGACCGGCGCUGCUUUGGGCUGCUGGAGCAAGAAGACCAGAGGUUGAAGAAGCACUACGGCCGUUGGAUGGACAUCGUACGGUCACUUCAGCUAGAAUCGUUUAUAUUGACUAAGUUGACAAAGCCCUUGGUACGCGUCAACUUAGUAGGCCCACAGGUCAGCCUCUGAAACGGUGCACCCCAGAUGUCAGGGGGAGGAAUCAUUUUUUGGGCGGCUGAAGCAAGAAUAUCCGAGAUUGAAGAAGAAGCACGACAUCCGUUGGAUGGACAUCCAACGGCCACAGCUGCCAGAACCGUUGUUGUUGACAAAGCCUUGCAUACGCGUCAACUUAGUUUUUUUUAGGGGACGCGUCAACUUAGAAGGCCCACAAGUGUGUGGCAAAGAACAUAUAGCCCAUUUGCGAUUUGUAAGAAUGUACAGCCCAUUUUUUAAUUCUAAUGGAAUUUACUACAUCCCAUUUAUAGUUUGUUAAAAGUACAGCCCAUUUUUUAAUUGUAAUGGAAUUUACUAUAGCUCAUUUACAGUUUGUUAAAAGUACAACUCAUUUUCUAGCUAGGACAAUGAUUAAUAAUUUCAACCAACCGCUCAAAACAGAAUUAAAAAGAAAUUCCCACAUUUUUAUGGGAUCCGAAAUAUUUUUAUCCCAAAUUUCUAGUCAGACUAAAUAUAAUUUCAAAAUAAAGUUGUAUUACGUUAAAAUCCAACGAAAUAUUACACGCGCAACAAGUAAUGAAAUUAAAAUUUUCAAAUUCCAAAAAUAAUAUAUUUUUUAAACUAAUUACGUGUUUGGUGCAUUUUUUUAUAGUUACUGCCCAGUUAUUAUAAUUACAUCCCAUUUAUUAUUUCUUAAAGUCCAUUUUCCUGUUAAGCCUAAUGCAUACCUUCUAGGAAAGUUUGCAGCCCAGCGGGGCGGAGAAUAACAAGUUGACCCGGAUAUUGUGUACAACUGUCGGCCCAAUUGCAUUGCUAAUGUUGAGAAAAAAGCCUGUGUAGUACAGUACAACCUAACAUGGCUACUCAACCCACAUUCAGCGACGCCGGAAAGGCCCAAACAAGGCUUCUAUACAACUUUUUGAAGUCACUGAGCUCAAUUAAUAACUUAAGAAAAAAGUUAGAUUACAGCGGAACCUAAUUAAAAGCUGUCACGAGCAAAGAAAUAAUUCAACGGGUCCCACUUGUGCGUGUGUGCGUGUGCGUGUGUGUGUGUGUGUGUGUGAGAGAGAGAGACCCAUCGGUCGAUGCUCAUAAAUACAUCUUUCAGCCAUAUGCAUUGCUGAUGCUCAGUAAAAACUUAUAUAGUUGACACAAUCAUAUAGAACAUCAUAGCACACCGAACUUGCAUACAAAAAUUUCAUGCAGGCGGCACAAUCAGGAUGGAAGGAGUGGAUCGCUACGGGUAGGGCUAUGUUGAAACCAACGAACUCGUACAUAACGGUUCAUCGUAUUUAUCAAUGACAGGGAAAUAUCUUGACUACUGUGCAAAGAAAACAGACAGACAACACAAUAAGUUCUGCUAGCACAUUAAGUUGACGUACAUCCCUUUCUAAAAAAAGUUUAGGUACAAAAUUACAACAUGUCACAAUCAAAUGUACUGGCACAUCAGUGCUUCACACCCAUAGCUCGGAUUUAACUAGUAUCUGACAAGAUUCAGUUGUUACCUCAAAUUAGAGCACAUCCAGGCAGCCAGCCCUGCCUCUUCUCCCAAAGAAGCAGUGGCCUCCGCCGCGCGAUGGAGUAGGCCCUGUGCCAUCCAUCGUUCCGAGCAACACGGGGAAAGUCUGACGUUGACUCCUAUAAUGGACGUCGUCGACGGACCCUGGCACCAGCGGUGGCGGCAGGACUUCGAUUGAUGGAUUGACCACUUUGUCGACAUGCACGAACACUCGAUACAGGUACAUCCCUAACGUGGUCCGCGGCGGCCUUGGUGGCGACGAAUAGUACAACCCCGCUUCCUGAACCGGUAUCUCAACACCAAUCACCUUCGGUAUAGUGGACGGCUUCUUCAUCCAUGCCAUAACCAUCAGAGCCCAGCUGUUUGGAGGAACAAACAUACUUACGAGCUCACCUCCAAGGUCGUUGAUAAGCUCAUUCAUGGACUCGCUGUUCCAAGCACGUCGAGGCAUGCCGUGGAAGGUAAGCUUUGUUAAAAACUCAAGCUCAGAGGGCACCGAGCCCCAUCCUGGGUGCCACCGAUCAAAGCUCACCAGCGCGCCAUCGCAGAACAAACGCCGGGAAGAUUCAAACACACGACUGUAGUCGAAAGUUGUCCGGAACCUGACGAAGAAAUCAGCUGAUGGCGGACAGACUUCAACGAGUAAGUCACUUAUUUGGAUGCCGUGCGCAAUAACAAGAGCUUUGACAAGGUCGUCCAGCGAGACGGGAGGCCGGUCGCCGUUGAUGGUUACCAUCAGCACUUUGCCGGCAAACUGGUCAUCAAGCGCCGCCAUGCCACUGUUGAGCGACAGCAUGCAGUGACCGAAGGCAGGAUGGACCUCAGGAUCUCUGGCUCGGAGAUCCGCAUUGACCGGUGACAUGAUGGUGAGCUUGAGUACAGGGAGUACAGGAGGGGGAUUUGGGGGAACUGGAGUAGGAAUCGAGAUUCUAGAGGUGGGGGAGGGGCGGGAGAUUGGGGAUGAAAAGGUAGCUUGAAUUUCGAACACGCGCCAAUAUGCUCUCGGCGCGCAAGCGCACGAAAACACCGGUGGCACCCACAUGUCGGCCUAAGAGUCCUUAUUCUUUCUUUUUUGGAGAGCCUGGCCUUUUUUUUGAGGAUCUUUUGAGAGCCCGGCCUGAGAGUCAUAAUUGACCUGUUUGGCAUUGCGUUACUACUCGGCCCAUAUUCAACGACACCUCACUGGCCCAAACAAGUGUACAUCAUUGAAAAGACACUGAGCUCAAAUUAUAUAACUUGAAAAAAGGAGAUACACUCUGAACACUGGAGAAUGGUGAUGCCCUCAUUUAGCCCACCAGUAGUUCGAGACAAUAAAUAGUUCGAAACAACGAUAUAUACAACAUUCAAACACUAACUAGUGACUACUACUGACAUAAACAACAAGACAUGAUAGUUCAUAAGAAGUCUUGCUACACCACCAAAACGCACCCAUCUGCAGCGCUCAGACUCUCGUGAUCCAGACGAGAAUGACAUUCUAAACAGAGGUAACUAUUACAUAGUAAGAGUGACAUAGACGAGGAUGACCAAAUGACAAGGAAUAUGCAUAACAAAAGAAAGAACUACCCAUCCAGAACAAGCAGCAAAGACAACAAAGUCAUUCGAAGAGAUGAUCCAACACCAUCAUAAUCUGCAGCCCUGCUUCAGCGACCAAUGAUCCGGAGACACCAGUACUUCACCCUUCUGAUGCAACAGCGCAAUUACCUAUCAACCUGAAGGCUUGAACCACAUCACUGCCUGUCGUAAUUGAGACAUCCAAGGAUCAAAGUUAAUCCGGAUGCCUUUGUCAUUCUCACCUUCUUUUGGUUGCAGGCUGUAUCGUUGACAAUCAGGGGAGUUUGCUCCCGAACUCCUAGGGCUUGCCGUGUAGACACAAUUUUCCAUAGCAAACAGAGCCUCUCUGCCAUCAAGGUCCUUGCCAACGGUGAUCUCCUGGUUAAUCGGAUAAUUGAGUCCAAGAAAUAGAGAGUAUGAACCAAGGUUGUUUACCCGCCUCCAACUAAAAAAUCCUGAAGGCCCCAACAAGCUGGUAUCCUGCUCAUAGACGUAACAACCACUGUCCGGAUACUCACGUAUUUCAUGGUGCUUGUAUACAAUGGGGUUUUUGCAAUAUAACUUUUCUGGCUCAUGUGUCCGAAUGAUCAUUAGUCUUUUGCCAUCGUCUGAUCGAGCUAGGAACCAGUUGUGCUUCCCUAUUUUUGGCAAAGGUGGUGUGAUUACAAAGGGCAGUAACUAUAGGGACACUGCAUCAUAUAAAAAAGGACAGACAUUGUUAAUGUAAGAUUAGCAUUGUUCAGAGUAUGAGUAGGAUAAUGCAAGAAGCAACAUUGAUAUGUCCCUGUUGGAACUGGGAGGAAAAUACAGGGAAAUGUAUACUGGGUUCGAAAAUAUAGAAGUGCCAUGCAUGGUUAUACUCAUGUUAUCUCGCAAUCGAUUCUUCACAGGAAACUACCAUGUCAUGCAUGUUAUGUAAUCAUGUUCUAUCCUCACAAACAAAUUCUUCAAGGUAACUAACAGACCAUGCAUUGUUAUAUACUCGUGUUCUGUGGGCAAAUUUUUUGUGAGGAUAUUAUUCUAGCCAUUGAUUGCUGAAGGGCGAAUAUAGGUAUGUACACAUGGUAAGUGUCGUGGAAUUGUCACGGCAGAUGUCCUCGAGCUAGGACUUAGUCGUGGAGCCAUCGCAACUAGGAAGCUUAAAGGGGUUAAACGGGACAAGGAACACGGGGUUUAUACUGGUUCAGCCCCUUACGGUGAAGGUAAAAGCCUACCUCCAGUUGAGGUGGUAUUGCUUAUGGUUUCGAUGACCAGGGAGCUUAAUUGCUAUGCCUGGCUCUCGACGAGAUCUUACUUGUCCCUAAACCGCCGCCGGGUCGUCCCUUUAUAUAGAGAGGUUGACGCCCAGCGGCUCUCAGAGUCCCGGCCGGCUCAUAAGAGUGUCCGGCUCGGACUCUCAACUAUUCUUGCCUUACACUACAAGUCUUGCCAUACGGCGGUCUAUCACUACGGGCCUUAAGCCAUCUCCGGGUCUUAGGCCCAUCAUUGACCCGCUGUCUUCAAGCUCGGUACUGGGCUUCGCGUGAUGACCAUUAUGAGUAACCCGGCCCCUCCUAGCGGGUGACUCUAAUGGUUAUAUCCUCAACAUUAGGCCCCAGAUUGAUUUGAACCUGUUCAUGUCAAUGUUCAAUUCUUUUGAGAGAAAGGAUCUUCCGGCUUCUGGUCGUGCGAAGAUUAUAACCCGCCGUGACGUCAUCUUCUGGAUUCUUGGUAACCCGCCAUGACGUCAUCUUCCAUUAAGUCCAUUUUUUUAUUCCACCAUAUCCGCAACGGAUCUUAUCUUUAAUUGCCAUCCUGAAAAUUGAGGCAUUUUUGUGGUGAGAUAAUCACGCCGUGACCUCCUCGUUUCUCGUGCCCACUUAUGAGCCUCACCUUAUAAAUAGCCCGGCCCAUGAGGCUCCAGUUACUGGUCGCCUCCAUCAUCUUCCUCCUCUCGCCACUGUACUGCCGCUCGAGCUCCACCGCCGCCACCGCCGCGGGUCUCCUCGUCUUCCCCGACUCAGGCCGCUGCAUCAACCUGACUUGACCAGAGAAACGGCGGCGACCUCCGCAACUCUCCAGCACCCGUAAGCCCUUGCCACUCCAUAGAAUAGAUCUGCAUUAGGGUUCUUUUCUGUUCUUCCCGUGUUCGUCGCCGUUCAUCGCGAGCUCUUGAUAGAUUUCAUUAUUACCACCUUUUCUUGAUCUUUAGACUGCAUAGAACUGCUGCGGUAGCUGUUUCACACCCAUUCCCAAUGUACAUAGAUCCCCUUUCAUUGCAUAAAGGCUCCGUUCAAACCCUUGAACUUUUUCUGUGUCUGUUCUAGGUCUAGAAAUUUUUCCUUUUAGCCAACCGUUUGAUCCAAAAUAAUUACUGCGAUCUGUGAAACUUGUUUUCACCACACUUAGUCAAAAAUUCGAUCUGCUGAGCUAUGGAGGCUCACAUUUCCGGCUUAAAAGAAGCCACGCUCCGUAAACUUUCCGGCUCAUUUAAUGAUAAAGCUGUAGACAAUUUGAAUUACUCACGAUAUCUUCAGCGGCUUAGAUAACCCGAUGCACUUAACCAUAUGUCAUUAGGCCCCUCUCAUAAGCCGCCAUUUGAGUAUUAAACUGUAGACAUGUGCCGGCUUAUAAUUGAACCGGACUUUUUCCUUUUGUCAUAGGCUUCAUCUUUCACAAUGCCUCCCAAAGCUCCCAAGGCACCCAUCACGUGCAACUGGAUGAGAUCCAAUGUCACCGACGACACUUUAGCUGAUUUCAUAAAGACGGGUUACUUGCCCAAGAAGGAAAUCAUGUCCUAUCAUGCCCCUGACCCGUCGGAAGAGAGACCUCAACCUAGAGAUGGUGAGGUGGUGAUAUUCGCUGAUCACAUGAGCCGGGGCUUCGCACCGCCCGGCUCAAAAUUCUUUAGGGAUGUUCUGAACUUCUUCGAUCUGCGGCCGCAAGACAUAGGACCCAAUUCCGUGUCAAAUAUAUGCAACUUCCAAGUAUUCCGCGAAGUCUAUCUUGGAGAAGAGCCCAGCCUGCUGCUCUUUAGAGAGCUUUUUUAUCUGAACCGCCAGAAUGAGUGCGCCAACGGGCCGAGCCUGGAAGUUGGUGGAAUCUCCAUUCAACGCCGGAGAGAUUGCCUCUUUCCUUAUGCUGAGCCGCCAAGCCAUCCAAAGGACUGGAACCAGACGUGGUUUUAUUGUCAGGACACUUCUCCGGCUGACGAGAGCCCUCUGCUUGGCUUUCGUGCCCUGCGUCUGGAACCAAAUCACCCUUUGCCAGACAAACUCUCUCAAGCUGAGCGUCAACCUCUGAUCCCCACCAUCAACAAGAUCAAGGCUCUCCUGGGAAACGGCCUCAACGGCAUUGAUCUGGUCCGGGUUUGGAUCUCUUGGCGGGUGAUCCCCUUGAGCCGCCGCCCCGGCUUAAUGUGUGCUUACACGGGCCGGAAGGAUGACCCCCUGCGGCACAGCCCCAACGAUCUUCCUGAGGACGUUGUGGAUGACAUGACUAAGUCUCUCCUGAACGAGAGCUUAGCCGACUGUGGGAGAACCGCCCUGAACCCCUUCUGCCAAGCUAACCCGGCUCCGGCGGUAAGCCACUGACCUGAACACCUUGGUUUUCUUUUUAAUAGUUUCCAUCUAGACCUUAAGAAAUCUUUGUUGUAUGUUUCAGGCUAAUGACAAGUUCUGGAAGGUCAAAUAUGACCAUGAAGCGGCCAAAAAAGCCAAGAAGGCUAAGAAAGCCGCCAGGAGAGCCACUCCCUGCAAGAAGGGAAGCAGGCCUACUGCCUCAGAGCUGCAUCAGCUAAGUGACAUCUCCGAGUCAGAGGUAACCCCUGAAUCUGUAGGCUCUUGUUUUGUUUCUUGUUUAUUCCUAUCCACCUUACCGAUACCGAUUAUCAGCAGGAGGACACCGGAGCGAGUAUCCCGGUGACUGAAGAGGUAACUACACUUUUCUCCGACUCGGAGCCCUUGCCAAGGCUGAAAGUCCGAAGAGUAACUCGGAAAGUAAGAUUUUCACAUCCUUUAGCUUAUCAAGAUCCUCAAUUUCUUUUGAAGCGACAGAUUCAUGAGAGUCGACGGCACACCCGGACCAACAAGGAUGCAGACCUCUCCUCCGGCUUACCUGAAGCAUCAAGGAAGCGCCGGACCGAGGUUAUCUCCAACUUAUAUCCUUUUCAUCCUUUGGCGGGCGUUACUCGUCAACCGCUCAAUUCUUCUUAUUCAAAUUAUCAGGACACUUCACCUUCCUCUGGUGAUUCUAUGCAAUCGAACCUGCCGGCUUUCAAGACCGCACCCGGGUAAUGAUGAUCAUCUUAUAUUGUGCUUAUCUUUACUCAUACUUUUGUACUAACCUUUUGUCCUUUCAGUGCUCAAGCAAAGCUCAGCAAGAGAGCGAAGAAGAAUAAACCGGUCGAAGACCCGGUCUUGACUGAGCCGGAGGUUUCAGCUCAAGAGCCGCCAGCUGCCUCUGCUCCUAAAGCCACCGCUCCAACCGACGAGCCAAUCACAGAGACUUUUGCUAACCCGGAGAUCUCCAGCCCAGCUCAGCCGGCCGAUGACCCGGACGUGGUAAUCACCCGGACGGAAUUUGUCGAGCCGGGGAGACCCACUGCGCUGGCUAAGUGCUCUGCCAAGGAAGAGUUGCUAGAGCGCCGCAGGGCCAAGCUGGACAUCACCAACUACGCUAACUUGAGCAUUGGAGAUAUCAUCUCCGGCUAUGUCAAUCAGGUGCACAACAGCCGGGACCUGGAGAUCGACAUGGUGAAGCAGAUACAGCAGAAAUCUGAGGUACCACUCUCUUGCUUACUGCAUAGUCAUCUUUACCAUACUAGCCCCCAAGUCUACUACUUAUGAUAGAAUAUGUUGUAGACUUAACUUCCGGCUUACUUUCAUGAACCGGCAAUUUGUAGAUAGAACCUUUCAGCAUACAUUAGCCCCCAAGUGCCAAGUGUCUUUGCUUGGAAAGUGCUUGGGACUUUAAAGUUGUAUAAUAAUUAUUCAUACUAUAACCCGGAAAUUGUACAGGCUGCUUGCAAGAAAUUUUAGGCUGAUAUCUCUGAGCUGAAGAACCGCCUGAAGACUCAGGAAACUGAGACCCGGAAGGCCAACGCUAAAUUUGAGUCCAGUGUUGCUGCUCAAGAGAAGCUGAAGAAGAAGUUUGAAACCGAAAGGAAGACUUGGGCCGAAGAGAAGGCUGCUCUGGUCAGCCGGGCCGAACAGGCGGAGGCGGCUCUGACGGAGAGAACCGCCGAACUCUCCGGCUUAAAACGCCAUGUGUCACAGAUGGUCGCCGCAAUCUUCGGUAAGUCAUUCUACAGGCUUUAAACAAGUUUAUAGUCUUUAUGUCUCAUAAUUCCCAUCAUUGCUAGCGGCUUAUCUUACUUUGUUAAACAGGUCCCAGAAGCGCCAACCUCAACCAGAACAUGCUGACCAAGCUGAAGGCCGUGUACACUUUGGUGGAGCAACUCUACACCGGGUCACAACGCGCCUUGGCCGCUGUGGCCCUGUCCAAUGAGGUUCCAACUCACCUGGCGGACGUACUUCAGCGGCUUGCCGUUCUUCCUCAGCGUUUCCAAGAGCUGCGACGGGCCUCUGCAAGAGCCGGAGCCAUAGCUGCUCUGAGCCGGGCCAAGGCUUUCUUUCCAGAGCUAGACCCGGCUGACAUCGCACUUAGAUACCCCAGCCUGAAGGAAGACGGCACCCCCUUCGACCAAAAAGACUUUGCAGCCUGUGUGAAGAUCAUGCGCCCGGUGGCCACCCUGAUUGGGAAUGACACCGACCUUACCAAGUACCAGCCGGGCUACGACGCAGAGAAUCAGAGGGUCCCUACUCCGCGUUAUGAAGCCAUCAGCUUGGUCCCGCCGACUCGUAAGCACACCUUUGCCCCAGAAAUUGACCCGGCCGGGUUAAUUGACGAGGAGGCUCAGUUUGAAGCAUUGAGCGGCAUUGACUGGAAAUCGUCAACCUUCCAGGUCAUGGGAACAGCCGGAGGAGCGGAGAGGGAUGAGUUGGAAGCUUCAACUCAACAAGCAUCUUGACUUGUAGGCGGCUCAUGAGUACAUCUUAAAACAAUGCCUCAUCUUUUGGACUCGGGGAGUCUUGUAAUAGAGUAGGACAAAUACUUAAUUUUGUCGUGCCAUCGUGCACGUGUUGAAUGCUUAGCUCCGUUGAAACUGAUUUUUCUUAUUCCUCCGGGUUAUAAUUGAUCAGUUAUUUUCCUUAAGCUCGAAUAGCUGUAUUGAACCAUCCUGCAUAGAAAACAAGUCACAAGUCUCUAGGCGGCUUACCGCACUGAGAAUCAUAAACCUUAUAUAUAUAACCCGGAAUAUGAACGAAGUCACCAAAGACUGGCCCUCAAUUAUAUCUUUGAUGUAACUGUAACAGCAUACUUACAAACCUUCAAGCAUACUUCCGGUUCAUGUAACCCGAAUAGUAUGGUUAAAAUCUCAAUGCCGGUUCACCAGUAUCGAUAAGGCUUAUUGCGUGUUACCCAAGUUAAGCCGGCGGAGCCAAAAACCGCCCUUGCACACUGCUGAUGUGACCAAAAGAACUUGUUGUAAGUCAGAAGAUCAAAACUUAGGGGCUUCCAGUUCGAAUACGACCAGAGAACCUUCCAAAGGGGUUAAGCUAAGAUUCGAAUGCGAUCAUAUAGCCCCCAGUGGCUUUGGCAAUGCCGAUCAAGAGGGUACCGACAGCUAUGUUCUAUUUGGUUCGAAUACGACCCAUGUUUGAACAGGAAGCCCCCAAAUGACCUUAAGAGUUGUUUAAUGACGGUGAUUCGAAUACAAUCCACGUCGGUUCCCAAAGGGGGUUGAGCUAUGAUUCAAAUAUGGUCAAAGAAAACUCCCCAAUGAGCUCGGCACUUUGCCAAUCAAGUGGGUAUCGACAGCUAUGUUCUCUUUGGUUCGAAUAUGACCCAUGUUUGAACAGGAAGCCCCCAGGUGAUUAUACUGCUUACGGCUAGAUUCGAAUACGAUCAUAAGCCGGAUCCACCUCCAAGUGACCACGUGAUGUUGUAAUGGAAAUAACAUGUUUACCUUUGGAGGAGAAAAGGACAGAGGUCCUGCUUUAUUAUUUAACAUAAUAUAUACAUGGCUAUAGAGAUAUGUACAUUAUGAGAGCCGGUGGCUCAAGUGUAAUAAGGCCGAAGCUGAGCUAUGUUCCACGGCCGACGGGUUUCUUCCUCCGACUUGCGUGAAUCUUUAUGCUCCCGAACAUCAAUAAGGUAGUAUGACCUGUUGUGCAAGUUCUUGCUGACCACAAAGGGCCCUUCCCAAGGCGGGGAUAGCUUGUGUGCAUCUGUUUGAUCUUGGAUGAGCCGGAGCACCAGGUCACCCUCCUGGAAGACCCGGGACUUAACCCGGUGACAGUGAUAACGGCGCAGGGCUUGUUGGUAAAUCGCUGAACGAGCUGCUGCCACAUCACGCUGUUCGUCCAACAGGUCAAGGGCAUCUUGGCGCGCCUGUUCAUUAUCCACCUCAACAUAAGCCGCCACUCGAGGCGAGUCAUGACGGAUGUCACUGGGGAGGACUGCUUCCGCUCCAUAAACCAUGAAGAAGGGCGUGUAACCCGUAGACCUGUUAGGAGUAGUAUUGAUGCUCCAUAACACGGAGGGUAGCUCCUCCAGCCAACAACCCGGCGUCCGUUGCAAAGGGACUAAAAGCCGGGGCUUAAUGCCCUUCAAAAUCUCCUGAUUAGCUCUCUCAGCUUGACCAUUGGAUUGAGGAUGAGCCACUGAUGAAACAUCAAGUCGAAUAUGCUCCCGUUGACAAAACUCCUCCAUGGCGCCUUCAGACAGAUUGGUACCAUUAUCAGUUAUAAUGCUGUGUGGAAAGCCAAAGUGAAAUAUCACCCUUUUCAUGAACUGAACCGCCGUGGCUGCAUCACACUUGCUAACUGGCUCUGCUUCAACCCACUUUGUGAAUUUGUCAACUGCCACCAAAAGGUGGGUCUUCUUAUCCUUGGACCUUUUAAAAGGCCCAACCAUAUCAAGCCCCCAGACCACAAAUGGCCAAGUGAUUGGUAUCAUCCUCAACUCUUGAGCUGGCACAUGAGCCCGUCGCGAGAACCUCUGACAAUCGUCACAUUUACUGACCAAGUCCUCCGCAUCAGCAUGAGCCGUCAGCCAAUAAAAACCAUGACGGAAAGCCUUGGCCACGAGAGAUUUUGAGCCGGCAUGAUGGCCACAAUCCCCUUCGUGAAUCUUACGCAAAAUAUCUUGGCCUUCCUCAGGGGAAAUACAACGCUGGGAAGUUCCAGUAACACUACGACGAUGCAGCUCGCCAUUGAUGAUGACCAUUGACUUAGCCCGCCGGGUUAUUUGUCUGGCCAAAGUUUCAUCCACAUGCAAAUCUCCCCGGGUCAUGUAAGCCAAGUAUGGUACUGUCCAGUCUAGGGUGAUGUGGAGAGCCGCCACCAAAUGUGCUUCCGGGUCAGGGACAGCCAAGUCUUCCUCUGUAGGUAACUUAACAGAAGGGUUAUGCAAGAUGUCCAAGAAAGUAUUAGGCGGCAUCGGCUUUCGCUGAGAGCCCAGCCGGCUUAAAGCAUCAGCCGCCUCGUUCUUCCUGCGAUCGAUGUGCUCUACUUGGUAACCCUGGAAGUGUCCAGCAACGGCAUCAACUUCACGGCGAUAAGCCGCCAUGAGAGGGUCCUUGGAAUCCCACUUGCCUGAUACUUGUUGAGCCACUAGAUCUGAGUCGCCCAAACAUCUUACUCUGCUCAAGCUCAUCUCCUUAGCCACCCGAAGACCAUGGAGCAAAGCCUCGUACUCGGCCGCAUUGUUAGUGCAUGGAAACAUCAACCUUAGCACAUAACGGAACUUGUCACCUUUAGGGGAAGUCAACACGACUCCAGCCCCCGAGCCCUCCAAUUGCCUAGACCCAUCGAAGUGAAUAGUCUAAUAUGUAUUAUCCAGCUUUUCUUCAGGCACUUGUAGCUCUGUCCAAUCGUUGAUGAAAUCCACCAAGGCUUGAGAUUUAAUAGCAGUGCGUGGUACGUAUUUCAGACCAUGAGGCCCGAGCUCUAUAGCCCACUUAGCCACUCUUCCUGUGGCUUCUCUAUUUUGGAUGAUAUCUCCAAGGGGAGCAGAACUAACCACAGUGAUAGGGUGACCCUGGAAAUAAUGCUUAAGCUUCCGGCUUGCCAUGAACACACCAUAAACAAGCUUCUGCCAAUGUGGAUACCGCUGUUUGGACUCGAUGAGCACUUCACUGACGUAAUAAACCGGCCGCUGAACCGGAUACUCCUUACCCUCUUCCUUGCGCUCCACCACCACAGCCACACUGACGGCUCGUGUGUUAGCAGCUACAUACAGUAAUAAGGGCUCCUUGUCAACCAGAGCAGCAAGGAGUGGGGGCUCCGCCAGCUGUCUCUUCAAAUCCUCAAAAGCAGUAUUAGCAACGUCAUUCAAGACAAAGUCAUCAGUUUUCUUCAUCAACUGGUACAGUGGCAUGGCCUUUUCACCCAAACGGCUUAUAAACCGGCUCAAAGCAGCAAUGCGGCCUGCUAGACGCUGGACGUCGUUUAGACACGCCGGCUUAGCCAGAGAGGUGAUUGCCUUGAUUUUUUCCGGGUUAGCUUCAAUGCCUCUGUUAGAAACCAGGAAACCCAAGAGUUUGCCUGCAGGAACACCAAAAACACACUUGGCCGGGUUAAGCAUCAUCUUGUAAACCCGGAGAUUAUCAAAGGUUUCUCUAAGGUCAUCGACCAGAGUCUCCUUUUCCCUGGAUUUAACCACGAUAUCAUCCACAUAGGCAUGAACAUUGCGCCCAAUCUGGUUAUGAAGACAAUUCUGCACACAACGCUGGUAAGUCGCCUGUGCGCUCUUGAGUCCGAAAGGCAUAGACACAUAACAGAAGGCUCCAAAGGGAGUGAUGAACGCCGUCUUCUCUUGGUCCUUAACUGCCAUUUUAAUCUGAUGGUAUCCAGAAUAAGCAUCCAAGAAACUUAAACGCUCACAACCCGCCGUGGCAUCAAUGAUUCGAUCAAUACGGGGGAGAGCAAAAGGAUCAGCCGGGCACGCCUUAUUUAUGUCCGUGUAGUCCACACACAUCCACCAGGUGCCAUUCUUCUUGAGCACGAGCACCGGGUUAGCUAACCAUUCUGGGUGAAAGACUUCAACAAUAAACCCAGCCGCCAAGAGCCGGGCCACCUCCUCACCAAUGGCUUUCCGCCUCUCUUCAUUAAACCGCCGUAGGAAUUGCCUGACCGGCUUAAAUUUCGGAUCAACAUUGAGAGUGUGCUCAGCGAGUUCUCUAGGUACACCUGGCAUGUCAGAAGGUUUCCAUGCAAAGAUGUCCCUGUUCUCACGGAUGAACUCGAUGAGCGCGCUUUCCUAUUUCAGAUCCAAAUUGGCAUUGAUGCUAAACUGCUGAGAUGAGUCACCUGGAACGAAAUCAACAAGUUUAGUCUCAUCAGCUGACUUAAAUUUCAUCACCGGCUCAUGCUCCGUGGUCGGUUUUUUCAGGGAUGUCAUAUCUGUUGGGUCAACAUUGUCUUUAUAAAAUUUCAACUCCUCUGUUGCACAAACAGACUCUGCAUAAGCCGUGUCGCCUUCCUCACAUUCCAAGGCUAUCUUUCGGCUGCCAUGAACCGUAAUGGUCCCAUUGUGACCCGGCAUCUUGAGCUGUAAGUAUAUGUAACACGGCCGUGCCAUGAACUUGGCGUAAGCCGGCCGCCCAAAUAUGGCAUGGUACGGACUUCUUAUCUUGACCACCUCAAAGGUCAAUUUUUCCACCCUGUAGUUGUAUUCAUCUCCAAAGGCCACUUCCAGUUUGAUCUUACCAACUGGAUAAGCCGACUUACUAGGCACCACACCAUGGAAAACAAUAUUGGACUGGCUGAGGUUCUUGUCAAUCAACCCCAUGCGACGGAAGGUUUCAUAAUAGAGGAUGUUGAUGCUGCUGCCUCCAUCCAUGAGCACCUUAGUGAACUUAUAUCCUCCCACCGGAGGAGCCACCACCAGGGCCAAAUGACCCGGAUUAUCAACCCGGGGAGGGUGAUCCUCCCUACUCCACACAAUAGGCUGCUCAGACCAUCUUAAAUAGCGUGGAACCGCCGGCUCAACAGCAUUCACAGCCCUCUUAUGAAGCUUCUGAUCUCGCUUACACAGACUGGUGGUAAACACAUGGUACUGUCCACCAUUGAGCUACUUUGGAUUGGUCUGGUAUCCCCCCUGUUGCUGUUGAUGACCCUGGCCGGAUUGCUGAUUAAAGCCCCCUUGAACAUUCUGAGGAUUGGAAUUUAAGCCGCUGCCCGGGCCAUGAAAGCCGCCGGCGCCUGAGCCGCCGCCCGAGCCAUUGUUGCCAUUAAAGGCAUUGGAGUUCUUAAAGGCCUUCAUGAUUGCACAAUCUUUCCAUAGAUGAGUAGCUGGCUUCUCCCUGGAGCCAUGCCUUGGACAAGGCUCAUUCAACAACUGCUCAAGCGUUGGGCCUGAACCGCCGGCUCGGGGAGGUGGCCUCCCUUUACGUCGCUGGUUGUUACCCUGUGAGCUGGCAUUGGCCACAAACUCCAUGCUGCCAUCAGCCUUACGCUUGUUACCUCCUUGGUUUGCCGGGUUAUGCUGAGGACCCUUGCCAUUGCCGUUCUUUUUUUCCUUCCCUGUCCUUUCAUCAUCUGAAGCGGGGUCCUUUGUACUAUCAGAGUCGGCGUACUUGACGAGAGUCGCCAUCAGCGUACCCAUAUCAUUGCAGUCGCGCUUAAGCCGCCCGAGUUUCAUCUUCUGGGGCAGGAAACGACAAUUCUGCUCCAACAUUAAGACUGCAGAGCCGGCAUCCAUCUUAUCAGAUGAAUGUAUUAUCUCUUUGACCCGGCGAACCCAAUGUGUCGUAGACUCACCCUCCUGCUGUUUACAGUUAGUCAAAUCCACAAUUGACAUAGACUGCCUACAGGUAUCUUUGAAGUUUUGAAUGAACCGGGCUUUCAGCUCAGCCCAAGAUCCGAUAGAAUACGGCGGCAGCCCUUUCAACCAAGUGCGGGCAGUCCCAUCUAACAUCUUGGUGAAGUACUUGGCCAUCGCCGCUUCGCUGACCUCCAGCAAUUCCAUGGCCAUCUUGUAACUCUCGAUCCAGGCUCCGGGUUGUAAAUCAGCCGUGUAAUUAGGCACCUUCCUAGGCCGCUUAAAGUCCUUGGGUAAACGUUCAUUGCGAAGAGCCGGCACUAAACAAGGGACACCUCCAGUCCUUGUAGGGAUACCCACGUCGGCGGAAGCCGUCGGAUAAGCCGGGGGUGUUUGGUAAGCCGUCAACUGAGGCAUCUGCUCCGCCUCUUGCCGUGCUCUGUCUUGGUCUGCUGCGUGAAAGGCCCCGUUAUGAGCCGGGCCGUGGCCAGGUGGCAAGUCACGGCGUCAGACAUUACUUGAGCCGGUCGCUGAGACCAUGUGUCUGCUAUAACUCGGGCUCCGGCCUGGAUGAGGAGUUGAAUGGAUCCUGUCCCGGCUAUAAGAGUAUGCCUCUUGCUGCACCAGAGCUGUCUGAAGGAGUUCUCUGACCCGGCGGGUUUCAACAGCCAUUGGAGAGUCGCCAUCAAUUGGAAGAGCCGCCAGCCGCGCCGCCGCGGCAACCAUGUUUUCCAGCGGGUUGGCAUAAUGACCCGGUGGUAUUGGCACGUACUGAGGCGGGGCGGGGUUCACCCGGGGAGGUCCCAUCACUUGGGGCUGAAUUGGUGCCCCUGCCCCGGGCACUAUAAUCUCCGGCGGGUUACUAGACCCUGCACCCGGCGUGUUGAAGAGAUUUCGAGGAUCGUAAACCGGAGGGAGUCGAGAUUGGGCCUUUUGAUGCCUCCUUAUCAUGACCUCAUUGGAUGCGUUUUGAUCCAUCGUGAGCCGGAAGGACUGUGCCUGAAUCAGCUGAGUCUGGGCGUCGAGAGCCGCCCUCUCUGCAGCCAUCCUGAUCCCCUCCGCCGCUAGAUCCUCCUUGGCCUUUGCUAGAUCCAUCUUUAACUGUGCCACCUCCGCGUCAUGCUGAACUUGAUCCGCCGGAGCCACCGUAGCGGUCAACAGGACCGUCAACUUGUCUGUGAGAUCCAUCAGCACCUGAGCUGGUGAGGGCACCGGGCUUCCUGACCCGGAGGCGGGGUUCUGAACAGGUUGCGCGCCGGCCAUGAAGAUGCCAACCCGACUCGGCGGUUCAAAGGGGUCCGGAAUACUGUCGCCGUCGGAACAACCCCUGAGCCUGCCAUCUUGAAGUUGAUACAACGAGUUUGACUCAUCCGUGGACGACUCGCCGUCAGAGCCGGCAGCCGUCUCAUCGCCAGAUCCAGACCCUUCAGAGAGUCCUCCAUGAACACAUCCCACAAAAGCGUGCUUCAAGGCAGGUAGAGCCCGGGUGGGUCGUGCACGCUGAGCCAUCUCGAUGAGAUCGGCGCAGAGAUCCGGCUUAGGGCCCGGCUCACCAAUCUUGCCAAUGAAGACAUGAAUUCCGCCAAAGGGGACCCGGUACCCGCACUCAAUUGAGCCGGCGUCGGGGCCCCAAUUUGCAUCGUCGAUGUAGAGCUUGCCGCGACGACUCUUGGUCAUCCGGCCCACAGCGUAUCCCUUGAGCCCUUCGAAGCUGCCCUUUAAGAACUCAAAUCCACCGUGCGCUGGCCCCAUGGUGGGCGCCAACUAUCAUGGAAUUGGCACGGCAGAUGUCCUUGAGCUAGGACUUAGUCGUGGAGCCAUCGAAACUAGGAAGCUUAAAGGGGUUAAACGGGACAAGGAACACGGGGUUUAUACUUGUUCGGCCCCUUACGGUGAAGGUAAAAGCCUACGUCCAGUUGAGGUGGUAUUGCUUAUGGUUUCAAUGACCAGGGAGCUUAAUUGCUAUGCCUGGCUCUCGACGAGAUCUUACUUGUCCCUAAACCGCCGCCGGGUCGUCCCUUUAUAUAGAGAGGUUGACGCCCAGCGGCCCUCAGAGUCCCGGCCGGCUCAUAAGAGUGUCCGGCUCGGACUCUCAACUAUUCUUGCCUUACACUACAAGUCUUGCUAUACGGCGGUCUAUCACUACGGGCCUUAAGCCAUCUCCGGGUCUUAGGCCCAUCAUUGACCCGCCGUCUUCAAGCUCGGUACUGGGCUUCGCGUGAUGACCAUUAUGAGUAACCCGGCCCCUCCUGGCGGGUGACUCUAAUGGUUAUAUCCUCAACAGUAAGCAUUACAGGAUUUCACUACUUCCAAAUAUAGAGUUCUCCAUAUGCACAUUUACUUCCCUAAUGUAUGGUUAGAUGAAACCAACUGUGUGGUGCAUGUUUCUACAUCAUGAAAAUGAGGAAACUAACAUGGCCAUUGAUACGCACUUAUAUUAGUAGUAGUAUAUAGAUUACUGUAAAAUAAGGAGAAUAUCCAUAUAUUCCUAACCGUUUGAUUAUUCAGGGGUACAAAUUGGCUGUAAUGACAUGAUCACAAUCGCAUGAAUUAACUCAUCCCAAAUAUAGCUGAUUUACGGCGUCUCUAAUACAUUGCCAUAGUUCUACUCAAAUUCUGCUCAACACAGGGAUAUGCCAAUCAUCACAAAAAAGUUCAAACAGUGUCAUGGCGUCAUCAUUAACAUGAGACGGAAACAACUUACACGUGCCGUCCCAGCAAUAGGUGGUGCCAUCUGCUUUGUCGAUCGCGUAGAUGAUGCCAUUGUGUUCAAUAGCAUCACAGAAGUGUGUAUCAGCUUUGACGAUGAUCCACUGUGAGCUGAGUUGUCUCUAGCUAAAGAAGGCACCGCCGUAAAGAUAGGCGAGUCCGCGGUCGAACAAGGCAAUUAGCUUGAAGUCUGCGUAAUUCGCAUGUCGUGUGGGCACUUGGCAGAUUAUAAUCUUCUGCAAAACAAGGUCCGCCCAACUGACGUGGUAAUCUAGAUGACUAGGACCGCGAUGGCAAAACUCUAUAUAAUCCAACGGAGGAAGGAUAAUCUCAUGGGAGGUCUGGAAGUUCACGAGCACCAACUUUUUACCGUCUUCUCUGCAGGCAGCCAUCCAGUGGGAGUUCAUGCCGACCCAGUACAUACCUGCCAAGAAGUUUCGGGCGAUGGUGAUCGGAUCGAAGUCGAGGGAAAUGAUGUACGGCGACCCACUACAUACGUGCAAAGAAGUUUCGGCUAAUGGAGAUCGGAUUGAAGUCGAGGGGCAUCAUGUACGCCUUCGCAUCAUGGUGAGCCAAUAUCGCAAGACCAGAUAGCAGCAAGCAGGGUGUCUUGAAAAGCUUUGGCCUCGCUUCGAUGAUGGUCGUGUGCAUGCCCCUCAAGCAUGCAGCCAGCCGCAGGGCGCUCAACAUAUCCAUACAGGAACAAUAGAGGUCGAGGACGUCACUGGGGAGGUUGCUCCAAUCGCGUCUCAUAUGGAUCUUGCGCGGUUCGCGUUCGGCCAUGGUGGAGUUUGGAAGGUGGGGUUUUGGGGGGCUUGAUUUACGGGGGAGAAGGCUGUCGGUGCUGGAGCGGCUAGCGAGGGAAUAGUGGUAUUGGGGGAGGCGAGCGAGGCGAGGGUAUGCGGGGGCACAGUGAGAUAAUGAAGAGUGACCUCAGGAUCUCCGGCGAGACGGAGAUGGAGAUGGAGUGGUGCUAGGGGAGAGGGAGACAAGGCGAGGCAUGCUAUACAGCGGCGGUGAAAGUGACUGCACAGUGCACAAGGUGAGGCUGACUUUGGUAACCCGGACACGCCGCCUGGACUGGUGUCACCUCGGGCGCAGGGUCUUGUCACUUCACUGUGAGGACCGGAUGAAUAAUAGUAUUUUGACCAUCAAGUGUACCAUAGUUGUACUACUACUACUAGUAGUAGGAGUGGUAGGAACAUGAGUACACUCCCGUGCUAGCAUGCCUCUGGGUUCACUUCAUCCUCCAGCUAUCAUCCAUAUUGCCAGCAGAACCAAAUUCUCGUGCAUGUGGAACCGUGAAGAAGGACUUUUCUUUUUUGAGGAUAACCGCAUAUUCCUUAACCAUAGUAGGAACAUGAGUAGUACUCCCUCCGGUCCUCUUUUGUCUGCGCAUAACUUUUUUCAGUAUUUCUCUAAUUAGUCUGCGUAUAUACCCUUUUGCAUGCGCCCAUUUCCCUCCAUGCCCCGCAUUCACAGCAUUAAUUAGCAUACGCAUGAGCAGCUGCAGCCAGACUCCAGCCAAUAAACUGCAGCAUGCAAGUGGGCCAUUCUGUGCGUGUGGGAGAGAGAAAAGGCAACCGAAGAGCCCGUCCAAUCCAUUGCAUGCAGCACUCAAACCACCGCAGAUCUCCUCAUGCAUGCGCAUAACUUCUCCCAUUUACUUCUCCAUCGGGAACCGAUUUUCCUCGGCUUUUUCACUACUACUCGAUCUUCAUUUGCAUCCAAACCACACUGCAUUCACAUUGUUUUAACCUCUUCACAUCCUCCUGGAGUAAUUCCGAAGCCCCUAUAAAUAGUCAUCUUCUUCAGUUAGACUAGCCAUCUAAUCCUAAUUCUCCAAACCAUAGCCCUCCGGUCCAGCGGUUCCAAAUGGCGAAAGAGAUCGAGAUGCAGGUUUUUAGCAUCCAACAUGUCCUCGUCGUAGGCUCGUUGAGCAUAGUUGCCACAGUCACCGACCACCCAAGGGUUGUUCGGAAGUGGAUCAUUAAUGUAUCCAACUCCCUCCAAAAGGUGGAGAUGAAUGUCAUCGGUCUCGACGCAGAGUACACGGAGCGUGCCACUGGGAAGAUCCAACGCGCCGCUGUCCUUCAGCUGUGCCUCGAAGAUGAUGUUUUGGUGUACCACAUCAUACACGCGCCCUCCAUACCAGGUGAGCUUCACGAUUUCUUGUCUCGGGAGGACAUAUACUUCUGUGGGGCAGCCAUCGCAGGGGACAAACAGAAGUUGGAGCCGUACAACCUUGAUUUGAAAAGCAUCGCUGACCUACGAACCAAAAUAAAAAUUCCUGUAGAAGAUUGUGAUAAACCGACACCAUCCCUAUUCGACGUAGCAAAUUUUGUGCUAGGAACAAAUCUUUAGAAGGGUGACGCGAUGCUGGCAUUAAGUUUGUCUGGAUGGGAGAAUUAUCCCUUGACGUACGAGCGGAUAAAAUAUGCUGCCCUCGAUACCCGUGUGAGUUUCGAGAUAGCUGCAAGGUCUGGAGAGCUUGUUGCGAAGCCGUCUCCCACAGAAAAUGAGAACAAGAAGAAGAAGAAGAAGAUGCUGCACCAGCAGCAGGGCAUUAUGGAUGGAUGAACUAUUUCCUCUCUUGUAAAAAAAAAUUAUUCCCUCUCUAGGUAUAUUGAUAUAGAUGGACUAUUUCGAUGGUGUGCAUGUCUUUGGAACAAGUAGUAGCGUGGGUCCGCUUGACUAUAAGGAACUAUUUAUCCGCCUAGCUUUCUCUACUACUCCUUCCAGUGAUAGGUAUGCAAUGCAUGUGUCCAUAGACAUGACAGCUUGUCCAUGAAAGUUCAACUACGGCGACCAUCACGUUUCAUCCACUGCCACUCGUGAUUCCCACGACGCCGCUCCAACCCACGGCACCACGUCCCCCGACGUGCGCCUCACCCCUCUCGGCCGCACCGCCCAUCUGCCUUUGUGUGCAUGACAUGUGGGCCACCUUAAAUGCGACGAGCAUCAAGUUUCUACCACAGCCGCACGCGAUUCCCACGAUGCCGCACGAACCCAUGACACCACUCGUCCCCCGACCUGCGGCUCACCCCUCUCGACCCCACUGCCCCUCUAAAUUUGAAUUUGAAACUUAUAAAAUGAAAAGAUUCAAAACAAAUAAACUGGGAAAGAGGGAGUAUAUCGUAGGAUGUGUCCCAUACGAAACAAGUCCCCUGGUUUGUCACCGCAAAGAUGCGGUUAGAAAGGAGCACAGCGUCUUCGUACUCGUACGGCAACAAAUCAGCCGCAGACAGCAUGGUCCACCUUUGACCGCCAUGUGCAAGGUUCGUGCUAUCUUAUUCAAUCUCACCGUGGUUCUAUCGUACCAAUUCAUGCGGUGGCCCGUUGCAUGGCUGAUCCCAAUGCUGGACAAAGGUUCUACCGGAAUGGUGUCACCGUUGUAAAUGUUGUGCAAAUUGAUGUUGGUACCCUCCCGUACAUAUGCAAGCCAGUCUCCACUCGCACCGAGCCUAACCUGUGAAACAGUGGGCAGGGGGAGAAUUAGGAAAUGGACACGGAAGUAGUCUUUAGAAUGCAUUUACUACAUGAUCAAACUCAUCUUACCUGCUCAUCGGUGGAAAUCCGAGUGCCCCUCAAUGUCGGUAUCUCAAGGGGCGUCAACUUGCAACUACGGCCACGCCGCGCUGGAGAGACCCCCAAGGAAACAUCCUCGCGCGUUCCACGGAACAUCAAGAUGCAUUUGUAUGAGUAGUUUAUCUUGUGAGAGAAAAGGAUGAACGAGGGAAGGCCUCUAGAGAUAGAGAUAGACACUACUACUAACAAUGUGCUAGCCCGUGCGUUGCAAUGGAUCCAAAGUAGUAGAAUAAUACUUGUUCACGUGCUUGAAAUAUAAACACUCUAGUUUUGAUAUACAUGUGUCAGCAGACAUGACAGCUUGUCCAUGGAAGUUGAACCACGACGACCAUCACGUUUCUUGUUUCUACCACUGCCACACCCACACGUGAUUCCCACGACACCGCUCCAACCCUACCUGUAAGCACGACGUCCCCCGGCAAGGACAUGGAUCCUCUGAUGUGGCUAUCACUGCCUUACCCUGCCUUUCCUUCGCUGACUGGUGGGACCCACACUUGUGGGUCCCACAUGUCAGUGAUAGAAUGGUAGGAUUGUUCACGUCAGGGAAUCCUCAUCCCCCCGACGUGCGCCUCAUCCUUCUCGGCCCCACCGCUCCUCUGCCUUUGUGUGCAUGACAUGCGGGCCAGCUGAACUGCGGCGACCAUCAACUUUCUACCACAGCCACACCCGAUUGGACGCGGUUUGCCUGCUCUGCUGCUGUGCUCCGAUCCGUACUCCCGCACCAUCGAAUUUUCAUCCAGCGGCUGUGACACAUUUCGUCCCGGGCAUCAAUCCUCAGAUGGAGUACUUCUGUACUACAGGUAGUACCCGCCGGUGUGGCCAUCUACGCCUCGUAACGCCCCGACGCCCAGCUGUGGCACCCUCGCCACGGCCACGCCACCACCGGCCAGUUCAUCUCGAAUGAGUGAGUCGCGAACCACACCACCACCAUGAGAAUGACAUGUGGGCCAGCCGCAUUUAAGGUCCACAUGUCAUUGACUCAUAGGUCGGGCACUAAGCCACUGAAGUUCCGUCCCAUGGGCCCGGAGAGGGAAAUGUAACUCCUGCGGCAGGCCUUGUGGUGCUCCCGCAGUACGAGCUCGUGCCAAACCCGGAAUUUGUUUCUUACUAUCUACCAACUACUACUAGUAAGGUACACGUGCAUUGCACGCAUGAGAUUCUGGUGGUUUGAGCAUUAUGCUUCUACAUGUGGAGUCUUCUAGAUUCUACAUGUGGCAAAAUCUGGUGGAAUGUAGAUGAUAUCCAACGGCCAGUAGUGCUAGGAUUUUCCAUCUUUGUACCGUCGGAUUGGCUUCAUCCAACGACCAACUUUCAAAGUUAUGGUUUGGUUUGCAGCCUAAGGUUGCCACGCCUAAGCUUAGGCGUGCCACAAGUGUGUUUGGUUGUGUUCUCGUCUCAGCAUAGUUGUUCCCUCUUCAUGCAUGCUCAACUCAACACCCCUCUUCCUGUAUGCUCUCUUCAUGCAUGCUUCUAGUGUAUUUGUGCUAAUCUAGUGUGGACUCAUGCACCCUCCAUACACUCUACCAAACACCCAAAAGUGGGUCGAGAAGGGAACUCUUGGGAUCAUGCACCCUUCAUACACCCUACCAAACACACUAGGCAUGUGUUUGGUUCAUUGCUACACUUGUGGCUUGCCACACUUUUCUAGCUACAUGGUCCACAUGUCAUAGACUCAACUUCUUGCCAAAUCUUGCCACACUUGUGGUUGCCAUUUUGUUAGCCACAUUUUUUGUGGCAGACACACUUUGCCUAAGCUUAGUUGUGGCAAAGUUAGUCAUGAAUGAAGUUCAACCAUGGAGUCUUCUAGAUUCUACAUGUGGCAGAAUCGGGUGGAAUGUAGAUGAUAUCCAACGGCCAGUAGUGCUCGGAUUUGCCAUGUUUGUACCGUCGGAUUGGCUUCGUCCAACGACCAACUUUCAAAGUUAUUCACACACUAUAUAGGGGGUAUACAUAUAGAUGUGCCGGCCCGUUGCAAUGGAUCCAAAGUAUAUCUAUUUAGUGGAGUGCACUCUAAACACAUUAUCUAUUUAUUUUUCUCUAACCUUUCGUGGCCAUGCAACCAAGCCACAUAAGCUUCAUGGGUGCCCCCACAUCAUCUUAUUCAUACUACGUUGACUGAAAAAAAGAUAAAUCACCCAAAACAAGAUCUUCCCGUUUUUUGUUCCUACGAUGCUGUGCCGUGCACGUACCUACUAGUUGUAUAGUGGUAGUACUAGUUGUGUAGUACAAACUUGGUACUAGUAGGAGUAGAGUAGUACGGAAUGCUCCUACUCUAUCAAAGAGCCCCAUCUGACACCAAAUUUCUUGGCUUCCGUGCUACAGCUAGAUCUUCCCCUCGUUUCUGUUUUCCAACCCGGCGGCGGGCGGGGUGCGGUUUGCCAAUAGUCGGUUUGCUCAACGGCGGUCCCACAUGAAAGUGAAAGUGCUAGGCAACACGCCUUCCCUAAGCUAUGUGUCGUGCCGGACGGGCCGUGGAGUACUCCCGAUUCCCGGGCGUGUGUGGGGGAGUGCGACGCGAACGCGGCAGGCCUUUUCCUUUUACUAGCAAUGUGCCCGUGCGUUGCGACGGAUCCAAAGUAGUAGAAUAGUAGUACUUGUUCACAAACUUGAAAGAAAUCACUCUUGUUUUGAUAUACUCCUAAUAUAUUACUCCCUCUGUUCCUAAAUAUUUGUCUUUUUAGAGAUUUCAAAUGGACUAUCACAUACGGAUUAUAUAGACAUAUUUUGAAGUGUAGAUUCACUCAUUUUGCUCUGCAUGUAGUCACUUAUUGAAUUCUCUAGAAAAACAAAUAUUUAGGAACAGAGGGAGUACUUUUCACUCAAAAUAUAUUUCUCAGGCUGUUUUGAUGAGGUGAGGGAGGGAUGUGGUUGCUUUCAAAAUAAUAAGGGGUUUUCUGCAAAUUGGAGCAGAGAAGUGGGCCAUUGUUGCAAAAAUGCCACAACUUACCUCACAGCCGUUAGAUGCAGAUCUAAUGGUCAGAAACGACGGAUGGCAGACACACCACCAUCACCAACUGAGUCUUUUAUAGGAGUAGGAGUAGAGAAACAUGUAUAAAUUGUAACAUUUGGUUCUACUCCUUGGCACGAUCGAUAGAUAGAAAUAAUGAUUGGAAGGCGGGGCUAUUUCCGCCAGAUAAGCAGGGUACGUAGUAGCUAGGUUUGCGCAUCGUCGGUUUGGUCACACGCGGUCUGACAUGUUCUAGUGUUUCUAGCAAGAUGCCCGCGCGUUGCACGAAGUUGAUGGAAAAGGUAAGCACAACUUAUAAAUUGAUGGAUGGAGUACUAGUUACAGUGCUGCAUAUAAUUAAGCAAAGGGAUCGCACAUGUCGGUAUUGACUGGAACGAGAAUGCAACAACACAAUAAGAAUUAAGGCCACGAUGAUGAUGCGAUCGUAGUGGUGGUUACUGAAGGCAAGAAGAAAGAUGCAUCCAUCAAUGUACGACCUCCUCCUCCUCAACUUAGUGCGCCGGGCCACCGACCGGCGUCUAAGGAGCGGCGGCUUUUGUGGUGAGGUCGAGGUGCUUCUCAGCAAAGGCAUCCAAGGCUUCCAGCCGGUUGAGGAAGGCCAACGUCGUAGCAUCCUCACUGGCCUUGUAGACACCUAUGUACAUGAUUUGCUCAUACACGUGGAUGUGUAGGUCGACAAAUUCUUGCAGGGUGAGGUGCCUCGCGGCGAGCACGACCUCCAGGUGGACAUUCUUCGUGGCAUCGGCGGGCAGUCGCAGGGCCACCAGUGCUUGAAAGAGGUUCCGGCCAUGGACGCCGAUUAGGGUGGCAGGCAAUGAGGAGCCCGGGCGCGCGGGCUGGAGGAGUACGAUGAUGUCGUCCGCGAACUUCUUGAGGACGGUGAACUUGUUGGUGGUGGCAAUGAUCAUCUGGUCCAACUGAGAGUCAUAGUUGGCGUCGACAGCGGCCAUCCACCAGCCGGUCUCCAAUACCGUCUGGAGACGAUCCUCGGCGCCAUGCCGCAGGCCGACGUCGUGGACCAUCUGGCACAACCGCUGGCCGCUCGCGCGCAUCGCCACCAUGGGUCUGUAGUGAGCUCUUUUGCGCUUAGUGUAGGUGCUUAGGCAAAUGCUUAGGUGCGUACGAUGUGGUAGAUGCAUUGGAAUGGAGGGGCGCCUUUAUAUGAGGGCAAACUGCGUUGCAUUCACAUCGUGCAACCUCUUUUCCCGGUCCUCCUCCCAUUACUUCCCUCAUGCAUUAAUUGAAGGAGGAUGCAUUGGCCGUUCAACAUUUCGGGAACCGCUACUCCCUCCCUCGUCUGCAUUAAAGCCGUAUCGGGAACUACGCCGCCCGCUGUCAAAUUGAAUAGUACUGCGCCACCCGCUGCACGCCCGGCUGAACAUGCCUCCAUCAAACAGCUCCGUUAAACCCGCAUGCAAACCGAGAAACCUACUCUGGCCACACGUCCGUUCAUGACCGGGCCGGAAUUAAACGCAACACCGGCCGAGCUCCUCCCGUCCGCCCUCAGUUUAAACGAGGCCAGACGCCGGCCAAGCUCCUCCCGUCCGCCCUCUAUUUACACGAGGCCAAACAAACAGCGGGCAAGAAUCGCACCCCUCUGCCGCUCCCCCAUCUCCUCCUUCACCAUUUUCUCCACUCUUCCGACGGCUUCCGAGGAGCCGUUCUUCGGCAUAUUACCCGGCUGGGUGGCCCGCCGAGCGCUCCGGAUAUGGGCGAGGCCACUCGGUGCUUCACCAACCUCGCUUGCCCGAUGGAGCCAGUUGCCGCCCCAAGCAGGCGCGUGGUUCAGCAACUCACCACUCCAGUUCAGCUUGAUGAGGAGUGGCGAGUUGCUGCACGCCGGCACGGCGGUGAGCACACCGGUACAGGCGUCGUCGCUGCCGCGUCGUACCGCGCCACCAGUGUCUGCGGUGCCGCGCCUCCCGUGUCUGUGGGCGCGCCUCCCGUGCCUGCGGCAGCGCCAUGCAGGCAGAGACAGAAGCCGGGUGCAUGGAGAGCGACGAGUCGGUGGCCAGCUUCUUCGUGUCCGCUGCCAUCAUCGAGGAGAAGUAGAACACGGGAGGCCGCCGCCACUUGGGUCCCAUGAAGGCCACCGCCGAGGCGACGACUGCGCAUUCAGGUGGUUUCUUUGCUUCUUCGUCUCUUCCGAGGACCUUCGUCGACCCCGCAAAGUGUCUGCCCGGCAUGAGGAAGACAAAGGGAUCCGCGGGCGGCCAUUUCGAUUAUGUACUCCCUCUCCAGCUGGCGGGAAAUUUUUGUUCUAAGAAUGGAUAAAUUGUAUGUAUCUAUAACUAAAAUAAGUCUAGAUACAUCCAUUUCUAGGACAAGUAUUUCCAGACGGAGGGAGUAUUAAUUAUACCAAGAGAGCCGGAUUGGCACCGCUUAGUUCAUGUAAAUGUAAUGAAAUCCAUCAUGUUUAUAUGAGGAUCCGGCUUUUUUAUACGAAAUCCUUCAUGCUUAUAUGAAAUCAGUCCGUGUUUGCACGAAUUUCAUCUGGUUGGUUAGAGUUGUGAAAAUGUAUGCCGCUGGCGUUUGAUGUCGUCCUCCGCGGAAGGAAGUGGGAGGAAAUUUGCCUGCUACCGUUGGAGAUGCUCUUAUGCUGGAAAUAAUAGAGUGACAUCCAAUCCAUUUGAGUUAAUUGCGUGUAUGAUUGUCCCUCUAUAAAAAGUUAAUUGCAUGUACAGUGUACACGUGACUUGCAGGGUGGCUCCAGCUUCAUACAGAAAGUUAAAAAGAAACAAGUCCAUCCUUAAUCUUGUAUUCUAAGUACUCUGUGGGUUCCACUGUCAGUACAGUAGCGAAAGAAGUAUAUAUUAAAUAAGUAAUAUAUAAUAUAAAAAUCUAAAGUUAAAAACAGAAUUCGAACUCAUGUCAUCGCGUUGCGAGCAUCCGACGCUAACCAGUCCAGCACAUUUUUGUUGUAGACCAUGCUAGAGAUAUAUCUCCAUGUCUACUGUUAUACUCCAUCCGUUCCUAAAUAUUUGUCCUUUUCAGAUUUCAAAUGGACUACCACAUACAAAUGUGUAUGUAGACAUAUUUUAGAGUGUAGAUUCACUCAUUUUGCUCCAUAUGUAGUCACUUGUUGAAAUCUCUAAAAAGACAAAUAUUUAGGAACGGAGGGAGUAGAAAACAGAGUUGGUGAUGAUGGUGUGCGUGCCGUCCUGCAAUAUACGCCGUCGGAUUUAUAUCUAGCGGAUAGGCAGAAAACUAUGGCAAUUUUGCAAAAAUAUACCCACACCCCUCUCCACGUUCGCAAAUACGGCCUUCCCUCGUUCAUCCUUUUCUCUCACAAGAUAAACUACUCAUACAAAUGCAUCUUGAUGUUCUGUGCAAUGCACGGGCAUCUAGCUAGUUUCUUUUAAAAUAGUUACUGCGAUAAUUGGGUUGAAGUGAUAUAUUUUAUGUCUGCCCCGAAUGAUUUCAGAUCACUAGUAGUAACAAAGAAAAGGUUGCCUUGCUAAUUAACAGAAAACAGGGUGAAAACUAUCACAUGAGGCCGGUAAAAACGAGGCACACUGGGUUCAGCAUCAUCGUCACUACAGCUGUGCGCGCACGAGAAGUCUACAUAUCGAGGGGGCUACUGAGCGAGGCACAGAGACACAAUGUUUGAGAGUGAAACCAAUUGACAGAUUACAAUCAGAUCGAGUUGUCACCCUUCUACUGUCAUUGUNNNNNNNNNNNNNNNNNNNNNNNNNNNNNNNNNNNNNNNNNNNNNNNNNNNNNNNNNNNNNNNNNNNNNNNNNNNNNNNNNNNNNNNNNNNNNNNNNNNNNNNNNNNNNNNNNNNNNNNNNNNNNNNNNNNNNNNNNNNNNNNNNNNNNNNNNNNNNNNNNNNNNNNNNNNNNNNNNNNNNNNNNNNNNNNNNNNNNNNNNNNNNNNNNNNNNNNNNNNNNNNNNNNNNNNNNNNNNNNNNNNNNNNNNNNNNNNNNNNNNNNNNNNNNNNNNNNNNNNNNNNNNNNNNNNNNNNNNNNNNNNNNNNNNNNNNNNNNNNNNNNNNNNNNNNNNNNNNNNNNNNNNNNNNNNNNNNNNNNNNNNNNNNNNNNNNNNNNNNNNNNNNNNNNNNNNNNNGGUGUGGGUGUGUGUGUCGGGGGGGGGGGGGCAGUGACACUUACAUAUCCCUACUCUUAUAAAAAUAGAGUUGGUGAUGAUGGUGUUCCUGCCAUCCUGCAAUAUAGGCCAUCUGAUUUAUAUCUGACGGAUAGGAAGGAAACUGUGGCAAUUUUGCAAAAAGAUACCCACACCCCUCUCCGCAUUUGCAAAUAAGGCAUUCCCUCGUUCAUCCUUUUCUCCCACAAGAUAAACUACUCAUACAAAUGCAUCUUGAUGUUCGGUGCAACGCAUGGGAAUCUUGCUAGUAGGGAGAAGGAGUUUGUGUGACACAUAUCUAGCUAUAUUAAGGGAUAGGUAGAUAGCAUUUGUGCGAGGCAUACUUAAAGCAUCACGAAGAUAAACAAAAUUGUGUGCAUGCAAGUGCCGGAAAAAAUGAAGCGAGAAACAAUGUGUGUGUGUGCGCGCGCGUGUGUGUGUGAGAGAGAGAGGGAGAGAGAGAGAGAGCGAAAUCUCAAAACAAAAGGUGCUCUGCUGGAAUCCCAUUGUAUGUAUUCAUAUGGUUUCGGAACUCGAGUUAACCUUAGGCAUAUGUGUGAGAGACAUUAUUAUACUUUGAGACAUUAGUGGCUGUGGGUGGGCGGAAUUAAAGGGGUGGGCGUGUUCGACAGAGAGAGCAUGUGUGUUUCUGUGUGAGAGACUUGUAGGACGGGGUAGAAAGACAAAUUCUAACCUUGACGGAGGGAGAGAAAUACACGAAGUGCGCGUGUGUGAUUCCGAUGCCCACAUGGAAAUGAGAUAUGUAUGCGUGUGAGAGAGAUUGCACAAUUCAUUCACGUAUCACUAUCUAGCGAUCGUAGACGUGCAUCGCUUGAACAUAAAUCAAUAUCUACUUCAUAUCGUGGCCAAAGGUACAAUAUCGAUUCAACGCUAUAAAGAUUGGACACUCACAUAUCACAUUUUUUCUAUUUAAAUAAACCUUUUCAGUUGUGCAUGCCAAAGUUACAGUGAUGUUUCUUCAAACAACCAAUGUAGCUAUCAUGUACAUGCACCAUUGUUACUCUUGCAUUCAAAAUCAUUAGUCUAGGAUGAUUUAAGGUUCUAUUAUGAAGUAAUAUAUGUAAUAUUCAUAUAUGAACUCAACAGGUACGCAAUUUAUGAAAUGGAGGCUAUGUAAUCAUAUGAGGUAACACUUUUAAGUAGCGGACUACAAUAUCCAUUUAUUUUUGUGCACCUCUACACUAACACGUCAAUGCAUUAUGUUUAAAGUAAAUAACCAAUUGCACUAAAUUAUCUAUUUACACGAGAAAUACAUAGGCUGAGCGUUUGAUCCCUUUUUUUGUGAACGCGCCACUACACCCGUACGAUUGGCCGCGCCCGUGUGAACGUCCAAGUUAUCGGCGCAUCAUCCCGAGUUAUUGUCUUUUUUUCUUGGUUGGACUUCACACUAGUUAUUAACUGUUGACGCGUGCCCCGUGUACACAGUCUCGCAUGACCUUCCCGCUAGCACAGUCCAAAAUUAGUUGAAACUGGAUACGAACGAUCCCGCGGGCGGCAACAUCUCCCGCCUCCUUCUAAAAUUUCCGCCACCUUAGUCUUUAGCAUGCGAAAUUCCCCUUUUGUUCUUGGUGCACGGAGACCAACAGUUACAAUACCGCCCUCAUCUACAUAAUAGGUCGAGGCUGCUUUGGUAACUUCCGGUUGCCCCCACUACACAACACCCCCAUUUCCUCUCCACCUCCCGCAAAAACGACUAACUCCACAGCACCAGAGCAUCUCACAUCACGCCGCCGUACUUCAUCAGCCUUUCUCCCCCCCUCUCGAAACCCUAGACUGCUCAUCCACCGGCGUACCAGAGCCCAUUCAUUGCCAGCGGCGUCCACCUCGCCGAAUCUGCUUCUGCGGCCGCAUCUACCCCUCCCACCUCCCCUAGAAAUAUGUAGACUGCUCACCCACCACUGUACCACAGCCCAUUCAGUGCCGGCCUUGUCCACGGCGCCGGAUCUGCUUCGCCGGUACUCUCAUCAACCGCAGCGCAUCUGCAGCGGCUCAUUCGUACUCCCCACCGGAGAUGCUUCGUCCACACCCCCCCGGAGCCGCCCCACCGACUCCCCCAUCGACGGCCUUUGAUCCUCUUCGCCGACACCUUCCUCAACCCUACCAGAGCCGCUUCACCGACACCAUCGUCAACCCCACCGGAGUAGCUUCGCCUAUACCAUUUUCAACCCUACCAGAGCCGCUUUGCCAACUCAGAAGUCCACGGCCUCAGAUCCGCUUCCUCACACCCUCAUCCAACCUACCGGAGCAGCUUCUGACGCCCCGUCCACGACCACAGAUCUGCAUCAUCGACACCAUCCUUAACCCAACCACCGGAGCAGCUUCACCUACCGGAGCCACUCCACAAACACCCUACUCAACGGUUCUAGAUCCCCUUACCGGACCCCGACAGCCAGCGCAGGGUCAUCACCCUUGACGUUUCUAACCUGAUUCCCACCAUCGGGAAAGAUGCCAAGGACCCGCCACGGCCUAGGUACUUGUCACCUUUAAACCCGUUCAGCAUCACCUGCCCGAUGUACUUCAAAUAUACUAACAGGUCGCUGUUACCUGAUAUGUAGCUGGCAAAAACUACAAGGACGAUGUUUCUUCUAGAUCUAACAACUUGGCCAACCAAGAUCCUGGACCGAGGCAUUGCUAUGAUCUUGUAAGCGUGUCUCUCUCUCUUGUAUUGUUCUGUGCCUGCCAGCGUGCUUUGCUAGGAUUUUCGACCAGUAAUCCCUUUGUGCAGACAAUGAUUUCUACUACUGGCUGCUAAAUUAGAUAUGUAGACGUCAUACAUGAUACUACCUCGUACCUCCGUUCCUAAAUAUAAGUCUUUCUAGAGAUUCCACUAUAGGCUACAUACGGAGCAAAAUGAGUGAAUCUACACUCGAAAAUGCAUCUAUAUACAUCUGUAUGUGGUCCAUACUGGAAUCUCUACAUAGACAUAUAUUUAGGAACAGAGGCAGUACGUUACACAAAAUCGUAGGUGGCAUGUAGGAAUUCUAGUACACUACAUUAGGCUCCCUUAAAGUGCCUGCUAGUCCAGCACACAGAGUCAUGGCUAGUUUAUGCUACGCACACAAUCAUUAAUUGGUGGUUUAAAUAUGCGCAAGGGAUAUGCAAUGUAUUAUCAUAUAGAGAUGUCUGAAAAUUAGUCGUAUCAACUUGCAGACAGGGUUACACAAUGAAAAAGUACAAGAUGUAUGUGGCAAUUUCAUGGAACAUCGCAAAAAAAGGAGAGCCAGCGGUGAGCCUAUACAGUGUGCUAUGGUACGUUACUCCUCCAUUGCAAUCAUCAUGACAUGUUAUUUGUAUGUCAGUUCUAUUGGCCAAGUUUCUUAGGGACAGUUAUUACGAGUUAUCCUAAGAAAAUAAGCACCUGUGAAUAUAAGCUCCAUGUAAUAAGCCAACCAGUUCUUUUCAUUGCGUUUUCAGCUUAUCUUUGGUAUGAUCAGUGAAAAGUCUAGAUUGCAUUAUAUUUUUUUCAUUUUGCUGCCCAUAUGAAAAUUAAUUUGACUUGCAAACAUCACAAAUUGAACCCAGUGCAGUAAUUAAUAUGAUAGUAAAACAUACCAUCACUAUUUGCUCAAAAUGCAAAUACAAAGAUACCAUCUACUUGGCACAAUCUACUUUGGUCAAUGUUUUCCAUAGAGAUCCCAUUGCCUAAUUUAGACGAAAAAUGCAUGACCCAUAUUUAAGUGAAGAACAAUUAUUUAUUGAAAUUCGAUGGUCCAAGUGGCUGGUUAUUAUCAUAUAGCAGCACCAUCUGAAAGCAUCAUAUAGCAGUAGCAGCAGCUCAUAGCAACUCAUCAUACAGCAGCAGCAGUGUGCAAUUCAUCAUAUACCAGCAGCAGCUCAUAGCAAUUCAUCAUAUAGCAGUAGCAGGAGCAGCUCAUAGCAAUUCAUCAUAUAGCAGCAGCAGGAGCAGCUCAUAGCAAUUCAUCAUAUAGCAGCAACAGGAGCAGCUCAUAGCAAUUCAUCAUAUAGCAUCAGCAGGAGCACCUCAUAGUAAUUCAUCAUACAGCAGCAGCAGGAGCAGCUUAUAGCAACUCAUCAUAUAGAAGCAGCAGCAGCUCAUAGCAAUUCAUCAUAUAGCAGCAGCUCAUAGCAAUUCAUCAUAUAGCAGCAGCAGGAGCACCUCAUAGCAAUGCAUCAUAUAGCAGCAGCAGAAGCAGCUCAUAGCAAUUCAUCGUAUAGUGGAUCAGAAUGAAAAUUUGGCAAAAAAUCAGAGGAGAUCCUCACCUUGUUGGAUGAGCUCUUCCUUCAACAGCACCUCAAGGCCACGGCCUGGGAGGUGGGGAGGGGGAAUAAGGUGCCUUCUGCCGCAGUGUGGCAUCAACCGUAGUUGUGCAGCGCCUACUGGAGUAGUGCGUUGGACAAACCACAGUGGAGCAACUGCUGGAGACCAUGAGAAUGAGGGGCGGCACCAGAGGUAGGAGCAGCCAGGGAGAGUUGCCCCUACCCGCCGACCAUGUAGCCUAGAUGGACAAAGCAUCGUCGAGGACCAGGCUAGAUGGGACUAGUGGCGACGGCUUGCUGGAGGAACCCUAUGCUGCAGGUAGGGGAUCGAGGUAGAGGGAAAGGGGAGAGGAGAUGCAAGCGGGCAUGGCAAUGAACGCUUGCGUGUUUGUUUUUACUUGAGGGUGAGGUGUGACGCGGGCGUCACCAGUUGCAUUUUGAGUGUAAUAUAGGCAGACAACAGAGUCAUUUCACUAUUCCCCUUCCCUUCAAUUUUUAGUGAGGUUCUACCUGAAACACCCCCCUCCAAAGAGAAAUUAGUUAAGCCCAAGCCCAUAACUCAAAAAUGACUUCUUUACAUCUUUUAUGGCUUAUUUUGACAAUAAGCCCUGAAAAGGCGGAAUAGAACUAGCCCUUAACCUGCAAUUCAAUUGUGCGUGCAAUGAUGAAUCACUCCUGCCUGCUAUAGUGUACAUUUGGGCAUCAUCAUACAUGGCAUAACCUAAUACAUGUGCAUUCCAUUGUAGAAUCUUGAAUAUGCAAUGUUUAUGUUAGUUCAUAUGUUGCACAUGAUGUUUAAAUGCCCCUUAAAUCUGGUCAGUCAAGUGAUGGUCUUUAAGCCUCCUUCUUUGCUUCUUUUCUUGAUAUGUAAGAUUUGCUCACACAUCUGUUCAAUUGCUUGUUUGCAUCAGCCAACCAUACUAGGACUGUUUGCUUUGAUUACUUGUUGUUCUUGACCUAACACUCUAACAGAGCUUGUCAACGAUUUAAACACUAAGGGCUGCUGUAGUGGGGCCUUUUCUAACUCAUAGGUGACAUAAAGGUUUGGCUGUACACUAAAGUAGGCUCUCCAAGAGUACCUGGAGAUCCAGUUCGAAGGUAUGCCUAGUUUUUACAUAGUACAGACAUAGUAAAUGCUCAUUUCAUUGUGUGCAAGUGCAAGAGAUGCAGCAUGUUUCAUUAUGUGGUGUUGUUUUGUUAUAAUCUCAUCCUUUUGUGUUCACAGACUGGAAAGUAUGCAUAUUUAUCUUCCAAGGAGACGAGUAACUAGUUUGUGUCACCUUGAAGAGGGGGUGCAAUGAAGAUAAUAUUGAGGAUUUCCAAGUACAAGAUGUUAGGAAGGAGCCUUGCAAGAGAAGUAGGACCACCGCUGAGCCUCUUCAACCUGUUAAGGUAAGUCACUGUAUCCAACUCAACAGUUCAAUUCCUUGUUUGUUUCAGGCAUAGUUAAUUUGCUCUUUUCAAUUGCUUUAUUUGUCCUCAGUUAAUGAGAUGCCCAAGGAAUGAUGCCUGAUGUUGGGUACUUGUAUAACUAUUAGUUGACAUAAUUAAAUGCCUUACCAUUUAAUUACUAUGCCGAAGUGUGCCUGAAGGUUUGAAGUCUAUUAACCAACUAUUAUUGCAUGAGGCUCACAAUCUAGUUUAUACUAGGCUAAUGAUUGCAUAGUUUUGCUUGCUGUAGUAUGUUUGUAUGAAACUCUCUGCUGUUCAUUAUGCUCCCUAAGACUUUAAUUGAGCUACAGAAUGGCCAACUGCUUGCUUACUUCUACGCAACGUGCUGUCUAAAUUUGUAACUUGUCUGUGUUUUGGAUUGGGCCCCAACAUCAUGCUCCUCUAGUGAGCUAAGAGAGAUUUCUGUAUGCAGGCUGCACAGACUACCUUUUUAUAAUUUUUAAAAUAUCACCUGCUUAUGCUUCAUGACGUGUAACAUUAUUGUUAGUCCUGUUUUGCCAUGUACAAAAUAGUCUGUCUUGCUCGCUCCACAGUUGUAACUAUAUUUUUGCCCUAGUCAUGUGUACUUACAGAAACAUUUCAGGAUGAAGUGACAUCAACACAAAGAUCUGCGAGCAGUGCGGCAUGGCCAUUACCGAAUGAUUAUGGAUUGGAAUUGGAAUGUGCUGAUGUUCUCGAGCAUCAACUAGAGGUGGCAAGACAACGUGUACAUGAUUCUGAACGUACAAUCAACAAGUUGAGACUGGACAUGCAGGUAUUAGAUGCAGGAGUCAAAAAAAUGAAACAAGACACUGAGGUAACAACGAAGGAAUUGGAGAUUUUGCAGACUAAAAUUUGUGCUAUCUAAAUCCGGCCAAUCCUAUUUUCUGAAGAGAUUAUAGUUCAAAUGGUAAGUUAUGUUGAUGCGCGUCCAUGAUGUAUGAGUUGUAUUUGCCCAGUGUAUGCAAUUUGCUGUUUGUGUAUGCUUUAUUAUCAUUGGUGCCGAACCAUAAUGCCCAGUGGGUAUAAUCAGAUGUAAUUUCUUUAUUGUAUAGUGUAGGAUUAUUCUACGUUUCUAUGCCUUAGUCUCUUUAUUGUAUAGUGUAUGUUUUUUAGAGGUGAUAGUAUAGAGUAGGAUAAUUCUUUGAAUAUGCUAUAUCGUCAAACGGGGGCCAACUCGCCCAAACGUUGUAGUGACCAUGGCCCUCCACAUGCCGUACAAUCCAUGGGCCAUCUACGGGACAGACGAUCCAUGGCCUUCUAUGGCUGUCGGAUUCGUGGGCCUUCUAUCUGCUGUCGGAUCCAUGGGCCUUCUAUGGGCCAUCGGAUCCAUGGGCCUUCUAUGGGCCGUCGGAUCAAUGGGCCUUCUAUGGGCCAUCGGGUCAAUGGGCCCUCUACGUCCCGUAGGAUCCAUGGGCCUUCUACGGGCCGUCUCAUCUAUGGGCCUUGUACGGGCCGUAUAAGGGGCCAUAAACAGGCUAGAGUGGAAAUCGUACGUUUUAUGGGCUGACCAUAACGGGCCGUUAAUAGGCCGUAUUUGAUGAUGCUAUGAAAAUGGCCCAACAGAUUAACGGGCCGUAAACGGACCGACAAUAUCCACGGGCUGAAUUUGGUCCACAAGCAGAAAAGGCCAGUAACGGGCCGUAAGUAACCGAAUGCUAGAAAUGAGCCCAAGAAUAAAUGGGCCCUCAGAAGGCCGAAAGGUAACACGGGCUAGAAACGACCCAGUGGAAUAAUGGGCCGCUAAUGGGUAUAAAGCGAUACACUGUUCAUUACGGGCCGGUUUCACCACGGGCCAUUAAUGGGCCAAGAGUUACAAAGGGGCUCAUAUGGGCCAAAAUACGUCAUGGGCCAUACAUGGGCCGGAAGUUAAAACGGGCUGGAAUUAUAUUGGACGGCCCAGAUGACGCUACUGGGCCUAAUUCGGAUAGGCCGUAAAUGGGCCAUGGGUUAGCGGGCCGUAAAUGGGCUAUAUGCGAACAUGCCGUUAACAGGCUUGCCGUGGGCCGGCCCGCCACCUUUUGACCAAGUCAAACGGGCCGACCUUUUCACAGGAAUGGGCCUCUGUUGGGCCGUGCCACGUGUCGACGUAUCAUAGUCGCUUUGGGUCCAAUGAGUGGAUGACAUAUGUCCCAACGGUGAGCCGACACGUGUUUCCUCUAGCCAAUGAUGAUUUUACACGUGGAAAAUCCCCAUUGGUCGGGGCUGUUAACGUGUUAUCGGAUCCAAAACCGGACCCGAUAGCUUAACGGCGUUCCGUUACGGUGGAUGCCACAUGUCGGUCACCCUUGACGAAAGCACUUCUGUGACGCGCGAUUUAUCGUCAUGGAAGUGGACACUUCCGUGAUGAUAAUUUUGGUAAUGUCAUGGAACACUUCUACGGCAGCACAGGUAUGACUAUCUUUCAUAAAUUUGUCAUGGAUGUACAUGCAUGACAGAAAACGUGACCUACUGUGACAAACACGUAUCAUCACGGAAGUGUAUUUUUUUGUAGUGUAGGCUUUUCCCUAGUAGUGUAUAAAACCCCGAGGAGCCCUCAUGCAUACGAGCGAUCGAACACAGAGGAUCGCUCACUCACACACGCAUAGCAAGCCACACCCAAGGAGAGGGCGUAGCCUAAGCCUCGGCCUUCCUUCCUUCCUCCUCCAUAUAGCUCUAGGAGCAACUCUGUACUGAUACACAUCAACUACACUCGGCAGGACUAGGGGUGUUAUCUCUCCGGAGAGCCCCGAACCUGGGUAAGUCUUGCGUCCCGCGCUCGCUCAUGCCGACCUCGCCUCUGGAGCCCACCAGUGCCCUCGAGCCUCCUCCUAUCUUUAGCCAUCCCUUGGCAUCUGUCGUGCGCCCACCACGAUAGUUAGCGCCCACCGUGGGGCAGCUCGAGCUCCUGGCCGGGAGCAUGCUUCAGACGGGGCUCCUCUCCGACUCCGACGAGCCUGUCAUGUUGGCGGACGACGUCAUCGACGCACUCGCCGCCUCCUUCGCCGCGCUGCGCAUCUCCGAUGCGCCUGCGGCCGACGAGUACCCCAGCGAGGUACUUGACUUUUCCGAAUCCCCCCUCUCCCUCAGCGGCAGCGCUCCCGCCGGGGCAAUGGACCUUUGCGUGGAGGUUUUCAUCACCGACACCGGCACCUCUUCCUCAUCGUGCGCGGAGAGGAAGGCCGCAGCGGAUCGGGCCGGCUCGCCCAACCCACUGCGCCCCAUGAUGCAGAGCCUUCGCGUUCCCAUCAGCACCGACAUCGACGCGUCCAACGUCGCCGAGGCCCGGACUCGGCUCAAGGAGGACAACCAGCGCCUGCUGGACCUGACCGAGACGCUCGCCGCCACGCAGCGUCACGUCGACUCCGUGCAGCUGGAGCGCAACGCCGCCUACGGCUUCACGCCUACCGCGGCCGAGCCAAGCCGGGUCGCGGACGUGCGAGCCCGGGGAGGCGCGAUCGGCCGUGCUUUCGGCGCCAUCCCGCCCGUCUACGAGACUCCCAUGAAGAAAAUGCGCGCCGCGCAGGCGAGGAGCUGAAGGAUCGCCUCAAGCGGGUGAACGACCUCCUCGACGCGGCCAACGCGCAGCAGGACCGCCUCAACCAACUCGCCAAGCCGGCGGGAUCCAGCUCCGCCCGCAUCGGCGGACCCGGCGACCACCAGAACACGGCGUCUUCACCACCCGGCGAGGCGCACUCCGGCCGGACCCGGCGCAACCCUGACCCGGCAACUGCCGGCGGCUUGGGCGAUGAGCCGGUCUUGGAGGACCGAUGUCGGCUCGACCCUCUGCUCCAACCCGGUUGACGUCCGACUACGGUUGACUUGGGCCCCCGCGGCACGGUCACCGACCGGCUGGGCCCGCGCGCCAUCGAUGACACCGACGCCCGCCACCGCCCCGACCGACUCGCCCUUUCCCAGGAGCUGGAGGAGAGCGGCCCUGUCAGGUCAGCGUGCUUCAGACCACGCAUCAGGGAUGAGCCCUUUACUAAAGGGUUCUUGCUCCCCCGCGAUACCCCCAAGUACAACGACACCGUGAAGCUGGAGGACUGGCUCACCGACUACACCACCGCCAUCGGCAUCGCCGGCGGUAACCACCGUCUCGCCGUGCGCUACGCGCCGCUCAUGCUCCAAGGGUCGGCCCGCACUUGGUUGAACAGCCUGCCGGCAGGCAGCAUCAACGAGUGGGUCGACUUCGAGCAGGCCUUUGCAUACAACUUCACCGGCACCUACAAGCGACCCGGCCGCCCCAGCCAGCUCGCCAUGUGCGUGCAGGGGCCGACGGAAACCGGCCGCGAAUACCUCGCACGCCGGACCGAGCUCCAGAACAGUUGCGAGGGCGUCCACGAAGUCCAAGCGAUACGGUACUUCGUCAAUGGGUUCCGGGAUGGCACCCUCCUCAAGCACAAGCUCUUGCUCUCCGAGCCGGCCACCAUGGCCACGCUCAUGGUGACGGUGGACAAGUACGCCAACGCUGACUCCGCCAUGAAGAUCCAGGUGGCACUGGAUGAAGCCGGCGAAGCAAAGCCGGUUCCCCCUCUGAAGCCGGCCGGCAAAGGAAGCCGGCAGCAGCAUAACCAGUAGAACAACAAAUGCAAGGCCGAUCAGCCGGCCCAGCACUACGAAAACCGGCUCGUCGCGGCCGCCGCGCAGGCGCCCGCGACCGACCCGGCCGCCAAGCGCCGGCAGACCGGCAAGACGACGUGGCAACCCGCCAUGAGCUUCGAGGAGAUGCUCGAUGCUCCCUGCAAGUACCACAGCGAUGCAAGGCCGUCCAUGCACACGCUUCGGCAGUGCGCCAUCACCAGGCGCAUCAUGAGGGGCGACAUCCUACCUCCUCCGGCGCCGGCUCCGGGAGCGGGGCAGCCGCCUCCGCCUCUGCCUCCACCACCACCUCCGGCUGGCGGCACGAUGCACGACGACGUCUACCCGUCCCAGAACGUGACCUAUGUCGUCUUCACCAGCCUCGGCGACGACAAACACAGCGAGCGCCUCCUUCGGCAGGAGGUGAACACCGUCGUCCCAGCCAAGCCGGAAUAUAUGCACUGGUCGGAGCGCCCGGUCACCUGGACUCGGGAGGACCACCCGGCCGUCAUGCGGAGCCUGGGUGGUUAUGCUCUCGUCCUCAACCCCACAAUCGUCGCACCUCGGUGCACAUGCAAGUUCUCCCGGGUUCUCAUCGACGGCGGCAGCAGCAUCAACAUCCUCUACCGUGACACCAUGACCAAGCUCGGCCUCGAGGCCAAAGACCUGGAGCCGACCUGGACGAUCUUCCACGGCAUCGUUCCUGGACUCUCAUGCUCUCCAAUCGGCCGGGUCCGGCUCGACGUCCUGUUCAGCGACAACAACCACUUCCGACGCGAGCCAAUCUGGUUCGAGGUGGUGGACCUGUCCAGCGCGUACCACGCGCUGCUGAGCCAGCCCGCGCUCGCCAAGUUUAUGGCGGUCCCCCACUACGCCUACCUAAAGAUGAAGCUGCCGGGUCCGAAGGGCCUCAUCACCAUCACCGGCGACUACCGCAAGUCCCUGGAGUGCACCCGAGACGGCGCCAAAUUGGCCGAGUCGCUGGUCAUAGCCGAGGAGCGGCGCGAGCUCGACCGGAUUGUCGCCCUAGCCAAUGAGACGUCGGCCGUGCUGAUCUCGGCCGACGAGCCGGCGGACGAGGCCUUGUUCAAGCCCUCCAAGGAGACCAAGAAAGUGAAGCUGAACCCGGAAGACCCCAGCUGUAGCAAGUACGUUGUCAUGGGCACCCACCUCGACAGAAAAUAGGAAGGCGAGCUCGUCGACUUCCUCCAUGAGAAUCGGGAUAUUUUUGCAUGGACCCCAAAGGACAUGCCGGGUAUCCCGAGGAAAUAAGCCGAGCACAAACUCCACGUCCGCAAGGAUGCCAAGCCUGUCUGCCAACCCCUACGGCGUUUCUCUGAAGAGAAGAGAAGAACCAUCGGUGAAGAGGUCGCCAAGCUUUUGGCGGCCGGCUUCAUCCUGGAAGUGUUUCACCCCGAGUGGCUGGCCAACCCAGUCCUCGUCCUGAAGAAGAACAAGACCUGGCGCAUGUGUAUCAACUACACCAGCCUGAACAAGGCCUGCCCCAAGGAUCCGUUCGACCUCCUGUAGAUCGACCAAGUCAUCGACUCCACUGCCGGGUGCGAGCUCCUGUCCUUACUAUAUGCUUACUCCGGCUAUCACCAGAUCAAGCUGGACCCGGCCGACGCCCUGAAUACGUCCUUCAUCACGCCCUUUGGGGCGUAUUGCUACAUCACCAUGUUGUUCAGCCUGAAGAACGCCGGUGACACCUUCCAGCGCUGCAUGUAGAAAUGCCUGCUGCCGCAACUCGGCCGCAACAUCCACGUCUAUGUGAACGACAUCGUGGUGAAGACCAAGCAGCACCUCACGCUCCUCGACGACCUGAAGGAAACCUUCGCUAACCUGCGUGAAUACAAGGUCAAGCUCAACCCAAAGAAGUGCGUUUUCGGUGUCCCGGACGGAAAGCUACUCGGCUUCCUCAUCUCGGAGCGCAGCAUUGAGGCAAACCCGGAGAAGAUCAAGGCCAUCGAGCGCAUGCGCAAGCCGGCUCGGCUGCGCGAUGUCCAGAAGUUCACCGGCUGCUUGGCCUUGGUCAGCCGGUUUCUCAGCCGGCUGGGCGAGAGGGCCUUGCCCCUGUAUCAGCUGAUGAAGAAGAUGACACCGUUCGAAUGGAACGACCUGGCGGACAAGGCUUCCCGGGACCUCAAGCGCAUGCUCUCCACCGCACCCGUCCUGGCCGCACUGGCCAAGAAGGAGCCGCUGUUGCUCUACAUCGCCACAACCUCGCGGUCGGUCAGGACGGUGAUGGUGGUUGAGCGACCAGAGAAGGGCAAGAUCCAAGCCGUCCAACGUCCCGACUACUACCUGAGCGAGGUGCUCUCCGCCUCCAAGCAGAACUACCCACAGUACCAGAAGAUGUGUUACGGCGUGUACUUCACCGUCAAGAAAUUGAAGAAGUACUUCCAAGAGCACGUUGUUACCGUGGUCAGCACGGCCCCUCUCGGCGAAAUCAUCGGGUGCCGGGAUGCCUCUGCCCGGGUCGCCAAGUGGGCGCUCGAGCUAGCCGGCCACACCAUCCUCUACGAGCCCGACACUACGAUCAAGUCCCAAGCUUUGGCCCACUUCCUCGUCGACUGGAUUGAGACCCACUACCUGCCGCCGCCGCCGGACUCGACACACUGGCGCAUGCACUUCGACGGCUUGAAGAUGCGUCUCAGCCUAGGGGCCGGCAUUGUGCUGUCCUCCCUGAAGGGCGACCGGCUCAAAUACGCGCUCCAGAUCCACUUCACCGCCUCCAACAACGUCGCCGAGUACGAAGCCCUUGUGCAUGGCCUCUGGCUUGCCAAGGAACUCGGCAUCCGGCACAUCCUGUGCUAUGGCGACUCGGACCUGGUGGUGCAGCAGUGCUCCGGCGAGUGGGACGCCCGCGACACCCACAUGGCGAGCUACCGCUUCCUCAUCCAGAAGCUGUCCGGAUUCUUCGCGGGCUGCGAGUUCCUCCACGUCCCGCGUGUUCGGAAAAUGAGGCAGCCGACAUGCUCGCCAAGAUUGCCUCGUCCCGGCAGUCCAUCCCGUCCAGCGUCUCCCUUGAGCACCUGCACAAGCUGCCUGUCAAGCCGUCUCCGGACUCUGAGUCCAUCUACGUCUCGGACGACCCGGCCGCACCUCAACCCGUCCCGGGGACUGCCAAACCCGGCCCGAGGACUGCUGAACCCGGCCCGGGGACUGCCGAACCUGGUCUGGGGACCGCUUAACCCGGCCCGGGGGCCGCAGCCAUCAAUCUGACCGCUGCUGUUGCCGACCCGGGGGCUGCCGCCCCAGAACCCGCCAUGGUGGUCGUCUUCGCCAUGGUGAUGGCACCAUCAUGGGUCCUGCCCAUCUCAGAGUUUCUGGAGAACGGGGUCCUCCCCAUGGACGAGACCGAAGCCCGGCAAGUGCAGCGCCGGGUGUCCGCCUACAACAUCAUCAACAACGAGCUCAUCAAACGCAGCUCCAUCGGCGUGUUCCAGCGCUGCGUCGAGCAGGACAAGGGCAUUGAGAUCCUCCUCGACAUACACCAAGGCGAGUGCGGGCACCACGCCGCCUCGCGAUACCUGGUGGCCAAGGCCUUCCGCCAUGGUUUCUACUGGCCCACGGUCCUCGAAGACGCCGAGUCACUCAUCCUCAAGUGCGAGGGAUGCCAGCGGUUCAGCAAGCGCAGUCACCAGCCGACGUCAGCACUCCGGACCAUCCCGAUCGCCUGGCCCUUCACGGCCUGGGGACUCGACAUGGUGGGGCCCUUCAAGACCGCUCGAGGCGGCAUGACGCAUUUGCUGGUGGCGGUGGACAAGUUCACCAAAUGGAUCAAAGCAAGGUCAAUCAAGAAACUGGACGGGCCAACGGUCGUCCGAUUCAGCAAGGACAUCGCGGUGCGCUACGGCAUGCCGAACAGCAUCAUCAUGGACAACGACACCAACUUCGCCAAGGGUGCACUCGCGUAGUACUGCUCCGUCUCUGAUACGUCUCCGUCAUAUCUACUUUUCCAAACACUUUUGCCCUUGUUUUGGACUCUAACUUGCAUGAUUUGAAUGGAACUAACCCGGACUGACGCUGUUUUCAGCAGAAUUGCCAUGGUGUUAUUUAUGUGCAGAAACUAAAGUUCCCGGAAUGACCUGAAACUCCACGGAACUUAUUUUUGGAAAAUAUAAAAAAUAUUGGUGAAAGAAUCAAGGCCAGGGGGCCCACCACCUGUCCACGAGGGUGGGAGGCGCGCCUGCCCCCUGGGCGCGCCCCCCUGCCUCGUGGGCCCCCUGGAGCUCCACCGACCUCAACUCCAACUCCAUAUAUUCGUGUUCGGGGAGAAAAAAAAUCAGAGAGAAGGAUUCAUCGCGUUUUACGAUACGGGGCCACCGCCAAGCCCUAAAACCUCUCGGGAGGGCUGAUUUGGAGUCCGUUCGGGGCUCCGGAGAGGGGAAUCCGUCGCCGUCGUCAUCAUCAACCAUCCUCCAUCACCAAUUUCAUGAUGCUCACCGCCGUGCGUGAGUAAUUCCAUCGUAGGCUUGCUGGACGGUGAUGGGUUGGAUGAGAUUUAUCAUGUAAUCGAGUUAGUUUUGUUAGGGUUUGAUCCCUAGUAUCCACUAUGUUCUGAGAUUGAUGUUGCUAUGACUUUGCUAUGCUUAAUGCUUGUCACUAGGGCCCGAGUGCCAUUAUUUCAGAUCUGAACCUAUUAUGUUUUCAUGCUAGUUUAUUUUCCCUUUUCUUGCUUUCUUCUUGUGAGUUCAAUUAACCUUAAGAAAACAAAAAAAAUUAGUGUAGCUUUUAGUUAGUUUUCUUUUCUUGCUGUAGUAGUAAUAAUUAAAAGAAAACCCAAAAAGAUUUCCCGUUCUUCUUUUGUUUGUUGGGAGCUUUCCCGUGUAAAUAGUUUUAUUUCUGUUCUUUUCUUUGGGGGUCGAUAGGAGAAGACCAUGAUUAAAUUGUUGAAGUAGCUCUUAUAUGCAUUAUUGUUGAUUUAACCAAGAGCCCAUAUUGCCUUGUCUUCUCCUGUUUAUUGAAUGCUCGCAGAUUCCAGCUUAGUCCAAUGCACGUGCACUCUUAUUAUUAUUCACAUCGUUCGGUCGUGCAAGUGAAAGGCAAUAAUGACGAUAUAUGAUGGACUGACUGAGAUGAGAGAAGCUGGUAUGAACUCGACCCCUCUUGUUUUUGUAAAUAUGAUUAGUUCAUCGUUCCUGAUUCAGGCUAUUAUGAAUAAACAUGUUUGCAAUGACAAUUAGAGAUUAUAGUUGCUCGUGCCAUUCUUGAUUAGCUAUGAGUUAUAAUGGUUUACCUUGCGUGCCAACAUGCUAUUAAAAUGGUUGUGAUGUGGUAUAGUGGGGUGGUAUCCUCCUUUGAAUGAUUCAAGUGACUUGACUUGGCACAUGUUCACGCAUGUAGUUGAAACAAAAUCAACAUAGCCUUCACGAUAUUUAUGUUCAUGGUGGAUUAUAUCCUACUCAUGCUUCUACUCAAUGUUUAUUAAUUUUAAUGCAUGUUCAUGACUGUUGUCGCUCUCUAGUUGGUCGCUUCCCAGUCUUUUGCUAGCCUUCACUUGUACUAAGCGGGAAUACUGCUUGUGCAUCCAAUCCCUUAAACCCCAAAGUUAUUCCAUAUGAGUCCACUAUACCUUCCUAUAUGCGGUAUCUUCCUGCCGUUCCAAGUAAAUUUGUAUGUGCCAAACUCUAAACCUUCAAAUGAAAUUCUAUUUUGUAUGCUCGAAUAGCUCAUGUAUCAACUAGGGCUGUCCGUGUCUUCCAUGCUAGGCGGGUUAUUCUCAAGAGGAGUGGACUCCGCUCCUCACUCACGAGAAAAUGGCUGGUCACCGGGAUGCCCAGUCCCAUGCUUUAUGCAAACUAAAUCCAAAUAAUUGCAAACAAAACUCCCCCUGGGACUGUUGUUAGUUGGAGGCACUCGUUGUUUCGAACAAGCAAUGGAUUGAUGCUUGUUGGUGGAGGGGGAGUAUAAACUUUACCAUUCUGUUUGGGAACCGCCUAUAAUGUGUGUAGCAUGGAAGAUAUCGCCAUCUCUUGGUUGUUAUGUUGACAAUGAAAGUAUGCUGCUCAAAAUAUUAUUUAUCUCUGCUUUAAAAUCGACCUCUGGCACCUCUACGAAUCCCUGUUUCCCUCUGCGAAGGGCAUAUCUAUUUACUUUUUAUAUGUUGAGUCAUCACCUUCUUAUCAUAAGCACCAGCUGGAGAGCACGGCUGUCAUUUGCAUCCAUUACUAUUAGUUUAUAUUGGGUAUGACUAUGACUGGAUCUCUUUUACCAUGAAUUACAAUGUCUAGUCAGUCCUUGAUCUUUAAAGGUGCUCUGCAUUUAUGUUUUGCGGCCCCAGAAAGGGCUAGCGAGAUACCAUCUUGUUAUAUUAUAUCAUGAUUGUUUUGAGAAAGUGUUGUCAUCCAAGAUUUAUUAUUAUUGCUCGCUAGUUGAUUAUGCCAUUGAUAUGAGUAAACAUGAGACCUAAGAGUUAUUGUGAAUGUGGCUAGUCAUAAUCUUUGCUGAAAACUUGAAUGCUGGCUUUACAUAUUUACAACAACAAGAGCAAACAGAGUUUGUAAAAGUUUUUCUUUAUCACUUUCAGUUUAUCAACUGAAUUGCUUGCGGACAAGCAAAGGUUUAAGCUUGGGGGAGUUGAUACGUCUCCGUCGUAUCUAAUUUUCCAAACACUUUUGCCCUUGUUUUGGACUCUAACUUGCAUGAUUUGAAUGGAACUAACCCGGACUGACGCUGUUUUCAGCAGAAUUGCCAUGGUGUUAUUUAUGUGCAGAAACAAAAGUUCUCGGAAUGACCUGAAACUCCACGGAACUUAUUUUUGGAAAAUAUUAAAAAUAUUGGCGAAAGAAUCAAGGCUAGGGGCCCACCACCUAUCCACAAGGGUGGGGGGCGCGCCUGCCCCCUGGGCAUGCCCCCUACCUCGUGGGCCCCCUGGAGCUCCACCGACCUCAACUCCAACUCCAUAUAUUCGUGUUCGGGGAGAAAAAAAUCAGAGAGAAGGAUUCAUCACGUCAAGCCCUAAAACCUCUCGGGAGGGCUGAUCUGGAGUCCUAAAACCUCUCGGGAGGGCUGGAGUCUGUUCGGGGCUCCGGAGAGGGGAAUCCGUCGCCGUCGUCAUCAUCAACCAUCCUCCAUCACCGAUUUCAUGAUGCUCACCGCCGUGCGUGAGUAAUUCCAUCAUAGGAUUGCUGGACGGUGAUGGGUUGGAUGAGAUUUAUCAUGUAAUCGAGUUAGUUUUGUUAGGGUUUGAUCCCUAGUAUCCAGUAUGUUCUGAGAUUGAUGUUGCUAUGACUUUGCUAUGCUUAAUGCUUGUCACUAGGGCCCGAGUGCCAUGAUUUCAGAUCUGAACCUAUUAUGUUUUCAUGAAUAUAUGUGAGUUCUUGAUCCUAUCUUGCAAGUCUAUAGUCACCUACUAUGUGUUAUGAUCCGGCAACCCCGAAGUGACAAUAAUGUAACACCCCGGAUGUAACUUUCCAUAUUUGUAACUCCAACUCUUGCCAUUUUCGGCCAUGUGUUAUGAUAUUCCCUUCGUGGUCGGGUUUUGUUUUUCGUUUUGCAUUUUGUUCAUGUCAUGCAUAUCAUAUCAUGUCAUCAUGUGCAUUGCAUUUGCAUACGUGUUCGUCUCUUGCAUCCGUGCAUUUUCCCCGUUGUCCGUUUUGCAAUCCGGCACUCCCACCUCCUCCGGCGCACCCCUCUUGUUUUCUUUUCGCGAGCGGGUGUUAAACAUUCUCGGAAUGGACCGAGGUUUGCCAAGUGGCCUUGGCAUACCACCGGUAGACCACCUGUCAAGUUUCGUUCCAUUUGGAGGUCGUUUGACGCUCCAACGGUUAACCGGGUAACCGCAAAGUCCUUUUGUGUGUUGCAGCAAAACCCCCCUCUAAACAACCCAAAACCCCUCCAAGUCACUUCCAUGCUCUAGGUCGUUCGAUCACGAUCGUGUGGGCGAAAACCGCACUCUAUUUGGAGCCUCCUAGCUCCCUCUACCUAUAAAUAUGUGUCUCUCCCGGAUUUCUCACGCAGAUGAAACCCUAGCCCGCUCCCCUUGCGCCGCCGGACACGUCCGGCCCGAGCCGGACGAACNNNNNNNNNNNNNNNNNNNNNNNNNNNNNNNNNNNNNNNNNNNNNNNNNNNNNNNNNNNNNNNNNNNNNNNNNNNNNNNNNNNNNNNNNNNNNNNNNNNNNNNNNNNNNNNNNNNNNNNNNNNNNNNNNNNNNNNNNNNNNNNNNNNNNNNNNNNNNNNNNNNNNNNNNNNNNNNNNNNNNNNNNNNNNNNNCGACCGCCGCCGCUCCUCCCGCGCGCCGCCCGCGCCCGCCGGUCGCCGUCCCCUCGCCGUCCGGGACCGCGCCUCCCCGAGUCCUCCUCUCCUCCGCCGCGCCUCCUCCUGCCGGCGAGCUCGAGCUCCGAGCCGGCCCGAUCCAGAUCCACCGGAGAUGGUUGACUUCUCCCCUCCCCCGAAAUAUUCUAAGUCCCAAAUUUUUGCAAUAUAUGCUCCCGUUCAUCGCAUCAUAACUCUCUGCAUAUAGCUCCGUUUCGUGCGUGUAAUAUAUCGAAAUGUUCGUCUCAAGAUUCUAUUCAUUUUGUUCCAUUAUGCAUGUUCAUUUGAGUCCAUCUUGAUGCCCAAAUCUCUGGUGCAAGAGUACUAGUUGCUGUUAACUGCUGUUACUUAUCAGAACUUGAGGAUUUGUUAUUUUUGUUUCAGUUAAUCUGUGCAUCUUAUAAGUAUGAGCUCUACAUGUGUUUUGAUCUAUGCCAUGCCAUCUUUCAGAGGUAUAUGCCAUGUAUUUUUGCGAUCUCUGUGGUGACUAGCACAAGCAUGCAAACUAGGCUUCGUGAUGUUUCUGAAUUCAGGGACUUGGUAAAUUUACUAAGUAUGUGACUGCUGUUAUUUUGUUGCUGUGUAUCCAUGUGUCUACAGAGAGAUCCAUGCUUAUUUUGGUGAUGUUAAGUAAGGAUGUUUUGUAGAUAUUGUUGUAAUUGUUCCAUCCAUGCCCUUGUUUGCAAUUAUGGAGUGCCAUUGCAUGACUCAAUCUUGCUCUACUUUUGCUAUAAAAUAUUCCUGGCAGAUUGUUUACGUGAUAUUCAAUUUUGCCAAGCUUGUUGUAGUUGAUCCUUUCAUCCUAUGUAUUUGCUCUUGCCUGGGAUAGCUUCAUAAACAUUCCAUCUUGCUGUAGGUAUGCUUGUUUGGUCAUGCAUUGCCUUUUGUUGAGUGAAUCAAGCUCACCAAGAUGCCUUCAUAUUACUGUUUCUGUCAUGCUCUGUUUUCUGCCAAGUCUGAAACCUGUCAACAAAACUUGCUAUGUUUACAUGGUUACCAUCAUAUCUUCUGGUUCCUUUUGGCUUAUGGUCAGUAAGGGACUUCUGUCAUAUGCAUUUAGUAGAUUCAUGCCAUGCCUUGUUUAGCUAUGUUAAGUUCCUGUAGCAUGUUGAUUUCUUGCUCUGAACAUUACUACCUGAUACUGUUUAUGCCAUGUCCAGUAAUUUCACCAAGUCUGUGAACCUGAUAUCUUUUGCACUUUUGCCAUGCUUGUUUGAACCUGUUAUGUUGUGAUCUAGCCGUAGCUCAGUCUUCAUCUUUUGUCAAACAUCUCCUGUAGGUUACUGCCAUAUGAUUUGUUGCUAUGUUGGAGUGCUGUAGCAUAGUUUCUUGAUGUAUUCUAAGUGCUAUCAUGCUGUUAAUCACAGAUUCGUGUCAUUCUUGUUUUGCUUGCCAUUUGCAAACCGUGCAUACGUUUCCGGUGAUCUUUAUAUCGAUUUCGACCGAAACCAUCUCAUCUUUCCAGUGGCAUGCUUCGUUUGCCAAGUUACUGCCUUGUUCAUCAAUUUUCCUCCGGAGCACGCAUACGCAUCGCAUAUCUCGCAUAUCAUACAUGUUUUGCAUCAUGUUGCUUGUGCAUUUCCCAUGAUUGAUUGUGGUUCCGUUGCUUGUGUUCUUGUUUUGGGUAGAGCCGGGAGACGAGUUCGUGAACGAGGAACCUGUUGAGCACGCUUACGAGGAUCAAGCUUUCGACAACUCUGAGAAUCUUGCAGGCAAGAUGACCAUACCCUCGAAAUCACUUCUAUCUUUGCUUGCUAGUUGUUCGCUCUAUUGCUAUGCUGCGCUACCUAUUCACUUGCUCUUCAAGCCUCCCAAAUUGCCAUGAACCUCUAACCUUUGUCACCCUUCCUAGCAAACCGUUGUUUGGCUAUGUUACCGCUUUUGCUUAGCCCCUCUUAUAGCGUUGCUAGCUGCAGGUGAGAUGAAGAUUGCUCCAUGUUGGAUUAUGUUUAUGUUGGGAUAACACAAUAUCUCUUAUAUUAUUAAUGCACCUAUAUAUUUGGUAAAGGGUGGAAGGCUCGGCCUUAUGCCUGGUGUUUUGUUCCACUCUUGCCGCCCUAGUUUCCGUCAUACCGGUGUUAUGUUCCUUGAUUUUGCGUCCCUUACGCGGUUGGGUGAUUUAUGGGACCCCCUUGACAGUUCGUUUUGAAUAAAACUCCUGCAGCAAGGCCCAACCUUGGUUUUACAUUUGCCUCACCUAGCCUUUUUCCCUUGGGAGUCGCGCUCCCGAGGGUCAUCUUAUUUUACCCCCCGGGCCAGUGCUCCUCGGAGUGUUGGUCCAAACUAGAGCACCGUGCGGGACCAUCCCUUGGCAACUUGGGUUACAUCGGUACCUGUACGCUUCGCUUAUCCGGUGUGUCCUGAGAACGAGAUACGUGCGACUCCUAUCGGGAUUGUCGACACAUCGGGCGGCUUUGCUGGACUUGUUUUACCAUGGUCGAAAUGUCUUGUAACCGGGAUUCCGAGACUGAUCGGCUCUUCCCGGGAGAAGGAAUAUCCUUCAUUGACCGUGAGAGCUUAUAAUGGGCUAAGUUGGGACACCCCUGCAGGGUAUUAUCUUUUGAAAGCCGUGCCUGCGGUUAUGUGGCAGAUGGGAAUUUGAUAAUAUCCGGUUGUAGAGAACUUGACACUUGACUUAAUUAAAACGCAUCAACCGCGUGUGUAUCCGUGAUGGUCUCUUCUCGGCGGAGUCCGGGAAGUGAACACGGUUUCUGGGUUAUGUUUGACGUAAGUAGGAUUUCAGGAUCACUUCUUGAUCAUUGCUAGCUUCACGACCGUUCCGUUGCUUCUCUUCUCGCUCUUAUUUGCGUAUGUUAGCCACCAUAUAUGCUUAGUCGCUGCUGCAACCUCACCACCUUACCCUUUCCUACCCAUAAGCUUAAAUAGUCUUGAUCUCGUGGGUGUGAGAUUGCUGAGUCCUCGUGACUCACAGAUACUUCCAAAACAGUUGCGGGUGCCGAUGAGACCAGUGCAGGCGAUGCCACCGAGCUCAAGUGGGAGUUCGAUGAAGACCUUGUUCGUUACUAUGUUUCGUUUCUAGAUGAUCAGUAGUGGAGCCCAGUUGGGACGAUCGGGGAUCUAGCAGUUGGGUUGUCUUCUUUUCUUUUGGUUCCGUAGUUGGACCUAUGUGUGUACUCUGAUUGAUGUAUAAUUAAUUUAUGUAUUGUGUGAAGUGGCGAUUGUAAGCCAACUCUCGUUAUCCCAUUCUUGUUCAUUACAUGGGAUUGUGUUAAGAUGACCCUUCUUGCGACAAAACCACAAUGCGGUUAUGCCUCUAAGUCGUGCCUCGACACGUGGGAGAUAUAGCCGCAUCGUGGGCGUUACAAAUUAUCGGGACCACUCCCGGUGAUGACCGUAGUUUGAGGAGUUCAUGUAUUCACUAUGUGUUAAUGCUUUGGUCCGAUACUCUAUUAAAAGGAGGCCUUAAUAUCCCUUAGUUUCCGCUAGGACCCCGCUGCCACGGGAGGAUAGGACAAAAGAUGUCAUGCAAGUUCUUUUCCAUAAGCACGUAUGACUAUAUUCGGAAUACAUGCCUACAUUACAUUGAUGAAUUGGAGCUAGUUCUGUGUCACCCUAUGUUAUGACUGUUACAUGAUGAACCGCAUCCGGCAUAAUUCUCCAUCACCGAUCCAAUGCCUACGAGCUUUUCACAUAUUGUUCUUCGCUUAUUUACUUUUCCGUUGCUACUGUUACAAUCACUAGAAAACCCAAAAAUACUACUUUUGCUACCGUUACAGUUAUUUCCAUACUACUUUGCUACUAAAUACUUUGUUGCAGAUAUUAAGUUAUCCAGGUGUGGCUGAAUUGACAACUCAGUUGCUAAUACUUGACAAUAUUCUUUGGCUCUCCAUGUGUCGAAUCAAUAAAUUUGGGUUGAAUACUCUACCCUCGAAAACUGUUGCGAUCCCCUAUACUUGUGGGUUAUCAGUCUCCGGCAUCCGCCUUGACCUGGCUUCCGUUGCACACCCGCAGUCCAACGGCCAGGUUGAGCGGGCCAACGGCCUCAUCCUAUCCGGCAUCAAGCUACGGCUCAUCGAGCUGCUCAUCCGUUCACCCGACAGCUGGCUCGAUGAGCUGCCAGCCGUCCUCUGGAGUCUCCGAACGACACCGAACCGGUCGACCGGGUUCACCCCAUACUUCCUCAUCUAUGGAGCGGAAGCCGUCAUCCCGACCGACGUCGAGUUCGACUCGCCGCGCGUCGUGAUGUACACUGAAGCCGAAGCCAAAGAAGCCCGCAAGGACGGCGUCGACCUACUCAAAGAAGCACGUCUCCUAGCGCAUAGCCACUCAACCAUCUACCAGCAAGGCCUGAGGCACUACCACAGCAAGAAGAUCAAGCCCCUCACUUUUCGGGAGGGAGACCUCGUCCUCCAACUCGUCCAAGAGCAGAACGGCCAACACAAGCUGUCCCCCCAUGGGAGGGCCCGUUCAUCGUCAGCAAGGCCUUGCGCGAUCGCAACGCCUACUACCUCAUCGACGCCCGCAAGUCAAACAAGCGCAAGAGAGACACCGCCGACGAAGAAACAACACGGCCGUGGAACGCGGAACUCCUCCGCCCGUUUUACAGUUAGCCGUAUGCACGUAUGUAUCGCUGCCCUUUGUAAUCAUCUGAAAACUAUGGAGUCCACGAACGACGCUCGGGGGCUGCCCUUUACGACCAAGCUAUUGUGUCUCCCGUAUUUAUGCAUUAUUUACCUCUUCAUCAAACCCGGCCACCGGUCCGACUCGCUCGACCCGGGGGCUGGCCAGCUUGGUCACCACCCACCGCCUUACUCAGCGAUUCCUGACGCGCUGGGACUGCCGCGGCCUCCUGCUUUGCCCUAAGCCACAGAACUGGCUUCGGCUGUUGGCCGGCAAGCGCGCAAGUCCAGAGCACCAGCACGCCAUGAACACUAAGUCAAGGACCGCCGGGUCACCCAACCGAGCCACACCACUUUAAGUUGCCGCACGACCGGCUGCUCGCCAACCGGCUUCGCCGGAUUGCCGCUAGCCGGCCCAGUGGGUGUUUCGCUCACGCUCAACGUUUCGAACGCCUAAGUACUGCGCGCUCCUCNNNNNNNNNNNNNNNNNNNNNNNNNNNNNNNNNNNNNNNNNNNNNNNNNNNNNNNNNNNNNNNNNNNNNNNNNNNNNNNNNNNNNNNNNNNNNNNNNNNNNNNNNNNNNNNNNNNNNNNNNNNNNNNNNNNNNNNNNNNNNNNNNNNNNNNNNNNNNNNNNNNNNNNNNNNNNNNNNNNNNNNNNNNNNNNNNNNNNNNNNNNNNNNNNNNNNNNNNNNNNNNNNNNNNNNNNNNNNNNNNNNNNNNUCAACAGAAGAAAAGCAAAGGCGCAGGCACCCGCGAAAUUCAUACAUACCGCCGGGUCGAUCGCCCGGCCCCGUCACUUGUAACACUGCCGCACGACCGGCUGCGCGCCAACCGGCUUCGCCGGAUCGCCGCCAGCCGGCCCAGUGGGUGUUUCGCUCACGCUCAACGUUUCGACGGCUUAAGUACUGCGCGCUCCUCUCAAAGGCUGAACUCCUUGUCACGGACCGGAGCCUCGGCCGUCAGACUCGCGGGGGGGAAGCCCGAGAGGGGAAAAGCGCAAGAAAACGGCUCAAAAGACGAAAAGCAAGAGCGCAAACAUCCACGAAAUUUAUACUUCACCAGUUCAAAUUUAAACAGGCCCAAGGCCAGAAUUCAUCUCACCCGGAUACCCCCAGUGGGUGGGUGGACCUGCUACCUAACCGAAAUUUUUACUAAGUUAAAAACAGGCAGCCUCAUGCAUCUCCCUCGGUGGCCUCCGGGUUCGCUGAGGUGCCGCUGUCCCCCCCCCCCCUUGCUGUCUGCAUGGAGGUAGACGUCCGUCUCCUCGGAGCUGCCCUCCGGGUCGUCUAGGAGCAGGCCGUAGUCGUCGGCAGGCAUGACUCCGUCAUCCUCCGACCGCUCUUGCCGGAACUCGUUGUGGAAGGCGAACCCAGCGAUGUAGCUGGCCCGAGCAGCAAUCCGGCCAGCCUCCGCCUGCAGCUGGCUCUCCGAGCCGGCUCGCUGGCCCAUCAACGUGUCCAGCGACAGGUCCGGAUGCCAAGACAUCGCGAACCUGAGCGCCAUCUUGGUGCCAACACGAGCGGCGGAACCCCGCCAGUCGUGGAGCCGAUCCGGCCCCGCCUCCAACCACCGCGCCAGACGCGUGAAGCUAUUCGGCGUGACGGAACCCGGCCAGAGGGCCGUCGUCAUCGCCGCGCCGGCCUUAGAGAGCCGCCCCAUCUGCUCGCUCAAGACUCGUAGACGAGCCUCGACGGCGGUCACGAUCUCCGGGAAGGUCCAGGCCACCCGCGGGUCAGUCCCGGAGCCGAUGAUCCCCUGCGGGUCGUGCUGAAAGCGGACGGCCUCCUCCGCUAGCUGGCACGUCUCCGGGAAGGCCCUUGUCAAGAAGAAAAGCAAGUCAGAAGAAAGUCACCAAGGACAAGAAGCCGGGGUCCUAGCCCGGCAAAACCCAAGGAAAGAACUUACUGGAGAAGGACUCUUCCAGGUGCUGUGCUUCAAGCAAUGUACCGCGCCGCUCAAGGGCAAGGGUGCGGUCGUGCUCCUGCAAUGACUUCUCCAGCUCGGCGACCUUGGCAAGGGUCGCCUUCAGCUCGGCGUCCUUGGCCUCGGCCGCCUUCUCUGCCUCCUCGCGGCGAUGGGUUUCCCCCUGACGGGUCUCCUCCGCCGCGGCCACCAGCGCCUUCAGGCGCUCCACCUCGGCCUGGAGCUGACCCUUGUCGUUGGCCAGCUUGCCGCGUUGCUGGUCCACCUCGACGAGGGCCCGCUGUGCCUCCACAACCUUGGCGGCUUCCUCCUUCAGGCGUUCCACCUCGGCCUCUAGACGACCCUUGUCGCCUUCCAGCUGCUCCCGUAGCCGGCUGGCUUCAUCGAGUGCCCGCUGGGCCCCCGUUGCCUCCGCCCACGCCCUCGCCACCUCGGCCCCAAGCCGGUCUGCGUCAGCAACGAGCCGGUCGUAGUGGAAGUCGGCUCGCAUCAGCCAGGUCCUCCAGGACAUCACCUUGGCUGCAGAAGAAAGAUUUAGAAACAAAGUACUAUUUUAAGAUUCGGCCCAACUGCUACACAGUUGGCCCGAAUCUUGGGGGCUACACCCAGUGGGUGCGCUAGCGCGCCCCCACUAAAAAAGUGCACGCAAGAAAUGUACCCGCGGCGACGUGGAGCUCCUCCUCCUUGGCAGCGAGCUGCUCCUUGAGCCGCCGGUGCAUCUCCAGGAGCCGGUUGAAGACGCCGACCCAGUAGGAGUGCAGUUGCUGCAAGAAGCAACGAUCAACACAAGACAACGGUUUAAGAUUCGACCAAACUGCUACGCAGUUGGCCCAAAUCUUGGGAGCUACACCUAGUGGGUGCGCUAGCGCGCCCCCACGAAGAAGAAGCAACAGAAAAAUAAAGGCAGAAAGCAAGGAAAACUUAUGAACACGGCGCGCUCCAGCUCCCGUGUCUGCUCCACCUCGGCCUGGGCGCAGGCGCUGGGUCAUGGCGUCCAUCGCCGCGUCCUCCUAGGUCAGAGGCCCGAAGAAGCCCUCGCUUGUCCCGCUCCGCACCGGCUGCGGCCCGAUGGCCCGGCGCUCCCCUGGCCUGGGCACCAGGGCGUGCUAUCCGCUGGCCGCCUCCCUGGCGGCCGGCACCUUCUUUGGCACCAUCACCGGUUCAGUGGCCGGAGUGGCCUGCGGCUCCACCACCAGCGGUGCCUCGCUCAUCAACGCCUGAGGCGCCCCAUCCGGCGUCGUCCGCGACGUCUCCUCGAAGACGGCGUCACCGCCGCCUCCGUCGGCCCCCGUCCGCUCGACCACGUCGGUCCGCGGCGGGGUGUCGUCCCCGAUGACCACGACCUCCCGGUCGAGGUCCAUCACAUCCACACGACCGCCUUGGCCACGCUCCCCCUCCAGCGACGGCACGAAGACCGUCACCGCUGCCACCGUCCCUGCCAGCAUCUCUGGCCACGCCGGCUCCUCGCCGGCUCGCGCCCACGUCGCUGCGGCGUUAACCCAGGCCUGGGUCGACGCCGCCUCCAACUCUGCCUCGGCCCGGUUCCAGUCCCGCCAGGCCAGGGCUUCGGCGUCGGCCGGGUCUAGGCCAAGAUCCAGAUCCACCCGCUCCUCCUCCUCGAACUGGUCGACGGUGCCGGAGCGGCUCCUCCGGAACGCGGCGCCCUCUUUGGACGCGGCGUCCGCCGCCGCCAGCGCCAACGAGAUCGCGACCUGAAACACAAGACAAAAUAAAUACGCAAGAACCAAGCAGAGCCGCUCAGCCACUCGGUUCAGGCAAGAAGAGAACUCACCACGGCACCACCGGAAUGGCAGGCCUCGCCGCCCUCUCCUGCGGAGCGCCACGCCUCCUCUUGGCGGGAGGCUUCGCGCCCCCGGCCGGGUUCGCUGUGCGCUUCACGGCCGGGGCCCGCGGCGCGACGUUGUCCUUCCCGUGCGGUCGGCUCACCGCCGGCGCCCCCCGAGAUGACCCGGCUCCGGCCGCGCCGCCGCCUCCUCCACCUGGCGCCACUACGACAGCAACUCGCAUUAGCACCCCAAGACCGUCCCGCGACCGAUGACCCAAGAAGUGAAGACAAACUUACCCGCUCUGCGCCCUGUGCCCGCGUCGGCGGUCGUCCCCUCCCCUCCGCCGUGGGCCUCAGGCUCCUUCGAGGCAACGCGCACCACCUUCAUCCGUGCCCGGUCGUAAGGAUGCCCGGGCGAAUGAGAAGAUGGGCGGCAACAAAGUACGAAGACCAAGGAUCUCAUCAUCGGUGUCGGGUUCGCAUGGCUGUACGGGGGCUUCCCGAACUCCCAGUCGUCCCGCAGGUUGGCCUUGGAGAUGUUGUUGACCCGGCACGCGACCUGGUCCGCCCCCAGCCGCAGGUUCGCCAUGCGGUUGGGGUCCUGAAGGCCGGUCAUCUGACCGAUGAGGUGGUUGCGCUACUGCAACGGCAGGACUCGAUGGACAAUGAAAGCGGUGAUGAGGUCAGUGCCGGUGAGCCCUUCCCGCUCCUUCAUCACCGACACCCGCUUGCACAGGUUGAGCACCCCCUGUGACGGAUGCUUGGGGUAGUAACCCCAAUUCCGUUUCUCCCUCGGCAGCGAGUUGAUGAAGGGCGGCAAGUUGAUGCGGUCCGCGCCGAGGUUGCGGACGUAGAAGAAGGAAUUCUUCCAUUUCUUGGCAGAAUCCUCCAACGGCAUCUUGGGGCAGUCAGCGCCUGACCGCUUGGAGAUGACGGUGGCCUUGCACUCGGACAUCUCCCUAGCCCUCGGCCCCUGCUGCUUCAAUGAGAAGAAGCGCACCCAGAGGUCGAUCGAAGGCUCAACCCCCAGGUACCCCUCGCAGAGGGUGACGAAGCCCAAAAGCUGCACGAUGGCGCCGGCGCCAAGAUGAUGGGGCUGGAGCCCGAAGAACUCCAGGAAGUUGCAUAAGAAGGUGCUCGCGGGAAGCCCGAACCCGCGCUUGAAGUGCGGGAAGAAGGCCACGUCCUCCGUGCCCUCGGGCCGCGGCUCCCGCUCGCCCUGCGGCAGCCUCCGUCACCCCCGGCAGGCGCCUGGUGGUGCGAAGAUAGGCGAUGUCAUCGAGAGUGACAGUCGAGCCCAUCCACGAGCCCGACGGCAGCGCCAUCGACAAAGGUGCAGAAGAAAGAAGGAAGAAGAUGACGAAGAAGCUCUGCUCGAAGCAACGGGCAUCGCGAUGCGCGGCGGGUGCAAGAAGCAGAGGAAGGAAGAAGAAGGCAGGGGGCGCGAGCGAGAAUGAUUUCUGCUGCCCCCUGCUCGCCCCAAUCUAUAAGCCACAGUUUGAAACAUGGGGGAUUGGGAUCAUUUGCGUUCGCGUUUCCCACUUCCCCGCAAUAACUGCGCACGUACGUGCGCAAUAACUGCCUUGAGAAUGGCAACCGACUUGCGGACGCCGCAAUAAAUCCGUGCACGUGGGCCGAGGGCGCGCGGCCGCGGGCCCCAGCACGUCGCCCUAUCCUGUCGCGCGCGUGGCCUGCCAGGCCCCUCCGGCUUCCGGGCGCCCCAUGGCGCUCGCACGAAGUCCAAAAGAUUGCCUCAAGAUUCGACGGAUUCUUCGGUUUCCCGCCCCUACUGAGGUACCGCGAUCCGGCUUCCGGAAGCCGGCACACAGUGGGUGUUGCUGGACCCGGCGGUCACAAAAUUCGCCUCCUCAAAGGGGGAAACGGCGAAGGCCCUCCCAUCCGAAGACGGCGGACCUUCAAAGCUUCGGGGACUACUGUCGGGGGGAUGAAUCCCGGGAAGGCAACGGAACCCGGAUCCUUUUCAAAAAUGAUGGGGCCAACAUCGCCCCUCAAGCCGGCACGUGCUUGGCUGGGUCGCCCAACCCGGCCAAGCCCCUCGACCCGGCCAAACUCUCCAACCCGGCCAGACUCCUCAACUCGGCCCCAACAACCAGCUCAAGACAGACGAACCCGGCACACCAAGACUUCUCCAACAAGCCAGCUCCACCCUUGGCGCGUUCAUCAACCCGGCCACGGGUCAGCUCCCAUCCCAUCCCAGCCAUAUGAUGGGACGAGUCUCCACCUACCGAUGACCGAGGCAACAGUGCCCCGCCCAUGCCUCUGGCCAGGCGGGGCGUGGCAACAGUGCCCCACCUACCCGCUGACCAGGGCCGGCGUGGCAAUAGUGCAACCAUCGCUACCAAUGACGCUAGCAAGCGGCGACCUGACGGAGCGCCACUGUAGCCGACUCAACCUGGCCACUCCCUGACAAUCGACAAGACGGCCAACAGUGCCCCCGUACCUGGCGGGCCCCGCGUUCGGAGAACCCGGCGAGCCCUGACGGGUUCCAGCGCCGGCUUCCCGGACAAUGACAAUCCGGCCCCACGGCCUUGUAACAUUAUCCUUGUACCCCUGGGGGUUGGCCUAUAAAACCCCUAGGAGCCCUCAUGCAUACGGGCGAUCGAACACAAAGGAUCACUCACUCACACACGCAUAGCAAGCCACACCCAAGGAGAGGGAGCAGCCUAAGCCUCGGCGUGCCUUCCUUGCUCCUCCAUACAGCUCUCAGAGCAACUCUGUACUGAUACACAUCAACUACACUCGGCAGGACUAGGGGUGUUAUCUCUCCGGAGAGCCCCGAACCUGGGUAUGUCUUGCGUCCCGCGCUCGCUCAUGCCGACCUCGCCUCUGGAGCCCACUAGUGCCCUGGAGCCUCCUCCUAUCUUUAGCCAUCCCUUGGAAUCUGCCGUGCGCCCACCAUGACACCAACCUAGACUGUAGUCCUAAAACGCGGACACGGCUAUUCGAAUAUAUAUAACUCUGCAGAGGGUGUACUCUUUACCCGCAAGUAAAGGAUUUCUUUGGUCAAUGCCGAGACGUUGAAUAAUUCCGAUUACGGUCUUUGGGAUGAAAACACACCUGACCCGCACAUACCAGCUUUAAUCCAUCAAGCCAUGGAAUGGAUUGAGCAGAAACGCGCCCAAGGCGUGGUAGAGCCGCGAGGCGCUACUGGGCCAAGCCCAAUCGCUCGACUGCGCGGGAGGGCUGCGACCUCGAAGGCGUGCUCGCUAGAAUAUGCUUUCCUCACGGGAAAGCAACUUCAACGGAACCCGUCUCCACUUAAGACGAGCUGGCGCGACACUGGGUCACUGACAGUGGGCCUGCCUGGCCCACUGGUCAGGUUUGACCAGUCCACGCGCGCGCCAUCUCCUCCGGCCGAACAGAGGCGGCGCUCCGACGAUGCUCGCCGGCGAAUGGCGGCACCCCUCGGGGAUCUGAGCACAUGGGUGUGUUCAGGAGGUCUAGGCGAACCUGUGGGUACCCUCCUUGGUCGCUAGAGUGGAAGGAGUCGCCGACGGUGAGCUCCCCGAUGGAGGGCGGUGUCGGGUGAGACGGGGCUUUCGCCUAUGGUGGUCGCCGAGCUAAAUUGAUGACGGGGAUGGAUCAGUGGGUGCUCAAGGAGGUCGGUGGUGAAGAAAUAUGUGAGGGGGAGGCACUGGCUGCGUCGGAACCGACUGGAACAAGGCGGCGGCCGAAGCUGCCGGAGAUGGGGGANNNNNNNNNNNNNNNNNNNNNNNNNNNNNNNNNNNNNNNNNNNNNNNNNNNNNNNNNNNNNNNNNNNNNNNNNNNNNNNNNNNNNNNNNNNNNNNNNNNNNNNNNNNNNNNNNNNNNNNNNNNNNNNNNNNNNNNNNNNNNNNNNNNNNNNNNNNNNNNNNNNNNNNNNNNNNNNNNNNNNNNNNNNNNNNNNNNNNNNNNNNNNNNNNNNNNNNNNNNNNNNNNNNNNNNNNNNNNNNNNNNNNNNNNNNNNNNNNNNNNNNNNNNNNNNNNNNNNNNNNNNNNNNNNNNNNNNNNNNGAGGAGUGUGGUGAGGAUCAUAGAGAGCCCGGAGUGAGCUUUUAUAUCCCGUCGGGGCCGGUUCCGGCGGUGUCCAGAGGAUAAGCACGACGGCGGCGAUCAUUACAGCGGUAGGCGUGGCCGAUGGAGGUAGGCGAGGGCGAUAGCGGCCUCAAUUACUCCUGGGGGUGCUGGGUGGCUCGGGGUGAGGCACGCGUCGGGGGCGGAGACGUGGCCGUGGGGGACUCAUCGGGCGAUGGUCCUGGUCGUCGUGGACGGCGGUGGACGACGCUAGGGGCCAAGCGGGGGUGUCGGCGAGCUUCUAGGUGGUCGUGCCGAUCUAGAGAAGGAUCAGGAUGAGAGGGGGAGGCAGCAGAGACACGGCAGGAGCUCGGUGCCGACGCGUGCAAAACGCAUGCUCUGGCCGUGCCCGGAGCACGUACACAGAGUGCUCGACAAAAUGCCAGGGCCACCUAAGGGUCUCUGAUGGCAGUGAAAAUUGAUAGGAUUGUGAAACUGGUUAUGAGAGAGCUAAUGGACAUCCUGGUUUGGCCAAAUGACCAAGUGUCCAGUGCAGUUUAGGAAGUGGCAACAUUUCUGUCAUGCACAUGAAGUGUUCGACAGAAUGCUAGAGCAAGCUAGAGGAUACUGUUGAUGAUGAAAUUUGGCAGGAUGAGGUCUCUUUAGAUGAUAGAGAUGGCGGUGGAGUAAUUUUGGCAAGAUGAGAAACUUGCUAGUGCAAGUUUUACCAGAAUUCAGUUCUGGACAGACACUUCAGUGGCAUGUGUGGUGAACUUAAAAGAUGCAAAUAGAGCUGAUCUCCUGGGGUUAAGGUUUUGGUUGGAAGGACUACAAUAUGGCAAAGCUUCGGAAUUAUUGGAGCUAGAAAAAAGAGGGUUGCAGUUGUAACUCAAAAAUGGGACAUAAUUGAAAAGAGGAUGUUUCACUCAAAAUUUUCAAAAGACAUAGUUAGGUUUUUAAUCAAAAGUGAUUUAUAGGCAUCACCUGACCUCUCAUAAUUUUUGUGGGAUUUUAAACAUUUAUUUAAAAUAAUCGUAGUGCAACAGAAGUGUUUCAAGCAUUCAAAAUGCUAGUAAAAGAAUUGUUUGUGGCAUAUUUUAUUAUGAAAAUAUGCCCUACUGUUAUUUGUGAUAUACUCCCUCGGUUCCUAAAUAUUUGUCUUUUUAUAGAUUUCAACAAGUGACUACAUACAGAGCAAAAUGAAUGAAUCUACAUUCUAAAAUAUGUCUAUAUACAUCCGUAUGUGGUAGUCUAUUUGAAAUCUCUAAAAAGACAAAUAUUUAGGAACGAAGGGAGUAAAUGACAAGAUUUAUAAAACAACCACAGACCACAAUAUUUCACAAAAAUAAUCUUCUAUGGAGGGAAGAAUUUUGGAAAACAGAAAAUAGAAAAGGCUGUGAGAUUAAUAAAUGACCUAGUAUAAUUCAAAGUUUUAUUUCUGGCCAAGUUUUACUUAAUAAAAUUUGAUUAAAUUUUUGGGGUGUUAUAGUUAGCUUUAUUAAUACUCAAAUCACUGUUACAUCAUCCGUUAAGAACCCCGAAAAAAUCCGUUAAGAAAUUAACGGUAAAAUCCGGGGGUGACUCAAACCAAAUAGAGGGCUGGUUUUCACACACCCAUUUAGGUAGCACAUGCGCUACUACAUCUGACUCCCUAUUAUAAUAAUCAAUACAAGCCUUCCCGAACUCACAUAACUCGCGACGACAAUCAUCCAAUAUAGGGGCUGCCACCAUAGAAUAACCUCCAUCCUGAUUAAAAGGCUGAACCACUGUGGUAUUGUCCAUUAGAACUAAAAUAAUGUUGCAACCCAUCCGAGUAGCAAACUUCAACCCUUCAUACAAAGUAGUGGCCAUGGCCAAAGUGACGUGAGGAACAUGAGAUAAUUUUUUAGUUGAUGCUGCUAAGUAGGCCCCCGGAUGAUCAUGAAUCACCGGGCCACAAGAUCAUGAAAAAUCUGUAUCUGAAAAGGAAGCAUCGACAUUGACGAUUGUCUGUCCGACUAGGCCUUUCCUCCACUGAUUUGGUGAGGGGUGGAUGAGGCAAACCGGCCGCAUGAACAAAGUUCAGUGACAACGCCUGAAUUGUUGGGGCCGUUCUCAACGAAGAAAGAACAUACUCCGAUCGGACUAUGUAGUGCCCCUGUCACCAUAGAUACCAGCAGGUGCUCGCUACGAUAUCUGAAAAUUGUACCUGUUCCAUUUAUGGACUUUGGACUACUAGGUCACAUAGGAGGUAUUCAAUAAUAGUAGCACCUGAUCUAUCAAUAUUAGUAGACUCAUCGAUAGGCUUCCUAAGAACAAGACCUUCCCAGACCGAUCUUGCCCUCUCACACUUGAAUAAUGCAUGCGCAAUAUCUUUUGCUCCACUUUUACAGAUCAUACAUUGAGAUGUAUUACCAAUAUGGCGAUUUUCUAAAACACAUAAGCAAGGAAUCGCGUUGUGCAAGAAACAUCAUAAGAAAAAUUUCACCUUGCCAGGAAGCCGCACUCUCCAAGCCUUCUACCAAACAGGGUGCGGUGAAGAGCCUUCUCCCGUAGAGUUUUGAUCUUUGUCAAAUAACAAUCUUCCCAUUGCUUGUAAUAAGCCAACCUGACACUAAAAAUACCGUUAUUAGUGAGGUUCCAAGCCAUAUAAUCCUCAGUAUAUUGAUGAUGGAUGAGAAUUUGGAGUAUACAGUCAGCAUCAUCGAGGAGAAGUUGUCUCUAAUUAAAGUCUCAUCCCACUCUCUGUGGCCAAAUCAAUGAGCUCAUUGACCGUCGUCAACACUCUAUUACCUCUGGCGGUGAUGAUCCUCCUUGAAGAGCCAUUUGGUAUCCAACAAUCAUUCCAAAUAUGAAUUUUUGUCCCAUCACCCACUCUCCAUAUACAUCCCUUCUUAUAAGUUUGGACACCAAGCCCAAAUACUUUGCCAAACAUAGGAUGACCCCUUCUUCAAUUCAUAAUUUAAUAUAUCUCAUGAGGGGUAAUACUUAGCUCUCAAUACUCUUGCACAUAAUGAUCCAUGGUUUUCAAUAAGUCUCCAGCAUUGUCUUGCCAACAUAGCUAAACUAAAACCGUGUAUAUCUCAUAAUCCUGUACCGCCUUUCUCCUUAGGCACACACAUUUUCCACCACACAAACCAAUGCAUCUUGUGUUGGUUCUCACCAUCACCCCACCAGUAAUGUGAAACUGUGUCAGUGAUUCCCUUACAUAUUUUUUGGGAGUUUUAACACACUCAUCGCAUACGUCGGGAUAGCCUGAGACACCGCCUUUAUGAGAGCUUCUUUUCCACCAAAGGACAAUGUCCCGUCCUUCCUCCAACAUUCACAAUUUGCAUGAUCUUUCAAUAAGGUUGUUGCCGCGUGUGUGCAGAACACACGCGAGACACUGUGGACUGUGGACGUCCUUUGCUGAAUUGGCGGUAGGGUGCAAGGUGAGGAUCUAUCACCAUAGAAAAUGCCGAAAUGACAUGGUGAUUUACCCAGGUUCAUGUUGCAUGGUUGCGUAAUACCCUACUCCUGCUUUUAUGUGUGGUUUUCUUUAGUUGAGCUACAUGUCCUUCCCGUGAAUGGGGAAGAGUAGUGUGCUCCUACUGGUGUUCUACAAACACUACAAAAAAAGACAACCCAUGACAUUAUGGGCCGAACAAAAAAAUAUGUCAUGCUUAUGACACUUCUACGACGAUAAUUGUGACAAAACCACGUACCAUCAUAGAUGUGGUGGGCUCCGACUUCUAUGACAGAAAAUGGGCUUUUCGUCCUGGGCGGGCCCGGGACGCAGCUGCAUGACAUUCUUUGGGCUGUCCAUGACGGAAAAAAUCGUGGUAGAAGCGAGGGCGAGGAAAAUUUUGGGGAGUUCCCGGUUACGGUGGGUGGUCGGGGCCGAGCGAUGCGCGGAGGUUUUGCGCUUUUCUCUCGUACACGUACGCGCGUGUGUGCGAGGCAUUGGGUGAUACGUCUCGAAUGUAUUUAUAAUUUUUAUUGUUCCAUGCUAUUAUAUUAUCUAUUUUGGAUGUUUUAUAUGCAUUAAUAUGCUAUUUUAUAUGAUUUUUGGGACUAACCUAUUAACCUAGAGCCCAGUGCCAGUUUCUGUUUUUUCCUUGUUUUAGAGUUUCGCAGAAAAGGAAUACCGAACGGAGUCCAAACGGAAUGAAAAUUUCGCGAUGAUUUUUCUUGGACCAGAAGACAUCCAGAGGGCUUGGACUACACGUCAGGAAAGCCACGAGGCGGACACAAGGUCGGAGGGCGCGCCCCCACCCUUGUGGGCCCCUCGUGACUCCACCAACCUAUUUCUUCCGCCUAUAUAUUCUCAAAUACCCCAAAACCUUCCAAGGGAGCCACGAAACCACUUUUCCACCGCCGCAACCUUCUGUACGCGUGAGAUCCCAUCUAGGGGCCUUUUCCAGCGUCCUGUCGGAGGGGGAUUCGAUCACGGAGGGCUUGUACAUCAACACCCACUACAAAAAAAAGACAUCCAUGACAUUUUGGGCCGAACGAAUUUUUUUCCUGUCAUACUUAUGACACUUCUAUGACUAUAAUUGUGACAAAACCCGGUAUCAUCAUAGAUGUGGUGGGCUCCUACUUCUAUGACAAAAAAUCAUGAAAGAAAAUGGGCUUUUCGUCCUGGACGCGCCGGAGACACAGCUGCAUGACAUUCUUUGGGCCGUCCAUGACGGAAAAAACCGUGGUAGAAGCGAGGGCUAGGAAAAUAUCGGGGUGUUCCCGGUUAUGGUGGGUGGUCGGGGCUGAGCGAUGCACGGAGGUUUGCGCGUUUCUCUCGUCCACGCACGCGCGUGGGUGUGAUGCGUUGUGCUCUAACUGAACCCGAGCGAGGCGUUGGGCUCUAACUGAACCCGAGCGAUUGCACUGCAGGCUACGCGUUACUGAACCCGAUCGAUCGAUCGAUGGCUGUUAACUGAACCCGAUCGAUCGAUGGCUGUUAACUGAACCCGAUCGAGCGAUUUCUUCGCUACUGCUGCUAGCUGAAGUCGAUCGAUGCUGCCUCUGGAUGAACAGUGAGUGUUGCUGGGGGGGUUGGAUGAACAGUUCCCAGUGGGGGUGGAUGAACAGGACCCCGUGGUGUUGCCUCUGGAUGAACAGGACCCCUAUCAAUCGAGCCGGUUGGGGCUGGAUGAACAGGACCCCGUGGAGGGCUGGAUGAAUAGGACCACCCCGUGGAGGGCUGGAUGAACAGUAGACGGUGGAGGGCUGGAUGAACAGUAGCCCGUGGAGGGGUGGUUGAACAGGAGCCCGUGGAGAGGGCUGGUUGAACAGUAGCCGGUGGAGUAGCGCGCAGUGGAGGUUGGAUGAACAGGAGGCCGUGGAUGAACAGUCGCAGGUGGAGGCUGGAGGAGGUCGACGGUGGUUGAACAGUAGCCCGUGGCGGCUGGAGGGGUCGACAGUGGAGAUGAACAGUAUCCCGUGGAGUCCCGUUUUGCAGUACGCCACACCCCUCCCGAUGAACAGGACCCCCGUUUCGACCGUAGCGCUCCAACACAAGUCCAUAUCCUCCGUUUUGCGGUACGCCACACCCCUCCUGAUCAACAGGACCCCCGUUUUGACCGUAGGAGGUCCAUUUCCUCCAUUUUGCGGUACGCCAGACCCCUCCCGAUGAAUAGGAUCCUGUUUUGAACGUGGCCGGUUGAACACAAGGCCGUUUCCUCCGUUCUGCGGUACGCCAGGCAUCGUUUCCAUCGGCUGUUCCGUCCAAGCCCUCCCGAUGAUCACGACGACACAUUCCAUUCCGACCCAGCCGGUUGGCUCCCCAUGAACACGACGGCGAUGAUGUUUCUGCAUUCCGACCCAGCCAUGUACACGAGCCCUUGCCGUACGUAUGCGCGAGUAGGCAUUCGAGACCCCGCCCGUAUGUACGUAUGUGGCCAUAUUUUCUUUCUUGCACACUGGCCGCUGUACGUAUGUGUACAUGCUACGUGCGCGCCUCUACAUCGACCAGUAUGUACGUACACAUUCGCGACCAGAAUGACAACGCUAUGUAUGCUUUGACCAGGUGGGUCCUGACUGUCAGGCACUUCCUUGCGUGCGAAGAUGUAGCUGGUGGGUCCCAGCAGUCAGGGGGAAACGUUUUUUUCACGAAAUACGGUGGCCCGUCCGGUGGGUCCCCGCUGUCAGUUGGAGGAAUAAUUAUUUUGCGCGUAAUAAGGAGGCACUUCCUUGCUGUGGCCGUGGACCCAGCUGUCAGCCUCUCCACGUACAGUCCACGUCCGAUGGAAGCUGUUCCUUGACCACGUUGACCACGCCACGCCGAGAGCACCAGGGUUGUGGACAACGGCGAGAGGCCUAGGAAGGGGACGACGUGGAGCCGGGGAAGACGCGACAGUGGAAGCCCGCGCGGAGAGGAGUACGAGGGUUCACUGGUUCGGCUACUGUGUGAGGCUGCCGUCGCCGCAGAAUAAUAGGGGGUGUGGGUGAGUGGAGGGUUGGCCUGGCUAGCGGUGGGAGUAGUAGGCGGUAGUGAGGCCUCCGCGGCAGCACAGCCGGCCACGGGAGGCAGGAGCAGGCGGCACGACCGGCGCUGCUUUGGGAGGCUGGAGCAAGAAGACCAGAGGUUGAAGAAGCACUACGGCCGUUGGAUGGACAUCGUACGGUCACUGGAGCUAGAAUCGUGCAUAUUGACUAAGUUGACAAAGCCCUCCGUCCCUGUCAACUUAGUAGGCCCACAAGUCAGCCUGCCACUAUACUGGGUCCCAGCUAGCAGGGGGAGUAUUCAUUUUUUUGUGCAUAAUAAGGAGGCACUUCCUUGCGUGCGAAGAUAUAGCUGGUGGGUCCGAGCUGUCAGCGGCGGUAACAUUUUUUUCGCGAAAUACAGAGGCCCUUUCGGUGGGUCCCAGAUGUCAGGUGGAGGAUUCAUUAUUUUGCGCGAAAUAAUGAGGCAUUUCCUUGCGUGCGGCUGUGGACCCAGCUGCAGCUUCUCCACGUACAGUCCACUUCAGAUGCAUGUCGGUUGUUGACCACGUUGACCAGGCCGCGCCGAGAGUCACUGCUUGUGCGUCAACCUUUUUUUAGGAAAGCCUCAAAUCUGUGGAAAAUAGCAUACAACCCAUCUGCCAUUAUUUCUAAUAAUUUACAGCCCAUUUGCUAAUUCUUAAGGUUUUUUUGGAGCCCAUAUUCUUUUUGUUAGCAUUACAGCCCAUAGUGUGGCCACAGUUAAAAAAUUAUAUGAAUUUUUGCAUAUUUCAGUGCGGUCCGAACUAUUUUUAAUCCCGAAAUUUUGAGUCACAUUCAAACUGAUUUUAAAAAUAAAUGUAUAUCAAUAUAAAAUCAAACAAAUUGUCCACGCAUAAAAAUCAAUGCAAUUUAAAAUCUCGAAAUGAAAAAAAGAAAUUUGAAACUAAUUGCCGGUUUGAUGUGUUUAAAAAUGUACAGCCCAUUUCUCAUUACUGAUAGGCCAUUUUGUCGGCCAGCCGAAUGAAGCUCUCCUCGCCUUGAAAGAUUUGCAGCCCAACAGGCCUGACAAAGCGACUUACUUGGCAAAUCACAAACAAACUGGGUUGUGGCCGUGGACCCAGCUGUCAGCCUCUCCACGUACGGUACUCUUCCGAUGGAAGUCGGUCGUUGACCACAUUGACCACGCCACGCCAGAGCACCAAGGCGGUGGAUGAUGGCAAGGACUGGGAAAGGGACGACGCGGAGCCGGGGAAGACGCGGUAGUGGAUGCCCAUGCGGAGAGGAGUACGAGGGUUCACUGGUUCGGCUGCGGUGUGAGGCUGCCGUCGCCGCAGGGCCUGGCUAGCGGUGGGAGUAGUAGGGGGUGGUGAGGCUUCAACGGCAGCACAGCCGGCCACUGGAGGCAGGAGCAGGCGGUCUCGCCAGCGCUGGUUUGGGCGGCUGGUGCAAGAAGAGCAGCGAUUGAAGAAGCAGUAGGACCGUUCGAUUCAAAUCCAACGGUUACUGCUGCUAGAAUCGUUUGUUGAUAAGUUGAGAAGCCCUGUGUACGCGUCAACUUAGUAGGCCCACAGGUCAGCCUCCAACCGGUGCGCCCCAGAUGUCAGUGGGAGGAAUCAUUUUUUCGCGUAAUAAGGAGGCAGUUGAUUGCGUGCGGCCAGGCCAGCGGAGGGAGUAGGGUGGGCCGGGGAAGCCUGCGCGGCAUCACAGCGGGCCACAAGAGGAGGGAGCAGGCAGUCCCACCGGCGCUAGUUUAGGCGGCUAGAGAAGGAAGAUCAGAGAUUGAAGAAGCACGUCGGCCGUUGGGUGGACAUCCAACAGUCACUGCUGCUAGAAUCGUGUGUUGACUGACAAAGCCUUGCGUAAACAAGUCAGCCUCGAAAUCGGUGGCGUGUACAACUCAUUUGCUAUUAUUUUUAUAAUUUUUACUCAUUUUUUAAUUCAUAUGGAAUUUAUUGCAGCCCAUUUUCCAUUUUUAGAAUUGCUGCCCAUUUUCUAGUCAGUACAAGGGUUAAAAAAUUAACUGAAUAUGUGGGAAAUUUUGAAAAUUUGCAAAUUUUUGCUAGGGAACAAAAUAUUCUUAAUCCAAAAAUUAGUAGCCAUACUAAAACAAAUUUAAAAAUAAAUUAGUACUAUUUCAUGUUAAAUCCAAUGAAAUACUCCCUCCGUCCCAAAAUUCUUGUCUUAGAUUUGUCUAAAUACGGAUGUAUCAAGUCAGGUUUUGGUAUUAGAUACAUCCGUAUCUAGACUAAUCUAAGACAAGAAUUUUGGGAUGGAGGGAGUAUAAGAUAUCAGUGAAGAACAAAAACAAAAAAAGAAACUAAUAUCUCAUUUUCUAUAAUAUUUUUGGAAUUUUCAACCCCUUUUGAUAUUACUUUUAACAGACACUGACCAUACUCUUUGAACAGGCCGGAAUGCAUCCCUCCUCGUCUUGAAAGAUUUGCAGCCCAGUAAGUCGGAGAAAACAAAUAGGCCUAGCUUGGGUAUUCUUCAAAAAGAAAUACUGGGCUACCUAUUUUCCCAAAGAAAAAACCGCUGGGCUGGUCAUGUUACUAGACGGGCCAUAGAGACCGCACAACCCAGUUUAUAGCCUGCUCCUCCGAAUUACUACUAAAAAAAGUUGUGCAAUUCUUUCGUAAUGGACUAUACGUUGAAAAUGAUGUGGGUCCCAGAUAUCAGCAGGGUGGAUUAGAUUAAAAAACGAAGGGUUCAUCUGAGUAGUAAAAGAGGUGCUUGCUUGUGUUCGGGAGUGGACCUGGUGGGUCCGUACUUUCAUACUCACAACUACAGUCCUCUCCCGAUUCACUAUGUUGACAGGGACCGUUUAAAAAAACUAUGUUGACAGGGCCGGACGGCGGCGCCGUGGCGAGCGCACCAAGGGGGAGGAUAAAGUGCUGUCGCCAAUGUGCUGGGCUGGGUUGGACAUUCUUAUUGAAAAAUAAAAAUGGACAGGAACUAUUUACGACAUUGACUACGAUUUGCAUGGGUCCACUGGUUGCAGGAAGAAAAUGUUGGGAGAAAGAAGACUGGUCGCUAUCUUUGCCUAAGAAUAAUAUCGACUGAAUGUAACGACACUAUCAUAGGAAAUAAUAUCCUCCUGUUAAAUCGUGAAUUUAAAGAACUGGUGCAUGAGCAUUUAGCUUUAUUUAUUUAUUUACUUAUUUAUGUUUAGGGGACCAUGACCAUGUACCCGGGCCGGAUUCAUGUGAGAGCCUCCCUUCCAGUUAAUUAUGGGCUUCUCUAUUGGGCCUUCAUCAGUGGGCUAUAUGUUAUCAACAAGUGGAAAAUGUGUUCCGUACGAAAAAUAGUAUGCGCUACGUACGGUACGGGGCACUAAAGGAUCGAACCGUGCAACGACUUCCAAAACAUUGUGUUUGUCGUUCUAACAACACAUUUAUUCAACCAACAGACGAAAUAUACUACUGAUUGUACAUUGAAAACAGCAGCAACAGCAACCAGGGCUGGGGGUGCAACAGAAGCAGUAAGCAUGCCAGAAGAGUGAAGACGCAGCUCUCUCUUCCAAACCAAACAUCAGCCAUCAUUACAAAAGGGCUACCAAAAAAGAACAAGUGUAUGCAUCAAACUAAAUAAAGAUCCUACUACACCAAGUGUACGCAUCUAACUAACUGGCUCAGUUAGACGUUACUAUUUAUUAACCUAUGGAGAUUGGCUGACGGCUUGAACCAGAUGGGUGCCUGAUGGGGGAAACUCCAGCCAGCAGGUCGAAGUCUGAUACUUGCGACCCUCUGUCACGACCGGUUUUUCAAUAAAAUAAUUAUUGAGAAACCAAUCCCUGUUACGGACCAGCGAGGAAGAAUUCCUUCUCACUGAUAGACAAUACAUUGGUCACAGAAGAAAAAUACCAGGAGUACUAAAUAUAAUACAAAGUUGAGCAGAGACUGCCCAACAAUUUAUUACAUGCACGCCGAUAAAACAAUACGGAGGAUAGGGUGGCAAACUUCUAACUCACGAUAAAAACGGUGGUGGAAAUAUCAUCGCGAAGCGAGUGACAUGAUUCCAGAAUACUACAACUCUUCGAGCGUCGGAGUGAGGCUCGAGAAGACUUAUUGCGGGUGGCGGAAGCGUAAACGAUACAAGUGACCAAAAUCCGGGAUCGCGCAGGACUGACUGGGACUCCUCUAGGCAUCAGACGCGCUAUCAAACUCCUCAUCCAAGAGAUCGCCUUCGUCAACAUCUGGCCAAAUCAACAAGCCAGGUGAGUACUAUGAAAGUACUCGCAAGACAGUUCGGACAUAAGGUAUAACAAAUGCAAACAUGAAGCACAUGAAUAAGUUAACCAGUGCGAUCAGACACAGAGAUAAUAAAUACUGGGUGCCAAGCGAGGGUCUGAAUGACGCCUCGAGCGGAAACUGCAGAAUAGCAAUACUGGUGCCAAACGAGUGUCUGAAAGACUCCUCGAGAGGAAAAUGCGGAAUAAUAAUACAGGUGCCAAACGAGUGUCUGAAAGACUCCUCGAGCGGAAAAUGCAGAAAUAAUAAUACGGGUGCCAAACGAGUGUCUGAAUGACUCCUCGAGCGGAAAAUGCAGAAUAAUAAUGCCACAGUCGGGCGUCGGGGCGACACCACAUAAAGGGCUUAUAUCGAAAGUGAGAAACGAGUACACGCCACAGUCGGACGUCUGCGCGACGUCACAUAAAGGGCUUAUAUCACAACUCAUUAAUACAAUAGCUCGGAGACAUAAAUUAUCACAAGCAUGAGACACAAAAAAAUAAAGUUAGUCCAUCAACUGGAAUAACAAUAAAUCUGAGAUUUUUACCGCUUGAGCUUGUUCACCGGGGGCAAGAUUUUCACACGGAUAGAUUUGGAUGUAAAGUCUACAUUACUGAUCAUGGAUACGAUGAUUUGGAAAGGAUUGACUCUGCAGAGUUUGUACUUAACCACAGCCAACGGAUUUCAGUAGUCACGGGGACUAGUUCCUUCUACGGUGUUCUGGAAGGAACACGUCUAACCAGUACACACCCAAUUUAACCAUCCGAAGCCAGGGAUCACCCUCGGAAACAUUCAGGAAAAACCCUGAGUCGGGGAGGCUACAACCUCGCGUAGCAUGGGAUCAAAUUUCUAUACGCGCGCUAUAAGGGGGUGCCCCCCCCCUCUCGGUCCCAACCGGAAACACCCAUGCCCCCUGACCGAAUGACUGGCUUUAAUCCUGGGCCAAGGUACCAUCAUCCCGGCCUCUCUGUUUGGUGUGUACACGGAAAGAGGUUACCAACUUACUAAACCGUAUCCUGGCAAUGAGACAUGUGGUAGCACGGAAAGGGGAAGGGACGAUAACACGGCUCCAACCAUGUUAACGUCGGGAAAGUCGGAUGACACAAGGCUGGCAUGCUACAACAGUACCACCUUGCUGCCCUUCAUGUCACCACAUGAUUAGGCCACCUCUCAUCAGAGGUCAUCGCAACUUUGGAACAUGCGGGAAAAGAUCGAUAACGUGGCUCCAACCACGUUAACGUCGAAGAAAGUCGGAUGGUGCAAGGCUGGCAUGCUACAACAGUACCACCUUGCUGCCCUUCAUGUCACUACAUGAUUAGGCCACCUCUCAUCAGAGGUCAUCGCAACUUCGGAACAACCGGGUCGUUGCCUUACAAGCAACGAGGUACUUAUCGACACUCACAUGCCACGCACAAACUUUCACAUGAACAUGCAAAACAUCUUCCAUAUCAAAUGUUCAAACAUGCUUGCCUGGUUCGGAGAAGUCGGAGUCUAGCUCGGCGAAGUUCGCGGCUCCGUCCCCUCUCCCGGAACCUACGGCAAUCACGAAACGGGUUACUAACGUGAAAACCAACACAUGCACAGAAACUUUGCCAAAUAUUUUUCAAAUAAAUCCCAUAAAAAACUAGACAAAAUUUGGAGAUUGACAGAAAAAGAAUCACUCAAAAAUACCUUUUCAUUAAAAAGUUAUAAAGGUUUCUGUCCAGGGACCUUUCUGUAAUGAAACAGAAAAGUUCCAGGGUUUUAACUGAGAAAACAGAAAACGCUUCGGCUGGGAAUGCGCAAGCACAAGGGGAAAACGUAUUUAGCCCGAAGGCGCCAACAGAAAACGGUUCGGGGAAAUAAAACAGAGGCUGACACGCGGGGCCCGCAUGUCAGGUUUGAAAGCUCGCCGGCGCCCGAAGACGGCGGUGGACGCCGGCGUCGAACCACGGCGAGUUAGGAGAAACGGAGGGUACCAAGAGCUUCAGUGUCUUCUUCCGCGUCGGUGGGUGGUGGACUCGUCCAACGGGGAGCACCACGUCGACGACGACACUAUCUCCGGCGGACGGCGGUUCGGGUGAGGUUGGGGAACUCCGGUGGAGGGCUGCAAAGUGCGAAUUGAGGCGCGGGUCAGAACGGGUGAUGCAAGGAGAAGCUACUUGCAAGAGAAUGGGGGCUGCGGAGCACACACGGGGGCGAAUCGGGCUGGAUCCCGUGGCGGAUCGCGGCGGCCGGAGUCGAGGAAGGAGACCCCCUCGCGGCUCUUCCAGUGGCUGGGCGUGCUCUAGGGGAAGUGUAGGGCUGGUGGGUGCUCGAGUUGAAGCUUGGGGCCCCUAUUUAUAGGUAGAUCGACGGGGUGGCCGUGAACGGAGAAUCUCCGGCGAGCGAUUAUGGCGGAGCAGUGGAUUGGAAGGUGGUUUGAGCGGUCGGGCAGCAUCAGUGGAGAUUACUGGAGUUGUUCCACUGCUAAACGGAGCUGGCCCUGGCGUAAUGGCAUCUGCCCACGGUGAGGUGACCGCACGGGCUCAACGGCGGCAGAGAGCGCGCUCCGCGCCCUGGGGUUCACGACGAGAGCGCCAGCGCAUUCGGGGGAGUGGACGGCCACGCGGCGGGCUCCGGUGGUUUGGGCGGCGCUGGGUGGAGUCGGCGGCGCCGUGUCUCCCGCUGGCGUCCGCAAAGCCGCCGCCGGCGUCGGUCACGGGGCGGCGCACCUUCUGCUGCUCGUCGCCGACGCCCGCAAGUUGCCAGGCACUCGUGCGGUGCAGGAACGAGAGGGCGAGGACGAGGAGCAAGGCGACGCGAGGGUACUGGCGAGAUCGACGCCCGUUUCUGAAGAAAACGACAGCAGCCACUUAACUGAACUCUGAACUUACUGAAUCUUGACAGUGACCAAGCAUUGCAGGUGUUCGACAGUAGGUUUUGGUAAAGAGAUAAAUUUUUCUGGAGCUGUAACUUGGUGAGAUGAUCACUCAAAGCACCCAGGGGCUGCAUGAAUUUACUUGGAAUUUUUGGAGAAAGUUUUGAAUGAAUUUCACCAAAUUUGGCAAAUCUGGUCCAAACUUGCAGCUGAUGUAGUUUGAAAUUUUUGAACUGGAGACCAGUGGAUCUUCAUGGUUCCAGGUUGAGGGUUCAAAGGACUAGGAGGGGAAAAAGGUUUGGUGGCAAAAAUCAAAACAGAAAAAGGAGUUCCUUUGUAAAUCUCCAAGUGCUAUAAGAGAAGACAGAAAUUUAUUUGAAUAGAAUUUGAAUGGAAAUGAUCACAUGAGGAGGUUCAACUUGCUGGAUUUGAUGCAAAUCAUGAUCCAAAGGUGAGGGAAGGGUUAGGAGAGAGGAUUUGCACUAAUGCCAUGGCAAGAAGGAAUAGUUGAAAGUGGCAAAGGACUUUCCAAAAGCCAUAGUGCAUUCUCAAAAAGGAUUUUCAAAGGUUAUUCUCUCAAAUGAAAAAAAACAUUUUGUCUUGAGCCCAAAUGAAAAGCAAGAACCCCCAAGGUCAAAGGCAGAUCUUGGGUGAAUCCAAAUAAAAUUUUUGCCAUAAAGAAAAAUAUUUGAGAGUGAGAGUUCUCUUGAAGAAUUUUUUUUUUAAAAAUCACUCCCUUCAAGUCAAAUAAAAUCUUUUGAAAAAUCCAAAUAAAAACUUGGGUGUCACAACACCUACCCCCUUAGGAAAAAUCUCGUCCUCGAGAUUUCUGCUGAUCCUCAAAUAGAUAUGGAUACUCUGCUCGGAGGAAAUCUUCCCUUUCCCAUGUGGCUUCAUCCUUGGUGUGGUUGCUCCACUGGACCCUGAAAAACUUUGUCGUUUUCUGACGGGUCCUCCGUUCAGACUCUUCUAAAAUCUUUACUGGCCUUUCUCUGUAGGUGAGAUCUGGUUGCAUAUCAAUGUCCUCAUGAGGUAUAUGUUUCUCCGGGUUACUCACACAUUUCCUCAACUGCGAGACGUGGAAUACGUCAUGGACGUCUGAUAGCUCCUUGGGUAGGUCUAGCUGGUAGGCUACCGUGCCUCUUCGUGCCUUCACACAAAAUGGUCCAAUAAAUCUUGGGGCUAGUUUCCCCUUUAUUUUGAACCGUUGCAGACCCCUCAUAGGAGAUACUCGGAGGUAUACGGAAUCACCAGGUUCAAAGCUGACCUCACGAUGCUUCUGAUCAUAGUAGCUCUUUUGUCGGCUCUGUGCUGUCUUGAGUCUGUCCCUGAUUUGUUUAACUUUUUCCUCGGCCUCCUUAAGCAUAUCUGGGCCGAAGAUACGGCUGUCACCUGUUUCUGACCAAUUCAAUGGGGUACGACACCUCCGUCCGUACAAUGCUUCAAAGGGUGCCAUUUGCAAGCUGGCUUGGUAACUGUUGUUGUACGCAAAUUCGGCAUACGGCAAACUCUCUUCCCAACUGGUUCCAUAGGUGAGCACACAGGCUCUUAGCAUAUCCUCCAGGAUUUGGUUUACACGUUCUGUUUGUCCAUCUGUUUGAGGGUGGUAUGCUGUACUGAAAGCUAGUUGCGUGCCCAGAGCUUGUUGUAGGUGAUCCCAAAAUUUGGAGACGAAUUGGGUGCCUCGGUCUGAUAUUAUAGUCUUCGGGACUCCAUGCAAGCAAACUAUACGAGAUAGAUAGAGCUUUGCCAGUCUUUGAGUGGAGUAGGUAGUCUUCACGGGAAUGAAAUGAGCAACCUUGGUUAGUCGGUCUGUGAUGACCCAUAUGGCAUCAUUUCCGCGUUGUGAUCGGGGUAAUCCGACAAUGAAGUCCAUUCCUAUUUCAUCCCAUUUCCACUCCGGUAUUUGGUUUGGCUGGAGUAGCCCUGCUGGCUUUUGAUGCUCGGCCUUGAUACGCUAGCAUGAAUCGCAACAAGCAACAAAUGUGGCUAUAUCUCUUUUCAUACCGUGCCACCAAAAUCUUUCCUGGAUGUCCUUGUACAUUUUGGUUCCUCCAGGAUGGAUCGAAUAUGGAGCGGUGUGGCUUUCCGUCAAGAUCUGUUGCUUGAGUUCCUCAAUGUUAGGUACGCAAAGUCUGUUUCGGUACCACAAUGUUCCUUCACUGUCUGUGACGAACUCUGAAGUCUUACUAGUAUUCAUUUUCUUCUUUAUGCCUUCGAUGCUGGGAUGUCCCUGUUGGGCCUUCUUAAUUCGUUCCAUCAAGGUGCGUUGUAUCUCCAGGUUUGAUACGGUGCCCUCGGGGACUAACAUUAUGUUGAGCCUAGCGAACUCUCGCUGAAACUCAGGCCUCAAGUUUUGCUGACCGUCACUGUCUGGGCUGGGGUUUCGACUAAGGGCAUCGGCCACUACAUUUGCUUUUCCUGGGUGGUAGUGGAUGCCGACGUCGUAGUCUUUGACCAGUUCCAACCAGCGUCGUUGGCGUAAAUUCAGCUCUGGCUGUGUGAAGAUAUAUUUGAGGCUCUUAUGGUCCGUAUAUAUUUCACAACGAUUUCCCAACAGAAAGUGCCUCCACUCCUUGAGUGCAUGUAGGACCGCUGCUAGCUCCAAGUCAUGUGUUGGGUAAUUUUCCUCAUGCUUUCGCAGUUGCCUGGAGGCAUAUGCAACAACUUUGCCAUCCUGCAUUAGUACACAUCCGAGACCUUUUCGGGACGCGUCACAAUAUACUUCAAAACUCUUGUGUAUGUCUGGCACAGUUAAGACUGGUGCGGUUGUCAGUUUUUUCUUGAGUUCUUGGAAGCUCUGCUCACAUGCUUCCGUCCAUACGAAUCUCUUGUCCUUCUUGAGCAGUUGGGUCAUAGGUUUUGCCACAGUGGAGAAUCCUUCAAUAAAUCUCCUGUAAUAUCCGGCCAUUCCUAGGAAACUCCGCACAUCUGUGACGUUGGCGGGCGGUUUCCAGUCCAGUAUGGCCUUGACCUUUUCUGGGUCUACGGCUACGCCUUCUUGGUUCAGUAUAUGGCCUAAGAAACCAACUUGUCUUAGCCAAAAUUCGCAUUUGCUAAACUUGGCGUACAACUGAUGCUUCCUCAAUUCUCCCAAAACCACUCUGAGGUGCUCAGCAUGCUCUUCGGGUGUCCUUGAGUAAACCAGAAUAUCAUCAAUGAAUACCACCACAAAUUUGUCCAUGAAUUUCAUGAACACUUUGUUCAUGAGGUGGACGAAAAAUGCGGGGGUGUUUGUUAGACCAAAAGGCAUCACUGUGAACUCGUAUAAUCCAUAUCUGGAAGUGAAUGCUGUCUUGGGGAUAUCCUCUGUUCGUACCUUCAGUUGAUGGUAUCCUGAUCUCAAAUCAAUCUUUGAAAAUACUUUAGCUUGUGCGAGCUGGUCAAACAAAUCAUUUAUCCGUGGCAUCGGGUAUUUGUUUUUGAUGGUGACCAUAUUGAGGGCUCGAUAGUCUAUGCAUAGUCUCAGUGUCCCAUCCUUCUUCUUGGCGAACAAUACGGGCGAACCCCAUGGUGAGGAGCUGGCUCGUAUAAACCCCUUGUCCAGUAAUUCCUUUAUCUGCUUCUUCAACUCCACCAAUUCUGAGGGUGCCAUUCUAUACGGCUUCUUAUAAAAGGGAGCGGUGCCAGGUGCUAAUUCAAUGCUGAAUUCGAUCUCUCGGUCUGGUGGCAUACCUGGUAGUUCUUCCGGGAACACAUCAGGGAACUCGCAUACCACUGACACUUUUCUUAAUUCUGCGAUGUCCAUCUUGUUCAGUUUUGGUUUCUGUGAUCGUGGCCUUUCUUGAGCGGAAACUCUUAUUGUCUUGCCGUGAUGGUGAGUGAGAAUCACUGUCCGAUUGAAACAGUCGAUGAAUCCUUUGUUGGUGGUUAACCAGUCCAUUCCUAAAAUGACAUCCAGUCCUUUACUUUCCAACACGAUGAGAUUUGCGUGGAAUGGUAGUCCUUCGAACUCAAUGACCACUCCUUGGCAGUAACCCUGAGCAAUUUGCUUGUUUCCGGGGGACUUGAUGAUCAUAGAUUUUUCCAAGGGGAGUAUCGGAAAACCGUGUUGUGAAACAAAACUCUUCGAAACAACCGAAUGGGAAGCUCCAGAAUCAAACAAAACCAUGGCAGGUACUGUGUUGACAGGGAACGUACCGAGCACGAUGUCUGGGGCAUUCUGCGCUUCUUCCCUGGUCACAUGGUUCAGGUGACCCUUCCUGUGGUUGUUGUUGGGAUUGAAGUUGUUGCGCUUGGGAGCUGGAUUGUUUUCACCAUUGUUCGGCUUGGGUGCCGAGUCUCUUGGUUUCGGGCACUGUUUAGCAUAAUGCCCUUGCUGACCGCAAGCAUAGCAGGUGACCCCUGGACGGUAUGUGAACUCCUUGUCUCUGGCAUGAAAUUGUCCAACGGGUCUUGGCUCAGUAGUCGUGGAUCUCCUCGUGUCUGUCCUUGGGACCUCAGUCUUGCCUCGGUUGCUGCGGGUAAGAGUCGUCUUGUCCCUCUUCCGCUUGCGGAUAUCUUCCAGACUACGGCGCUCAUUCUCCAGGGUGAUGGCCUUGUCCACCAGCGUCUUAAAAUCCGGAAAGGUGUGUACAAUCAGCUGGCAUCUUAGUGCUGGUGCCAGGCCGUCCAGGAAUUUUUCCAUCUUCUUGUUUUCUGUCAUGUGCUCGUCGUAGGCAUAACGAGACAGUUGGGUAAACUGGCCGUUGUAUUCUGUGACGAACAUGCCUCUUUGCUUCAGGUCAUUAAACUCUCUCUUCUUGAUCUUUAGGAUGCUCCUGGGAAUGUGUGCCCCACGGAAGCCUUCCUUGAAUUCUUCCCAGGUGAUGUUGUGUUCCCUGGGGUGCAUGUGUAGGAAGUUUUCCCACCAUGCUGCGGCUGCUCCAGUAAGGUAGUGUGGCGCAUAAAGCACCUUCUCAUGAUCUAAGCAUUGAGCGAUAAUCAGUUUCCUUUCAAUCUCGCGAAGCCAAUCAUCAGCUUCCAGUGGCCUAUCGGUGUGAGCAAAAGUUGAGGGGCGAGUCUUCUGUAACUCAGAUAACUUGGAAUGUGGUUGAUAGGGUUCACGGUGGUUUCCCAUAUUGAUGACAUGGUUCAUCAUCUCCUGGUGCUGUUGCUGGCUUUGCUCGAAGAGACGGCAUACUUGAGAUAGUGCCGCUUCGCUGUCCUGUUGGCUGGACUGACCCUGAGUGAAAUUGUUGCUGGUCUGUGUUCCAUAAACCUCUUCUGCAUUUUUCCAGUCUGGGGUAUCAUUUGCAAAACCCUUGAGAAAAACUGUGUAGCGCAGGAAAACUCUUGCAAAGGCAACACAAAUGAUUUUUCAUGGAGGAGAAGUGCUUAACAUAAAACUUUCAUGCGAAAAGCAAACACACGAUACAACACUCAGGAUGCGCGUACACAAUCCUGACAUGCUAUUAAAACUAGCGUACUACUCCGGAAGGCAGCAAACACACCAAUACAAACUAGCGUACAGAUAAAACAGCACAUCAUACAAGCAGACAUAACACGCGGCUACUCGGUGCUCUCAGUCGGAGAUGGUGAAGAUCUCCUUCCCCUUGCCGAUGGCAAGGCUCAGCGGUCCAGGAGAGUCAACCUCCUCCUCUCUAGCUGGUUCCUGGCGUGCGACGCUGCGCUGCGGUGAUGGUGCGGGGGCGAUUGGUGGUAGAGCGCGUGCGGCAGGCGGUGCGGCUCUGACUGGAGUGGGAGCGAUGACUCGGUCGAACUCCUCAGUGGUAGGCAGACGGCGAGCAGUGGCCAAAACGGCCGGUGCAUACGAGGCUGAAGACGAGACGAAUGUCAGAGGCGGCGCCGUGUGGAGAAGCUCCUUCCUGCUGGCAGGACCGCCCCGGACUAAGUCCAUGCGGGCAGCCACAAGAUCAUCUACGAGGUUGUCGAAAGAUUCCUCCAGAGCCUUGAGAUACUCCACAACCAUCUCGAUGGCUUCGUCUCUUUCUCCCCGAUGGCAGGAAAACGCAUAGUGGCUGGUGUAUGGCACAUGGCAUGGGAGGUAGCGGUAGCGACGAGUCUUCAUCGUAGGAAGGAUGUCCCGAAGGCGAGCUAUCGCCUCACGGGCAGCCAUCUGCAUGGCAUGCCUCUCCGUAGGCAUGGCCCUUCCCACAAAACGGAAGUGGCGUGCAGCUGAACGUCCUCCCUUGAACUGCACCACAGCCUGGUGCAUAGACACGUCGUCACUGAGCUUGUGCUGAUAGAGGGUGAACUCCGGGCGAGCUGCUGGCCCGAUCGCGAGCUUGGUGAUGGAGACGAGGAGCUUGACAAACCCCUCGGGCACGUUGGUGAACACUCGAUUCUCACAGCCGCUGCCAGCCAUCUACAAAAGUAGGCAAAAAUUCUGAGUAGUCAUGUCAUAAAUUUUAUGAUGACCAACAGAAGAUAGCUACAAUUGCAAAAUGCUGAAGAAGCACUAAAGACGCUAAUAACCGAUUAGCGAUCGCACCUAGUGGCUUCCUAUAGUCAGCCUGGCUCUGAUACCAAGCUUGUCACGCCCGGUUUUUCAAUAAAAUAAUUAUUGAGAAACCAAUCCCUGUUACGGACCAGCGAGGAAGAAUUCCUUCUCACUGAUAGACAAUACAUUGGUCACAGAAGAAAAAUACCAGGAGUACUAAAUAUAAUACAAAGUUGAGCAGAGACUGCCCAACAAUUUAUUACAUGCACGCCGAUAAAACAAUACGGCGGAUAGGGUGGCAAACUUCUAACUCACGAUAAAAACGGUGGUGGAAAUAUCAUCGCGAAGCGAGUGACAUGAUUCCAGAAUACUACAACUCUUCGAGCGUCGGAGUGAGGCUCGAGAAGACUUAUUGCGGGUGGCGGAAGCGUAAACGAUACAAGUGACCAAAAUCCGGGAUCUCGCAGGACUGACUGGGACUCCUCUAGGCAUCGGACGUGCUAUCAAACUCCUCAUCCAAGAGAUCGCCUUCGUCAACAUCUGGCCAAAUCAACAAGCCAGGUGAGUACUAUGAAAGUACUCGCAAGACAGUUCGGACAUAAGGUAUAACAAAUGCAAACAUGAAGCACAUGAAUAAGUUAACCAGUGCAAUCAGACACAGAGAUAAUAAAUACUGGGUGCCAAGCGAGGGUCUGAAUGACGCCUCGAGCGGAAACUGCAGAAUAGCAAUACUGGUGCCAAACGAGUGUCUGAAAGACUCCUCGAGAGGAAAAUGCGGAAUAAUAAUACAGGUGCCAAACGAGUGUCUGAAAGACUCCUCGAGCGGAAAUGCAGAAAUAAUAAUACGGGUGCCAAAUGAGUGUCUGAAUGACUCCUCGAGCGGAAAAUGCAGAAUAAUAAUGCCACAGUCGGGCGUCGGGGCGACACCACAUAAAGGGCUUAUAUCGAAAGUGAGAAACGAGUACACGCCACAGUCGGACGUCUGCGCGACGUCACAUAAAGGGCUUAUAUCACAACUCAUUAAUACAAUAGCUCGGAGACAUAAAUUAUCACAAGCAUGAGACACACAAAAAUAAAGUUAGUCCAUCAACUGGAAUAACAAUAAAUCUGAGAUUUUUACCGCUUGAGCUUGUUCACCGGGGGCAAGAUUUUCACACGGAUAGAUUUGGAUGUAAAGUCUACAUUACUGAUCAUGGAUACGAUGAUUUGGAAAGGAUUGACUCUGCAGAGUUUGUACUUAACCACAGCCAACGGAUUUCAGUAGUCACGGGGACGAGUUCCGUCUACGGUGUUCUGGAAGGAACACGUCUAACCAGUACACACCCAAUUUAACCAUCCGAAGCCAGGGAUCACCCUCGGCAAAGUUCAGGAAAAACCCUGAGUCGGGGAGGCUACAACCUCGCGUAGCAUGGGAUCAAAUUUCUAUACGCGCGCUAUAAGGGGGUGCCCCCCCUCUCGGUCCCAACCGGAAACACCCAUGCCCCCUGACCGAAUGACUGGCUUUAAUCCUGGGCCAAGGUACCAUCAUCCCGGCCUCUCUGUUUGGUGUGUACACGGAAAGAGGUUACCAACUUACUAAACCGUAUCCUGGCAAUGAGACAUGUGGUAGCACGGAAAGGGGAAGGGACGAUAACACGGCUCCAACCAUGUUAACGUCGGGAAAGUCGGAUGACACAAGGCUGGCAUGCUACAACAGUACCACCUUGCUGCCCUUCAUGUCACCACAUGAUUAGGCCACCUCUCAUCAGAGGUCAUCGCAACUUUGGAACAUGCGGGAAAAGAUCGAUAACGUGGCUCCAACCACGUUAACAUCGAAGAAAGUCGGAUGGCGCAAGGCUGGCAUGCUACAACAGUACCACCUUGCUGCCCUUCAUGUCACUACAUGAUUAGGCCACCUCUCAUCAGAGGUCAUCGCAACUUCGGAACAACCGGGUCGUUGCCUUACAAGCAACGAGGUACUUAUCGACACUCACAUGCCACGCACAAAGUUUCACAUGAACAUGCAAAACAUCUGCCGUAUCAAAUGGUCAAACAUGCUUGCCUGGUUCGGAGAAGUCGGAGUCUAGCUCGGCGAAGUUCGCGGCUCCGUCCCCUCUCCCGGAACCUACGGCAAUCACGAAACGGGGUACUAACGUGAAAACCAACACAUGCACAGAAACUUUGCCAAAUAUUUUUCAAAUAAAUCCCAUAAAAAACUAGACAAAAUUUGGAGAUUGACAGAAAAAGAAUCACUCAAAAAUACCUUUUCAUUAAAACGUUAUAAAGGUUUCUGUCCAGGGACAUUUCUGUAAUGAAACAGAAAAGUUCCAGGGUUUUAACUGAGAAAACAGAAAACGCUUCGGCUGGAAUGCGCAAGCGCAAGGGGAAAACGUAUUUUGCCCGAAGGCGCCAACAGAAAACGGUUCGGGGAAAUAAAACAGAGGCUGACACGCGGGGCCCGCAUGUCAGGUUUGAAAGCUCGCCGGCGCCCGAAGACGGCGGUGGACGCCGGCGUCGAACCACGGCGAGUUAGGAGAAACGGAGGGUACCAAGAGCUUCAGUGUCUUCUUCCGCGUCGGUGGGUGGUGGACUCGUCCAACGGGGAGCACCACGUCGACGACGACACUAUCUCCGGUGGACGGCGGUUCGGGUGAGGUUGGGGAACUCCGGUGGAGGGCUGCAAAGUGCGAAUUGAGGCGCGGGUCAGAACGGGUGAUGCAAGGAGAAGCUACUGGCAAGAGAAUGGGGGCUGCGGAGCACACACGGGGGCGAAUCGGGCUGGAUCCCGUGGCGGAUCGUGGCGGCCGGAGUCGAGGAAGGAGACCCCCUCGCGGCUCUUCCAGUGGCUGGGCGUGCUCUAGGGGAAGUGUAGGGCUGGUGGGUGCUCGAGUUGAAGCUCGGGCCCCUAUUUAUAGGCAGAUCGACGGGGUGGCCGUGAACGGAGAAUCUCCGGCGAGCGAUUACGGCGGAGCAGUGGAUUGGAAGGUGGUUUGAGAGGUCGGGCAGCAUCAGUGGAGAUUACUGGAGUUGUUCCACUGCUAAACGGAGCUGGCCCUGGCGUAAUGGUGUCUGCCCACGGUGAGGUGACCGCACGGGCUCAACGGCGGCAGAGAGCGCGCUCCGCGCCCUGGGGUUCACGACGAGAGCGGCAGCGCAUUCGGGGGAGUGGACGGCCACGCGGCGGGCUCCGGUGGUUUGGGCGGCGCUGGGUGGAGUCGGCGGCGCCGUGUCUCCCGCUGGUGUCCGCAAAGCCGCCGCCGGCGUCGGUCACGGGGCGGCGCACCUUCUGCUGCUCGUCGCCGACGCCCGCAAGUUGCCAGGCACUCGUGCGGUGCAGGAACGAGAGGGCGAGGACGAGGAGCAAGGCGACGCGAGGGUACUGGCGAGAUCGACGCCCGUUUCUGAAGAAAACGACAGCAGCCACUUGACUGAACUCUGAACUUACUGAAUCUUGACAGUGACCAAGCAUUGCAGGUGUUCGACAGUAGGUUUUGGUAAAGAGAUAAAUUUUUCUGGAGCUGUAACUUGGUGAGAUGAUCACUCAAAGCACCCAGGGGCUGCAUGAAUUUACUUGGAAUUUUUGGAGAAAGUUUUGAAUGAAUUUCACCAAAUUUGGCAAAUCUGGUCCAAACUUGCAGCUGAUGUAGUUUGAAAUUUUUGAACUGGAGACCAGUGGAUCUUCAUGGUUCCAGGUUGAGGGUUCAAAGGACUAGGAGGGGAAAAAGGUUUGGUGGCAAAAAUCAAAACAGAAAAAGGAGUUCCUUUGUAAAUCUCCAAGUGCUAUAAGAGAAGACAGAAAUUUAUUUGAAUAGAAUUUGAAUGGAAAUGAUCACAUGAGGAGGUUCAACUUGCUGGAUUUGAUGCAAAUCAUGAUCCAAAGGUGAGGGAAGGGUUAGGAGAGAGGAUUUGCACUAAUGCCAUGGCAAGAAGGAAUAGUUGAAAGUGGCAAAGGACUUUCCAAAAGCCAUAGUGCAUUCUCAAAAAGGAUUUUCAAAGCUUAUUCUCUCAAAUGAAAAAAAACAUUUUGUCUUGAGCCCAAAUGAAAAGCAAGAACCCCCAAGGUUAAAGGCAGAUCUUGGGUGAAUCCAAAUAAAAUUUUUGCCAUAAAGAAAAAUAUUUGAGAGUGAGAGUUCUCUUGAAGAAUUUUUUUUUAAAUCACUCCCUUCAAGUCAAAUAAAAUCUUUUGAAAAAUCCAAAUAAAAACUUGGGUGUCACACCCUCUCUCCUACUUUGGGCUGCAGAGCGUGGCGGCACAUAUCAGGGUAUGGUGCAUGCAGAGACGCAUGGUACGCUAUGUACACACAGUUUUGCCUGAUGAACGAAACCGCGCUGCCAUCAUGAUCCUUGCCGUCGGUUAUCUCCUGGUUAAUCGGAUAAUUCAGUCCAACAAACAGAGAGCGUGUACCAAGGCUACUUACCAACCUCCAGUCAAAAAUUCCUGAAGGCCCAGAGAAGUUGGGAUCCUGCUCAAAGACCUUGAAGUGAUUGUGAUUGUAUUCCGCGAAACAACACGUCUGGUACGUGCGAACGAUCAUCAAUCGUUCGCCGUCGUCUGAUCGAGCCAGGAAGCACCUGCAACUGCCAUGCCGCUUUUCUUUGAAAGGUUCUGGGAUUAGGAAGGGUACGAACAUGAGGCGACUUACAACAUCAUAUCAAGUUGGAGACAAAUAACCCUCAAAAAAAGUUGGAGUCAAAUAAAAAAGGGCUCUUGAUUGUAUGACAUGGCUAGCCAAGAUGGAUUUAAUCCCGAUAUUCACUUUAUCAAAAGGCUCUAAUGGGUUGGUUCUGAAUCUUGCAAGCUGGGAAUCAAUGAGAUGUGUAGGCAUCUUUGUUGUACUUAUUAUUUGAAUCUUAUUUGUUGGUUCUGAAUCUUGCAAGCUGGGAAUCAAUGAGAUGUGUAGGCAUCUUUGUUGUACUUAUUAUUUGGAUCUUAUUUGUUGGUUCUGAAUCUUGCAAGCUGGGAAUCAAUGGGAUGUGUAGGCAUCUUUGUUGUACUUAUUAUUUGGAUCUUAUUUGUUGGUUCUGAAUCUUGCAAGCUCGGAAACAUGGCAUGAUGAUGCAGAGGACAACAACCAUAACAAACAGUUCAAACUUGGUAGUAUUAUCUUUGUGAAAGUGCGACAAAUGUGCUGAUCGUGUGCGUCCUGAGAAUAAUAAUUCUAAUUGUUGUGCAUGUUGAUCCCGUGGCACUGAUAGAAUGAGCCAAUGCAUUGCUUGUUUUAAGUAUAAAUUUCUAUUAAAGCUAAUUAAAUUUAAGUAAAGUGACCACUAACUCCUGUUAUUACAGGACCAAUACAGACCCGCUCAUGAACCGACGUGUGGCCGGAGUAGGUUUCUUAAUGGAGGCGUUUGAAUGCGCUGAGGGUGCAUCUUCUGCCGGGUGUGCAGAACUGCUGCCGCCGCCUACACACUCGUUCACUUGAAGAGACUCCAAUGGCGAUCCGAGGGGUGAGCCUGCUGGAUAUGGACUUCAGCAAGGAGUUCCCCUUUGAGUUCGCCAUUCAGUCCUAUGGCUGCACCAAGUUGAAUGUGAUGUACACCAACGAUCCAGACUCGGUGAAGCUCUGCCUCGCCGAGUUCAAGCAGUACCUACAGGACGAGAAAGCACAAGGUUGCAGGACUAGACCUUGUGCCCAUCCAUUCUUCUCCUGACAGGGACCAGCAGAUAGCCGUUGCCUAGGAAUGUGUGCGGGACGAGGUUCUCAUCUACCACUUCUGUAGGGCCAUCAGAGGUUCUGGAGCAUUCGCCUGUUUCAUCGGCAGCGCUGACUGCACCUUCGCUACGGUGGAGAGAAGGAAGAACGCGAUGAUUCGGCCAUCUGGUGCAACAAGCUUGUCGACAUCCAGAAGCAAUACAAGAUCAUCAGCAACGAGCAGGAGAAGGACUCCGUGGUUGACCUCGCCGAGACCAUCAUCGACCCCUGAUACGCCAACAUGAAAGAAGACAACGAUAACAAAGACCUGAACACGUGGGAGGUACCUCUGAAUCUAGCCUACAUAACCUACACGGCCAAGGAUGCAUACGCAUGCUACGACAUGUACAGGUAGAUCUUGGACAUGAGGGCGUGUCUGCAUCCCGUAACCGACGAGUACACGGACAGCCGCAGCGUCAUGAUCAAGCAUGCCAGGAAGGUCUAGAUGUUGUACUUUAUCUGUUUAUAAGCGCCUUUAUCAUCUGAGUGUUUCAUGCAUUAUCCUAAGUGUUGUAAUUAUCUGUUUUGUCCGAAAUUUUUCUUUUAAGAACCCAUUAACCUGUUUGGUUUUUUUAGUGGCUAUUUGCUUAUGUAUGUAACUAGUUCACUUGUCCGUUAAAAAAAACUAGUUCACUCGGCUGCCGUGCUUUGAAUCUCCUUCCUCCCAACAUAUUCCCCUCCUCAGGUGGACCCAGCAGGUCUCGUACACAGACAUAUGGGACCAACCACCUAUCCAUUUGUAUUUCUUUAUUUUGUUCAAUCUUUCGUCCUCUUCCUAUACAGCUCAGUUCUAUUUUUCCUUUUCAUUAAUCCUAUAUCUGAAUUUUCUCCCACUUUCUUUUUCGAUGUAAACUGAGUUUUCUCCCAGUACUUUUCCCUAGAACCAACAACUGUCCCACGUCUAGCCUAAAAAAUAAUAAUACCCCACGUACUAUUAACUCAUCAAAUUUAAAUGAUAUUUUAUUUUGUAAGUUGAAAGUUUUUACAAAAUAAUAAUAAUUCUUAUUUAUAUGUAACUUGGCAAGUUAACCCCUAGUGAUUGCGUACAUAAGCUUGCAAAGAUUUUACUGACCAAUGCAGUAAUAGACGUGCAAUCAUGUGUUUAUGUUUUUAUAACAUUUCUCCGUCUAGCCCAACAUGAUAUUUUCACCCAGCCCAGCAAGUCCGCGGAUUUCGAGAAAAAUGCAAAUGGGCUUUAAAUUCUAGCAUACAUAUAAACGGGCUGCAUAGAUGCUACAUCAUUGUUUCACCCAGCCCACCAAAUGGACUAAAAAACAAAUGGACUGGCUGACAUGUGGGCCAGUAGGUCGAAGCCUAAGAAGGCGUUGGAUUUACAUCCAACGGCCGGCAUUCUUCUUCAAUCUCUCGUCUUCUUUCCCCAGCGCUGCCAGGACCGCCUGCUCCAGCCUUCGGCGUCCAGCGGCAUUGUUUUGCACUCCUCAGCGAAACGCUACCCCACCGACGGCCAGGCCAUCCCUCCACUCCGCACCUCCUGUUAUUCUCUGCCGAGUGUAGGCCCACCCCGCACCCGAACCAGUCAAGUUUCCCACUCCUCUCCGUCUGCGACUCCACUGCCGCGUCUUCCCCAUCUCCGGGUCGUUCCAGUCUGGGGCCUCGCCGUCGUCCACCGCCUCGGUGCGCUCGGCGCGGCGUGGUCAACAUAGGAGAGUCAUCGGAAGAGGACUGUACGUGAAGAGCCUGACGGCUGGGACCCACGAGGUCGAUGGUCGCAUGCAAGGAAAGUUCCUCCUUAUUACGCACUGUACGUGGACUGUACGUGGGAAGGGCUUCUGUAUUUCACGAAAAAAUGUUCCCCCCGCUGACAGGUCGGACCCACCACCUAUAUCUUCGCACGCAAGGAAGUGCCUCCUUAUUACGCACAAAAAAUGAAUACCCCCUGCUAGCUGGGACCCACCAUAGUGGGUGGCUGACUUGUGGGCCUACUAAGUUGACGGGGACAGAGGGCUUUGUCAACUUAGUCAAUAUGAUCAAUUCUAGCUCCAGUGACCGUACGAUGUCCAUCCAACGGCCAUAGUGCUUCUUCAACCUCUAGUCUUCUUGCUCCAGCCGCCCAAAGCACAAAGCAGCGCUGGUCGGGCCGCAGCGGCCUCACCACCCCCUACUACUCCCACCGCUCGCCAGGGCAUCCCUCUACUCACCCACACCCCCUAUUAUUCUGCGGCUACGGCAGCCUCACGCUGUAGCCGAACCAGUGAACCCUCGUACUCCUCUCCGCGUGGGCAUCCACUGUCGCGUCUUCCCCGGCUCUUCGUCAUCCCCUUCCUAGGCCUCGCCGUCGUCCACCGCCUUGGUGCUCUCGGCGCGGCGUGGUCAAUGUGGUCAACGACCGACUUCCAUCGGAAGAGUACUGUACGUGGAGAGGCUGACAGCUGGGUCCAUGGCCGCAGCUGGGUCCACGACCACAGCCCAGUUUUUUGUGAUUUGUCAAGUAAUUCGCUUUGUCAAGCCUGUUUGGCUGCAAAUCUUUCAAGACGAGGAGAGCUUCAUUCGGCUGGCCGAGAAAAUGGCCUAUCAGUAAUGACAAAUGGGUUGUACAUUUUUAAAACACAUCAAAUCGGCAAUUAGUUUCAAAUUUCUUUUUUUCAUUUCGAGAUUUUAAAUUGCAUUGAUUUUUAUGCGUGGACAAUUUGUUGGAUUUUAUAUUGAUAUACAUUUAUUUUUAAAAUCAGUUUGAAUGUGACUCGAAAUUUCGGGAUUAAAAACAGUUCGGACCGCACCGAAAUAUGCAAAAUUUUGUAUAAUUUUUUAACCGUGGCCACAAUAUGGGCUGUAAUGCUAACAAAAAGAAUAUGGGCUCCAAAAAAACCUUAAGAAUUAGCAAAUGGGCUGUGAAUUAUUAGAAAUAAUGGCAGAUGGGCUGUAUGCUAUUUUCCACAGAUUUGAGGCUUUCCUAAAAAAAGGUUGACGCACAAGCAAUGACUAUUGGAUUUCCAUCCAACGGUCGUCGUGCUUCUUCAAUCUCUGCUGUUCCUGCUCCAGCCGCUCAAACAAGCGCCGGCGGGACUGCCUGCUCCCUCCUCCCCGCGGCCGGCUGUGCUGCCACGCAGGCCUCACCGCCCCACCGUACUCCCAUCGCUGGCCUAGCUACACCUCUACUCACCCACACCUGUUGUUAUUCUCCGGCGAUGGCAGACGAACCAGUAAACCCUUGUACAGUCGUACUUCCCUCCGCGUGGGAAACAACUGCCGAGUCUUCCCUGCCUUCGGGUCAUUCCCAUCCUAGGCCUCGCCGUCGUCCACCGCCCUGGUGCUCUCGGCGCGGCCUGGUCAACGUGGUCAACGACCGACAUGCAUCUGAAGUGGACUAUACCUGGAGAGGCUGACAGCUGGGUCCACGGCCGCACGCAAGGAAAUGCCUCCUUAUUACGCGCAAAAUAAUGAUUCCUCCACCUGACAUCUGGGACCCACCGAAAGGGCCUCUGUAUUUCGCGAAAAAAAAGUACCGCCGCUGACAGCUUGGACCCACCAGCUAUAUCUUCGCACGCAAGGAAGUGCCUCCUUAUUACAAAAAAAAUGAAUACUCCCCCUGCUAGCUGGGACCCAGUAUAGUGGCAGGCUGACUUGUGGGCCUACUAAGUUGACGGGGACGGAGGGCUUUGUCAACUUAGUCAAUAUGCAUGAUUCUAGCUCCAGUGACCGUACGAUGUCCGUCCAACGGCCAUAGUGCUUCUUCAACCUCUGGUGUUCUUGCUCCAGCCGCCCAAACCAGCGCCGGUCGUGCCUCGUGCUCCUGCCUCCCGUGGCCGGCUGCGAUGCGGUGGAGGCCUCACCACCCCUUACUACUCCUACCGUUGGCCAGGCCAUCCCUCUACUCACCCACAGCCCCUGUUAUUCUGCGGCGACGGCAGCCUCACACCGCAGCGAACCAGUGAACCCUCAUACUCCUCUACGCGUGGGCAUCCACUGCCGCGUCUUCCCCGGCUCUGCGUCGUCCCCUUCCUAGGCCUCGCCGUUGUCCACCGCCCUGGUGCUCUCGACGCGGCGUGGUCAACGUGGUCAAGGAACGGCUUCCAUCGGACGUGGACUGUACGUGGAGAGGCUGACAGCUGGGUCCACGGCCGCAGCAAGGAAGUGCCUCCUUAUUACGCGCAAAAUAAUUAUUCCUCCACCUGACAGCGGGGACCCACCGGACGGGCCACCGUAUUUCACGAGAAAAAACGUUUCCCCCUGACUGCUGGGACCCACCAGCUACAUCUUCGCACGCAAGGAAGUGCGUCCGGGCAUAAAAAAUGAUUCGCCCCCCUGACUGCUGGGACCCACCAGCUACAUCUUCGCAGGCAAGGAAGUGCCUAACAGUCGGGACCCACCUGGUCGAAGUGUAUGUAGCGUUGUCAUUCUGGUCGCGAACAUGUACGUACAUACUGGUCGUUGUAGAGGCGCGCACGUAGCAUGUACACGUACGUACAGCGGCCAGGGUGCAAGAAAGAAAAUACGGCCACGUACGUACAUACGGGCAGGGUCUCGAACGCCUACUCGCGCAUAUGUACGGCCAGGUCUCGUGUACAUGGCUGGGUCAAAACGGAGAAACUGCGACGUCGUCGUGUUCAUGAGGAGCCAACCGGCUGGGUCGGAACGGAAUGCGUCAUCGUGUUCAUCCGGAGGGCUUGGACGGAACAGCCGAUGGAAACGAGGCUUGGCGUACCGCGGAACAGAGGAAAUGGCCUUGUGUUCGACCGGCCAUGUUCGAAAUGGGAUCCUGUUCAUCGGGAGGGGCUGGAGUACCGCAAAACGGAGGAAACGGACCUCCUACGGUCGAAACGGGGGUCCUGUUGAUCGGGAGGGGUGUGGCGUACCGCAAAACAGAGGAAACGGACUUGUGUUGGAGCGCUACGGUCGAAAUGGGGGUCCUGUUCAUCGGGAGGGGUGUGGCGUACCGCAAAACGGGACUCCACGGGAUACUGUUCAUCUCCACCGUCGACCCCCUCCAGCCUCCACGGGCUACUGUUCAUCCACCGUCGACCUCCUCCAGCCUCCACCUGCGACUGUUCAUCCACGGGCUCCUGUUCAUCCAGCCUCCACCGCGCGCUACUCCACCGGCUACUGUUCAACCAGCCCUCUCCACGGGCUCCUGUUCAACCACCCCUCCACCAGCUAUUGUUCAACCAGCACUCUCCACGGGCUCCUGUUCAACCACCCCUCCAUCCGGCUACUGUUCAGUCACAAUGAAUAUAAGAAUGCGCACAUCAGAAGAAUAUUGUGGAACAGUUCAAUGGGUAACAAACUUGGCAUCAAGGGAUUGAGGUCCAUUGUGGAUGCAAUGAAACCCACAUGCUCCCGACCUAUAGAUUCGUAUUCGGAAUAUGAUCCUAAUGACUAUUCUAAGCUCAAGGAGUCAAAGGCAGAUGGCCUAUCCUGUUCACCCAAUAAGGUGCCUGUUCUAAUUUGGCAAGGUUUUAUUGGUUGCACAUAUCUUGCAUAAGGUGUCUUGCAUUUCUUUUGCUUCGUUGCACCGCCAUCUGCUUAGUUUACUCAUGAUAUAUGUGAAGAUGCCAUGCCCAUCCAUUAUCAACACCUAUUCCAUUUGUCGUCAUACCAUGUUUUUUCAUUCAAAUGUUGUUCUUGUGUUUCAGACAUCCAAAAGGAAGAGGGUGAUUGCAGAACCUGAAGGAGUACAAGCAAAGUCCUUGAAAAAGGUGGUGCUACCAGAGAAAUCACCUAGCACCCGACGUAUAUUGGCGAUAGAACCAGUACCGCAAAACCUAGGAUGUCGCAACCAUGCUGGUCGAUGCUUUGCUCUUCUGAGUACAUAUUGUCCUAUCGCUGUCCUUACAUUCAUACCUGGUGGAUUAUGUGACAUCAUUGUGCAAUAUAGCUUUCUUAUCCACUGUUCACUCCAAAUUAUCAGAUCUAUAUUAAUGCUUAAAUUAAUGUAGAAGAAACCAAUGCCUAUGAAGAAAGUUAGUUCUGCAUUGUUCUUGUAAGUAUCUGUUGUCCUUCAUCACUGUACUUAUAUUUGUCAGCUAGUUCUUCAUGUACACUUUGCAGCUUAUUUUACCUUGUCCUCCAUUUUUCUACACAUCAAAUCUACAUUUACUCUUGCCAAAAUAUUGAAUAAAACCAAUGUUACUGAAGAAGUUUAGCUCCGCAUUGCUCGUCAGUGCCUUCUGCCUAUAUGCUGUAUUUACAUUUGUACUCUGCAUCUUAAGUUAAAUAAUCGCCAUUUGUUCCUAUAUUUUCACAUCUAUAUUACUCUUAACAAAAUGUAGAAUAAAGGCAAUACUCUUGAAGAAGAGUGUGCGGUAAAGUUCUUGAAUUGCCCCCCCCCCCAUCAAUAUGGACAAGGCCUUUAUAGAGCAUGUCUUCACUACUAAUGUAAGUUUGUCCUCCUCGAGCCUUCAAACAAUGUUGUGUAUAUUUGGAUAGCUAUGACUGAAAAUGCUGUUUAUUUUUAUCGUCUGCAUCAAAUUUCUUGUUCAAAGUUUAUAAAGUAGAAGUACAUAAACAUAAGUUUGUCCUUCUCAAUUUCAGUCUUUUAGUUGUACAAUCUAGUUCCUUAUUCGUACCAUGUAAAUUAAACUAAACAUAGAAAGUUAUCUUCUUUAGCACUAUGUGUAUGCUUGUGUUCUUGAUCUAUAAUCGAGUGGUGUGGUGAGACUACCAACAACAGCACAAUGUCAUAUCCUGCUAUGUCUCAACUAUGAACAAUGCCUUAUUAUAUUAAUGUUAUUUAAAUCGUGUCUCUUUAUUUACCAAUCUGAAAUGGUAUAAAUUGACAGUACACUCACCAUUCAUGCUUAUACGUUGUUUAGAACUACAUCUAUGCUUGUGUUCUUGAUCUGUAAUCCAGUGGUCUGGUGAAUCUGGCCGCUCCUACACAAUGCCAUUUCCUGCCGUCUUAACUAUGAACAAUACCUAUUAUGUUAAUGUUAUUUUAAAUAGUGUCUCUUUAUUUCUGACAAAGAAAUGAGAUGAAUUGACAGCGCUGAUGCUUAUACGUGCAAAACCUGUUAUCUACCUACUUGUUUCUCUUUCAGGGUGACAACACUGCUGCUAGGAAGAACUGCCACAAUGAUAGUGAGACGACCCCAUUGUUUGUCCCUCUAAAACAUAUUCCACAGGAGAAGGCAACACAUAUUGAGGGUAGGGAUACAACCACGAAGUCACAUCUUGAUGUAGUGUCAAAACUUACUCAGUGCAAGCUCGAUGAAGUAGUCGCCUGAAUCUAUUUGACUUCUUCAGUCUGAAAUUCAUGAGAAAUACAUAAUUCCGCUCAAAUACGAUUGGAACUCCAAUCUGUAUGCAAGAUUAACCUUAAGUACAUGACGUUUAUUGAUGCUGUGCAGCUUAAGUUGGUGGAUAUGAGCACCAAAGAAGCGCAGUCUCAUCAGGUUGCUAAGCUGCUUGCGCUGUAGCACCUGGGCCGAGCUAACCUUUCUUGAACUGUGUUGAAGUGAUGUCGGUUUUGUCUAUUAUUUUGUCCGCCUGUUAACUUCCACUGGUGGCGACCUGCCCAGUUUAUGUAAUCUGCUGUCUGGUUGCCCUUUAUUAUCAUUUGCGGUGAACUUUGAUGCUGAGGGGAUGUAAUAUGCUGUAAUUUCUUUGUUGUAUAGUCUAGGUUUAUUCUUGGUCGGUAUGCUGUAAUUUAGGACGGAAGGUUCAGUGGAUCUCAGUGUUGUCGGUCUUCAGGCCGGCCCGUUACUCAUAUGGACCAAAACGUGGGCCUAUAAUCAUCUUGGGCCAUUAGCGGGUCUAAACCUAUAGUAGUUUCCUUCCUUUAACAGGCCGAGUAAAGUUCUGGCCAGCUGGGCCAGAGAAUACCAUGGGCUUUUAACAGGCUAAAACCUAGAUUGGGCUGGCGUUGAGCCGAAAAUUUCACAGGCCAAAACUUCCUAAGGCCCAUGUUGGGCCCAAAUAGGAUGAGCAGUUAACAGGCCAAAAUAUAUCUCGGUCUUGUUUGGCCAAAUAAAAUUAUCAGCUUUAAGCAGGCCGGUAUCCACGCGGGCCAUAGACCCAAAAGUGUCACGGGCCAUUAUCAGAUGGGCUGUAAGCAGGCCGGAUUCAACGCGGGCUGUAAUUAGGCCCAACUGUUUCACAGGCCAUUAACAGGCCGAUAGGCCAGUUGGGCUGAAAUUUGUCCACGAAGACUACGGGCCGUUAAGAGGCCUAAAGUUUCUUCGGACAAGAAAUAGCCCAGUUUCUGCAUGGGCCGUUAAAUGGCCUAAAGUUAAACCAGGCCGACAACGUCCCAGAUACACCACGGGCCUCUAACAGGCGAAACUAUUAUCGGGCCGAACUGGUAAACGGGCAUUUAACAGGCUGAAAUAAAACAUGUCUUAGAAUGGGCCCAAAAGAACAGUGGCCUGUUAACGGGCAUGAUCCGAUAUGUGCCAUAAUUUGGCCCAAAACACAGCAGGCUGUGAACGGGCCUGAUCUGGUAUGGGCUUCAAUUUGACCCAAAACAUGGUAGGUUGUUAACGGGCCACGCACUAUUGUCUGAAAAAACAUGGUGGGCCUUUAGCUGGGCCGGCCUUUUCAUCGGACUGGGCCUCGGUUGGGUCGUGCCACAUGUCGACGUAUCAUAGUCACCUCCUGUCCCAACGGUGAGCCAACACGUGUUUCCUCAGGCCAAUGAGAAUUUUACAUGUGGAAAAUCCCCAUUGGUCUGGGCUGUUAACGGGUUAUCGGAUCCAAAACCGGACCCGAUAGCUUAACGGCGACCCGUUCCAGUCGAUGCCACAUGUCGGGCACCCUUGACGAAAGCACUUCUAUGAUGCACGAUUUAUCGUCAUGGAAGUGGACACUUCCGUGAUGAUAAUUUUGGUAAUGUCAUGGAACACUUCUACGAUAGCACAGGUAUGACUAUCUUGAUUCUGUCAUAAAAUUGUCAUGGAUGUACAUGCAUGACAGAAAACGUGACCUACUGUGACAAACACGUAUCAUCAUGGAAGUGUAUUUUUUUUGUAGUGUAUGCCAUGACUUGUUAGAAUAGCUCUCUAUGCUUCACUUAAAUUUUUAUGAGCUAUGGAAUUGCUCAAGUGCUUCACUUAUAUCUUUUUGAGCACGGUGUGCUUUGUUAUUUUUGAAGAAAUGCUCUCUUGCUUCACUUAGAUUUGUUUGAGAGUUAGUAAAUUUUUUGAAGAAAUUCUCUCUUGCUUCACUUAAAUUAAUUUGAGAGAAAGAAAUAUUAUGCUCAUGAUCUUCACCUAUAUCUGUUUGAGCUUAUCAAAAGCAACAUGAAAAUUAGUUCCAAAGUGAUAGAAAUCCAAGAAGGAUAUAAUAAAAAAAUCAUGAAGAUCAUUAGACAAAAUAAACUUGAUUCCUUGUAAUAGUCUUGAGAUAUGAUGAUGUGAUAUGUGAGUCAUGUUGAUGAGUAAUUGUGCUUUAGUAAGAAUAUUGGUGUUAAAGUUUGUGAUUCCCUAUGCAAGCACGAAAGUCAAUAGUCAUGCAAUGAAAUUACAUCUUACUUGUGGUGCAUUAUUCGGUGUUAAUUAUGUUUAAUGCUCGCUUAUGAGAUUAUUCGUUUCUUGGUUGGUUGCUUCUCAAUCUUUUGCUAGCCUUCAUUUUGCACUAAGUAUGAUCACUACUUGUGCAUCCAAAAUCCUUUAAACCAGUCUUGCCACAUGAGUCCACUAUACCUACCUAUAUGCGGUGUUCUUUUUCCGUUCUAAGCAAAUUUGUAUGUCCCAUCUCUAAUUUUCAAAAUAAAUUUCUCUUUUGUGUGCUCGUACCGCUCGUGAGGCGGUGAGGGGUGGCAAAUAUUUUCCAUGCUAGAUGUGUUAUUCUCACGACGAAUGUUUAUUCACUUGUCAUUGCACGAUAGUAAGGCAAAGGUAUUAGGGAUGCCCAGUCCCGAAAUGAAAAAUGAAUUUACUUUAUGUUGUCAAAUAAUAAAUUCCUUGGAAAGUGUUGGUAUGGAAGGCAACCGUGGAUUCGGCUAGCCAUGGAAAGUGAAAGUAUGGUGGAAAAAGGAAUAAACUUUAUUUUCUGUUUGGGAACCGCCUAUGAUAUAUCUAGCAUGGAAAGUGUUGGGAGCUCUAAGUCGUUUUCAUUGGUGGGAAAAGCAUGCCUCUCAAAAUGUUUUUAUCUCUGUAGGAUCAAAAGUAUGUCUAGAGGGGGGUGAUUAGACUACUUGACCAAAUAAAAAUCUAGCCUUUUCCCAAUUUUAGUUCUUGGCUGAUUUUAGCAACUUAGCACAAGUCAAGCAAUCAACCUACACAUGCAAUUCGAAGAGUAUAGCAGCGGAAUGUAAAACAAUUGCAUAUGAAGGUAAAGGGAGGAGUUUGAGGGAGCAAACGCAAUGUUGACACGGAGAUUUUUUAUCCGUGGUUCCGAUAGGUGGUGCUAUCGUACAUCCACGUUGAUGGAGACUUCAACCCACGAAGGGUAACGGUUGUGCGAGUCCACGGAGGGCUCCACCCACGAAGGGUCCACGAAGAAGCAACCUUGUCUAUCCCACCAUGGCCGUCGCCCACGAAGGACUUGCCUCACUAGGGUAGAUCUUCACGAAGUAGGCGAUCUCCUUGCCCUUACAAACUCCUUGGUUCAACUCCACAAUCUUGAUGGAGGCUACCAAGUGACACCUAGCCAAUCUAGGAGACACCACUCUCCAAGAAGUAACAAAUGGUGUGUUGAUGAUGAACUCCUUGAUCUUGUGCUUCAAAUGAUAGUCUCCCCAACACUCAACUCUCUCUCAUAGGAUUGGAUUUGGAAGAAAGAGGAUUUGAGUGAAAAGCAACUUGGGGAAGGCUAGAGAUCAAGAUUUAUGUGGUUGGAAUGGAAUAUCUUGACCUCAACACAAGUGUAGGUGGUUCUCUCUCAGAAAAUAUGUAUUGGAAGUGUAGGCAUGUUUUGAUGGCUCUCUCCACGAAUGAAGAGUGGGUGGAGGGGUAUAUAUAGCCUCCACACAAAAUCUAACCGUUACACACAAUUCACCAAACUCGGUGGGACCGAUUCAGAGAACUCGGUCAGACCGAUUUGGUUCAUAAUGUGACCGUUAGGCAUUUCGGUGGGACCGACAUGUCAACUCGGUGGGACCGAUAUCAUUAGGGUUAGGGCAUAACAUAAUCUCGGUGAGACCGAUUACACAAACUCGGUGAGACCGAUUUUGGUAAUAGACAAAUAGAGAGUUGGCCAGGCAAACUCGGUGGGACCGAUUCGCUCAUCUCGGUUGGACCGAAACGUUAUGAAAGGGAAACAGAGAUCUUGCAUUGCAAUCUCGGUGGGACCGAUCGCUCAUCUCGGUUUGACCGAAACGUUACGAAGGGAAACAGAGAGAUUACAAUCCCAUCUCGGUGAGACCGAGAUCCCUAUCGGUGAGACCGAAAAGACUAGGGUUUCUGGCAAUGGCUAUGUCAACUGAACUCGGUGGCUCCGGAUAGAAAGAAUCGGUGGGGCCAAGUUGGACUUAUGGUUUGGGACAUAUGUUUAUAUGAGAAAGUAGUGGAGGGUUUUGGAGCAUAUCACUAAGCAUUUUGAGCAAGAACCUCAUUAAGCAACACCUCAUCCCUUCUUAAUAGUAUUGGCUUUUCCUAUAGACUCAAUGUGAUCUUGGAUCACUAAAAUAGAAAAUGUAGAGUCUUGUGCUUUGAGCUUGAGCCAAUCUUUUGUCCUUAGCAUUUUGAAGGGUCUACUUUCUAAUCCAUGCCAUGCCAAUCAUUGAGCUUUCCUGAAAUAUUUAUCUUGGAAUAGCAUUAGCUCAGUGAACUAUAUGUUGUUAGGAAUUACCAAAACCACCCAGGGAUAGUUGCACUUUCAAUCUCCCCCUUUUUGGUAAUUGAUGACAACAUAUAGAUCAAAGCUUCGACAAAUGAUAAGUAAGAUUGAAAAACAUCGUCACUUUGAGAGGUAUGUGAUAAGCAAGAGCUCCCCCUAAAUUUGUGCAUUAUUUAAAAUUUGCUUUUGAAUGCAAAUGCACAAUCGAUUAGGAUCAUGGGUUAUUCUUCCAUGUCACAUACAUCUUGGUGGAGCGCUCAAAAUGAUAGAAGUUAAAGCAUGCACUCAUCACCAAAACAAGUGAAUGAUCGUCUAGGAUAUAAGAGAUAAUAUCAUCUAACAAGCAUUAAGGGUAGCAUAUGAUCAAACAAGUAUCUCACAAGUAGCUCACACAAGCACACAAUAAAGUUUCAAACCAAACCAAAAAUAAGUGCAAAGAGAGAUAAAAACCAACACACUCUCUCUCUCUCGAAGCCUAUGAUCUAUACAUUUUUCUCCCCCUUUGGCAACAAGUUACCAAAAAGUUCAAAAAAGCAUAGUGCUAAAUGUCUCUCAGGCUUGAUCUUCGGGAGGUGGUGUUGAGAGAACUCCAAGAACGAAGGCUUCAGAUGAAGUAGGUGGAGCUGGUGGAGUAGCUGCUGGAGGUGGAACUGGAGCUGUAGCUGAUGGUGCUGAUGUUGUAGCUCUAGUGUCUGUCACUGGCACUGCAGCAGAUCUCUGUCCUCUGGGCACUCUGGCAAAAGCAUCUGUGGUAGACUUGCCCUUCUUCUCCUCUGCUUCCUCCUGAAGUUGCUCAACUGCAGUUUGGAUCUCUGUUACCUUGACAUCAAGGUCAUAGAAUUUCUGCUCAAUGAUCCUCUCCAUACUCUCCUGGUUCUUGGUCAGGGUGGCCAAGCCCUUCUCAAUCCUCAGGAUGGAUUGGAUUAGAUAUCCAAGCUGGUCUUGCUUGCUCUUCAAGAAUACCUGAGAUGUCUCUUCCACUGUUGGCAUCUUUGCAGCCUUCUCAGCUUUAGCCUUCUCUCUCUUCUCAUGUGCUUGAGCUGAAGAUGGUUCAUUCUCAUUCAUCACUACAGUGUUAUCUUCAAAUUCAGGAUAGAUGGGCAGGUGCUCCUUGUCCAAAAGAUAUGUGAGGGAGACCUGGCUUAGGGGGUCCUCGGACGGCCGGACUAUAUAGUUUAGCCGGACUGUUGGACUAUGAAGAUACAAGAUUGAAGACUUCGUCCCGUGUCCGGAUGGGACUCUCCUUGGCGUGGAAGGCAAGCUUGGCAAUACGGAUAUGUAGAUCUCCUCCCUUGUAACCGAAUCUGUGUAACCCUAGCCCCCUCCGGUGUCUCUAUAAAUCGGAGGGUUUAGUCCGUAGGACAAGAACAAUCAUACCAUAGGCUAGCUUCUAGGGUUUUAGCCUCUACGAUCUCGUGGUAGAUCAACUCUUGUAAUACUCAUAUCAUCAAGAUCAAUCAAGCAGGAAGUAGGGUAUUACCUCCAUCGAGAGGGCCCGAACCUCGAUAAACAUCAUGUCCCCCGCCUCCUAUUACCAUCCGCCUUAGACGCACAGUUCGGGACCCCCUACCCGAGAUCCGCCAGUUUUGACACCGACAUUGGUGCUUUCAUUUAGAGUUCCACCGUGCCGUCACCGUAAGGCUUGAUGGCUCCUUCGAUCAUUGGCAACGAUGCGAUCCAGGGUGAGGUUUUCCUCCCCGGACAGAUCUUCGUGUUUCGCGGCUUCGUACUGCGGGCUAACUCGCUUGGCCAUCUGGAGCAGAUCGAUAGCUACGCCCCUGGCCAUCAGGUCAGGUUUGGAAACUUGAACUAUAUUGCCGACAUCCGCGGAGACUUGAUCUUCGACGGAUUUGAGCCCAUGUCAGGUGCGCCGCACAAUCCCGACGAGCAUGAUUUAGCUCUGCCGUCGGACCGUGUUCGGGAGAUCACACCUGCAACUACUCCGGCCCUCAAUCCAGAACAAAUUGCGCCAUCCGAGGAUGGGUGGAUAGACCCCGCCAUGGAGGCCGCACUCUCAGUGGCGAUAGAGCCGAAUACUGACUUCACCCCUUACGAGAGCCGUGUUGCCGAACCAUUGGAUUCGUCCCCGGCCACGGGCUCUGAGCCGCUUGCGUCCGUGCCUAUCGAAUCCGAUUGGGCACCGAUCAUGGAGUUUACCUCCGCGGAUAUCUUUCAGCACUCGCCUUUUGGCGACAUACUAAACUCGUUGAAGUCUCUCUCCCUGUCGGGAGACCCUUGGCCGAACUAUGUCCGGCUAGAAUGGGAUGUGGACGACGAAGAAAUUCGCGGCCCACCCACCACCCACUUAGUAGCCACUGUCGACGAUUUAACCGACAUGCUCGACUUCGGCUCCGAAGACAUCGACGAUAUGGAUGACGAUGCAGGAGACGAACAAGAACCACCGCUCAUAGGGCGCUGGACGGCCACCUCAUCGUGUGACAUAUACAUGGUGGACACCCCUAAAGAAGGGGAUGGCGACAAGACAAUGGAGGAUAAUCCCUCCAAGAAGCAACCCAAGCACCGACGUCAGCGGCACCGCUCUAAGUCUCACCAUAGCAAAAGCAGCGAUACUGGCACAAGAGACAAUAACGCUCCGGAUAGUGCCGAAGACGACGACAAUCCCCUCCAGCCAGACCUCGAGCGGGAGGAUGAACAAGCUAGCCCUCCGGAACAGGCAGCAAACGGAGAAUCAGAGGAUGACAAUUACAUGCCUCUCUCCGAAGACGAAGUGAGCCUCGGCGACGAAGAAUUUGUCGUGCCUGAGGAUCCCGUCGAGCAGGAACGCUUCAAGCGUCGGCUUAUAGCCACAGCAAACAGCCUAAAGAAAAAGCAACAACAGCUUUGAGCUGAUCAAGAUCUGCUAGCGGAUAGAUGGACCGAAGUCCUGGCAGCCGAGGAAUACGAACUCGAGCGCCCAACCAAGAGUUAUCCAAAGCGCAGGUUGCUACCUCAACUCGAGGAGGAAGCAGUGAAACCUACAUCACCAGCGUAUGAUGUGGCUAAUCGGCCACCUCGUGGCCGAGACAGAGAGGCAUUUCAGCCCGAAGUCCAGCCCGCGCCCCCCCGCCAAUCAAACAAAAAUACCAAGGCCUGGGGCAACACGCAGGACCUGCGAGACGUAUUGGAAAGCAAGGCAAAACAUGCAAGAUCGAUCUACGGAUCACGGGGUCGCGCCCCAACGUGAGACGAUGAUUGUCACGCCGGAUAUACCAAAAGAAAAUCCGGUCGGGCCGAAUACAGCAGACAAGACUCGUAUGAACUGCGUCGUGAUAUAGCCUAGCACAGAGGCGCCACACACCCCCUAUGCUUCACUGAUGAAGUAAUGGAUCACGAAUUCCCAGAGGGUUUUAAACCCGUAAAUAUUGAAUCAUAUGACGGUACAACAGAUCCCGCGGUAUGUAUUGAGGAUUUCCUCCUCCACAUCCACAUGGCUCGCGGUGAUGAUCUACAUGCCAUCAAGUACCUCCCACUAAAACUCAAAGGACCAGCCCAGCAUUGGCUGAAUAGCUUGCCAGCAGACUCCGUUGGCAGUUGGGAGGAUUUGGAAGAUGCAUUCCUUGACAACUUCCAGGGCACUUAUGUGCGACCACCGGAUGCUGAUGACUUGAGCCAUAUAACUCAGCAGCCAGGGGAAUCGGCCAGGCAAUUCUGGACCCGGUUCUUAACUAAGAAAAACCAAAUUGUCGACUGUCCGGAUGCAGAGGCCUUAGCGGCAUUCAAGCAUAACAUCCGUGAUGAGUGGCUCGCCCGGCACCUCGGCCAGGAGAAGCCGAAGUCUAUGGCAGCCCUCACGACACUCAUGACCCGCUUUUGCGUGGGCGAGGAUAGCUGGCUGGCUCGCAGCAACAACACAUCAAGGAAUCCGGGCACUUCAGAUACCAAAGAUAAUAACGGCAGACCAUGUCGUAACAGACAUAAGCGCCGCAACAACGGUGAUAACACCGAAGAUACGGCAGUCAAUGCCGGAUUUAGUGGCUCUAAACCCGGUCAACGGAAAAAAGCCAUUCAAAAGAAGUACUCCGGGCCCGUCCAGUUUGGACCGCAUACUCGAUCGCUCGUGUCAAAUCCACGGCACCCCCGAUAAGCCAGCCAAUCACACCAACAGAGAAUGCUGGGUGUUCAAGCAGGCCGACAAGUUGAAUGCCGAAAACAAGGACAAGGGGCUGCAUAGCGAUGACGAGGAGGAGCCCCGGCCGCCAAACACAGGAGGACAGAAGAGGUUCCCUCUACAAGUGAAAACGGUGAACAUGAUAUACGCAACCCACAUUCCCAAGAGGGAAAGGAAACGUGCACUAAGGGACAUCCAUGCGAUGGAGCCAGUCGCCACAAAGUUCAACCCAUGGUCCUCUUGUCCGAUCACCUUCGAUCGAAGGGACCACCCCACUAGUAUUCGUCAUGGCGGAUCUGCCGCAUUGGUCCUUGACCCCAUCAUCGACGGAUUUCACCUCACCCGAGUCCUUAUGGACGGCGACAGCAACCUGAACCUGCUCUAUCAAGAUACAGUGCGCAAAAUGGGUAUAGACCCCUCGAGGAUCAAACCCACUAAACCCACCUUUAAAGGUGUCAUCCCAGGUGUAGAGGCCCAUUGCACGGGAUCAAUCACACUAGAAGUAGUCUUCGGAUCUCCGGACAACUUCCGAAGCGAGGAGUUAAUCUUUGAUAUCAUCCCAGGUGUAGAGGCCCAUUGCACAGCUGAGGCACAAAGCAGCCUUCCAAGGCAAACCGCCAAUUCAGCGAUAAAACCGCCGGACACCUUCAAGCGAGUCCGGAGCAACCUGCAACAGGACCGCCUGGCACGUUCAGAGCUUGCCUAGCAAUUCGGCCCCCGUCCUAGUCUCAGUCAAGCGACGGAAUAUGUGCCGCGUGUACAUAAUUACGCACUAAAAAUACCAUGGGCAUAGGCGGGGGCACGACCAGGGCACGUCCCACAAUGCGGCUCAACCACCCCAGGGGUUGUAUACCUUUAUCAUUUCUUCUCUUUCAGGACAUUACUCUCUGGAAGCCCUUUCCAGCAGUCCGAUUGCUGGACACAUUAUGGGAAGGAACACCCAAGGAGGCAAGAAGCUAAGAUGUACAAGGGAAUCCUCAGGUGGUCUCUGAUAACAAUCGAAGUACCCAUUUUUAAUACCCAUACGCAGCUUACCCAUGGACAGGACAUGUCAAAUAGUCCUAUUUUUUGCUUAUUGCACUACUUGUAUCAGUACGCUUCAACGUAUUAUUUAAAUAACAAUGCAUAGCAUUAGUCUAUUAUUGCAUUACCCUUCCUUUUUCUUGUCUAUUUUAUUUACGACAACUUGCACCUGUACAUUCUGGUACGACCAGUACGCCAGGGGCUUCAGUAUACCCCAUAAUACGGCGUAAGAAGUCCGAACACUUUCGACAGUGCGGCACCCCGAACUUAUAGCAUUAUAUGCAUCAGCUCCGAAUCAUGUCUUGGGUCAAUAGUUGGGUUUGCCCGGCUCCCAUGUUUUGGUACCUUACGUUCCGCAAUAUCGGCUAAGGUAGCGCUGGGAGAACUACUGCGAUUGUGUCCCGGUUCUUCCGGACAAGCACCUCAGUAGAGAAAGCCGAAAACUGACUGUCAUGAUAAGGCGAGAGCUGGUCGCUGUUCGAGAGGUCUCAAGUCCUUAAAGACUUUUUCCGCUUCGGGCGAGGAGUCGGCCUUGCCCGACUUAGGCGUAUAUAGCGCACCAAAUUCGGCCUUCCGAAUACUAGGGGCUUCGCCAAAAUUUAAAAUUGUAGACUUCUAUGGCUAAGUGAGAGUGAUAAAGCCUUAUAGUCCGAUUGCCUGGUUCGUUGUGCUGAACACCUCCCUCGAAGGACCCAAAAUUGGGAUAAAGAGUGCUCAGGUUUAUCCCGAACACCUCAGUACUAGUUACAUGGGGGCAGAAGGCGACGAAUGGCCAAUUCUCAGAUUUUAUAAACGGCCGCACAAAAGGUAAUAUUUUAAAUUAACAAGCGUUGCAUAGCGCAAAUGAACUCGUUUCACAUUACCGGAUCACAUGAGUACGUUCAUUCAAAUAUUACAUGUUUAGCACAUUCCUCCGCCACAAGGCGGGAACUCUUCAGGACACUGUCAUUUCGGGGUGGCGAUGCUCCUUGCCUUCCGGCGACCCCUCCUUCACCAGCUUUACAGCGUCCAGCUUCGCCCAGUGCACCUUCGCCCGGGCAAAGGCCCUGCAUGCACCCUCGAUGCAGACGGACCGCUUUAUGACUUCAAGCCAUGGGCAGGCAUUCACAAGCCGCCUCACCAGACCGAAGUAGCUGUCAGGCAGGGGAUCGCCAGGCCACAUCCGGACUAUAAGACCCUUCAUGGCCUGUUCGGCCGCCUUGUGGAGCUCGACCAGUUGCUUCAGCUGGUCGCUCAAGGGCAUUGGGUGUUCGGUCCCAGUAUACUGAGACCAGAACAACUUCUCCGUCGAGCUUCGCUCCUCAGCCCGGUAAAACUCCGCGGCAUCCAACACACUGCGGGGAAGAUCUGCGAAUACUCCUGGAGAGCUCCGAACUCGGGUAAGUAAAAGGAAAGUUUCCUUCACAUGCUUGCUUUGCAUAAUGAAUUCUUUACCCGCUGCUAUCUUCUUAACCGCCUCGAUCUCCUGGAGGGCCUUGUGGGCUUCCGCCUUGGCGUUUUGUGCGCUUUCGAGGGCCUUCGCAAGCUCGGACUCUCGUGUCUUAGAGUCAAGCUCCAAGGACUCGUGUUUUCUGGCGAGAGCCUCGAGCUCUUGCUGUACCUCGCCUACCCGAGCUUCUUGCUUUUCUUGCUCGAUGCGCUCCUUGGCCGCUUUGUCUUCGGCCUCGGACAGCGCCUUCUUCAGGGUCGCCACUUCGGUCGUGGCCUCUGGCAAAUUCAUGAUGAUCCUAUUAUUUUACAACUAAAUUUCUUUUUAAUAUAUAGACAUGGUAUCGCUUACCUUUGUUCUCUUCGAACUGCCUCUUGGUAAGGCCGAGCUCUUCCUUGGACCGCUCAAGGUCCUGCUUCAGUGCAGCGACCUCCGCAGUACGUGUGGCAGCGGCCCGCAGUGAAGCCUGCAUAUGCACAUAGACAUAUUCUGAUUAGACUCCUGAGUCAUUAUUUGAUCCUCUAUUCGGCCUUUCUUCACGAACGCCAAACAGAGCAUCAGGGGCUACUGUCUAUCCAGUAAUAUUUUCCUAUAAUUUAGUUACUUACCUGAAAACCUGUUAGGAGGCUGGCACAAGCUUCAGUUAGUCUGCUUUUGGUGGACUGAACCUUCUCGAUAACCGUACUCAUGAUAGUGCGGUGCUCUUCAUCGAUUGAAGCACCGCGAAGCGCUUCCAGCAAGUUGUCCGGUGUCUCUGGAUGGACAGAGGCCACCGGCACGGGCGGCUUGCCCCUCUUAACGGGGGGUCGCCUGACAGAGUCCGGAACCACUGGAGGUUCCAGCGCAGUGUUCGGCUGGAGGCCGAAUUCGGAGCCCAUGGGAGUCUUUCUCCCUUUGCGCCCAGGGUCCGGAAUGUCGCCUCGCGGCGCCUCCAGGACUACCUCCCCUCGGCUCGGUGCCCUUUGAGACAACACCUCGGCGUUGUCCGUAGGGAGAGGGGUGGAGGUGGUCGGAAGUGAAUCGCUAUUCAUAUCCGACGGGUCCAAAGAACCAUCUGACGAAGAUACGUCGAUAUGGGCUCGGGAGGACUGCAUAAUCAUGUUCGGCGUGAUGAGAAGCAGUACAAUAAAACAUACCAUGAAUUGCUAUGGUAUCCGGAUACUUACGACUUCGCUAGGGGCUUGUCCCUGGGCAACCACUCGUCGUCGCUGUAAGAGGCCGUCGUGGAGCAGUCCGGAAGGAGGGUCCUUCCCUUCUUGGACCCUUCGGCCUCCCCGGUUGGGGCGGCUUUCCUUUUCUUGUCUCCCCCGGCUGGGGGGGGAGAACUUUCCUCUUCCUCCUCCUCGUUUUCAUGGGAGGAGUGCGCCUCAGAGUUUUCGGACGAUGAGUCCGAUAUAACCUUGCGCCAGAGACCCUUUCGGGUCCCCGUGGCCUUCUUCUUGGCCUUCUUCACCGGCACCUUGUAAGGCGCCGGAAUUAGCAUCUCCGUUAGGAGAGCAUCUGCAGGAUCUUCAGGCAGGGGGGCUGGGCAAUCGAUCUGCUCCGCUAUCUCUACCCAGUCCUGUUAGAUGGCACGGAGGCUUAGACCCCGCACAUGAUUAAACUGGGGAAAAUAAACAUCCUGUGAGAUAUAAAAAAGUUACCGGAUUGGCAUGGCGCUUUGCGCUGAGUCCGCGGUCCUCGGUAAGGGGAGGAGGUACCUCGUCACCCUUGAAAAGCACCUUCCAGACAUCCUUGUGCGUCGUGUCGAAGAGCUCUCGCAGCGUCUGGUGCUUGGCCGGGUCAAACUCCCACAAACUGAAUGCCCGUCGUUGACACCGGAGGAUCCGGCGGAAGAGCAUGACCUGGACCACGUUGACAAGCUUGAUUUUCUUGCUCAUCAUGUUUCUGAUGCAUUUCUGGAGUCCAGUCAGCUCCACCAAUGAACCCCAGGACAGGCCCUUCUCUUUCCAGGAGGUGAGCCACGUGGGGAUUCCGGAUUGGAAUUCGGGGGCCGCCACCCAGUUGGUGUUGCGCGGCUCGGUGAUGUAGAACCACCCCGAUUGCCACCCCUUUAUGGUCUCCACAUAGGAGCCUUUGCGCCAGGUGACAUUAGGCAUUUUGCCCACCAUGGCGCCUCCACACUCCGCUUGCUGGCCGACCACCACCUUCGGUUUAACAUUGAAGGUCUUCAGCCACAGGCCGAAGUGGGGCCUGAUGCGGAGGAAGGCCUCGCACACGACGAUAAACGCCGAGAUGUUGAGGAUGAAAUUGGGGGCCAGAUCGUGAAAAUCCAGCCCGUAGUAGAACAUGAGCCCGCGGACAAAUGGGUGGAAGGAAAAUCCCAGUCCGCGGACAAAGUGGGUAAGGAAAACCACACUCUCAUGGGGUUCGGGAGUAGGGAUGAUCUGCCCCGCAUCUGGCAGCCGGUGUGCGAUGUCCGCGGACAAAUAUCCGGCUCCCCGUAGCUUUGUGAUGUUCUCCUCCGUGACGGAGGAGACCAUCCACUUGCCUCCCACUCCAGACAUGCUUGGAGUGGCUUGAGGGGAAAAACGCGAACUUGGGUGCUGGAGCUCGAGUGCGCAAGAAUGGAUGAGCAAGGACGAAGAAGGCGUGGGUAAAAAGAGGAAUCCUUGUCCCUUUAUAGGGGCGGAGGAAACUAUAUGCCUCCCCACCUGCCCAGUAAAACUCGCUUAUUCCCCAAGCGCCGUAAUUGAUGGCGCGGUUGGAUUACCCACAUCCGUAUUGAUGAGAAUCCCGUGAUAAGGGGACACGAUCUCUGCUUCGACAAGACGUGCCAAGAAAACCGCCUCGCAAUACGUGCAGUAGCUGCUUGAGAAAAACGGUUCGAAUAAUGACCGGGCCAUGGUAUGAUGUCAUGCUACCAAACGUGUUAGUAGAUUAGAUUUGUGGAAAUAUUAUUCUCUCUACGGUGGUAUGUGGAACUUGUUCAAGAUCUUCUAUGGAGUAUUCGGAGGAAGAACCCGCCUUGCAAUUCUGAAGACAAAUCUGCGUGCCGCACUCAUCGUCAUUGAAGCCUGGUCCAGGGGCUACUGAGGGAGUCCUGGAUUAGGGGGUCCUCGGAUGGCCGGACUAUAUACUUUAGUCGGGCUGUUGGACUAUGAAAAUACAAGAUUGAAGACUUCGUCCCGUGUCCGGAUGGGACUCUCCUUAGCGUGGAAGGCAAGCUUGGCAAUACGGAUAUGUAGAUCUCCUCCCUUGUAACCGACUCUGUGUAACCCUAGCCCCCUCCGGUGUCUAUAUAAACCGGAGGGUUUAGUCCAUAGGACAAGAACAAUCAUACCAUAGGCUAGCUUCUAGGGUUUUAGCCUCUACGAUCUCGUGGUAGAUCAACUCUUGUAAUACUCGUAUCAUCAAGAUCAAUCAAGCAGGAAGUAGGGUAUUACCUCCAUCGAGAGGGCCCGAACCUGGAUAAACAUCGUGUCCCCCGCCUCCUGUUACCAUCCGCCUUAGACGCAUAGUUCGGGACCCCCUACCCGAGAUCCACCGGUUUUGACACCGACAAUAUGUGCCUGUGCCCAUCUUUGAGUUGAUGAGCUCCUGAAUGUGCGGGGCAUACCCACAACUUCUCUUCUGGUCAGCAGCAGUCCUCUUGAUUGUCUCAACAAUCAGGCUCAUAACUUUGAACUUCUGUGGGACAUCAAAUAUAUGCAGCAAGUUGAUGGCAUGUCCUCUGAUCAUCUUGUGAUCACCUGACUUGGGUAGCAGUGUGUGCCUUAAGAUCCAGUUUAUGGUUGGCAGACCAGACAACAAGUAAUGGACAGAUCCAAACCUAUGUGUAUCCAAGGCAGCAUCUGGGAUCUCUUUGUACAUGUUGGCCAUAGUGUUGUGGUCUUUCUUCUUCUCUGCAUAAAUAUCCAAGUCAUCCUCAUGUUCCUUAGGAGCAUUUAUAAGCUUGGCCCAUUCCUCAACUGUAGACUGGUACCUAGUACCCUCAGACAUCCAUACUAUCCUUCCAUCUAGAUAGAAGUGUGAAGUGGAGUAAAACUGCAUGAUGAGCUCAUCAUUCCACUUGGUGAGCUUCUAGGCAAAAAAAGUGUCCACUCCACAUGCCUUGAAGCUAUCAAGCACACCAGGGAAGUGAUCCUCAUUUUCCUUGAUGAAUUCCCAGUCAACCCAUCUCAUAUCACACACAAUGGGCUUCUUGUCAAGCAGAAUAGUCUCAGAAGUCCUGCUGUUCCUUAGUGUGAAAUCUGUAGUCCACAGCAGGCCUUCUCCUGAUAGCAUAUGGAUCAGACUGUCUCCAUAGUCUCAAUCAUGCAUCCUUCCUGAUCUUCAUGUUCUCUGCAAUUGGGUGUGCAUCAGUGUGGUCAGGGAUCUUGGGUUUCAGCUUCCUCAAUACAACAGAAUCAUCUUCUUCUUCUUCAGCAGCUUGAGGCAUUGGGGCCUUGUUCUUCUCUUCUGCAGGGAUGUUCCUAGUGCUUCUCUUGGUUUUUGGCUUUGGAGCUGGAGCAGCAGCCUUGGGAGCAGCUUUGGGCUUAGAUGGAGCAGCCCCUGAUUUGAUUGCAUCUCCCAUGAGCUUCUGAGCUUUGGGUGCUAGUGCAGCAUCCUCUUCCUCUUCUUCUUCAGAAGGUUCUUGCAUCAUGGAGGGCUUUCCAAUGACUCUGGCCAUGGUUUUCUUAACCCUCUCCUUUCUCUUCUUCCCUUUUUCAGCUUCUUCAGCAGCUGAUUUUGAAGCUUCAGUAGUUGAUGAUCUGACUUUUGACAUGGGCUGUCUUCUUGCUGGCAUCUUUGUUUUCAUUCCUGGCUUAGUUGCAGCAGCUGAGCCAUAUUCUUUCUUAAGCACCUUCUUCUUUGAAGUGGCUUCAUCAUCAACAGCCACAUAAUCUUCAUCCUCAGAGUCAGAAGUUCUCUUCUUCCUUAUCCUGGUAGCAACCUUUGGCAGAUUGCUUGGAGUGCUCCUGCUGCCUUCAUCAUAGCUACUAGAGGGAUCUGAGCCCUCACUCAUCUGCACCUGUUGCUCAGACCUGUUCUGACUAUCACUCUGGUCAGACAUCUCUGCAAAUACUCUGAUAGCAGACCCUGUGAAUAGGUUAUAGAUGAGGUAGAGUAGAUGAGCAUCACAAAGUACAGGAGUUUUGCAAAAAGGAUGACUUAAAAACUUAGUUUUAGUUCUUCACAGAAAGCAUUUCGGAGCUACCGAUUUGUAAACUCGGUGAUACCGAAGCAGCUUUUGGAACCUAUACUAGUGAACUCGGUUAGACCGAGUCACAGUUCGGUGGUACCGAGACUGCUACGGUUUCACAGAGAAUCAAACUCGGUCACACCGAUUUGCAAUUUUCGGUCAGACCGAAAACGCAUGUGCUCUGGCCUAAGCCAAAAUCGGUGAGACCGAUUUCUACAAAUCGGUCGGUCUGAGAUGAAUUCGGCGGAGACCUAACCCUAAAUUUUCAAAUCAAAACUAAUCUACGGGAUGUUUUCGCUGGACAGGAUGAUCUCAAUCGUGGCAAGAAUCAUGGCAAAGCAAUGUGCUAAGAAUCGGAGAUAAGGAUUAGCACAAAGUUCAAGUCCGUACCCUAGUUCGGCGACGAACCUGCUACGGCGGCAAUGGCGGUGAAGAUUGCCGUUGACGGCGGCGGAGACCAGUGGCGGGAGGUCGCUAGCGACAAGAGGACGAUCCGGACACCCAAGGAGGCAGAGCAGGUUACGCGCGGGCUAGGAGGUUCGGAAAAAUUUCCAAAAUUUGGCCCGUCGGUAUAUAUAACCUGACCCUGUCGGUGUGACUGAGUGGAACGUCUCGGUGGCACCGAGAUGCAAAACUGCAAGCAGUUACUGCAACUCAGUGUGACCGAAAGGUUCUAAUCGGUUGCACCGAGAUUGAAAACCCUAGAUCAACUUAGUGACUCGAUAGGACCAAAGGGGAUGAAUCGGUCAGACCGAGAUGCACAAAGAGGUUUUGGAGAUUUAAGUCUAUGACGAAUCGGGAACUCUGAGUGCUCCUCACACAGAGUGGUUCGAAUCUGACUUGAUCAAACUUUGUGAUGUAGCAUGAAUAGAGUUUGAGACGAGAAAAGCAUAGAUAGCUAGAGGGAGUUCUUAGGCAUUCUUGUCCAUCCAUUUGGCAAAAGAUAAAGAGCCAAACAAUCAAAACAACAAAUGGAUGUCCUCGAAUGAGUAAAAUAUGCAUUCAACAUGCUCACACAAUAAAAUGGCAAAUGAAAUAUGUGACAAAGCAUGCGCAAACACUCUAGCAUCUAUCAAGCAAUUAGGCGAUGACUAGGUCAUCUAUAUAUGAGUAUAUUUACUUAGGAGUCAAAUGAGAACAUUUGAUCAUAGGUCAUACUUAUCGUUUAAGCACAAGUGGGGUUACCACUUUUACAUAAAGCAUUGUUGUGUUCACACCAUUAGAGUUGCUUUAGCUCAAUUUAUUAGAGUAAAGCUCCCCCUAGAUGUGAUAUCCCCCCCUAAGAGGGAUGAACUAACCUUGGGUUUUGUCGAUGAUGACUUCAUGUAGGUGUUGAAGAUGUAGAUGCUCAAUGUUGAUGUAGAUCAUUCGGAGCAAUCCUUUGGAGUGAGUUGAACUUUCAAUACCUGCACGGGUUAGUCCCACAAGGAACAAACAAGAAUAUCCAUAGACAUAGAGUGAUGCAUACACAAGAUGAUGUCCAUGAAAGCAUUAGGUUUCCUUGUCCCUUGUCUCACCAACAAGAGGGUUUGUGACUCCUUGAACUAGUGCAAGAUACGGAAGUUGUUUGCACUUGUCCUCGCCAAAAUGAUAAGAGUGAAGUAUGUUGGCGGAGUCACCCUCAAGAACUCUCUAGUCCUUCUUCUUCUGGAUCCACACCAUCUUGAUGGGAAUCCUUGGAGUUGUAGUUGUACUUGAUGAAGUAGAACUUGAUGUAGUCUUGGGAACCCACUUGACCAAGGCCUUAGGUGCUUCUUCAAAUGCAUCAAUUUCCUCUUGAAGCUUGUCCUUGCCUUUUUGCUUGUGGUCUUGUGCUGGAAGAUCAUCUUGAGCUUGUGUCCCUUUGAAAGAAGUAGGAUCAUACUUCUCGUGUUGAGGAACAAACUUUGUCUUGGGGUAUUGAUCUUCUUCCCACUCAACUCCAUUGGCAUUGAACUUUCGUUCAAAACCAACACCUUGAUUCUUCCGGUGUCUUCCUUGCUUGCGCACAAUUUCCUCAAAUUUCUUACUUCCGGCAAGGCUCUUGUAAACACCUUUCUCUAUAAUUCCCUUCAAUAAGCUAUUUUCUUGCUCAAGUGUAACUUGGCUAACAACAUUGGAUUUAGCAUGAUUGUUGUUACUACUAGAUGAAGCAUCUUUCUUGUUCUUGUUGCUAGAUUUAACUUGUGGCAUGUAAGUAGACAAGAGUAAACGCUUGGCAAUGUAAGAAGAACUUUUCUUGCGAAGAUCAUCAUUGAGUGCCUUUAAAAACUCAUGCUCUUGCUCAAGGUUGAGCUUUUCAAAGCGUAGCUUAUCAUGAGUCUUUAAAAGUUCUCGAUGAUUUUCCAAGGUAGUUUCAUGAGCUAACUUAAGAGUGUUUAGUUCUUUAGUUAGUUGCUCAAUCUCCUUCUUAUCAUCGUCAUUCGUUUUAUCUUGAUUAGCAUGAUCAAUUGACGUUUCAUCAUAGUCUUCAUCACUAGAGCUGUCAACAAGGAAAUCAUCAUCACCUAGCAAAUCAUCUUCAUCACUAUUGAAAUCAACAUACUCGGGAUGUGUUACCUUUGGACCUUUGGCCAUGAAGCAUCUUCCAAUUCCUUCAUUUGGUGAGUCAAAUAUGUCAUAGGAGUUGGUUGACACAAGUGUUAGACCGGCAACACCUUCAUCUUGAGUAUAUUCGGAGUCGGAGUGAUAACUUCUUUCGGAGUGAUGGUUGGAGUCGGAGCCGGAUACCCAUUCACCAACAUGAGCUUGAUGUCUUCUUUUUGUGUAGCUCCUUGAUGACUUUUCCUUCCUUUCUGAAUCCUUGCUUCUCCGAGAGGGUCUACUCCUCCUUUCUCUUGGUGGUGAUUCUUCUCUUCUACUUCUUCUUUUGGGAGAAUCUUCCCUUCUUUUGUAGGGGGUCGUACACUCAUUGGAGUAGUGUCCGGGUCUUCCACAAUUGUAGCAAUUUCGCUCACGACUAGAAGAUCUUUUGUCAUUGUAGGACCUUGACUUGGAACUUCUUUCUUUGCUUCUACUCUUGUAGAACUUGUUGAAGUUCUUUACCAUUAGGCUCAAUUCUUCAUUUAAGGUCUGUUUCUCACUUGAUGAUGUGGGAGCAUCACACGAGGCUUUGUAAGCACCACUAGACUUGUUGUGAAGCUCUUCCUUAUCCUUGAGUGACAUCUCAUGAGCAACAAUUCUUCCAAUGACUUCCGUUCGCUUGAGAUCUUUGUAAUUGGGCAUCAUUUGGAUCAAUGUGCACACGGUAUCAUAUUUUCCAUCCAAGGCUCUUAGGAUCUUCUUGAUGAUGAAUUUGUUGGUCAUCUCUUCACUUCCUAAGCCGGCAAUCUCAUUUGUGAUGAGAGCAAGCCUAGAGUACAUUUCAGCGGCACCUUCACCAUCCUUCAUUUUGAACUUGUCAAGUUGACUUUGAAGCACAUCCAAUUUGGAUUCCUUGACGGAGUCGGUACCUUCGUGCAUAUCAAUCAAUGUAUCCCAAAUUUCCUUUGCAUUCUCAAGAUGGCUGAUUUUUUUGAAUUCUUCGGGGCCCAAUCCGUUGAAGAGAAUAUCACAAGCUUGAGCAUUGUAUUGUAGCAUCUUCAACUCUUCUGCGGUAGCUUCACGGUUAGGUUCUUUCCCAUCAAAUAAUUCACCUUGCAAGCCAAUACACACAAUAGCCCAAACGGCAGGGUUAUGUCAAAGAAUAUGCAUUUUCAUCUUAUGCUUCCAACUAGCAAAAUUUGUACCAUCAAAGUAAGGACCUCUAUGGUGGUAAUUUCCCUCGCUAGACGCCAUACUCUCCUAGGUUGUGAAACCAAGGCUAUGACCACCAAAAGCUAUGGAAAUCAAAGCAAAUGGAGACCAAUGCUCUGAUACCACUUGUAGGAUCGAAAGUAUGUCUAGAGGGGGGUGAUUAGACUACUUGACCAAAUAAAAAUCUAGCCUUUUCCCAAUUUUAGUUCUUGGCUGAUUUUAGCAACUUAGCACAAGUCAAGCAAUCAACCUACACAUGCAAUUCUAAGAGUAUAGCAGCGGAAUGUAAAACAAUUGCAUAUGAAGGUAAAGGGAAGAGUUUGAGGGAGCAAACGCAAUGUUGACACGGAGAUUUUUUAUCCGUGGUUCCGAUAGGUGGUGCUAUCGUACAUCCACGUUGAUGGAGACUUCAACCCACGAAGGGUAACGGUUGCGCGAGUCCACGGAGGGCUCCACCCACGAAGGGUCCACGAAGAAGCAACCUUGUCUAUCCCACCAUGGUCGUCGCCCACGAAGGACUUGCCUCACUAGGGUAGAUCUUCACGAAGUAGGCGAUCUCCUUGCCCUUACAAACUCCUUGGUUCAACUCCACAAUCUUGACGGAGGCUACCAAGUGACACCUAGCCAAUCUAGGAGACACCACUCUCCAAGAAGUAACAAAUGGUGUGUUGAUGAUGAACUCCUUGCUCUUGUGCUUCAAAUGAUAGUCUCCCCAACACUGAACUCUCUCUCAUAGGAUUGGAUUUGGAAGAAAGAAGAUUUGAGUGAAAAGCAACUUGGGGAAGGCUAGAGAUCAAGAUUUAUGUGGUUGGAAUGGAAUAUCUUGACCUCAACACAAGUGUAGGUGGUUCUCUCUCAGAAAAUAUGUAUUGGAAGUGUAGGCAUGUUCUGAUGGCUCUCUCCACGAAUGAAGAGUGGGUGGAGGGGUAUAUAUAGCCUCCACACAAAAUCUAACCGUUACACAUAAAUCACCAAACUCGGUGAGACCGAUUCAAAGAACUCGGUCAGACCGAUUUGGUUCAUAAUGUGACCGUUAGGCAUUUCGGUGGGACCGACAUGUCAACUCGAUGGGACCGAUAUCAUUAGUGUUAGGGCAUAACAUAAUCUCGGUGAGACCAAUUACACAAACUCGUUGAGACCGAUUUUGGUAAUAGACAAACAGAGAGUUGGUCAGGCAAACUCGGUGGUACCGCGCUCAUCUCGGUUGGACCAAAACGUUACGAAAGGGAAACAGAGAGCUUGCAUUGCAAUCUCAGUGGGACCGAUUGCUCAUUUCGGUUUGACCGAAACGUUACGAAGGGAAACAGAGAGAUUACAAUCCCAUCUCGGUUAGACCGAGAUCCCUAUCGGGAGACCGAAAAGACUAGGGUUUCUGGCAGUGGCUAUGUCAACUGAACUCGGUGCCUCCGGAUAGAAAGAAUCGGUGGGGCCGAGUUGGACUUAUGGUUUGGGACAUAUGUUGAUAUGAGAAAGUAGUGGAGGGUUUUGGAGCAUAUCACUAAGCAUUUUGAGCAAGAACCUCAUUAAGCAACACCUCAUCCCUUCUUAAUAGUAUUGGCUUUUCCUAUAGACUCAAUGUGAUCUUGGAUCAUUAAAAUAGAAAAUGUAGAGUCUUGUGCUUUGAGCUUGAGCCAAUCUUUUGUCCUUAGCAUUUUGAAGGGUCCACUUUCUAAUCCAUGCCAUGCCAAUCAUUGAGCUUUCCUGGAAUAUUUAUCUUGGAAUAGCAUUAGCUCAAUGAGCUAUAUGUUGUUAGGAAUUACCAAAACCACCCAGGGAUAGUUGCACUUUCAAUCUCUCAAAUUUUUCUUUGAGCUCUGGCACCUCUACAAAUCCCUACUUCCCUCUGCGUAGGGCCUUUCUUUUACUUUAUGCAAUUUUUAUUUUCAAUUUGAGUCUCCAUCUUCUCUUAUAUAGCACCAACUAGGAGGCACUAUGGUCGUACUUGAGCAUUCGGUGUAGCUAAUAUGGGAGUGUGUUUCAUGAAUGGAUCGAUGAUUGAGCAUGAUGGGCUAGGGAUAACUUAUUUUAGCAUUGAUAUUUUGAAAGACAUGGUUGCUUGUUGAUAUGCUUGAGUAUUUAAGUCUCAUGUCAAAACUAGACUAUUGCUUUGAACCAUAUAAAAGUCCAAAUGUCCAUGCUAUAAAGAAAAGAAUAUGAUAUGACAUGUUAGGCAGCAUUCCACAUCAAAAAUUCCGUUUUUAUCAUUUACCUACUCGAGGACGAGCAUGAAUUAAGCUUGGGGAUGCUGAUACGUCUCCAACGUAUCUAUAAUUUUUUAUUGUUCCAUGCUGUUAUAUUAUCAUUCUUGGAUGUUUUACAAUCAUUUUAUAGUCAUUUUAUAUCAUUUUUUGGUACUAACCUAUUGACCUAGUGCCAAGUGCUAGUUGUUGUUUUCUGCAUGUUUUUUACAUCACAGGAAAUCAAUACCAACGGAGUCCAAACGCAGUGAAACUUUUUGUGGAUUUUUUGGACCAGAAGACAUCCAGUGGGCCGGAGAAGCACGUGGGGGGUUCUCCGAGGGGAGCACAACCCACCAUGGCGCCCCUAGGGACCCAGGCGCGCCCAGGUGGGUUGUGCCCCCCUCGGGUGCCCCCUGAACCGCCUCUUUGCUCUAUAAAUACCCCAAUAUUCCAGAAACCCUAGGGGAGUCGACGAAAAUCAAUUCCAGCCGCCGCAGAGUACAGAACCACCAGAUCCAAUCUAGACACCAUCACGGAGGGGUGCAUCAUGUCCAUUGGUGCCUCUCCGGUGAUGCGUGAGUAGUUCUUUGUAGACCUACGGGUCCGUAGUUAGUAGCUAGAUGGCUUCCUCUCUCUCGUUAGAUUCUCAAUAUAAUGGUCUCUUGGAGAUCCAUAUGAUGUAACUCUUUUUGCGGUGUGUUUGUUGGGAUCCGAUGAACUUUGAGUUUAUGAUUAGAUCUAUCUUUUUAUCCAUGAAAGUUAUUUGAGUCUUCUUUGAUCUCUUAUAUACAUGAUUGCUUAUAGCCUCAUAUUUCUUCUCCGAUAUUUGGGUUUUGUUUGGCCAACUUGAUCUAUUUAUCUUGCAAUGGCAAGAGGUGCUUUGUAGUGGGUUCGAUCUUACGGUGCUUGAUCCCAGUGACAGAAGGGGAACCGACACGUAUGUAUCGUUGCUACUAAGGAUAAAAUGAUGGGGUAUAUUUCUACAUAAAUAGAUCUUGUCUACAUCAUGUCAUCGUUCUUAUUGCAUUACUCCAUUUUUCCAUGAACUUAAUACACUAGAUGCAUGUUGGAUAGCGGUUGAUGUGUGGAGUAAUAGUAGUAGAUGCAGGCAGGAGUCGGUCUACUAAUCUUGGACGUGAUGCCUAUAUAAUGAUCAUUGCUUGGAUAUCGUCAUGAUUAUUUGAAGUUCUAUCAAUUUCCCAACAGUAAUUUGUUCACCCACCGUUUGCUAUUUUCUCGAGAGAAGCCACUAGUGAAAUCUACGGCCCCCGAGUCUCUUCUUUAUUAUAUUUGCCUUUGUGAUCUAUUUUCUUUUGCUUUUAUUUUCAGAUCUAUUAAACCAAAAAUACAAAAAUACCUUGCUGCACUUUAUUUUAUUUGGUGUUCGAUCUAUCAAUGUUUACAACUCUCUCACGUCCGUUUGCCUAUCUUUGGCGCCGUUGCUCGAAAGGGAUUGACAACCCCUUUAACACGUCGGGUUGCGAGUAUUUGUUAUUUGUGUGCAAGUGUCAUUGACGUAGUGUUGCAUGAUUCUCCUACUGGUUCGAUAAGCUUGGUCUCAUCACUGAGGGAAAUACCUACCGUUGUUGUGCUGCAUCAUCAAUUCCUCUUUGGGGAAAUACCGACGUAGUUCAAGCCAACAUCAAGGACACACCAAAGCUUCCAGGGUUUCCUGUCCAGACACGGAGUCACCUUAUAGCUCGGCCUUGCAGUAGUCGUACAGCAUCCCACCUGUCUGGCCCAUAAGAGAAAGGCCGGCUGCCCGAGGACCCCCUAGUCCAGGACUCCCUCAGGCGCCGCACCGAAGCCAGAGGAGGUGGCUUUCCCGGCCUUCUUCCUCUUCUCCGCCUUGGCCGUGGAAUCUCUCGCAAAAAACAUCGCUGCGGGUGCUCUGAACGCUCGAGCCUGGAGAGGAAUGGAGAGGCCGAGGCAGAUAGAAGGGGAUAUAGGGUCCCGACCUCAGCCCCUAAACCUUUUAUAUCACGGAGCAAAUCAUAUGCCAGAUCUUGUCCAUAGAUCCCCGGAUCGACAGCGCGCGGCAAGGCAUCGCGCAGAACAGACGCUGCACGUGGCAGAUUUUGUGCACGAAAAUCAAGGAGCCGUGCCCCCACUUUCCCCACUAAUGCACGUCGUUACCACUUCUGCGCGCGCACACACAAAUUCAAAUCCCAAGAUUUUCGGGCGAAUCAAUCCGAUUGAUUACCCCCGGUUCCUUUCCUAAACGAUGCAUGUCAGUCCAACUGACCACCCUCCAAGGGGAUUCGUGCACUCGGCCAUGCUAAACACCUGAUUGAAGUAAACUUUAGGAUUGCUAUAAGACGAGCUCGACGCCCCUCCGCGGGUUGACUUGGCCCUUCAACAGGCUCCAAGGCGCAUGACUCGUAAACCUGGACUCGUAGAAGGCCAGCGCUGGCGUUCCCCUGGGAUAAGGAGUGGCAUCUCUCCAGAGAAUCAGGCCUCGCGCCAGCGUCGCCGCUCGAGUUGUUAUGGCAUGCUCUCACUCGGGCCUCAAGUCUAUCUCCCCCGGGAGACAAAUGAAUGCCACCAGGUUUUUCUCGGCGAUCGACAACACCCGGUUAUCUGGGAAAACUUGUAGUCCAGAAUCCAUUGUGUUUUCAUCCAAGGAGCAGCGAACCACGACUCGAAAACAUAUUCCGAGUGCCCUAGAAGCACUCAGACUUAAACAAAGGAUCGGUUCGUUUACCCUAUGAAACCUGAACCGACUCGGGGGCUAAUGAUGAGGUCACCUAUUACAGGUAGGGUCAAGGACCCAUCAUAUGGGACCCACAUGGGGCCCAUCACCACCAUUGGUAGGUCCUAGGACCAUGCCGGCAUUCAGAUGCACAUAUCAGGGAGUCCACUCGGACAGCUCGACAGCACUCGGACAACCACCCGUCACUCGGCUGGACAACCACCACUCAGACUAAAGAGGUGAAGGGACGGCGUGGGAGCUGCAACGGUCGAGGAAUCCUAAGUCGCCCUUGAAGCAGAGUCAAGACUACUGUUACCUAUAACUGAUGUAGUAGAAGCUCAUAAUACCUGUAACUGAUGCAUUCAAUGUCACUUAAUUCCCCGGCGACUGAUGUCUACUAUGCAACUUUAUUCUUGUAGACUCGUGUUGGGCCUCCAAGCACAGAGUUUUGUAGGACAGUAGCAAUUUUCCCUCAAGUGGAUGACCUAAGGUUUAUCAAUCCGUGGGAGGCGUAGGAUGAAGAUGGUCUCGCUCAAGCGACCCUGCAACCAAAUACAAGAAAUCUCUUGUGUCCCCAACACACCCAAUACAAUGGCAAAUUGUAUAGGUGCACUAGUUCGGCGAAGAGAUGGUGAUAAAAGUGUAAUAUGGAUGGUAGAAAUAUAUUUUUACAAUCUGAAUAAAUAAAAACAGCAAGGUAGCAAAUAGUAAACGGGCACAAAAAUGGUAUUGCAAUGCUUAGAAACAAGGCCUAGGGUCCAUACUUUUGCUAGUGCAAUCUCUCAACAAUGCUAAUAUAAUUGGAUCAUAUAACCAUCCCUCAAAGUGCGAUGAAGAAUCAUUCCAAAGUUCCUAUCUAGCGGAGAACAUAAGAAUAAAUUUUUUGUAGGGUACGGAACCACCUCAAAGCUAUUCUUUCCGUUCGAUCUAUUCAAGAGUUCGUACUAACAUAACACAAAGCUAUUCUUUCCAUUCGAUCUAUCCUAGAGUUCGUACUAAUAUAACACCAAAGCAAAUUCAGAUUCAUAAUACUCAAUCCAACAUAAAGAACCUCAAAGAGUGCCCCAAGAUUUCUACCGGAGAAACAAAGACAAGAACGUGCAUCAACCCCUAUGUGUAGAUUACCCCAAUGUCACCUCGGGAAUCCGCGAGUUGAGUGCCAAAACAUAUAUCAAGUGAAUCAAUAUGAUACCCCAUUGUCACCACGAGUAUUCAUAUGCAAGACAUAUAUCAAGUGCUCUCAAAUCCAUAAAAGUAUUCAAUCCGAUAACAACGAAAUCUCAAAGGGAAAAACUCAAUUCAUCACAACAAGAUAGAGAGGGGAAAACACCAUAUGAUCCAACUACAUUAACAAAGCCCACGAUACAUCAAGAUCAUGCCAUAUCAAGAACACGAGAGAGAGAGAGAGAGAGAGAGAGAUUAAACACAUAGCUACUGGUACAAACCCUCAGCCCCGAGGGUGGACUACUCCCUCCUCAUCAUGGUGGCCGCCGGGAUGAUGAAGAUGGCCACCGGUGAUGAUCCCCCCUCCGGCAGGGAGCCGGAAUAGGGUCUAGAUUGGUUUCUCGUGGCUAUAGAGCCUUGCAGCGGUGGAACUUCUCAUCUAGGAUUACCCGAAGGGUUUUGGAAUAUUUGGGAAUUUAUAGGGCGAAGAGGGGGUAUGGGAGGCCACUGAGGUGGGCACAACCCACCCGGGCGCGCCUGGGCCCCCANNNNNNNNNNNNNNNNNNNNNNNNNNNNNNNNNNNNNNNNNNNNNNNNNNNNNNNNNNNNNNNNNNNNNNNNNNNNNNNNNNNNNNNNNNNNNNNNNNNNNNNNNNNNNNNNNNNNNNNNNNNNNNNNNNNNNNNNNNNNNNNNNNNNNNNNNNNNNNNNNNNNNNNNNNNNNNNNNNNNNNNNNNNNNNNNNNNNNNNNNNNNNNNNNNNNNNNNNNNNNCCAUAAAAAUCCACAAAAAGUUUUGCGGUGUUUGGACUCCGUUUGAUAUUGAUUUCCUGCGAUGUAGAAACAAGCAAAAAACAGCAACUAGCACUAGGCACUGGGUCAAUAGGUUAGUCCCAAAAAAUGAUAUAAAGUUGCUAUAAAAUGAUUGUAAAACAUCCAAGAAUGAUAAAAUAACAGCAUGAAUACUUCAUAAAUUAUAGAUACGUUGGAGACGUAUCAGCGACGUGGAGGACAUGGGGCUGCGGUGUACUCUAUAUAAGUUGCCGCCCACCUCCUUAGUGGGGGUCAAGAAAUAUUUGUAACCAUACCCAUCAAAUCAAAACCAAGCCUCAGGGCACGAGACGUAGGGAUGUUUCCUCCUCCAAGAGGGGCUUGAACUCGUUAAACACCGAGUGUUACACCUGCGCCAUAGCUAGGUUCUGCCCCUUAUUCGUACCCCUAGAACUCAUUGUCAGGAUCGUAACCCCGACACCCCCCCCCCCCCGGGUACGCCCGCCGAGCUUGUCGCCAGCUCGUGGCCCUUCUGACCUCCUCCCGAAGCUUCCAGGGUGUCUUGUGGUCCAAUAAAAAUCAUCGUCCAAGAAAAAUCAUCAAAAAGUUUCUUUCCAUUUGGACUCCGUUUGCUAUUGAUUUUCUGUAAAGACAAAAACAAGGAAAAAACAGCAACUAGCACUGGGCACUAGGAUAAUAGGUUAGUCCCAAAAAUGAUAAAAUAGCAUAAUAAUGCAUAUCAAACAUCCAAGAUUGAUAAUAUAAUAGCAUGUAACAAUCAAAAAUUAUAGAUACGUUGGAGACAUUGAAGAAUCCCCCAGCUUAAUUCCUGCUCGUCCUCGAGUAGGUAAAUGAUAAAAACAAAAAAAUUGAUGUGGAAUGCUACCUAACAUGUUUAUCAUGUAAUCUUUUUUUAUGUGGUAUGAAUAUUCAGAUCCAUAUAAGAAUCAAAACAAAAGUUUAAUAUUGACAUAAAAAUAAUAAUACUUCAAGCAUACUAAAAAGCAAUCAUGUCUUUUCGAAAUAUCAUGGCCAAAGAAAGUUAUCCCUACAAAAUCAUAUAGUCUCGUAAUGCUCCAUCUUCUUAACACAAAGUAUUUAUCAUGCACAACCCUGAUGACAAGCCAAGCAAUUGGUUCAUACUUUUAACACGCUUCAACUUUUUCAACUCUCACGCAAUACAUGAGUGUGAGCCAUGGAUAUAGCACUAUGGGGGGAAUAGAGUAUGAUGUUGGAGGUUGUGUGGAGAAGACAAAAAAGAAGAAAGUCUCACAUUGACAAGGCUAAUCAACGGGCUAUGGAGAUGCCCAUCAAUUGAUAUCAAUGCAAGGAGUAGGGAUUGCCAUGCAAUGGAUGCACUAGAGCUAUAAGUGUAUGAAAGCUCAAAAGAAAACUAAGUGAGUGUGCAUCCAACUUGCUUGCUCAUGAAGACCUCGGGCAUUUGAGGAAGCCCAUCAUUGGAAUAUACAAGCCAAAUUCUAUAAUGAAAAAUUCCCAAUAGUAAUAUAUGGAAGUGACAAAAUAGGAGACUCUCUAUCAUGAAGAACAUGGUGCUACUUUGAAGCACAACCACAGAAAAAGAUAGUAACAUUGUCCCUUCUCUCUUUUUCUCUCAUUUUUUCGUUCUUUUUCUGUUUUUUUAUUUUGUUGGGCACUUUGGCCUCUUUUUUUCUUGGGCUCGUUUGGCCUCUUUUUCAUUUUUUAUAUUCCUCACAUAGGACAAUGCUCUAAUAAUGAGUAUGAUCAUCACACUUCUAUUUACUUACAACUCAAGAAUCACAAAUCAAUACUAGAACAAAAAUAUGACUCUAUAUGAAUGCCUCCCGCGGUGUACCGGGAUGUGCAAUGAUCUAGCGUGACAUAUAUAAAAAAUAUGAACGGUGGCGGAGCCACAAAUACUAUGCAAACUAUAUGAUCAUGCAAAGCAAUAUGACAAUGAUGAUAUGUGUCAUAAUAAAAUGGAACGGUGGAAGUUGCAUGGCAAUAUAUCUCAGAAUGGCUAUGGAAAUGCCAUAAUAGGUAGGUAUGGUGGCUGUUUUGAGUCAGAUAUAAGGAGGCUUAUGUGUGAUAGAGUGUAUCAUAUCACGGGGUUUGGAUGUACCGACGAAGUUUGCACCACAACUCGAGGUGAGGGGCAAUGCACGGUACCGAAGAGGCUAGCAAAAUGCAGAAAGGUAAGAGUGCGUAUAAUCCAUGGACUCAACAUUAGUCAUAAAGAACUAACAUACUUAUUGCAAAAGUUUAUUAGCCCUCGAAGCAAAGUGCUACUAUGCAUGCUCCUAGGGGGAUAGAUUGGUAGGAAAAGACCAUCGCUCGUCCCUGAUUGCCACUCAUAAGGAAGACAAUCAAUAAUAAACCAUGCUCCAAUUUCAUAGCAUAACGAGAGACCAUACGUGCAUGCUACGGGAAUCACAAACCUUAACACAAAAUAUUCUUACUAAACCACAAUUACUCACUAGCAUGACUCUAAUAUCACCAUCUUUAUAUCUCAAAACAAAUGCAAUGAAUCAAACUUCUCAUAUAUUCAACGAUCUUGAUGAAAGUUUUUAUUAUAUCCCUCUUGAAUACCCAUCAUAUUAGGACUAAAUUCAUAACCCAAGCAAAUUGCCAUACUAUUUAUAAGACUCUCAAAAUAAUAUAAAUGAGGCACGAGAGUUCAUCAUUUCUUUAAAAUAUAACCACCGCCGUGCUCUAAAAGAUAUAAGUGAAGCACUAGAGCAACUACCUAGCUCAAAAGAUAUAUGUGAAGCUCAAAGAGUAUUCUAAUAAAUUCAGGAAUAAUGUGUGUCCCUCUCAAAAAGGUGUGUCCAGCAAGGAUUAUUGUGGAAAACUAAAAGGCAAAUAAAUCAAAGACUCAUAUAAUACACGACGCUCCAAGCAAAAUUCAUAUCAUGUGGUGAAUAAAAAUAUAGCCCCAAGUAAUUUACCGAUGGAUUGUAGACAAAAGAGGGGAUGCCAUCCGGGGCAUCCCCAAGCUUAGACGCUUGGUUGUCCUUGAAUAUUACCUUGGGGUGCCUUGGGCACCCCCAAGCUUAGGCUCUUGCCACUCCUUAUUCCUUAGCCCAUCAAAACUUCACUCAAAACUUGAAAACUUCACAACACAAAACUCAACAGAAAACUCAUGAGAUCCAUUAGGAUAAUAAAACAAAUCACCACUUUUGAUACUGUUGUAAACUCAUUCAAAUUUCAUAUUAGCAUUAUAUCUACUGUAUUCUAACUUCACCAUGGUUCGUGCCCCCCGAUAUUACCCAUAGAUUCAUCAAAACAAGAGAACAACUCAAUGAAAACAGAAUCGGUCAAAAACAGAAUAGUCUAUAAUAACCUAAAUAUUGCUCACUACUGUAACUCUAAAAAUUCUGAAAAAUUAGGACAACGUGGGCAAUUUGUGUAUCAAUCUUGUGUAAAACAUUCAAAGUAAAAACACGUUUUUGUGAAUUUACAAAAUUCCAGAACUGGACGCAGAAGUUUCUCUUUUUCACAGAAUCAAAUCAACUAACUUCCAAAUCAUCCCAAAGGUCUUACUUGGCACAAACACUAAUUAAAAUACUAAAACACAAUCAUAACAGUAGCAUAAUUGCAUAAACUCAUAAAACAGAAAAGAGAGAUAUUGGGUUGUCUCCCAACAAGCGCUUUUCUUUAAAGCCCUUUUAGCUAGGCAUUGAUAAUUUUAAUGAUGCUCACAUGAAAGAUAAGAAUUGAAGCACAAAGAGAGCAUCAUAUAGCAUGUUAAAAUUAGAUUUAGUUCUAACAUACUUCCUAUGCAUAGGCAUUUUAUAAGAAAAUGAAUUAUCAAAACAAGCAAAAACUAGCAUAAGCAAGGAAGAAGAAUAAACAUUGACAAUCUCAACAUGAAGAGAGGUAAUUUAGUAACAUGAAAAUUUCUACAACCAUAUUUCCCUCUCUCAUAAUAAUUACAUGUGGGAUCAUAUUCAAAUUCAACAAUAUAGCUAUCACAUAACAUAUUCUCUACAUGAUCCACAUGCAUGCAAAGUUGACACUCUUCCACUAUAGUGGGAUUAUCGUCAGAUAAAGUCAUGACCUCUCCAAGCCCACUUUUAUCAAAAAAUUCAUAAGAUUGAUCAUUCUCCAAAGUAGUAGGAUCAUUAUUACCUAGAGUUGACACUCUUCCGAACCCACUUACACUAUUAUCGCAAACAUAUUCAUCAUGAGGCUUAAAUAAAUUUUCAAGAUCAUAAGUAGAAUCACCCCAAUCAUGAUCAUUGCAAUAAGUAGUGGACAUAUCAAAAUUAGCAUCCCCAAGAUUGGGGUUUUGCAUAUUAUUAGCACAAUUGACAUUAAUAGAAUUUGUAAUAACACCAUUGCAAUCAUGCUUUUCAUUCAAGGACUAUCGUUAAUCACUUCAUAAAUUUCCUCUUUUAGCACUUCAUCACAAUUUUCAAAUUCACGAAUUUCAAGCAAAACUUCAUAAAGAUAAUCUAGUGCACUCAACUCACUAGCAAUUGGUUCAUCAUAGUUGGAUCUCUUAAAAAUAUUAGCAAGUGGAUGAGGAUCCAUAAAUUUUUUGCUUCUGAUUUGGAAUAAACAUACAAUUAUGCCAAGCGAACAAGCAAACAAACCAAGUAAGACAUAAAGGCAAAUGGAAAGAAGGCAAAUAAAAAGGCAAAUAUUUUUGUAUUCUCUGAAAAAUGUUUUAGAAGUGGGUGACAGGAAAACGAGAGGCAAAUGGAUAAUAAUGUAAAUGCAAGAGAUGAGAGUUUAUGAUAGGUACUUGGUAGGCUUGAUGUAGAUCCUCCCCGGCAACGGCGCCAGAAGUUCUUCCUGCUACUUCUUGAGCUUGCGUUGGUUUUUCCCUUGAAGAGGAAAGGGUGAUGCAGCAAAGUACAGAUAAGUAUUUCCCUCAGUUAAGAACCAAUGUAUCAAUCAAGUAGGAGGAACACAAGUCUCCAAUGAUAGCACCUACACAAACAAACAAAUACUUGCACCCAACGCGAUAAAGGGGUUGUCAAUCCCUUCAUGGUUACGCAAGGAUGAGAUCUGAUAGUGAUAGAUAUAAAAGAUAGGUAAAAGUGCAAAAUAAAAUAAAAGUAAAUAAAUUGCAGCAAGGUAUUUUUGGGUUUUUGACUUUGUAGAUCUGAAAAUAAUAUGAUAAAAGAUAAACCCCGGGCCAUAGUUUUCACUAGAGGCUGCUCUCUUGAAAGAAAGCAUACGGUGGGUAAACAAAUUACUGUUGAGCAAUUGAUAGAAAAGGGGAUAAUUAUGAAGAUAUCUAAGGCAAUGAUCAUAUAUAUAGGCAUCACGUCCGAGACAAGUAGACCGACUCAUGUCUGCAUCUACUACUAUUACUCCACACAUCGACCGUUAUCUAGCAUGCAUCUAGUGUAUUAAGUUAACAAGAACGGAGUCACUACAAAAAAAGACACAUCCAUGAUAUUUUGGGCCGAAUGAACUUUUUUUCUGUCAUGCUUAUGACACUUCUAUGACGAUAAUUGUGACAAAACCCGGUAUCAUCAUAGAUGUGGUGGGCUCCUACUUCUAUGACAAAAAAUCAUGACAGAAAAUGGGCUUUUCGUCCUGGGCGGGCCGGACAUGCAGCUGCAUGACAUUCUUUGGGCCAUCCAUGACGGAAAAAAACCAUGGUAGAAGCGAGGGCGAGGAAAAUAUCGGGGAGUUCCCGGUUACGGUGGGUGGUUGGGGGUCGAGCGAUGCGCGUUUCUCUCGUACACAUACGAGCGUGGGUGCGAGGCGUUUGGCUCUAACUGAACCCGAGCGAGGCGUUCGCCUACUGAACCCGAGCGAUUGCACUAUAGGCUACGCGUUAUUGAACCCGAGCAAUCAAUCGAUGGCUGUUAACUGAACCCGAUCGAGCGAUUCCUUCACUACUGCUGCUAACUGAAGUCGAUCGAACCCUGCUGCCUCCUUCCCUUGAUGAACAGUGAGUGUUGUUGGGGGGUUGGAUGAACAGUUCCCGGUGUGGGGUUGGAUGAACAGGACCCCGUGGUGUUGCCGCUGGAUGAACAGGACCCCGAUCGAUCGAGCCGGUUAGGCGUGGAUGAACAGGACCCCGUGGAGGGCUGGAUGAACAGGACCCCGUGGAGGGAUGGUUGAACAGUAGCCGGUGGAGGGCUGGUUGAACAGUAGCAGGUGGAGGGCUAGAUGAACAGUAGCCCGUGGAGGGGUGGUUGAACAGGACCCCGUGGAGAGGGCUGGUUGAAUAGUAGCUGGUGGAGGAGCGGUGGAGGCUGGAUGAAUAGGAGCCCGUGGAUGAACAGUCGCAGGUGGAGGCUGGAGGAGGUCGACGGUGGAUGAACAGUAGCCCAUGGAGGCAGUUGACGGUGGAGAUGAAUAGUAUCCCGUGGAGUCCCGUUUUGCGGUACGCCACACCCCUCCCGAUGAACAGGACCCCGUUUCGACCGUAGGAGGCCCAAGAGAAGUCCGUUUCCUCCAUUUUGCGGUACGCCAGACCCCUCCCGAUGAACAGGAUCCCGUUUUGACCGUGGCCGGUCGAACACAAGGCCAUUUCCUCCGUUCUGCGGUACGCCAGGCUUCGUUUCAAUCGGCUGUUCCGUCCAAGCCGGUUGGCUCCCGAUGAACACGACGUAUUCCGUUGCCUACCGAUGAACACGACGCAUUCCGUUGCCACCCGAUGAACACGAAGACGACGUAGUUUCUCCAUUCCGACCCAGCCAUGUGUGCGAGCCCUGGCCGUACAUAUGCACGAGUAGGCGUUUGAGACCCCGCCCGUAUGUACGUACGUGGCCGUAUUUUUUGGCGUGGGGUUGUAUGUACGUGUACACAGUUUAGACGGGGCAACCUGAACUGCUACGUGGGGGGCUCUACUAUGACAUGUGCCGCUACUUACUCGGCCAUGGUUCAUCGUUACAGAGCGACCGAUCGACCAGUAUGUACGUACACAUUCCGGCAAGACAGAAAACGGUACGUACGCUUCGACCGCGUGGGUCCCAGCUCUCAGGGAGGAUAAGGACGCACUUCCUUGCGUGCGAAGAUAUAGCUGCUAGGUCCCAGCUGUCAGGGGGUUUUUUUCCGUAAUAAGGACGCACUUCCUUGCGUGCGAAGAUGUAGCUGGUGGGUCCCAGCAGUCAGGGGGAGAAAAUAUUAUUUUUCAGGGUAAAAAGGAUGCAGUUGCAUGCAUGCAUCCAUGGGCGUGGUGUGUCCCCACUGUUAGCCUCUCACGUACAGUCAUCUUCCGAUGACUCUUGUUUGUUGACCAUGUUGACCACACCGUGCCGGGCGCACCAAGGCCGGUGGACGACGGCGAGGCCCUAGACUGGAACGACCCAGAGAUGGGGAAGACGCGGCAGUGGAGUCGCAGAUGCAGAGGAGUGGGAAACUUGACUGGUUCGGGUGCGCGGCAGCACUGCCGCCCAAGGGCGAUAGGAGCAAGAACAGAGGUUGAAGAAGGAGCACGGCUAUUGGAUUAACAUCCAACGGUCAGCUGCUAGAAUCAUUUGUUGAUUAAGUAGACAAAGCCCUGCGUACAAGUCCGCUUAGUAGGCCCACAAGUCAGACACCAAAUCUGACGAGUCCCAGCUGUCAACGGGAGGAAUGGUUUUUUUUUUUUGCAUAACAAGGAGGCACUUCCUUCCGUGCGAAGAUACAGCCGGUGGGUCCCAGCUGUCAGGGGGAGGAAACAUUUUUUUCAGCUUAAUAAGGAGGAACUUUCCUUGCAUGAGACCAUGGACCUCGUGGGUCCCAGCCGUCAGGCUCUCCACGUACAGUCCUCUUCCGAUGACUCUUGUUUGUUGACCACGCCGCGCCGAGCGCAGCGAGGUGGUGGACAACAGCGAGGCCCCGUACGGGAACGACCCGGAGAUAGGAAGACGCGGAAGUGGAGUCGCAGAUUGAGAGGAGUAGAAGGGUUAUAACUAGUUCUGGUGCCGCGUGGGGCUGCAGUCGGUGGAGAAUAACAGGAGGUGUGGAGGGGCGGAGGGAUAGCCCGGCCGGCGGUGGGGUAGCGCUUCGCAACAAUGCGUGCUAAGCAAAGCCGCUAGCCGCCGGAGGCCAGACCAGGCGGUCCCGGCGAUGCUGGAGGAAGAAGACGAGAGAUUGAUGGUGCAUGCCGGCCGUUGGAUAUAAAUCCAAUGGAUGUGGAUGUCAUAAUCAUUUUUUGACCAAGUUGACAACGCCCUGCGUAGGCUUCGACCUAUUGGCCCACAUGUCAGCAUGCAAAAAUGUGGCAUAUAUUUAACCCAUGUUUUCUAGAAUGUACAAUCCAUUUGCUGGGCUGGGUGAACAAAUAAUUUCGCGUCAAUGCGGUCCAUUUAAUAUUUUCUAAGAAAUCCCAGCCCAUUUGCACUUUCUUGAAAUACAUGAAUUAGCUGGGCUCAUUCUAUAUGUAAUGUUAGGUUAGAAGGUGCAAUUAAUAUCAAAAAAUAAACAGAAGCGGCACAUUUUUUAUAUAUAAUAUUAACAAAUUAGCGAGUUAUUGCUCAAAAUAAAAAUGAGCGCGUUAUUAUUACAUUGGUCCUUAAAAAUCUUCGCAAGCUUUUGUACGCAAUCACCAGGAUUUUCCUUGCCUGUGAGUCAAAAACAACCAGGAUUUAUCUUGCCAACAUCUGUUAAACAUUUACUUUUAUAAGUUAAUAACAUGUGGGAUGUUUUUAUAAUGUAUAUAUAAGUCUCUAUAAAAUAUACGAUAAUCGUAAUAGUAUAAAUAUAUAUAAUGUGGUUAGAAGGCAAAACAUAAAUUGGACACAGCAUUAUUAUUCUUAUAUAUAAAUAAAUAGAACAAAGAUUUGUGUUUUAUUGAUAAAAAACAUUGGGCUGCCAAUCUUUAAGAAAAAGUAAAACCUACGCUGGGAGGCCUAUAGGCCGGUAUGGACCUCAAAAAAUAAGUUGAAACCACUGUCUCCGUAUGUCGUGGGCUACGCAUGUUAAAAAACAAAACCUAGGCCUAGCUGAUACUUGUUCGCCCUCUACAAAAAAAUGAUACCAGCUAGAUCCCCGAGCGAACUGGAUUAAAGAGGGGGCCGGCGGCGCGACUAAAGAAGCACAUCAGACGCGAUUGUUUUUCUUCGGUGGAUGGCUCUCGAUGGCUUUUUUUACUUGCCUCUUCACCAUACAACUUGUAUUUUUAGCCUCCCAGUCCGUGGUGGACCAGCAACCCAUUUGCUGGGCGGGCCAACCUACAGAAACCAGCACUCAAUUUUUCAUCAAGCCCCAAAAACAGUGCAGUACUAUGUUUGUUUUGAGGCCGAAAACAUUACGGCAGGAGUUGAGCGGGGGAGGGGGGAAGAUAGAGCAAAAAGAUUAAAAAGAGCUGAUGCGCCGUUGCUACCCUAACAAAGCAGGUGCAAUUCUUCUCGGGAAGAAGGUGUGCCGUUGACACCCACACGUCACAAAUCCCAUAGUAGACAUACUAACAAGUUCACACACAAGUACAACAGAAAAGGUAAACAUUCAUAUCAAACUCAGGUUCACAGGACACGUUCAUAUUCAUAGCCAACAUUCACAAUCAACAACUCAAAAGAUUCAUAUAUACACAAGUUCAGCAUGUCUAUGCAUCCAAAUGAUUAAUAAAUCACACGACAAUAUUCAUAGAUAAUUCACAAAAAGAUUCAGAUAUACACAUGUUCAGUAUGUUUAUGCAUCCAAAUGAUUAAGAUCAUAGCCAAUAUCAUCCAUGGACGAACUUUAAUUACCUAGGGUACAGACUGGUAAAUGGUGUUCAGUCGGAGGUACUUCUUGCUAAAAUUAAUGCUUGUACGAGUAAACUUUUGAGUACAUAAGAGGCAGCACAGACAAUCUGAACUUUGCUUGUAGGUUUAUCCUCAAAUAGUGGCCUUGUGCCGAGGGAGGUUUGAGCAACUUGCCCACUACUUUCAUCCAACUAGUUUACUAGCUCAUCUUGGUCCUGUAGCUCGCCAAAAUUCUACAUUGCAGACAAGAAAGGAGGCGGUUGAGAAAAUGAACCACCCAAAUUUGUUGUGCAAUUCAACUGAAAUGGAGCAUCCCUGGCGUGCACCCUGAUUAAGUGUCAGAUGAAUAUACGCGUCAACCAACUUGUUUGGAAUCUUUAGACUCCAUGCCAUACAGUUCGCUACCAUAUGUGCCGAUAACCAAAAGGCACAAGUUGGGACCAAAGACUGGACUGCGUUUUUCUGGGCUAUGCGCCAAGCAAUAUUUGUGGCGGGUUAAUGCCGGUUGAUACUCGAAUGAAUAUAGGCACUUCUUCUUGUGAACAUCGAUGCUUGUCUGAGUGAACUUUGGAGUACAUAGCAGCAGCAUAAGUAUCUGUCCAUCUGAUCUUUUUGUGCAGUUCUACUGAAAUCGCCCAAUGUAAUGAUUUGCCUGCGAGUUCAGGCUCCAAGUUACUCCUUUAUGAAAUCGGCAAACAGUAGCACAAUACCAAAUUACCAAUACAUAUGACAAGCACAAUAAUCAGGAUAAAGACUAGUACCAACCUGUGUGAGGUAGCAUAUCAAUUACUAUUUCCUUUGACUGGAAGCCGAGAUAAAUGAAGCGACUGACAGUAAAGGAAGGAAGGAAGCCGAGAUAAGCGACUGACAGGAAAGGAAGGAAGCUGUCGAGGCAAUGAAGCGCCCAAAGUUUUUGUGCAGUUCCACCAAAAUCGAGCAUCCCUGUUGGCACAUAUAUUGAGAGAGUGAGAUUACUGUAAUAGUGGGACUAGUUGAUGAAACAUACACUAACAAAUAGAAGCACCCUCAUUAUCUUAAUGGGUAAAGUUAGCAACAUAGUAGUCUUGCUUGAAGAGAGGUAUUAGUUUAUUUAAUCAGUGCCAAUUAGCUCAACACUCAAAGCAUUGCCAUGUAUCAUAGGUUGCAAAACUUUAACGUGCAAGGAUAAAGGAGUUUCUCAUGACUAUUGCACAAUACAAAUAGAGAUGAUAGCAAACUAAUAUGGAUGAAGGCCUUAGGCCGGUACCAACCUGAGCAAAAAAACUUAUUCAUGUAGUCCCAGAAGAUAUGAUAAAGCACUCACUGGAAUCACUCGAUAGUAUAUAUUUUUGUGCACUUCAAAUGUAUGGUUGAAAUCACUCUUGUUUACCAGUGCUGAGAUUAUAUCGAAAGAUUAUCAAGAACUUUCAGCAGAGUUAAAGCACUGGCUGGGAUACAGUUCAUUGUAUUGUCUUGUGUAGUUCCACUAAAAUGUAUGAUUGGCACAACAUGAUCCCUGUUUGCACAAGUAGGAACAAGGUGAAACCUUCAUUAGCUUAGUGAGAAAGGAUAGAAAGACAUUAGCAUAUUACUCUAAUAGUAGCAUCAAAUUCAUGAUAGACAAUACGCAAAACAUUGCCUCAUUGAACCAAUGGCAAUAAAUUGACAUGCAAAACAAUAGCACUAUUAUUUCAUGACACUACGCAGAUUCCCUCCCUGCUCCACCACAUGAUUCACCUCCACAGACACACAUACACACGUACAUGAUUCAGCAUAGGGUGCUACUAAAGAUUUGUUUAACUCUGACAGGAAAAUUAGGUAGCAAUAAAUUAGUGGUGCUUAAGUACUCCUAAUUAAUUAAGUGACCUUGCAGGAGAGACAACAGAAGUGGAAGGGCUCCCUGGAGGAUCGUCUCACAUGUAAGGUAGACAUUGCUGGAGCCCUUGAAUGGCCUCGACUGAGCCCUCGGGCUUCAGCAAGAUCACCUUGGCACUGUUGAUCGUGUAGAGCUGGGUCACAUAUGCAUCCAGAAUCCAGUUAAUUAGUAUGAUGUGUCGUCAACCCAAGUACUACUCUGCUGCAUUUCUCCAUCUAUCUCUACUCUACUCUACUUUACUUCUCUUAUAAAAAAAUAGAGUUGGUGAUGAUGGUGUGCCUGCCAUCCUACAAUAUAUGCCGUCUGAUUUAUAUCUGACGGAUAGGAAGGAAACUAUGGCAAUUUUGCAAAAAGGUACCCACAGCCCUCUCCACAUUUGCAAAUAAGGCCUUCCCUCGUUCAUCCUUUUCUCUCACAAGAUAAACUACUCAUACAAAUGCAUCUUGAUGUUAUGUGCAACGCACGGGCAUCUUGCUAGUCUUCCAAGUAAAUUAACACUAGUAGCAACACAGAAAUACAAUACCACUAGCAAAAUGUCAGGAUAACAUAGGACGGUACCAUCGUGUGAUCUCCAUUUCCUCUUUAUUCUUCUUCUUCCUCCUCUUCAUGCUCUGUUUCUCUUUCUCCUCAACAGUUGGUGAAACCAAGUACAUGAUUGGCCUUCUAUUUCAAAUUGGUUUUGUCAGUGAGGGAGUACAAGUGUACUAGUAAACAAUAGCAUUAUUUUCUCAUGGCAGUCGCAAAAUAGAGAUGAACACAUGCAUUAAAUAUCAUUCUUACCUAAAGGAAAGUUAUGGUGCCAAUAUGGAUGAUGAGGAUUGGAACACAGAUCUCCCUUUGUGCAGUUCCACCGAAAUGAACCAACUGUUCCAUUCUGACAUUCCAGUUAAACAGCACAAAAGUCACUUCUUUUAAGAAGUGUUUUGUGCAGUGCACCAAAAGGUCACAACAGCAACCAGGUGAAAUGGAUAUCCCUGUUUGCACAAAAAACUACAGAGGAAACAGUCAGAGUCUCAAACAAUUACAGGCAAAAACAUUUGGGUAAACUUGUCAUCGCUUAUAACAGUGGCAUGGCUUCAUUUUACCAGGGGCAUUAGAUUAAGAAUAGCUAAAUAUUUGGUAUAAGGGAAUGGGACAGUGGGCGCACCAGCAGCCCAGCACCAUGUACCUAAACUGGGGCAUAAACUGGUGAUUCAGAGUUUGUUGCCCCGAGAAACAAACAUCCAAGAAACAUAUCUGGGUUGGUCCCAUUUUUGUUCACUCUAGCCACCUACUCCUAUGUGUGGAUAGCAAAUCUAGUCCUGUUCAUACCACUGUGUACAGCAUUUCCCCUAUAUUUCCCUUUUCGACCAAGAGACCGGUUGGAUGACUAGUCUGUACUACUUUCACCCCCUUUCCUUCAUGUUUGUACCAAGUCCGAUGUACAUACUAAAUUCCCCCACCCCCACUUUAUUUCUUGUUUGAACCAAGUACAAGAUUUGACUCCAUGAAGUAGCUUUACCUCUAACAAUAGAGAAAAAAAUAGGUGACGUUGGACCAUCCGAUCGAGAGGGGCUGAGAGGUAGAAAAUGAUGCACAUGCAGCGACGUAGCAAGCUGGGGAAGUAGAGCUAGGGCGGUUUCGAAGGAAGAUAUACCUGAAGGUCAUCGGGAUGUGGAUAGGUGGGUGGCAGGAGGCCGGAUCCGCCCACACUAGGGCAACGACGAAGGGAUCGGAGGACCUCCCGCAUCGGCGCUCGGCUAGAGAUAACGGUGCGGCCGACAGUGGGUCUCCUCCCUCGCUGUCGACGACGGCCUAAAUGCUGCCCCUCCUCCCCUUCACCGGCGGAGGGGGAUACGUCCGAAUCUGUAACCAACGGUGAGGAUAGAAAGACAAUGUUACCACCGCUAUCUUGUUUAGAUCUGGAGAGGAUGAGAGUGUGUGAAUAGAGCAACCCUAGCAAGCAAGCGCGGAUGCUCCGGGCUAUAUAUGCACGUAGUGGGGUAGUUUUCCUUUUUCACUCCAUCAAAACAAUCGUUUAAAAUUGUGUGCGUGCCAGGUCACCGUUUUUUCUUGAGUUGUUGAUUGUUUUUUGAGAUAGCUACCCGCUUAUUCCAAGUGGUGUUACGGUGUGCCAGCUCGCACUUUGUAUCGUUCAAGUCUGGUACAAGACCCUCCAUUAAAUGAACAACCACCGCCUCAUAAAAUUUGGGAACAAGCCCACGGCUAAAAUUAUCAAAAACGUGGGCUGCCCCAACAUGCAUUAUUAUUUAUAUUUUCUAUGUCGGAGUAUCCUCAAAACAAAAUGUGAGAGUACAAUAUUUAUUGGGCCCCUUUGUAAUUGGUGCUAAAUUUUGACCAAAGAUUUAACUGACAAAAUGUUAGUGCAUAUUAACAAAAAUUAUAUCGUUUGAAUCGUAUUUCAACAUAUUUUUCAAUGAUGUAAUUUUUUGUGAUAUGCAUGAACAUUUGGUUAGUUAAAUUUAUAGUCAAAAUUUGGCAAGGUGCAUUAAAUCAACACAUGCAAGUAUCAAAAGGAAAGUAACGCCAUGCAUGCAUGCGUUGUAAUUAAUGCAUCGGUAAACGCAAAUUAUUGAAAUAUAUCGAGUGCAGUGCUUUGAUGUGUCGCGUCAACUCAUACAACAACGAGAAGUUUGAUUACUACAACGCCCUCUGCCUCGCGGACUGAGCUCCGGUGCCUUAACUGCACCUGCCUUUGGCUGUAUGACAAGUGGACCACCCACCUGUUGGGCCCACCUGUGAUACACGCAAAGGCAAGAGCAGUAAGUCAAUGAAGCUGUGUCCCUCCCUCGCCCAUGAGCAUGGUGGCUGGCAGGACUAGGAGAAGCUUUUGCUACACGCUCUCCCUCCCGCACGCGGUGGACAUGCAGCUGUUCAUUCGGUGUCAGAUGACCAGAAGUAUAAUGUAGUACUCCUCCACUGCAGUAGCACUCCAUCAUUGUUCGACUUCCCGAAGAGGCGAAGAGCCAAGCGCAGCCCGGACGCUCAUGUGGCAGUUUCAUGUGUAGAGUAGUCUAGGAUAGCGUGUACCAUGCCUGUAAGCUUAAAAUUGUUGGGGUCGGCUCCAUGCUAUGAGGCCGUCUCGAAGCAUUUUUUGGUUGAUUAAAAUAAUCUUUUGGACCUACCUGUCAUCCUAGUGAUUGUAGUUUGCACGCUCAUCUGGUCAAGACAGGAAUAUAUAUUUUAAUUUGUAGUGGGGUAAAUGUUAGAGGUUGCAGCAAACAUAUUGUACAUUGCGGGUCUUUCAGCCAAGUUUAGAGGCAAGCAUGUGGGGCCAGUGCUAUGAUGUGUCGCGUCAACUUGUACAACGAGGAGAAGCAUGAUUUUACUACUACACGCCUUCUCCCUCGCCCAUGCGCGCGGUGGCUCGCAGACGAGGAUGGGCUUUAAAUUAUACUACAACAAGCUAUCCCUCCCGCACACGGUGGACGGACAUGCGUCAGGGGAUUCGAUACUGUAGAAGUAGUAGUAACAUCAUUGUUCAUCUUCUCGAAGAGGCGAAGAGCCAAGCGAAACCCGAACGUGGUAGUUGCGAACGCUUGCCUGGCAGUCUUUGUGUACGGGUGGGGCGUGGUGCGGAGCCUUGGAGUACGCAUAUAGCCAGGCUCUUGCAUGAGAAAAAAUUGCUAUUUGAGCCCACUAUUUUAGUACACUACUUGCUAGUAUAGCCCUGUAAACUGGAAAGGAGUAUUUGCCUUUCUAGAGAUCUCAAUAAGUGACUAGACUACACCCUAAACGAGUAGUACAUAUGGAGCAAAAUGAGUGAAUCUACACCGUAAAUAAAUACGUAGUUCUCUCGUUUUCCUCUCCGCCUUGGUCGCGGUGCACAAUAUUGAGUACUCCUAUAUGACUAGUCGCUCUAUCUACAUGCGCGACAUCAAAGCAUCCGGGCCUGCGUGCCAUCCACCAAAUCACAGCGAGGUGCUACAGUCGAGACUCACCAGUCACCCCGGUGUGGCCGUCAUGACCCGUCAUAUCACAAAACCCACACCUUUACCAGCAGUGGUAAAGUGGCCUCAAAGUUGGACUGGAUGAAGCAACCAUCAUUUCCCUGUAACGCUCGUUGAAGCCCUUUCUCCCCUUUCUUGAAGAAAACCUCACUCCAGGCUACUCACUUCUGCCAUUUUUCUUCUGUACCGACAAAGGAAAGGUGGGCGAAUCAGUGAUGCUACUAUAUUUUCAUUCCAAGAAUCUUCUUUUCGGGAAGCACCGACCGAUUCUCAUAGCCUAUUCUUUUCCCGUUUUCAUUGCGAUUGUGCUUUCCUUUCGAUUGCUUUUUGUUUGUCAGUUCAUUCCUGAUGGAUCCUGGAGCACUAGGCAAAGAUUUGCCGGCAGACAACCCACUGGAGACAGCGAUCUCCAGGAAGCGAGCACCAACCAACGAGUUGACCAUGUUGGUGGGCCAACCCAUGGAGACGAAGAACUCCAAGAAACAAGCACUGGACAAAGAGUUUAUGACAUUGGCCGAUGAACUCCUCAAAGAAAGCUGGAAGAACAGCAAGGGCCCCACCGUGCCUACCCCAGAAACUCUAAUGGCCACCUAUGCGAGGCUCAAGGCCGAGUUUGAGGAGAUAGUCUCCGUUGAGAAGCAGUAUUCCCCUGGCAAGGUGAUGGCCCCAUCGAGGACGAGGAGAUGGCCUCCGGAGGGAUGGGAUCCCCCGGUGAGCUACACAAGGUAAAAAAAUAAUGGCUUACCAUAGUUGUGGUUUUUGAUUAUUUGCAAUGUGCUUGCUAAUAUGUUAGGGUUGUGCAGGUGCCGGUGGACGUCCUUGAUGAUUCCGAUGUCGUGGCCCGUCCUGUGGACAACGCCCCAGAGAUCGUUUUCGAUGUCGCGGUCCGUUCUGUUGACAUCGCCCCAAAGAAUGAUUCCGAUGCCGCUUUCCAUCCUAUGGACAUUGCCCAGAGAUCAAUUCCGAUGUCACAGUCCGUCCUGUGUACAUCGCCCCAGAGAUCGAUUCCCAUGCCGUUGUCUGUGUUGUGUUCAUUGCCCGAGAGAUCGAUGACAAGAAAUAGUUGGUCAUGCUAAUCCUUCAAGGUAGUUUGCAUUGUGUUUAAUUACCAAAACAAUGUGUGUUAUCAAACCAUCUUAGGGCUAGUGCAUUGUCUUGUGUGGGCGGUACUUGCUACUUUUGUUUGAUAGUGAAUCAUGUGAACCCUCUCCGAGUUAUGGAAACAGAUGUAUCCUCACCAGCUUUUGAUGUAAUAUAUGGCAUGCUUAGAUGUAAGUUUGAACUGUUUAUCAUAUCAGCAGGGCUUGUUUGAUGAUUCUUGGUGUUAGUAGGCUAGCUACUGUGCGAGCUAUAGUACUUGCAAAACACUCACCGAAGAGAAAUGUUGGGGCUGAUGAGCUCCUGGUAUGCUUAUACUGAUCCCUCGUCGAUCGGCCAAUAGCCCAAGCUCCUAAAAUUGUAGGCUUAGCGAUCGAUCAGACAAUAGUCGACACGGAUACAUUCAGGCCUCAUUUGGUUCAUAAGGUAGGAAAAUCGUAGCAAAAGUACAGAGACGUACAACACAAAAUCAUAGCAGUAUAGAGACGUACUCCCUCCGUUCCAAAAUAGAUGACUCAACUUUGUACUACUAACUUUGAAAUGGAGGGAGUACAAAUCCUAGGCGGGCUAGUUUGGCCUAGUGGAUUUCAGUGAUAUGACGUGGUACAGUGUCGUCCAGUCUUCGCGUGUGGUAGCAGUAUUGUGGGUAAAGUAAGUUUUCUUGAAGAAGCGGAAUUCAACGAAGUCAUGAUGGUUCCUUUGUCCGACCAACUUACAGUGGGAAAGGUUGGGCCUGCGCUACGACUGGGGUGGACCAGGAUAAUUUUGUGCAUGGUAGGUGGACCAGGAUGGUCGACGUCCCACAUGUCGGCGAAUGAAAGUAUUCUUUCCGAUAUAGAGGACGAGCAACGAGUAUUCAUUGUUUAUUUUUUAUGAAAGCUAUUGUCUCCAUUGUUACGUCGGAGGAGUGUGAAACACGGCAGCCCAGUGAACUUGGCAUGUGCACCACUCCCUCCUUCCUCAUGUAAUACUACCAUAGUGUUGACUAUAAGGUUGGCUAUAAGGUUACAACUUUUCUCACUUUCUCUCUAUCUAUUUCCUCUCAAAUGUUUUUUACCUUUCUUUUUUUUAGACACAAUUGUUUUUUAUGCCUCUUUUUUUAGAAUUAGUUUUUUUAUACCUAGGAGCACGUGUAGAGACGGGCUCUUGCAGAGCCCACUCCUUGAGUUUGUCAAUGCCUCUCUCUCCUCCACAUAAGCGGGCUUAUAGCCUAGUAUUUUACUGGUACUACUUGCUAUGAAUGCGAGCAGCUGGCGUCUGAGGGGGGAGCGCGCGCGGGGAGGUGGGGGGUUCUGGUGGGCCAAGGUGGUCAGAAGCGGGCUUGGAAGCGGUCCGGACUCCCGCAUGGCCCACCUCACAUUAUCACCAUAUAUUUCUUGGAGUCCGUGCAUGGCAGGCGGGCGAUCUCUUCUCCCUCCCCCGUCUCUCUCUUCUCAGCCGACUCCCGCCGAGCGAUUAGAUUUCGGCUAUCGAUGGUUUAUUCAAUUGCUGUCCCACAUGUCAGUGAAAAUGCAAGACAACGUGUGUCCCCUCUGGUGAGCGGCGUGCGAGCCGGACUGUCAAGGGUGCGAUGCGAACGCGACGCGUAUGAGUCGUAAGUGUGCCGCCUUUUCCUUUUGAACUUGCAAAGCAUAACAUUUUCGUGCGAUCGAUCGAUAGAAAUCCAGAACAAAAUGACGAGGGCAUUGCUUUCCCGCGCGUUAGGCGGGCUAGUUUGUGAUAUGACGUGCUACAGUGCCGUCCACUUGCUCUUUUUAUGUAAGCAAGAGUCUACACUCUUAAGUGGGAGGAGUGCGAAACACGGCGGAUCUGAUUUUGAUCGAGGGAUAACUGUUCCCUGCGAAAUAAUGGAGCGCUGUUAGCGAUUAUAGCAUGAUAGUUAGGGCAUCUCCAGCGCUGGCUCACAAAUUUACACCGGCAUCUGUCCGAGGACACUGAUGGAUGUCAUCCAAUGCUGCCCGCAUACCUUUCGACAACAGUAUGAACUAACCGGACGAAAUUCGUGCAAACAAAGCAAAUUUCAAAUUACAUUUCGAAAACUUAUCCUAUAAACUGGACGAAAUUCAUUACAUAUUUUGCACAAACCGUACUAAAACCUACUGUAAACCUAAUCUAAACGAUCGCCGGCGCCCGACCACCAUGUACGGCCAUGAACCCGAGAAAGCCGGCCAUUGCCUUUGCCUCCUCCUCAUCUGCCUCGAUAACCUCAUCCUCUGGAGCACAAGGUUCUGAAGAUUUCCGCCUCCACGUCGCCGUCAAGAGGCUAAUCGGCCGCCGAUGUUUAUCCCACCAAGCUUGGCGUCGACUGAGUGGAGGAGCGAUGGCCUUCCUGGGACCAGAGCGGCGGCGACCUACCAUGUACUACUCUUCCUCGCUACCGGCUGCGCCCGCGCACGCGCGCCGGCUUCGUGGUCGUGGCGGCAGAGGGCGGCCGGGGGGGAGCCGGCGAUCUCCUUCAUCUGCUCCUACGACAGUACGUCCAAGAGAGCUUUGGAGCGCGCCCGGAGCGGAGCCGCCGAUGUCCUUCGUCUGCUCCUGCGACAGUACAUCCAAGAGAGCUUUGGAGCGCCAGGAGGCCAUGGUUGGAGUGGUGCCGACAGAAGGAAGGGACCGGAGGAGAAUAGGUGUGGGUCUUUGGCUAUGGCUGGGAGCUGGGGCUCAAGUUAAUAUAGCGGGCGAAUGGCAAUGAACCGCGGUAGACGGAUGGACGACUGGCGCUGGAGUAGGUUCGCCAGCAGCCGCGUGUCAUUAAUGUGGGCGGUGAAUGGAAGUAUGGUCGCGGUGUCGUUAAAGCAGAGUAGUCACUUGCACCGGGAUGCCGCGCGGGUGGCGCUCUCUCGGCCGUCGCGCUGCUGCAAUGUCGGCGCCAGUGAGCAGUCGCGUCGGGCGUGAAUACGGAUGCUGCUUCAGUGACUUAACUGCAUGUGCGUUGGGUCACUGACAUGUGGGCCCGACGGGCAUCUGGCCCGCAUGUCAGUGACACACCAACUGCACCUGCAGUUAAGUCUGGUGAAUGCGGCAUUGACAUUCUGGAGAGACGGUGACCAUUUCAGGAGGGAAGCGCGUGCUAGCGAUGGAAGGGGUUUCGGUAGACCAGGGCGGUCAGACGCCGGCGUGGUGGUAAAAUGUGAACUCAUGGAUGACGAGCCUUUGAAGCGUAUGCGGCACGUAUUGACAACCAGGCAUCCAUGCAACCGCUCUUGCCGCCACCUAGCCUUCGAAGACCACCAUUAGACACCACACAACCAUGCAUAACUUACGAAUAAUGGACAAAUCGAUCAGACACACACUCGUGUGCAGUGGCACUAUGAUCGGUCGCUCACGAUAGUACAUACUACGUACCAUAGUACCCUCUCUAGCUAGGCUGUUUUAUAGAUUGUCGUUGUGAUGGACGAUAUACAUGAGCAAGGCGCUGAGUCACGAGUAUGACCGUUGGUGUUGAGCCAGGUGAAUACAUGCUCGGUGUUCACGGAGGCCUCCAGCGAACGUCUAAACAGUAAUGUCAGGCACUGCCGGGGCGCGCAGGCGACGGGAUCGCUGUCGGUGUCGAAACCGGCAGAUCUCGGGUAGGGGGUCCCAAACUGUGCGUCUAGGAUCGAUGGUAACAGGAGACGGGGGACACGAUGUUUACCCAGGUUCGGGCCCUCUCUAUGGAGGUAAUACCCUACUUCUUGCUUGAUUGAUCUUGAUGAAUAUGAGUGUUACACGAGUUGAUCUACCAUGAGAUCGUAAUGGCUAAACCCUAGAAGUCUAGCCUAUGUGAAUAUGGUAGUGAAUAUAUGCCUUCCGGACUAACCCCUCCGGUUUAUAUAGAUACCGGGGGGAUCUAGGGUUUACAUGGAGUUGGUUACAUAAGAAGGAAUCUUCAUAGUUGGUCGCCAAGCUUGCCCUCCACGCCAAGGAAAGUCCAAUCCGGACACGGGUAUAGUCUUCGGCCUUCGUAUCUUCAAAGCCCAUCAGUCCGGCCCAAUGAACAACAGGCCGGACGCCCGAGGACCCCUUAGUCCAGGACUCCCUCAGUAGCCCCUGAACCUGGCUUCAAUGACGAGGAGUCCGGCGCGCAGAUUGUCUUCGGCAUUGCAAGGCGGGUUCCCCUUUUUCCGAACUCCAAGAUAGUCUUCGGACGUGAUAAUCGUAUCCGGACCUGUUAUACACCAUACAUAGCUGCAGAGAGAACAUAAUAUUUGCACAAAUCUAAUCUGUUGACAGCUUCUUUUCAACACGACAUCGCGUCUGUCCGGUCAUAAUUUCGAACCGUUUUUCCUCUGCCAUCCCACGUCUCGAGACACGGUUGCUAUUGGCACGUCUUGUCGAAACAGAGAUUGUGUCCCCUUAUCGUGGGAUUCUCAUCAAUGCGGGCAUGGGUAACUCAACCGUGCCGUUUAUACAGCCCUUGGGAACAGGAGAAUCCUAAGGCGAGUGAGGAGGCGUUUAAUAUUUGUUGCCUUUAUAAGGAGAUAAGUGUUGGGAUUCGUAGCAUAAUUUUAAAAUUUUCCUACGCUCACCAAGAUGCAUCUAUGGAGUCUACUAGCAACUAGGGGAAGGAGUGGAUCUACAUACCCUUGUAGAUUGCGAGCGGAAGCGUUCCAAUGAACGUGGAUGACGGAGUCGUACUCGCCGUGAUCCAAAUCACCGAUGACCGAGUGCCGAACGUACGGCACCUCCGCGUUCAACACACGUACGAUGCAGCGAUGUCUCCUCCUUCUUGAUCCAGCAAGGGGGAAGGAGAGGUUGAUGGAGAUCCAACAGUACGACGGCGUGGUGGUGGAUGUAGCGGGUCUCCGGCAGGGCUUCGCCGAGCUUCUGCGAGAGAGAGAGAGAGAGAGAGAGAGAGAGAGAGNNNNNNNNNNNNNNNNNNNNNNNNNNNNNNNNNNNNNNNNNNNNNNNNNNNNNNNNNNNNNNNNNNNNNNNNNNNNNNNNNNNNNNNNNNNNNNNNNNNNNNNNNNNNNNNNNNNNNNNNNNNNNNNNNNNNNNNNNNNNNNNNNNNNNNNNNNNNNNNNNNNNNNNNNNNNNNNNNNNNNNNNNNNNNNNNNNNNNNNNNNNNNNNNNNNNNNNNNNNNNNNNNNNNNNNNNNNNNNNNNNNNNNNNNNNNNNNNNNNNNNNNNNNNNNNNNNNNNNNNNNNNNNNNNNNNNNNNNNNNNNNNNNNNNNNNNNNNNNNNNNNNNNNNNNNNNNNCCCUUUAUAUAGGCCCCUGGGGGGUGCGCCAGCCCCAAGAGAUGGGAUCUCAAGGGGGGCGGCGGCCAAGUGGGGGGGAAGGGGUGCCUUGCCCCCCAAGGCAAGGGGGAAGCUCCCCCCCUAGGGUUUCCAACCCUAGGCGCAUGGGGGGAGGCCCAAGGGGGGCGCCCCAGCCCACUAGGGGCUGGUUCCCUUCCACUUUCAUCCCAUGGGGCCCUCCGGGACAGGUGGCCCCACCCGGUGGACCCCCGGGACCCUUCCGGUGGUCCCGGUACAAUACCCGUAACCCCCGAAACUUUCCCGGUGGCCGAAACUUGACUUCCUAUAUAUAAUUCUUCACCUCCGGACCAUUCCGGAACCUCUCGUGACGUCCGGGAUCUCAUCCGGUACUCCGAACAACUUUUGGGUUUCCGCAUACAUAUAUCUCUACAACCCUAGCGUCACCGGACCUUAAGUGUGUAGACCCUACGGGUUCGGGAGACAUGCAGACAUGACCGAGACGCCUCUCCGGUCAAUAACCAACAGCGGGAUCUGGAUACCCAUGUUGGCUCCCACAUGCUCCACGAUGAUCUCAUCGGAUGAACCACGGUGUCGAGGAUUCAAUCAAUCCGUAUGCAAUUCCCUUUGUCAAUCGGUAUGUUACUUGCCCGAGAUUCGAUCGUCGGUAUCCCAAUACCUUGUUCAAUCUCGUUACCGGCAAGUCUCUUUACUCGUACCGCAAUGCAUGAUCCCGUGACUAACGCCUUAGUCACAUUGAGCUCAUUAUGAUGAUGCAUUACCGAGUGGGCCCAGAGAUACCUCUCCGUCACACGGAGUGACAAAUCCCAGUCUCGAUCCGUGCCAACCCAACAGACACUUUCGGAGAUACCCGUAAUGCACCUUUAUAGUCACCCAGUUACGUUGUGACGUUUGGCACACCCAAAGCACUCCUACGGUAUCCGGGCGAUCUCAUGGUCUAAGGAAAAGAUACUUGACGUUGGAAAAGCUCUAGCAAACGAAACUACACGAUCUUUUAUGCUAUGCUUAAGUUGGGUCUUGUCCAUCAUAUCAUUCUCCUAAUGAUGUGAUCCCGUUAUCAAUGACAUCCAAUGUCCAUAGUCAGGAAACCAUGACUAUCUGUUGAUCAACGAGCUAGUCAACUAGAGGCUUACUAGGGACAGUUGUGGUCUAUGUAUUCACACAUGUAUUACGAUUUCCGGACAAUACAAUUAUAGCAUGAAUAAUAGACAACUAUCAUGAACAAAGAAAUAUAAUAAUAACCUUUUAUUAUUGCCUCUAGGGCAUAUUUCCAACAGUCUCCCACUUGCACUAGAAUGAAUAAUCUAGUUACAUUGUGAUGAAUCGAACACCCAUUGCGUCCUUGUUGGGUGGUUGGUGCGACAUAUACCAAGGGAUGGCUUAUCAUUGUGGGAGCCAAUAAAACAUCGCCGGUGCCUGGAAACGGGAUGAGGCGAAGACAUGCACGCCGGCGAAUCUUACCCAGGUUCGGGGCUCUCCGAGGAGAUAACACCCCUAGUCCUGCUCUGCGGGGUCUCCGCAUGAUCACUAGAUCGAUAAAGGGUAGCUACAAUCGCUCCUAGAGCUGUUGGGAUCAAGGGAGAAGAAGAACAAGGCUAGCUCUUGCUUCUCUCUAUCUAUGUGUGUGCGUGUGCUAUGCUUGAAGGCCAAACAUGCAGAAGUGCGAACCAGAAGCGAACCCUUUGCAUGGGUGCUCCGGGGGGUUUAUAUAGGCCUACCCCCAGGGGGUACAAUGGUAAUCCGACUGGGAGCGGGUCCCAGCCGUCAGUGUCUAUGCUUGCCGGCUUCUCCACCGGCUGCUGGGUCCCGCCGGCGGCCGGCUACUUGGUCGACAGGCCGGCCCCACCGCCUAGGGCUUUGUCGGCGGCUGCUUACUGUAGCCGCGCCUCUGAUGAUGAGGGCUUUGUCGAGGUGAGCGUGGCUACAGUGGGCCGCCUCGGAGGCUAUCACUGUAGCCUCACCUCGUCUUGUCUCCUUAAUGGGGCUCCUGCUUCGAGGAAGGGCAUAGCCGGCUUCUGGAGGCCGGCUAUGCUCCCGGCCGACUAGGAAAAUCCGGGCCGCCUUCACGCCUCUCUCUGGCUGAAGGGGCCCGCAGUCCUUGGGUCGUACAGGAAUGGGUCGUGGAUGACGUCGAGGCUAACGUGGCUACAGUGCUGGGCCGCACGGGAGACCUCCCUCCCGUACGGCCUCCUGUAGCCAUGCCCGCCUCGGGCUUCGGGGGUCGUGGGCCGCACUGUGGCCAUGCCCCGUCAGGUCGUCGUUAUGUAGGAGUGGUUGUGGUCGUGGCCGGUUUCUAGGAGUCGGCGUCCUUCUUGGCCGGCUCCUUGGAGUCGGCGAGGCUGGGUCGCCUUCCGGGAGUCGGCUUUAGUGGUGACCGGCCGGGGAAGGCGGCCCAAAUGCUUGGAGUGCUUGAAGGCCCAAAGGCCUGAUAAAUUUUCUGAAGAGCCAGGGGUAGUCGGUUAGGCUACCCGUGGCCACUUACUCCGACAGUAGUCCCCGAAGCUGAUCGGCCUUCGAGGUGGAGUAGGGUUUUAGAAGCUCGAACAGCUUCCUAUCAUGACAAGCCGGCAGCUGGGAGCUGGCCUUGGUCAGGCACGCCGCCUGAGCCGAAAUCUUCUGGAGUCGGAGGGCGGGAACCCACUGGUACGUGCGCCGGGCCGCGGGCCGGCCACGGGCCGACGGCGCGCCACGUAGCCGGAAAGCCUGCCAGCCCACGCGCGUGACGGGAUGUUGCCGCAGCGAGGGGGCCCGCCACGUCCGUGCCCCGGCCCAGGCGCGGAUCUUUUGUAUCCCGAAACUGCCCGCACGUUCCGUGCGGCAGUUUCGGCUCGCACUUAUGCGUAAUAAACGCGAGGCGUGGGGGGAGUGGGCGCAGUUAAUCCCAUGUCUCCCCCCACGUCCGGGGUCUUCAGCCGCGUGAGGCUAUAAGUAGGGGGAGGCGGAGGGCGGCAGACCCUCGCACGCUCCUCCUACUCCCUUUGUCUUCUCGUCUUGCUCGUUCUUGCGACAGCGCCUCGCCGCCGCGCUCUUCCCCCGCACGCUCCUCCGCCGCCGUGCUAGCUUCCGCUAUGCCUCCUCACGUCGAGCAGCUUGGCGGGGAUUGGGAUGGCUCCAUCGUCCACAACGACCACAUCGACUUCCUCCGCGACACCCGGCGCCUGCCCAGCACGGACAAAGUGGAGGUCCGCCUUGCGCCGGAGAAGGAGGUCAGGCCGGCGCCGCGGGAUGGCGAGCGGGUGAUCUUCCGCUCGCACUUCCUGCGUGGCUUCGGACUGCCAGUGAGCGCCUUCUUCCGCUCCUGGCUGGACUUCUAUCAGCUCCAGCCGCACCACCUCACCCCCAACGCGGUGGUGCUGCUGUCGGCCUUCGUCACCCUGUGCGAGGGCCAUCUCGGCGUCCUCCCCACCCUCGAGCUCUGGGGGGAGUUCUUCCAGUCGAAGCUGGGUACGCGCGUGCGGGGCGUGCCGGCUCAGACCGGCGCCUUCAUCGCGUCACGGAGAUCAGGCGCCGACAACCCCUUCCCCAUCAUCACGCUGAUCCAAUCGGUGAAGAAGUGGCAGAAGUCAUACUUCUACGUGCGGAACAUGGUGAACUACCUCGUCAACUGCCAGCUUCCCGACGACUGGCAAUUCGGCAAGGAGCCAUACAACCGCGCCAAUCCUCCACCUACGGUACGCUCCCCUUCUCUUUUUCUCUUUUUCUCUCUCAGCUCUGUCGCCGAGUUCCUCUGGGCCGACUCUAACUCAGUCGGCUCACUCUUUUGACAGAAUCCUCUGCUUCGGCCGGCCGGCGGAGCGGACGUGGAACGCCGCUUCGUCCCCGACCGGACCGAGCACGACCAGGAGGACCCCGAUCUGGGGGCGGUCCAUAUGGAGGACGCCGCCAAGCCGGCUGGUGGCCAAGCCGGCGGCGAAGCAGGCGGCGCCGGGUUCUCCGCGACCUUCGACGACUGGCCGGACGAGGACGAAGCCGAAGCCGUCCCGCCCCGCUAGCCGGCCUUCGGACGCGGCGCGGGCUCCUCCGGCGCGCAGCCUGCUCGAGGUAGAGGCCAGAAACGUCGCGCCACCCAGGGCAUGUUCGGCAGCCGGACGAAGAAGCCGAGGGGUGGAGCGGCAGCCACUAGGCGGGAAGAAGCGGCCGCGAAGGCGGCUCGUUUCCGCAAAGUGGUGAAGCAGCCGCAGGCUGUGUCAGCGUAAGCUUUCUCUCUUUCUGUGUAUUCUCCUUCUUUCUUUUCUUGGGUGGUUUUCUGAACCUUUGUCUUCUUUUCCUUGAUCAGAGCUCCACUGUCACUCGAGCGGGCGGCUGCCUGCUCCGUUGUCGAGUCGCCAGGGGGCUCUGGGAGCACCACCCGCCGCGUAGAUCCCCGUGCCGCCCUCCUGGAGGCGACGGAAAGGAACGCGCGGGAGGUGCGGGAGGAGCAGGAAGCGCGGGAGGCGGUGGCACGGAGGGCAGCCGCCGCCCAGGCAGCUCGGGAGGAGGAGGCGGCGAAGGCGCUCGCCGAGGCUGCAGCCAAGGCCCAGGAAGAGGCUGAGGCCGAAGCGGUGGCAGGGGAGGCCUUGAUGGUCACCCCCCUGCGCGCCAUGGCGCCCGGGGACGCGGAUCCCUCGCCAGGGGGAGCCAGCGGUUCCCAGCCGGGUCUGGGCAGGAGCGGCGACGACGUUAUCCUCUUGAGGGAGGCGCCGGGGCCGACUCCUCCGACUAGGGCGGCCCAAGGCGGCCAGACUGAGCCUGCGCCCGCACAGUCGGCGGAAGGCGAGCCGGUCGCGGGAGCUGAGGUGGCGGUCCGGGUUCCGCCAAGCCGGCGCGCAGGGAAGGCCGCGUCGGAGCCGCAGAAGGCGGCGUCGGAGCCACGGCCGGCCGUGGGCUCCAGCUCGUCGGCCCGAGACGCGGAGGCGGCCAGCGCUACCUCCGGGUGGACGCCAGGCGGAGGGACAGCCGUGGUGAACAUCGCUGCACAAGACGUCCGGACCCGGCUCCAGGGCCAAGCCGCGGCGCUGAGGCAGUUCACCGACGAAUUCCUCGCGACGCGGGCAGCCAUCCGGGUUAGUAUUCUCAUUUUGUUCUUGAUUUUUCUCGUGGGGGCGCGUCAGCGCACCCACUGGGUGUAGUCCCCGAGUUCCGAGUCGGCUGCUGAGCAGGCGGCUUGGAACUUCUUGGAGAUUUUGUUUUUGCUGCUUUGUUCUUACUUCGGUCUUCUGUCCAUCUUGCAGGACUACCACAACCUCCGAGCAGCCGCCUUCAACUCCCAGGCUCGGGAGCUGACGCAGAAGACCGCCGAUCUCACUGAAAGCCGAGGUAUGUGACUUGAUCUCUAUCUCAUGUGGGGGCGCGUCAGCGCACCCACUGGGUGUAGUCCCCGAGAUUCGGGCCGACUGCUGAGCAGUCGGCUCGGAUCUUCCUUGAUGGUUUCUCAUUGUUCUUCUUCUCUAUCUCUGCAGCGGCCAACGCCAGUCUGAGGGCACAGCUGGGGGAGUCCCAGACUGCUCUUCGUGCCAAGGACGCGGAGCUCGCCGCCUUGGUGCAGGAGCGCGACCGCCUGGUCAAGAAGCUGGCCGACCAGGAGGAAGGCCACAAGGCUGCGCUAAAGGCUGUGCAGGAUCGUGAAGCCACCCUCCAGGCCGAGUUCGAGACGGAGGCGGCCGGCUGGGACGAGGCCAGGCAGACUCUGGUCUCCGGCUAUGGCCAGAUUGAGGACCUGGUUGACGGUAAGUCGUCUACUCCUUCAUCCUUUCUUGCCAACAGCCACUUCGGCUCGUUUUCCUGAUUUGGGGUUCUUCUUUUCUUUUCUUCUUUGCGCAGAGUACUUCCCCGGCUAUUCCACUGCCGCCAACCAGGCCAUCGAAGCUCGUCGCCAGGCGAAGAGGCAAGCCGGCUUCGAGAUCUCGCCGACCGCCGGCCGCUCGUUGGAGGAGCAGCUCCUGGCGAUCCAGGCUCGCAUCCAGCCGGCUCACAGGCUGCUCCGCCGGCUUCAGAGUGCCGGGUCACAGGUCCUGGCCGCCCUCUGGCCCGGCCAAGUGAUCCCGCGCACUCCCAGUCGGACCGCCGACUGGCUGGAGGUGGCCGUCGGCCGCUUCGAGGCUUGGAAGGCGUCAGCGGCUCGCUCCGGAGCCGGGCGGGCGCUGGAGUUCGUCAAGGCCUGGUACCCAGGCCUGAAUUUGGACCAGCUGGCCACCUGGCGGCAGCAAGCUGACACGGAGCUGGAGCCGGCGCGGCCGGCCAUCAUUCGGCGGGCUUCGGCGAUCGCCGACUACACCGACACCAACGUCUUCGCCCCCGAGGUGGACGACAAUGGAGUCGCCCAGCCGGAAGAUUGGUUCGGGCUGGACCCGGCGUGCGGCGAGGACUCGGCGGAGGAGAUCGACUCCAGCAACGAGGGCGAAGAGGAGGAGGAGGAGGGUGAAGACGUCGAGCCGGCUGGCGGAGUAGCCGGCCAGCCUGACCGUGCCUCCAGCACUACGUCGCGUGCGAGCGUGUCUCCUGCCGCAGGAGGUGGUCAAGCCGGGACUAGCUAGGCGGCCACUCCUUCAGCCGGCGAGCUACCUUCACCGACCCACUCGGCCUCCAAGUCGCACCUUAGUCUUCUUUCCUUUAUUUCCCUGUCUUGUUACUUUGAACAAUAUUUGGUUAAGUCUGCACAAUUCCACCCACUGGGUGUAUUCAAACUUAAGUCUGUUGCCAGCCUGUGGGCGGCUUUAUGUAUAUAAGUUAUGCAAUCGGUCUUUCCUUGUACUUUCGCUUUUUGUCCUUUUGCAUUUUUCCUUUGCCGCCCUCCUUUAGAUGCCGCCUCCCUAGUCAAACAGCUGCUCUGCAAACUGUAGCCGGGGAGUGCCUGGCCGAUUGGGGAGGGGGAAGUACUUUUAGCUCUGUCGGACUUAAGCUAAGUUUUUUAGAAAGCCGGCUAGCCGGCUGCUGUGACAGCCGGUAGGCAUAUACGGAGGCCGUCUUUUUGCUAUAUAGAUUAGUUGUUCCUUAGCCGUUUUUCGUGUGGGCGUCCUGUCUGUCUUCUCUCUUGCUAGUCGGACAGUCAGUUCUUUGAGCUGCGACUUUCAACAAGAGAGGACUUGGGAGCCGGCGCACUACUUUGCUGACUUCGGGAAGAACUUAGAAUAUAGCUCAAGGCGGCCAGUCCCCGGGCCGACUAGUCGGACCCGGUGCCGGACAAGAAUUCGAAAAUGUAAUAAUACAUUCAUGGAUAUGACACUCGUCAUUCAUAGAUAAAUAAAAGGCAGUCCCCGAGUACUGUUCGGGGGGGCUGUUGGUUUGUAACGUAAUACAAAAAGGGGGUAGCGUGAUACAUACUGCUUUUCAGCUGUAAAAUCGUCUUAGGAGGUUUGCGUUCCAUGGUCGCUCCGACUCCUUGCCGGAGUCGUCUCUCUUGCGUGCUCUUGGCUUUUGCGCGUCGAUCAAGUAGUAGGAGUCGUUGCUGAGUGCCUUGCUGACGACGAAGGGGCCUUCCCAAGGGGCCGAGAGCUUGUGCUGGCCGGCUAUUCGCUGGAUCAGCCGGAGCACAAGGUCGCCCUCUUGGAAGGAUCUUGGCUUGACCUUGCGGUUGUAGUAGCGGCGCAGGCCUUGCUGGUAGAUGGCGGACCGGCUGAGGGCUAACAGCCGGCCUUCUUCCAGUAGGUCGACGUCGUCUUCUCUUGCUUCUUUGGCUUCCUCCUCCGUGUACAUGGUGAUCCAAGGCAAGUCGAACUCGAUGUCUGUUGGGAUGACAGCCUCGGAACCGUACACAAGGAAGAAUGGAGUGAAGCCGGUUGACUUGUUGGGUGUAGUGCGCAGACUCCAGAGGACAGCCGGCAGCUCUUCGAGCCAGCAACCGGCCGAUCGCUCCAGUGGUACAACCAGUCGGGGCUUGAUGCCGGAGAGGAUAAGUCCAUUUGCUCGCUCGACCUGGCCGUUUGACUGUGGGUGGGCGACGGACGCUAAGUCCAGGCGGAUGCCCUGUGUCGCGCAGAAACGCGCCAGUGCGCCUUUGGCGAAGUUCGUGCUGUUGUCGGUGAUGAUGCUGUGCGGCAUGCCGUACCGAGUAGUGAUGUCGGUGAUGAACGUCACGGCAGUCGGCCCGUUCAGCUUCUUGAUGGGCUUGGCUUCGAUCCACUUUGUGAACUUGUCCACAGCAACGAGUAGGUGCGUCAUGCCACCGCGGGCUGUCUUGAAAGGGCCCACCAUGUCCAAUCCCCAGACGGCAAAAGGCCAGGUGAGGGGGAUGUUCUUGAGGGCAGAAGCCGGCAGGUGUUGUUUGGAACUGAAGACUUGACACCCUCUGCAGCUCCUCACUAUUUCUUUAGCAUCCUCCAAGGCAGUCGGCCAGAAGAACCCAUGGUGGAAAGCCUUGGCCACGAGGGAUCUUGAGGCGGCGUGGUGGCCGCAUUCGCCUUGGUGGAUGUCUUUGAGGAUUGCCACUCCUUUUUCUGGCUCGACGCAAUGCUGGAAGACUCCAGUGACGCUGCGCUUCACAAGCUCCCUAUUGAUUAUUGUGUAUGCUGCGGCUCGUCGUUGCACUAGUCUUGCUGCGAUCUCAUCAGUCGGCAGUGGUUGACUAGGAACUUGAGGAUGGGCUGGGCCCAUGAGGGAGCUGUGACUUCUUCUGCUGUUAAUGUGGCCACCAUGACUCGGGUGGGUGGGUUGGGUGUUGUAUUGGAGUCGACCGCCGCUUCUUGUGUCGUUGCAGUCCCCGGGCCGGGUUCUGAAGUCCCUGGGCCGGGUGCGACUACGUCAGUCCCCGGGGCAGUCGUCGAAGUCCCCGUGCCGCCUGCCGAAUUUCUUGAGCCGGAUCCGGCUGUUUCUGGCGCAGGCGGUAUGAAGGUGGAGUCCGACUCUGGAGACGACUUGAUGGACGGCUUGAGGAGGCGCUGGAGGGAGACGCCAGUCGGUAUGGCUUGUCGGGUGGAGCCGAUCCAUGCUAGGGCAUCUGCUUGGUCGUUGUCGGCCCUUGGCACAUGAAGGAACUCGCACCCUUCGAAGUAUCCGCUCAUCUGCUGGACGAGGAAGCGGUAGCUCGCCAUGUUCGCGUCCUUGGCGUCCCAGUCGCCAGAUGAUUGCUGGACCACUAAGUCGGAGUCGCCGUAGCACAGGAUCCGGCGUAUGCCGAGUUCUUUGGCUAGCCGGAGCCCAUGUACGAGCGCCUCAUACUCGGCCACGUUGUUGGAGGCGGCGAAGUGGAUCUGCAACGUGUACUUGAGCUUGUCGCCUUUGGGAGAGGUGAGGACGAUGCCGGCUCCCAAGCUGGUGCGCAUCUUGGACCUGUCAAAGUGCAUCCGCCAAUGGGUAGAGUCGGGAGCCGGCGGUAAGUACUGGGUCUCGGCCCAGUCGACGAGGAAGUCGGCCAAUGCUUGCGACUUGAUGGCGGUGCGGGGUUGAUAGAAAAUCGUGUAGGGCGCCAAGGCAAUGGCCCAUUAGGCCACCCGGCCGGAUGCAUCCCGGCUGCCUAUGAUCUCGGCGAGCGGGGCAGUGCACACGACCGUGAUGGGGUGCUCUUGGAAGUAGGGCUUCAAUUUCUUGGCAGCGAAGUACACCCCAUAGCACAUCUUUUGGUAGUGCGGGUAGUUUUGCUUUGAGCUGGACAGUACUUCGCUGAGAUAGUAGACCGACCUCUGGACCAGCUGAGCUCGGCCUUCCUCCGGGCGCUGGACCACAACAACAGUGCUGAUGACUCGGCUUGUCGCGGCGAUGUAGAGGAGCAUGGGCUCCUUCUCAGUCGGCGCAGCCAGGACAGGCGGAGUAGUCAACAUUUUCUUCAACUCAUGGAAGGCUUGGUCGGCUUGAUCAUUCCACUCAAAGUGAGUGGACUUCUUCAUGAGUCGGUACAGGGGGAGAGCCUUCUCUCCUAGUCGGCUGAUAAAACGGUUCAGGGAGGCUAAGCAGCCAGUGAACUUCUGCACAUCUCGCAGUUUGGUGGGAAUCUCCAUCCUCUCGAUGGCUUUGAUCUUGACAGGGUUGCACUCAAUGCCGCGUUCGGAGACCAGGAAGCCUAGCAGCUGGCCGGCUGGCACUCCGAACACGCACUUCUCGGGGUUGAGCUUGAUCUGGAAUCGGCGCAAGUUGGCAAAUGUUUCCUUCAGGUCUUCCAGCAAGGUACCACGCUUCUCUGUCUUCACCACAAUGUCGUCUACGUAGACGUGGGCAUUUCUGCCGAGUUGUUUCAAGAGACAUUUCUGCAUGCAACGCUGAAAAGUGGCACCGGCGUUUCUCAAGCCGAAUGUCAUUGUCAGGUAGCAGAAAGCUCCAAAGGGUGUGAUGAAGGCAGUCUUCAGGGGGUCGGCCGGGUCCAACUUGAUCUGAUGAUACCCUGAGUAUGCAUCCAAGAAACUUAACAGCUCGCAUCCGGCUGUGGAGUCUAUCACUUGGUCAAUCCGUGGCAAAGCAAACGGAUCCUUUGGGCAGGCCUUGUUCAGACUUGUGUAUUCUAUACACAUGCGCCACUUGUUAUUCUUCUUCAAAACCAGAACUGGAUUGGCAAGCCAUUCUGGAAAGAACACUUCCAUGAUGAAGCCGGCUGCAAGGAGCCGGGCUAUCUCUUCUCCCACGAUUCUUCGCUUCUCUUCUGAUAGUCGGCGGAGGGGUUGCUUGACCGGCUUCGCAUCAGCUCGGACAUGUAAUUUGUGCUCGGCGAAAUCCUUCGGGACACCCGGCAUGUCCUUUGGGGACCAUGCAAAGAUGUCUCGAUUCUCACGGAGGAAGUCGGCGAGCUCGCCUUCCUAUUUACUGUCCAAGUUCGCCCCAAUCACGGCGAACCUCUCCGGGUGCUCCGGGUCUAGAGGUAUCUUCUUCGUCUCUUUUGCAGGCUGGAAGGAGCCCUGCGCAUCACAGUCCUUGGGGUUGGGGGACAAGGCCGGCUGCUUGCCGGCCAUGGCCACAACCCGUUCCAACAUCUUCUUCUCUUCUGCCACCACGAGGGACUCGGCCAGCCGGCUGCUGGCCAUGGCACACUCGAUGGACUUCUUGUAGUCGCCGGCUAUCGUGAUGAUCCCUUUCGAGCUCGGCAUCUUCAUCUUCAGGUAGGCAUAGUGGGGCACAGCCAUGAACUUGGCCAAAGCAGGUCGGCCAAGCAGUGCAUGAUAGGGGCUCUCCAAAUCCACCACCUCGAACCAUAUUGCUUCCCGGCGAAAAUGAUCUUUGUCUCCGAAGAGAACAUCCAUCUUGAUCUUGCCGAUUGGAGAGCAAGAUAGGCCGGGUACGAUACCAUGGAAGACUGUGCGGCUCGGCAUGAGCUGCUUUGCUUUGAUGUUCAGCUUGUCCAUGGUAUCGCGGUACAGUAUGUUGAUACUGCUUCCGCCGUCUAUCAGGACGCGAGAAAAUCUGGCAGCUCGCCUCUCCGUCGCAAGGGUGAUGUCCAAGACCAUAGCAUAGGAGCCAGGCGAAGGCAUCACCUCUGGGUGGUCGGCCUGGCUCCAGCUGAUGGGCUUUUCCGACCAGUGCAUGAACUCGGCGGUGCUAGAGGCGACUGCGUUUACUUCUUGGUGCUGCCGGCGUCGGCUGCGCUUGUCGUCGACUUGACUUGUGAAGACGACGUAGGCGUCGUGCGCUUCGGGGAACUCGUCUUGGAUGGCGCCGACUGCCGGCCGGGCCGCCGGCUGCGGGGGAGCUGGAGGCGGCGGGCCGGGAGGCGGAGGCGGCACCAUCCCUUCGCCCUUGGUGGUGCGGGUGAGACAGUGGCAUUUCCGUGUUGUAUGGUUGGACGGCUUCGCGCCGCUGUGGAACUUGCAGGGAGCAUCGAGUGCUUGUUUGUAGGAGAAGGACGGCUGCCAAGGCGGCCGGCCUCCCUUCUUCUUGGGAGCACGCCGCUCUUCGGGCUGCUCGUCUUCAAUGGUGGCCACCUGCCGACUGGAGGAAGUCGGCAUGGGGCCCUUGCGCUUGUGGUCGUUCUGGUAGGGGCGCCGGUUGGGGUUGCCAGCCGGCUGCUUGGGAGCCGGGGCAACCACUUUCCCCGAGGCGUCCACUCGGAGCUCGGUCUUCAUGGAGGAAUCGGCAGUAGCGUAUUUGUCGGCGAUGACGAGUAGCUCGUCGAGGGUAGCCGGCUCGUCGCAGAGGAGUCGGUGCUUGAGGAGGGUGCCCUCUCGGCACCCGGCAGUGAAGUACUCGAUGGCCUGGACCUCGUGCACUCCCUCGCAGGAGUUGCGGAGCUCGGCCCAUCGCGUGAGGUAGUCGCGGGUCGACUCGUUGGGCCCCUGGACGCAGAGGGAGAGCUGGCGAGGCUUGGGAGGCCGCUUGUAGGUGCUGGUGAAGUUGCGGACGAAAACUUCGGUGAAGUCCAGCCAACUGUUGAUGCUGUAGGGCUUGAGGCUAUUGAGCCAUGUGCGCGCCGUGCCCUGCAGCAUCAGGGGGACGUACUUCACGGCAACGCGCCGGUUGCCGUUGGUGAUGCUGACGGCUGUGGAGUAGUCGAUGAGCCAAUCUUCCGGCUUCACCGAGCCGUUGUACUUGGGCGUGUCUCUGGGGAGCGAGAACCCUUUGGGAAAGGGCUCGUCGCAGAUGCGGGGGCCGAAGCAUGGCGGGCCGACAUCGUCUUCUUCUUCUAACACCAAGGAUCGAGCUAGGCGAUCGAUCCUGUGGCGGGCGUCGUUCUCGCCGACUCCUUCUCGGCGGCCGAGUCGGUCGCCAAGAGUCGGAUGCGUGACAGGCGGUGGAGUGAGGCGUCUUUCUCUUCGAGGCGGGGGAGGAGGCAGGUUUCCUUGGUGUUCAACCGCCCGAGGGCGACCAUCCGCGUCGCGCUCGAUAGUGACGCGAGUCCGGCUGCGGCUGGCAGCCGGCUCCUUGUCUUUCUUCUGACGCACACCGCUCGCAGUCGGCGAGCGGGACGUCGCGGCGUGCUCCCGGCGCGGGGGAUGGCUAUCAGCUCGGGCGCCGGCUUCGUGUCGUUCUGCAUCCGCGUCGAUCAGCUGCUGGAUCCGUCUCGUCAUGUAGGGGAGCUCAUCGACUCCCAUCCCACUGAGCUCCUCUGCAGCCGCCUGAGCGGCUCGCAGAUUCUCGAGCGGGGUGGCGUAGACGGGGCGAUCUGCGCCCAGCAUGCUGGCAACGGCUGCGCCGCGCUUCUGGACGAAGCCGGCUCGGCUCGGGCCGCUAGGCGGCGGCGUCCCGAAGGCGGCGCGGUCAACUUCGCGCUGGUGGGCCUCGGUGAGACGUCUCAUCGAGGCUAUCUUCUUGCCCUCCGCGAUGAGGGCACGGCGGCGUGCCUCCAGGGUCUCGGCGUCGGCGUCGGCCGGGAUGGGGACGGAGAGGUCGUGCAUCGCCGCUCGCUGAGCGUCGCGGGCGUUCUCGCCCGAGUCGGAGACGUGGCUGAUGACCAUCACUUCGGUGACAGCGCUGUUGCCGCUGUCAGCUCGAGGGAGUGGGUCGUCGAAGACCACCACGUUGGAGGGGUAAGCGUCGAGCGACGCGGUGUUGGAGUCGAUGAGCAUCGGGUCGGUGGAGCCGACAGACUCCAUGUCCGCGGCAGGCUCGCUGGAGACGUGAAGUUGGUCGAGGAGGCUGACAAGGCGGCUCUCGGGGUAGUCGGUGCCUGCGUCGGACGCAGGCUCGUCGGAGAUGCGAGUCUCGCCGAGCAGAUCGGCGAGGCGGCUCGCUGCGCAGGCGUCCUCGACGCCUUGCAGCGCGUCGGGGCAAGCGCCAUCGGGCGCAGCAGGCUGGCUGCGCUCGCGGGGAAGGAAGAGGGUUCCCGUCCAGAACAGGUCUCCGGACGACGGUGCACCUGGCCCCACGGUGGGCGCCAAAUGUCGGGUGGUUGGUGCGACAUAUGCCAAGGGAUGGCUUAUCAUUGUGGGAGCCAAUAAAACGUCGUCGGUGCCUGGAAACAGGAUGAGGCGAAGACAUGCACGCCGGCGAAUCUUACCCAGGUUCGGGGCUCUCCGAGGAGAUAACACCCCUAGUCCUGCUCUGCGGGGUCUCCGCAUGAUCACUAGAUCGAUAAAGGGUAGCUACAAUCGCUCCUAGAGCUGUUGGGAUCAAGGGAGAAGAAGAACAAGGCUAGCUCUUGCUUCUCUCUAUCUAUGUUUGUGCGUGUGCUAUGCUUGAAGGCCAAACAUGCAGAAGUGCGAACCAGAAGCGAACCCUUUGCAUGGGUGCUCCGGGGGGUUUAUAUAGGCCUACCCCCCGGGGGUACAAUGGUAAUCCGACUGGGAGCGGGUCCCAGCCGUCAGUGUCUAUGCUUGCCGGCUUCUCCGCCGGCUGCUGGGUCCCGCCGGCUGCUGGGUCCCGCCGGCGGCCGGCUACUUGGUCGACAGGCCGGCCCCACCGCCUAGGGCUUUGUCGGCGGCUGCUUACUGUAGCCGCGCCUCUGAUGAUGAGGGCUUUGUCGAGGUGAGCGUGGCUACAGUGGGCCGCCUCGGAGGCUAUCACUGUAGCCUCACCUCGUCUUGUCUCCUUAAUGGGGCUCCUGCUUCGAGGAAGGGCAUAGCCGGCUUCUGGAGGCCGGCUAUGCUCCCGGCCGACUAGGAAAAGCCAGGCCGCCUUCACGCCUCUCUCUGGCUGAAGGGGCCCGCAGUCCUUGGGUCAUACAGGAAUGGGUCGUGGAUGACGUCGAGGCUAACGUGGCUACAGUGCCGGGCCGCACGGGAGACCUCCCUCCCGUACGGCCUCCUGUAGCCAUGCCCGCCUCGGGCUUCGGGGGUCGUGGGCUGCACUGUGGCCAUGCCCCGUCAGGUCGUCGUUAUGUAGGAGUGGUUGUCGUGGCCGGUUUCUAGGAGUCGGCGUCCUUCUUGGCCGGCUCCUUGGAGUCGGCGAGGCUGGGUCGCCUUCCGGGAGUCGGCUUUAGUGGUGAUCGGCCGGGGAAGGCGUCCCAAAUGCUUGGAGUGCUUGAAGGCCCAAAGGCCUGAUAAAUUUUCUGAAGAGCCAGGGGUAGUCGGUUAGGCUACCCGUGGCCACUUACUCCGACAGUCCUGGUGUUGAUCAUGUUUUGCCCUAGGGAGAGGUUUAGUCAACGGAUCUGCUACAUUCAGGUCCGUGUGUACUUUACAAAUUUCUAUGUCUCCAUUUUGAACACUUUCACGAAUGGAGUUGAAGCGACGCUUGAUAUGCCUGGUCUUCCUGUGAAACCUGGGCUCCUUCGCAAGGGCAAUAGCUCCAGUGUUGUCACAGAAGAGAGUCAUUGGACCCGACGCAUUGGGAAUCACCCCUAGGUCGGUAAUGAACUCCUUCAUCCAGACUGCUUCCUGUGCUGCCUCCGAGGCUGCCAUGUAUUCCGCUUCACAUGUAGAUCCCGCCAUGACGCUUUGCUUGCAACUACACCAGCUUACUGCUCCUCCAUUCAAAAUAUACACGUAUCCGGUCUGUGACUUCGAGUCAUCCAGAUCUGUGUCGAAGCUAGCGUCGACGUAACCCUUUACGACGAGCUCUUCGUCACCUCCAUAAACGAGAAACAUAUCCUUAGUCCUCUUCAGGUACUUCAGGAUAUUCUUGACCGUUGUCCAGUGUUCCUUGCCGGGAUUACUUUGGUACCUUCCUACCAAACUUACGGCAAGGUUUACAUCAGGUCUGGUACACAGCAUGGCAUACAUAAUAGACCCUAUGGCCGAGGCAUAGGGGAUGACACUCAUCUCUUCUAUAUCUUCUGCCGUGGUCGGGCAUUGAGCCGUGCUCAAUUGCACACCUUGCAAUACAGGCAAGAACCCCUUCUUGGACUGAUCCAUACUGAACUUCUUCAAUAUCUUGUCAAGGUAUGUACUCUGUGAAAGACCAAUGAGGCGCCUUGAUCUAUCUCUAUAGAUCUUGAUGCCUAAUAUAUAAGCAGCUUCUCCAAGGUCCUUCAUUGAAAAACACUUAUUCAAAUAGGCCUUUAUACUUUCCAAGAAUUCUAUAUCAUUUCCCAUCAAUAGUAUGUCAUCCACAUAUAAUAUGAGAAAUGCUACGGAGCUCCCACUCACUUUCUUGUAAACACAGGCUUCUCCAUAAGUCUGUGUAAACCCAAACGCUUUGAUCAUCUCAUCAAAGCGAAUGUUCCAACUCCGAGAUGCUUGCACCAGCCCAUAGAUUGAGCGCUGGAGCUUGCAUACUUUGUUAGCAUUCUUAGGAUCGACAAAACCUUCCGGCUGCAUCAUAUACAACUCUUCCUUAAGGAAGCCGUUAAGGAAUGCCGUUUUGACGUCCAUCUGCCAUAUCUCAUAAUCAUAGUAUGCGGCAAUUGCUAACAUGAUUCGGACGGACUUCAGCUUCGCUAUGGGUGAGAAAGUCUCAUCGUAGUCAACCCCUUGAACUUGUCGAUAACCCUUAGCGACAAGUCGAGCUUUGUAGAUGGUCGAAUUACCAUCUGCGUCCGUCUUCUUCUUAAAGAUCCAUUUGUUUUCUAUGGCUCGCCGCUCAUCGGGCAAGUCAGUCAAAGUCCAUACUUUGUUUUCAUACAUGGAUUCUAUCUCGGAUUUCAUGGCUUCUAGCCAUUUGUCGGAAUCCGGGCCCGCCAUCGCUUCUUCAUAGUUCGAAGGUUCACCGUUGUCUAACAACAUGAUUUCUAGGACAGGGUUGCCGUACCACUCUGGUGCGGAACGUGUCCUUAUGGACCUACGAAGUUCAGUGACUUGAUCUGUAGCUUCAUGAUCAUCAUCAUUAACUUCCUCUCCAGUCGGUGUAGGCACCAUAGGAACAUUUUCCCGCGCUGCGCUACUUUCCGGCUCGGAAGGGGUGACUAUCACCUCAUCAAGUUCCACUUUCCUCCUACUCAAUUCUUUCGAGAGAAACUCCUUCUCCAGAAAGGACCCGUUCCUGGCAACGAAGAUUUUGCCUUCGGAUCUGAGGUAGAAGGUAUACCCAAUAGUUUCCUUAGGGUAUCCUAUGAAGACGCAUUUUUCCGACUUGGGUUCGAGCUUUUUAGGUUGAAGUUUCUUGACAUAAGCAUCGCAUCCCCAAACUUUUAGAAACGACAGCUUAGGUUUCUUCCCAAACCAUAAUUCAUACGGUGUCGUCUCAACGGAUUUCGACGGAGCCCUAUUUAAAGUGAAUGCGGCAGUCUCUAAAGCAUAACCCCAAAAUGAGAGCGGUAAAUCGGUAAGAGACAUCAUAGAUCGCACCAUAUCCAAUAGAGUGCGAUUACGACGUUCGGACACACCAUUUCUCUGAGGUGUUCCAGGCGGCGUGAGUUGUGAAACUAUUCCACAUUUCCUUAAGUGUGCACCAAACUCGUGACUUAAAUAUUCUCCACCACGAUCUGAUCGUAGGAAUUUUAUUCUCCUGUCACGUUGAUUCUCAACCUCACUCUGAAAUUCUUUGAACUUUUCAAAGGUUUCAGACUUGUGUUUCAUUAGGUAGACAUAUCCAUAUCUACUUAAAUCAUCAGUGAGAGUGAGAACAUAACGAUAUCCUCCACAAGCCUCAACACUCAUUGGACCACACACAUCGGUAUGUAUGAUUUCCAAUAAGUUGGUUGCUCGCUACAUUGUUCCGGAGAACGGAGUCUUGGUCAUCUUACCCAUGAGGCAUGGUUCACACGUGUCAAAUGAUUCGUAAUCAAGAGACUCCAAAAGUCCAUCUGCAUGGAGCUUCUUCAUGCGCUUGACACCAAUGUGACCAAGGCGGCAGUGCCACAAGUAUGUGGGACUAUCGUUAUCAACUUUACAUCUUUUGGUAUUCACACUAUGAACAUGUGUAACAUCACGUUCGAGAUUCAUCAAAAAUAAACCAUUGACCAGCGGGGCAUGACCAUUAAACAUAUCUCUCAAAUAAAUAGAACAACCAUUAUUCUCGGAUUUAAAUGAGUAGCCAUCUCGAAUUAAACGAGAUCCAGAUACAAUGUUCAUGCUCAAAGCUGGCACUAAAUAACAAUUAUUGAGGUUUAAAACUAAUCCCGUGGGUAGAUGCAGAGGCAGCGUGCCGACGGCGAUCACAUCGACCUUGGAACCAUUCCCGACGUGCAUCGUCACCUCGUCCUUUGCCAGUCUCCGUUUAUUUCGUAGUUCCUGUUUUGAGUUACAAAUAUGAGCAACCGCACCGGUAUCAAAUACCCAGGAGCUACUACGAGUACUGGUAAGGUACACAUCAAUUACUUGUAUAUCACAUAUACCUUGGGUGUUGCCGGCCUUCUUCUUGUCCGCUAAAUAUUUGGGGCAGUUCCGCUUCCAGUGACCACUUCCCUUGCAAUAAAAGCACUCAGUCCCGGGCUUGGGUCCAUUCUUUGACUUCUUCCCAGUAACUGGUUUACCGGGCGCGGCAACUCCCUUGCCGUCCUUCUUGAAGUUCUUCUUACCCUUGCCCUUCUUGAACUUGGUGGUUUUAUUCACCAUCAACACUUGAUGUUCUUUUCUGAUCUCCCCUUCCGCUGAUUUCAGCAUUGAAUAUACCUCGGAAAUGGUCUUUUCCAUCCCCUGCAUAUUGUAGUUCAUCACAAAGCUCUUGUAGCUUGGUGGAAGCGACUGGAGGAUUCUGUCAAUGACUGCGUCAUCCGGGAGAUUAACUCCCAGCUGAGACAAGCGGUUGUGCAACCCAGACAUUCUGAGUAUGUGCUCACUAACAGAACUGUUCUCCUCCAUUUUACAGCUGAAGAAUUUGUCGGAGACAUCAUAUCUCUCGACCCGGACAUGAGCUUGAAAAACAAGUUUCAGCUCCUCGAACAUCUCAUAUGCUCCAUGUUUCUCAAAACGCUUUUGGAGACCCGGUUCUAAGCUGUAAAGCAUGCCGCACUGAACAAGGGAGUAAUCAUCAGCACGUGAUUGCCAAGCGUUCAUAACGUCUUGGUUCUGUGGGAUUGGUGCAUCACCUAGCGGUGCUUCUAAGACAUAAUCUUUCUUGGCUACUAUGAGGAUGACCCUCAAGUUCCGGACCCAGUCCGUAUAGUUGCUGCCAUCAUCUUUCAGCUUGGUUUUCUCUAGGAACGCGUUGAAAUUGAGGACAACGUUGGCCAUUUGAUCUACAAGACAUAGUGUAAAGAUUUUAGACUAAGUUCAUGAUAAUUGAGUUCAUCUAAUCAAAUUAUUUAAUGAACUCCCACUCAGAUAGACAUCCCUCUAGUCAUCUAAGUGAAACAUGAUCCGAGUUCAACUAGGCCGUGUCCGAUCAUCACGUGAGACGGGCUAGUCAAGAUCGGUGAACAUCUCCAUGUUGAUCGUAUCUUCUAUACGACUCAUGCUCGACCUUUCGGUCCUCCGUGUUCCGAGGCCAUGUCUGUACAUGCUAGGCUCGUCAAGUCAACCUAAGUGUAUUGCGUGUGUUCCGAGGCCAUGUCUGUACAUGCUAGGCUCGUCAACACCCGUUGUAUUCGAACGUAAGAAUCUAUCACACCCGAUCAUCACGUGGUGCUUCGAAACGACGAACCUUCGCAACGGUGCACAGUUAGGGUGAACACUUUCUUGAAAUUAUUAUAAGGGAUCAUCCUACUUGCUACCGUCGUUCUAAGCAAAUAAGAUGCAAAAACAUGAUAAACAUCACAUGCAAUCAAAUAGUGACAUGAUAUGGCCAAUAUCAUUAUGCUCCUUUGAUCUCCAUCUUCGGGGCACCAUGAUCAUCUUCGUCACCGGCAUGACACCAUGAUCUCCAUCAUCAUGAUCUCCAUCAUUGUGUCUUCAUGAAGUCGUCACGCCAACGAUUACUUCUACUUCUAUGGCUAACGCGUUUAGCAAUAAAGUAAAGUAAUUUACAUGGCGUUAUUCAAUGACACGCAGGUCAUACAAAAUAAUAAAGACAACUCCUAUGGCUCCCGCCGAUUGUCAUACUCAUCGACAUGCAAGUCGUGAUUCCUAUUACAAGAAUAUGAUCAAUCUCAUACAUCACAUAUAUCAUUCAUCGCAUCUUCUGGCCAUAUCACAUCACAUAGCUCUUGCUGCAAAAACAAGUUAGACAUCCUCUAAUUGUUGUUGCAAGUUUUUUACGUGGUUUGUAGGUUUCUAGCAAGAACGUUUCUUACCUACGUAUGACCACAACGUGAUUUGCCAAUUUCUAUUUACCCUUCAUAAGGACCCUUUUCAUCGAAUCCGUUCCGACUAAAGUAGGAGAGACAGACACCCGCUAGCCACCUUAUGCAACUUGUGCAUGUCAGUCGGUGGAACCUGUCUCACGUAAGUGUACGUGUAAGGUCGGUCCGGGCCGCUUCAUCCUACAAUGCCGCCGAAACAAGAAAAGACUAGUCGCGGCAAGAAGAAUUGGCAAACUCAACGCCCACAACUGCUUUGUGUUCUACUCGUGCAUAGUAACUACGCAUAAGCCUGGCUCAUGAUGCCACUGUUGGGAUUCGUAGCAUAAUUUUAAAAUUUUCCUACGCUCACCAAGAUGCAUCUAUGGAGUCUACUAGCAACGAGGGGAAGGAGUGGAUCUACACACCCUUGUAGAUCGCCAGCAGAAGCGUUCCAAUGAACGUGGAUGACGGAGUCGUACUCGCCGUGAUCCAAAUCACCGAUGACCGAGUGCCGAAUGUACGGCACCUCCGCGUUCAACACACGUACGGUGCAGCGAUGUCUCCUCCUUCUUGAUCCAGCAAGGGGGAAGGAGAGGUUGAUGGAGAUCCAACAGCACGACGGCGUGGUGGUGGAUGUAGCGGGUCUCCGGCAGGGCUUCGCCGAGCUUCUGCGAGAGAGAGAGAGAGGUGUUGCAGGGGAGGAGGGAGGCGCCAAAGGCUGUUGUGUGCUGCCCUCCCUCCCCCCCCCCUUUAUAUAGGCCCCUGGGGGGGUACGCCAGCCCCAAGAGAUGGGAUCUCAAGGGGGGUGGUGGCCAAGUGGGGGGGAAGGGGUGCCUUGCCCCCCAAGGCAAGGGGGAAGCUCCCCCCCCUAGGGUUUCCAACCCUAGGCGCAUGGGGGGAGGCCCAAGGGGGGCGCCCCAGCGCACUAGGGGCUGGUUCCCUUCCACUUUCAGCCCACGGGGCCCUCCGGGACAGGUGGCCCCACCCGGUGGACCCCCGGGACCCUUCCGGUGGUCCCGGUACAAUACCGGUAACCCCCGAAACUUUCCCGGUGGCCGAAACUUGACUUCCUAUAUAUAAUUCUUCACCUCCGGACCAUUCCGGAACCUCUCGUGACGUCCGGGAUCUCAUCCGGGACUCCGAACAACUUUCGGGUUUCCGCAUACAUAUAUCUCUACAACCCUAGCGUCACCGGACCUUAAGUGUGUAGACCCUACGGGUUCGGGAGACAUGCAGACAUGACCGAGACACCUCUCCGGUCAAUAACCAACAGCGGGAUCUGGAUACCCAUGUUGGCUCCCACAUGCUCCACGAUGAUCUCAUCGGAUGAACCAUGGUGUCGAGGAUUCAAUCAAUCCGUAUGCAAUUCCCUUUGUCAAUCGGUAUGUUACUUGCCCGAGAUUCGAUCGUCGGUAUCCCAAUACCUUGUUCAAUCUCGUUACCGGCAAGUCUCUUUACUCGUACCGCAAUGCAUGAUCCCGUGACUAACGCCUUAGUCACAUUGAGCUCAUUAUGAUGAUGCAUUACCGAGUGGGCCCAGAGAUACCUCUCCGUCACACGGAGUGACAAAUCCCAGUCUCGAUUCGUGCCAACCCAACAGACACUUUCGAAGAUACCCGUAAUGCACCUUUAUAGUCACCCAGUUACGUUGUGACGUUUGGCACACCCAAAGCACUCCUACGGUAUCCGGGAGUUGCACGAUCUCAUGGUCUAAGGAAAAGAUACUUGACAUUGGAAAAGCUCUAGCAAACGAAACUACACGAUCUUUUAUGCUAUGCUUAAGUUGGGUCUUGUCCAUCAUAUCAUUCUCCUAAUGAUGUGAUCCCCUUAUCAAUGACAUCCAAUGUCCAUAGUCAGGAAACCAUGACUAUCUGUUGAUCAACGAGCUAGUCAACUAGAGGCUUACUAGGGACAGGUUGUGGUCUAUGUAUUCACACAUGUAUUACGAUUUCCGGACAAUACAAUUAUAGCAUGAAUAAUAGACAAUUAUCAUGAACAAAGAAAUAUAAUAAUAACCUUUUAUUAUUGCCUCUAGGGCAUAUUUCCAACAAUAAGGAUUCCCCCUUCCUCUUCUCACGCUCUUUCUCCGUCUCCGCCUCUCCGAUCUCAAGCUCGAGCGCCCAAGUUCUCAUCUCCUUUCCACUCAAGCAACCAUGUCCGGAUCCGGUGGUCAGGGCAAGUGGAUGGUCUCCUCCGUCAAGGAGGAGGACAUUACUGAGCUCCGGGCAGCCGGAUAUUUGGCGAAGGAGAUCGCCCACCGCCUGCCGGCCGAGGUACAAAUUGUCCCCAUGCCGAAGCCCACUGAGAGGGUAGUAUUCAUCCCCCAUUUCUUCCGCGGGCUAGGGUUUCCACUCCACCCUUUUGUCUGCAGGCUAAUGUAUUAUUACGGAAUAGAUUUCCAUGAUCUGUCCCCGAAUUCCUUCCUCAACAUCUCGGCGUUUAUCAUCGUGUGCGAGGCCUUCCUCUGCAUCCAUCCCCACUUCAGGCUGUGGCUCAAAGUCUUCAAGGUGAAGCCAAAGGUGGUGGAUGGCCAGCACGCGGAGUGUGGAGGAGCCAUGGUGAGCAAGCUAUCCAACGUCUCCUGGCCCAAAGGCACUUUUGUGGAGACAGUAAAGGAAUGGCAGAAGCAGUGGUUCUACAUCACAGAACCUCGCGGCACCACCUGGGCCGCGGCUGCCAGAUUCUGCUCCGGUGCUCCCAUGCGACUCACCUCCUGGGUCGAGAAGAGUCCGGACUGGAGUUCACCUGACGAGCUGAUAGCGUUGCAGACGCGCGUUCAAAGCAUGGUGACCAAGAACUUCAAGCUCGUUGACGUCAUCUAGGUGAUGCUGGUCCGCCGGAUUCUUCCGUGCCAGCGCCGGAGCCGCCCUUUGUGGGAGUUCAAUUCGAAGAAGCACUAGACCUUGAAAAGGCUCUUCGAGACUUCUCACGAAGGGGCCUGGAAGUUGCUCUUUAAGGGCAACGAGAAGCCACCGGCCACGGACUCAGACCGUGGUCACGAUUGUAAACACCCCGCCAGCGAGGUAUGUUUUCUCUGACGUAUCCCCGACUUAAAUGUUUCGAGGAUGAUUCUAAGUUUUUAUUAUUUCUCUUUCAGGACUGGAUGGAGAGGGCGAGGCGGAUCCGGUGUCCGGCCCCGCUGCCUGAAGAACCUGUCAUCUCGCGCCUGGCGAAUAUGCUGGUGCCGGUGCCAUAUAAGGCGCCGGAGAAGAAGGCCAAGAAGAAGGCCAAGGGGGCCAAGAGUGGCCCCCGUCGCAAGGGCAGUCCGGACGUGACGUCCGAAGACGACGAAGCUCAUUCCUCUGUACCUGAGGACAAUGACGAGGAAGAGGAGGAGGAGGAGGAGAACAACCCUCCCCCCGAGGAGAAGAAGAAGAAGAGGGCGGCUUCGGCGCAUCUGGAGGCGGAGACGCCCAAGAAGGGGAAAGGCGUCCCAGCGGUCAACACCUCAUGGGAUGUCGACAGUAGUCCGGAACAACGCCCCCGUACUAAGCCCCAGGCCGCAUCGUAAGUGACGUGGCUUGCUCGCGCGCACAUCCGGCCCUUUUUCUCCAUUUAUCUUUGACAUAGUUUAACUGUACUAUUGCAGUCCGGCCCGUGACCUUAUCCAGCAAUCCUCAUCUGAAGGCUCGUUGGCUCCGUCGGAGAUGGCGAGCAUGUCGCCACCGCCCGCUUACUCCCCUGGGGCUAGGGAUGACGCCGAAGUGCUGUCCCGAAAGACCGCUCUGAACUAGGGAGGAGCCCAGGACGUUGUCCGGGAGGCGCCACAAGGCGGGACCUCCACUGCCGGACACAUGAGGGAGCCAAUCCCCAUGGAGACUGGCGAAGAAGGCCGUAUCCAGUUCGGCUCUCAGCCGAAUACGAUUCUAGAGACCCAUAUGGCUCCGGAGUCGGGCGAGCAGCCCCCUUUGAAGGAGAGGGGUGCGCCGCCUCCACCGGUGGCUCCUGUCCAUCCAGGAGCGUCGGAUGACCUAACGGGGGCGCUACGAAGCGCCUCCGUCGUGGACGAGCAUCGUGUCCUUAUGGGUGCGGUGAUCGAGAAGGUUCAGUCCACCAAGAGCGGACUGAAUGAAGCCUGUAGUAGCCUGUUAACAGGUUUCGAGGUAAGAAAGAGAGAAAAACCCGAAUAGUCCGUAGCCCCUAAGACGUUGUCCGGUGUUCAGCGAGAAGAACCGGACAGGGGAUCAAUCCUUAAUUAUAAGAGGCUGACUGAAUAUAUAUCGAUAAGCAGGCGUCCCUAUUGGUCGCGACCUCGCAUGCUACCGAGGUCUCCGAACUGAGGCGGAGGCUGGAGCGGACCGAGAACGAGCUCGGCGAGGUUAAGGUUCGGCUCCAGGAUCAGCAAGGUGAGUAACGACUUGUUGUAUGUUCGGGAAAGGAUAAGCGCUGUAUAUUGACAAUGGUAUUGUGAUACAUGAAGAAGCCGCGACCGAGGUCGAGGCCCUGAGGAAGGCCCUAGGCGAGGCCGAGGAGCAGGCUGUCCAGCAGCAAGAUGCCCGUAAGAAGCUAGAGGCCCGGGUCAAAGAAGUCCAGCAGGAGCUCCAGGAUGCGGUUAACAAAUGUGAGACCUUGGAGAAUGAUGCAUCGGCUCAAGGGGCCGAGCUCACCAAGGCUCGUCAGAGCACGGAGACCGCUCGGAAUGAGGCCCAGGCCGCCCUCCAGGAGAUCCAGGAGGCCAAGAAGAUCACAGCGGGUAAGGCUUUUAAUAUGCAAAGCAAGUACGCGGAGAAGCAGUACCUUUUACUAACCCGGGUUCGGAGUUCCCCAGGGGCUUUUGCUGAUCUACCACACAGUGUAUCGGACGCCGUGGAGUUCUAUCGAGCCGAAGGAGGGGGUUCCACAGAGAAGCUCUUCUGGUCGUAAUAUGCGGUGCCAGAGCCUCCCAUGUCCUUCACCGAUCAGCUGAAACAGCUGGUGGAGCUGCACAAGGUGGCCGAAUUAGCCAUGAAGAAUUUGACAAUCCGGCUAUGGCCAGCCGAAGCUAUGCCUGGCAGCUACUUCAGACUCGUGAGGCGGAUGGUAAACGCAUGUCCUCGGCUGGACGUCAUCAAGCGCUCCGCCUGUAUUGAAGGUGCCCGUAUGGCCUUCGCUUGCUGCAAGAUGUGGUGGGCGAAGAUGAACGCUGUUGAAGUUGCCAGCGGGCUGCCGGAGGGCAAGGAGCACCGCACACCCGAGCAAUAUUUCGCGGAUGUCGUAGAGGGGUCUCGACUUGUGGCGGCGCAAUGUUCGUAGGACAUUGUAUUUAAAUAAAUGUAUUCGUGUUGCCCUUUGCCUUGUAUUAUAGGAACAAAGCCGGUUUUUGUAAAAUAAUUUUAUUAUGCUUUGAAUUGUUUCCUCCUGUGUAGCCGUGUUAUUUGUAAUCUGAGGGUUGGCUAGCCGUCGGCUUCUGCCCUCGCGUAGGUAGUACGGAGGUGUUCGGAAUGGAUUCUAAACAAUCUUGAUCCAAUUAUAUGGUCCCUUGGAGGAUUUGUUUAGCGCAACGAACAAGGCAAUCGGACUGUACGGCUUAAACGCCCUCACUUAGCCAUAGGAGUUUUAUAAUUAAGCAAGUGCGCAGCCCCUGGUCCAAGCUAGGGUGCUGUCGGCGUCUAAUCGGGAAGUGUCGAUCCUUCGCAUGAUGCGGAAAAAAUCUCCAAUGAUUUUGUAACCCUCGAAUAGCUGACCGGCUCUCGCCGUAUCAUGACAGACAAUUUUCGGCUUUCUCUACUGAGGUGCUCAUAUGGUCAAGGCCAGGGCACAAUCGCAGUAGUUCUCCCUUUACUAACCUAGCCGAUAGAGCGGAACGUAGGGUAGCAAGCAUAGGAGCCCGGCAACCCAACUAUUGACCAAAGACAUGAUUCGGAGCCAAUGCAUAUAAUGCUAAAUUCGGGGUGCCGAACUUAUAUAUAAGAAGUGUUCGGACUUUGCUGCCGUAUUGUGGGGCGACAAGUAGCCCCUGGCGAAUAUGAAACGUAAAAGAGUGUCGAUGCAGCAAAUAAGCAAAUCGAAAUAAAAUGAAGUAAGAAGCGAAAACCAUAGAAACUGGGCCACGAACCAUUUUUAUUAUAACUGGAUGGAUACGUCAAGGUGUAUCUUGUAUAGAUGGUGCGAUAAGUAUCCGGGCCUACACACCUGUGCUGCUUGCCUCCGUUGUAUGCCAAUCCUUCUAAAGGACUCGCGAUCAGGCCCGUGGAAAAAGGAACCUGAAACAAGAAAAAAAAAGUAAAAGUGCGUGUGUUCGGGAUCUGUCUGGCCGAACUGUAGACCCCGGGUUAUCUUGUGCCUCCGUCGAUGUCCAUGGAAUUUUGAGUGCGUAAUUGUGUACGCGUGGUACGAAUGCCACUACCUCAUUGGGACUGGGACGGAGGCCGAAUUGCUAGUCGAGCACUUGACGAGCCGCACCGUCCUGUUGCAGUGAAGUCCGGAACCUCUUAAUGAUGUCCGAGGGCUCGACAGCCGUACUAUGGUGCUUCUUGAGAAGGCCGCUCUGUACUUCUGCUGCUAGGGCGGCGGUGUGCUCCUCUGUUCGGAGGGAGCGUUCCGUAUUGCCAUUGACUGUUCUGACGCCGAGUGGACCGGGCAUCUUGAGCUUGAGAUAAGCAUAGUGUGGCACUGCACUGAAUCUAGCAAACACGGUUCGUCCGAGCAGUGCGUGAUAGCCGCUGCAGAAGGGGGCGAUAUCGAAGAUUAACUCUUCGCUUCGGAAGUUUUCCGGAGAACUAAAGAGUACCUCUAGCGUGAUUGAGCCCGUACAGCGGGCCUCUACGCCUGGUAUGACUCCUUUAAAGGUAGUCUUUGUUGGUUUGAUUCGCGAGGGGUUAAUGCCCAUCUUCCGCACUGUGUCCUGAUAAAGCAGGUUGAGGCUGCUACCGCCAUCCAUCAGGACUCGUGUUAGGUGAAACCCGUCAAUAAUUGGGUCGAGGACUAGUGCGGCCGAACCGCCAUGGCGGAUACUAGUUGGGUGAUCCCGACGAUCGAAGGUGAUCGGGGAUGAUGACCACGGAUUGAAUUUUGGGCGACUGGCUCUACCGCGUAGACGUCCCUAAGUGCUCGCUUACGCUCCCUUUUGGGGAUGUGCGUAGCGUAUAUCAUGUUCACCGUUUUGACUUGAGGGGGAAAUUUCUUCUGCCCCCCAGUGUUCGGCUGCCAGGGCUCUUCGUCCUCGUCCUCACUUUGUGAUCCCUUUUCUUUUUUCGGCAUUUAACUUGUCGGCCUGCUUGAAGACCCAACAAUCCCUGUUGGUAUGAUUAGCUUGCUUAUCCGGGGUGCCAUGAAUUUGGCACGGACGGUCGAGUAUGCGGUCCAGGCUGGAAGGUCCUUCGCUGUUUCUUUUGUAGGGCUUCUUCCGUUGGCCGAACUUGGAGCUACUGAAUCCGGCGUUGACUGCGGUGUCAUCGGUGUUGUCGCCAUUGCUUCGGCAUUUGUGUCUAUUGCGCCGGAGCUUUCCAGUGCUGUUCUUGGCCUCAGUGGGGCUUGCCUCGCUGGCUGUGUUUUUACUACGAGCCAGCCAGCUGUCCUCACCCGCACAAAAGCAGGUCAUGAGUGUCGUGAGGGCUGCCAUAGACUUCGGCUUUUCUUGGCCGAGGUGGCGUGCUAGCCAUUCGUCACGGAUGCUGUGUCUGAAGGCUGCUAGGGCCUCGGCAUCCGGACAGUCAACGAUCUGGUUCUUUUUGGUUAGGAACCUAGUCCAGAAUUUUCUGGCUGAUUCUCCAGGUUGUUGAACUAUAUCGCUUAAGUCAUCAGCGUCUGGUGGCCGGACAUAAGUUCCUUGGAAGUUAUCAAGGAAAGCCUCUUCCAAGUCUUCCCAGCUGCUGAUGGAAUUCUCAGGCAGGCUAUUUAACCAGUGCCGAGCUGGCCCUUUGAGCUUUAAUGGGAGGUAUUUGAUGGCGUGGAGGUCAUCUCCUCGAGCCAUAUGGAUAUGGAGAAUGAAAUCCUCGAUCCAUACUGCGGGAUCGAUUGUGCCAUCGUAUGAUUCAAUGUUGACAGGCUUGAACCCCUCGGGGAAUUCGUGAUCCAGUACUUCAUCUGUGAAGCAGAGAGGGUGUGCGGUGCCGCUAUAUCGGGCUGCGUCGUGGCGUAGCUCUGAUGGAGUCCGUCUGCGGUAUUCAGCCCGGGCGUGGUUAGGUUUAUCACGUCCGAAUAGGUAGCCCUCGUCGUGCCUCGAGGCACGUCCUCGCGAUCCGUAGAUCGAUCUUGUAUGUCCUGCUCUACUGUCCAGGGUCUGCCGGAGGUCGUACGUGUGACCCCGAACUCUUCCGUUUCUGUUUUUACGGGGCGGUGGGGCAGGCUGCUGUUCGGCCUGAGUUGCCGCUUUAUCCCGGCCGCGGGGUGGCCGGUCGGCUGCCCUGUCUCGACCACGUGGUGGUCAUUCUGCACUAUGCGAGGGAGAUGUGUGCUCCGGUGCUUCCUCAUCGAAUUGAGGUAGUAGUCUGCGUUUCAGGUAGCUCUUGGCUGGGCGCCUGAGGCCGUAUUCUUCGGCUGUCAGGACAUUAGUCCAUCUAUCGACGAGCAGAUCUUGUUCAGCUUGGAGCUGAUGUUGUUUCUUUUUCAGACUCCUUGCAAUGGCUAUGAGCUGAAGCUUAAAGCGCUCCUGCUCCAGAGGAUCCUCCGGCACGAUGAAGUCUUCGUUGCCGAGGCUUGUCUCCUCCCCGGAGGGUGGACGGUAACUAUCGUGCUCCGAGUCAUCUUCUAUGGCCUGUUCAUCAGGGUUAUCUUGCCUGUUUGCCGUGUUCCUCCUGAUCGGAUGCAGCUCCGACAGGGUCUUCAUUGUUUUCGGCAUCGCCUGGAGUACUAUUUUCUCCGGUGCCGGUGUUGCCGUCCCUUGAGCGACGAGGCUUAGGGCGGCGUUUGGGGCGUCGGCGCUUCGACUGUAUCUUAGAGAUUUUAUUCGCAUCUGGCUCUUCUUUGUCGUCGCCAGAUCCUUUGGGUGUAUCAACCAUGUACACGUCAUACGAAGAGGUAGCCGUCCAGCGUCCGGUGAAUGGCGGGUCUUGGCCUUGCUCCUUAUCGGCAUCAUCGUCCAUACCGUCGAUGUCUUCGGAGCCAUAGUCAAGCACGUCGGUUAAGUCAUCGACGGUGGCUAUGAAGUGGGUGGCGGGUGGGGAGCAAAAUUCUUCGUCAUCCGUCUCUAGCUCGAACCGGACGUAAUUCGGCUAUGAGUCCUUCUCCAAGGAAAAAUUCUUUAAAGAUUUUAGCACGUCACCCAAAGGCGAGUGCUGGAAAACGUCAGCGGCGCUGAACUCGGAGAUCGAUAACCGAUCUAGCUCGGUGUCCGCGGGCAUACACAGUCCGGAACUUAUAGCCGGAGACAAGUCCGAAGUUCCGUUGAAGCGAAUAUUGCAGGGCGUUGAGUCCGUGUGCGGCUCUAACGCCGCGGAUUCUGCGGCCUCGGAUGGCACGAUCUGCUUUGGCCCUAAGGCCGUUGCAGCAGCCGGAACCAUCUCUUGGGUGUGAUCCGAUGACAGAUUUAAGUCACGUUCAUCGGGGUGAGGGGGAGCGAUCGCCGCGGGCUCAAAUCCCUUGAAGAUCAAGUCUCCACGGAUAUCCGCGAUGUAGUUCAAGCUUCCGAAUCUGACCUGAUGGCCAGGGCGUAGCUGUCGAUCUGCUCUAGAUGGCCAAGCGAGUUGGCCCGCAGUACGAAGCCGCCGAAUGCGAAGGUCUAUCCAGGGAGGAAGGUUUCUCCCUGGACAACGUCAUUACUGACGAUCAAAGGGGCCAUCGAGCCCUUUGCCGACGGCACAGUGGAACUCUCAAUGAAAGCACCAAUGUCGGUGUCAAAACCGGCGGAUCUCGGGUAGGGGGUCCCGAACUGUGCGUCUAGGACCGAUGAUAACAGGAGACGGGGGACACGAUGUUUACCCAGGUUCGGGCCCUCUCUAUGGAGGUAAUACCCUACUUCCUGCUUGAUUGAUCUUGAUGAAUAUGAGUGUUACAAGAGUUGAUCUACCACGAGAUCGUAAUGGCUAAACCCUAGAAGUCUAGCCUAUGUGAAUAUGGUAAUGAAUAUAUGCCUUCCGGACUAACCCCUCCGGUUUAUAUAGAUACCGGGGGGAUCUAGGGUUUACAUGGAGUCGGUUAAAUAAGAAGGAAUCUUCAUAGUUGGUCGCCAAGCUUGCCCUCGACGCCAAGGAAAUUCCAAUCCGGACACGGGUAUAGUCUUCGGCCUUCGUAUCUUCACAGCCCAUCAGUCCGGCCCAAUGAACAACAGGCCGGACGCCCGAGGACGCCUUAGUCCAGGACUCCCUCACUCGCCGUUUGUGUUGCGCCAUGAGCAGGACUUUGAUUGAGAGGGCGACGUGCAUGCAUUAGCAUGGUUUGCCAGCGUGAGCGUGAGUGUCUGCACGCGUACAUGCUACUUGCCUCUAUGGACGGUGUGCGCUAAUGUGUGCAUCACGUAUAAUAUAAAAAAUGGUUUGUGCAUUUAACGCAAAGUAUUUCAUUUUCAUUUGGCUGACGAGUGUGCGUUGCAGCGAUGAGUCUGUGGUUUGAUUCCUCACAUACGCACAAUUUUGGUUUUCAUUUCUUUCUCCACUGAUAGGUAGGCCCGCAUAGAUAGAUAGAUAAAGACCACGAGCUGAUGAGGCGCAUGCGGACUGUUUGACUGGUCGACCAGAUAAAUACGGAGCUAUACGCUGAGCCAGUGACCGUAUAAUCACCAUAUCUCCUAUACAAUGAUCAAAGUGAGCUAUCAAGACAAGUUCGAUGACCGCCAAUGCAUUUUACUCGGUAAUAAAUGACCAGGAUUGAAGGGGAAUCCAAAUUUCCUUCGUCUUCUGUCCUUGAGCUCUUGACAAACCAAUGCACUAUACGGUUGUCCGGCCACUCCACCCCAGAGCUGUCAUGAAGCGUCGUUCAUGCCACCGCGCCACACACUAACCGGUAAGGAAGCGAUGGCAUCCCGCCGCGCCGAGUUCCUCGCCGCCCACGACUGCACACAAAAUGGUAGGGAAGUGAUGGCAUCCCGCCGUGCCGAGUUCAUCGCCGCUCGCGACCUCACACCUACGUGGGCGGAAAUUGAAGCUGCCAAGGCCGAAUGGGCGGUAGAGCAAGAGGCGGCCAAAGCCGCACAGAGGGAGCGGAAAAGUCAGAAAGCACUCAAGAAAAGAGAGGCCCGCCACCGCAAGAAAGAAGAGGACGCACGCGCUGCUGCGGAGAGGUCGGCGGAGAUCCAAGCACGGUGGGGUGUCGCCGAAAAAGCCGGGAAGGAGAACGACGGCGUCUGGCCAGCAUGUGAGAAGUAGUAGUACUAGUAGUUAGUGUGUGUGUCUGUGUCACCCAUACAAUUGUUUAAUUAAUUACGAGCAUGUACCAGUACUAGUUACUGCUGUAGUUUUUAGAGCAAAUUACCAGUACAUUAGCCUAGACUCAAUGGAAAAAUUCCUAUCCUAUGCAUCAAAUGGCAUCUGUUUCUCUAUAGGAAUUGAGAUGCAUGUCAUCUCACUUCCUAUGAUUUUCAUAUUCCUAUAAAAUUCCUAUCCUAUGAACCAAAAGAGGCCUCUGCUGGAGUAACUAAUGUAGCUAGCAGUACUGCUGGUACAGUAGUUUUCGUCAAGCAGCGGAAUUCAACGAAGUCAUGAUGGUUCCUUCGUCCGAGCAACUACACUGUGGGAAAUCUUGGGCAUGUGAUUUGACGGCUCAUUAGUCAUUAUUACUGUGGCGCGACGACCGGGGUGACUCUCCCUUGGAGUUCUGCGUGCAUGGCAAGUGGACCAGGAUGGUCGACGUCCCACAUGUUGGCGCACGGAAGUAUUCUUUCCGAUAUCGAGGAGCAAGGAAGCGCGCGCCAGCAAGGGAGGGGGGUUGGGUCAGCCAGGGCGGUCAGAUGCGGGCGUGGUGGUGGUAUUGGUUUUGAACCGUUUCAGGUGUAGUACUGGUAGUUUGUAAAACUAUUCAAUUAUUGCACUCAGUUUCCUAAGAAAUUGUGGUAAAAAAUGUUACUCCACAGCCCGCUUCCCUUCUCCUUCCUCUUCCACCGCCCGGGCACGUCCGCGGGAAGCGAUCGGUCAACCCUUAUAUAGGAGUGCUAGCACAAAAAGAUGCAUGCAUGACCACUAAAAUUUCCAGAUUAAAGCGCCGCUCCGGCGGGAGUACGGCGUAUGCCGUUACCUUCGGCCGGGCCAUGGCUACCAGGCGACAGCGAGCAGAGAAGAGGCGGCGGGAGGGGAAUGAAUACAGCUACUGUUUGGGUUCGCCGUCCGGCUUAAAUAAAUGCGCACCAUCACGUGUACCCGCAGGUGCACAAAUUGUAACAUACGUGUCUGCAUAAGUGGGUGUCACGUAACUGGUGUGUGUGUGAGAUUCUGAGAGACAGAGUGCGUGUGUGCGACUCUACUCUUCGGACAUGUACUCAACCUUUUGCAUCGGGAUAUAAGUAUAAUGGUAUUACACUUUAGCUAGUGAUUUACGUGGCCAUGUUAACGUGGUUAUGUAAAAAAAUGUCACUUCCUGCUCGUGAUUUGCAUUAUAUAAUUACUAGCAAGAUGCUCGUGCAUUGCACGGAACAUCAAUAUGCAUUUUUUUACAAAACACCUGUUGUGAUUGACCCAUGCAGGAGUAAUCCCAUGUGUAAAAACUAAUGAUAUCUCGAGAAUUUUAUCGGAAAACUGGUAUCUCGAGAAUUUCAUCGAAAAAAUGAAAGAUGAGAGAUAAGGUGAGGAGGAGUGGAGCAUGGUGGUGACUGGUGGUCGGACUGGGCGGAGGCAUGGGGAUGGACGACGCCGACAGGCAACAACGGCCACCAUGCUAGAUUGUUCCAGAGACUUCCUUUUUUAAUUGCUCAGCAAUGAGGUUGUGGGAGAUAAGGAUGAAUGAGGCAAGGCCUUGUCUGUAAAUGUGGAGAGAGGUGAGGGUAUCUUUUGUAAAAUUGUCAUAGUUUUCUUUCUAUCCGUCAGAUAGAGAUCGGACGGUCUAUAUUACAAGAUGGCAGGCACACCAUCAUCACCAACUCAGUUUUUUAUAAGAGUAGAGAUGAUAAGUUUGCUAACUACUAAAGUAAAGUGGAAUUUGUCCAUGUUAUACAAGUAAAUUAAGGUGAUUGUUUAUCAUACGGGUAAGGUUGGACGAAGGGUGGUAGGAACAAAUGCUCCGCCUAGAGCAUGUGUGUGUGAGAUGGAGUCUUAGUGUGUGUGGGUGUGGGUGGGUGGGUGGGUGGGUGCGUGCAUGUGUGUGUGACGUGGGGUCCUCGGUGGCGGAUGUAAUUUAAGUGUGUGUGGCUUCAUCAUAGAGAGGUGAUCUAUAUGGCAGAGGCCACCAACGAGGGGGUGCGAGAGACAAAAGGCCCGUAGAGAGGGAAGAGAAGGCGUGUGCGCGUGAGAGGAGUCGACAUCAAGAGAACGUGCUUGUUCGUGAGACACCGAGGAAGACUACUAUAUAUCGAUGGUGCAUGUAGGCGGGAAUUAAAUGAAGGGAUGGUCUUAUUGGUUUCGGCGAUAUAGGGGAAGAGUGAGAGAGGGGGUAGCUAUAAGGAGAUUGUUAAGUGUGAGUGUGUGUUUUACCCAUCCAGGCGGAAGUUAUGUGCACACAAGAAGAGAACGAUUCGAUGUGGCGUUAGGGCUGAGGGUAAUUAACUAAGUAUGGAGACAUAGGAGACCUUGAACGUGCAUGUGUGAGAGGUAUACAUGUAUACGUGGGAUGUGUGUGUGUGCGCGCGCGCAUGAUCAAGAUAAAAGAAAGAAGACAUAAGUCAUAAGAUCAACAACAUGGGAGAGACGGAUCGGUAUGACAAUAUGCAUGCAUGUGAGAGUGCAAGGAAGAAGGCCCGAUAAUUGAGCAUGUGUUUUUGUAUUUAAGAGAUAGUGGCGUGGGUUGGAGCAUGCAUCUGUGGCGAGCAGAGGGAGCGAGACACAACUAUUGUGCAAAAGAGAUCAACCUAUAGAUGCAUGUAUGGAGAGACAUAUAUAGUGUGGGUGAUAGAAAGCAAGAGUGUGUGCGAGAAAGAAAUGUUGACGGAGAAACUACAGAUAGAUACAGAGAUAGAGAUGGUAGCUAGAGGGACAUCGGCUAGUUUGAGUGUUGGAGAUGACCGCCGGGUGGUUCAGAGGGUGAAGUUAUGUGUGUGUGAGAGAAAGAUAAAAAGAGGGAACAUGACUGCAUGUAGAGAGAAACAUAUAUAGUGUGCGUGAUAGGAAGCAAGAGUGAGGGCAAGAAAGAAGGUUGAUGGAGAAACAGAUAAAUAGAAAGAUAAAGAUGCUAGCUAGUGUGCGUUAGAGAUAGGAGUCAAGUGGAUCAGAAGGCUGAGUUAUGUGUGUGGGUGUGAGAGAGAGAGUGUGUGCAUGUGAGUCACAUACAAACAAAUAUCAGAGAGAAAUGAGAUCCCGAGAGACGGAGUUUUGUGUCUGCGAGAGAAAGAUAUUUCACAACGAGAGUGAUAGCUAGAGAGACAUAUGAGGGAACGCAAGAUAUCUCUAGGGAGAGAGUGUGUGUGUGAGCGACAUACAAGAGAAUGGUGGAGAGAUAUGAGACCCUGGGAGACAGAGUUUGUGUUUGUGUGUGAGAAAGAGAUAUUUAAGAGGAAGAGUCGUAGCUUCUCAUACCUAAGGAGCGAAAUACAUCUCUGUGUGAGAGGGCGUGUGCGAGUGGCACACAGGGGAACACUACUAGGAAAAAGGCUACUAGCAGCGCGGGUAAUAUGGCUACUAGCAGCGUGGGUACCCGCGCUACUAGUAUCGCGCUACAGCUAAUAGUUAGGAGUAGCGUGACACCCGCGCUACUGCUAUUACAGAACCGCGCUACUACUAACGAAGUAGCACUAGUAGAAAAACGACUUUUAGUACCGGUUCGUAAGGACCUUUAGUACCAGUUCUGGAACCGGUACUAAAGAGUGGGGACUAAAGGUCCCCCCCCCCCUUUAGUCCCGGUUUAACACGAACCGGGACCAAAGGCCCACCACGUGGCACGAGGCGCGCCGUGGUCUGGGGGGCCUUUAGUCCCGGUUGGUAAGGAUUUUUUUAAUUUUUAUUUUUGAAAUAAAGCAAAAACAGCCAGCCUACUGGGCCGGCACGGCCUGCAUACGACUAGAAACCCAAUCUCUAGUUGGGCCAGGAUGCAGGCCCGUACGGCCCAGUAGGCCCCACAGGGCAGAAGACUUGCAAUAGACCCACAAAGGCCUGCUUAGAGAGGAGCUCGACACGGUAGCCGCGGCGAGGCUUAUAAACCGGUGCGAGCUCCUCUCAACUAGCGAGGUGGGAGUAAACAUUGUGCACUGCGGGUGGCAUCGCACCACCUUUAGUACCGGUUGGGUUGGUGGCUCCAACCGGUACUAAAGACCCCCCCCCCCCUCCUUUAGUACCGGUUGGAGCCACCAACCAGUACUAAAGGCCACCACCUCUUUAGUACCGGUUCAUGGCACGAACCGGUACUAAAGAUUUCCCACGAACCGGUACUAAUGAGUGCCGCCCGCCUGGCCGUUGGAACCGGCAUUAAUGGUCACAUUAGUGCCGGUUCAAUACCAAACCGGGACUAAUGAGUUUCACAUUAGACCCUUUUUCUACUAGUGUAGUAGUAGCGUGCUUAUAAUACCAGCGCUACUAGUAUCCUGAAUACUAGUAGCGCGCAGUUUUUUCCCAACGCUACUAGUAACAAAUCAAGAAUAAAAAAAUAAAAAUUAGACGCAAUAUUCAUGAAUGGAGAUCAGAGACACGUCCAGUGCAAAAUAAAUUAAGGUCACAGAACCAUCUUAACACUUGCAGUGUUCAUGGAUGCAGCAUUGAACAUCUCAACUCGAAGAGAUCACGAGGACGCACACAACCAUCAUCAAAAGGUUGGUACCUUCCCUAUUGUUUCACCACCAACCUAACCAGACCACUUCUCUAGAUGUAUCUACAAAGCGUCGAGGUCCUCCACCUUGAGGAACUCCGGGCGGUGGCGUCGUCCUCCACCUCUGUGACCUUCGUAUGGUGGCGUCGAGGUCCUCCACCCCGGGGACCUCCGGCAUCGCAAUCACCUGGACAAUCAUCAGUAUGACACGGUCGCGAGGCUUCACGGUGAAGUCUGCCCCCGAGUAGUUGAAGAGCACGAUGCCCAUCAGGCCGCAGUAGUCUGCGUCGAUCACCCCUGCACCCAGUCGAGAAAGUGAAAACUUGUUAGUUCGCAUCCUCGUGUAGAUCCAGUAGGGUAUUUUCUUCAAUUAUAUGUCUCUUUUAGUCUAUUAUGAAUCUUCAAAAUGGAAAAACACCUACUAAAUGCAUACCCUAGUUGUACGUGUUCAUGCUAUCUUCUUGUUUUGGUGCAUUCAAGAAAUACUAGUGUAUUUGAGCUAUAUAUUCUUGAAAUAUUUGACAGUUAACAUUCUGUUCAAAAUUUAUUAUUGCAUGGAUAGGGAAAUCGCCAACAAAGGACUUCAGAAAAUUGAUUCCCACUGCUCUUCAAAACAGGGAAUAGGCAAAGUCUUUUUUGAAUUUUGAUAUUCCAUGCCAACUUCAAGUAUAUAUGCUACCAUGUAAUCUUUGAACGUGGAUCAAAAUGAGAUUUCAGGCUUUGUGGGCCUUACCAUGAUCAGUACUAAAUUCUCUAGGCUGCUCAACCUUUCCCUGUAGGGAGCAUUUCUUUCACCAGGUAUCGCAUUGUUAAGUUUGGGAAGAAACCUGCAUCCCUUCAGAUAGUCAUCCAUAUCCUGAAGAAAAAACAGUAUACAUUUUCAGUGACUCACAAUAUAUCAUCGAAUACUGCUCAAGUCUACUUCUAAGAAUAAUUGUUUAAGAUCAGCCAAUGUUUUCUUACGAUCUUCCACUCUGUGAAGUAGAAGUAAAAACUGAAAGCUAAACACACAUUAAGAUUACCUACAUAAAAUUCUUCAGAUAGCGAAUGAGCGAUAGAAAAAAAAUAUAUACUUCAGAUAGCAAGGAGCAGGCCAACAGGCAACAACAUAAGUUUUUUAGCAGCGGCGACAGGUAACUACCGAGACAUUGCAGGUGAAGAUAUGAAUUUUGGGUACCCUUCGUCCCCCACGAGCAGACUUCGUUGACAGUGGUGCAGGGUACAGUGUUGCGCAGGCGACGCGGAGAGAGGCCUGCCUGGCCGGGGCCUAGCCGAGCUUGGCGCUGAGGACGUUGCCCACGGACACCUCCUGCACCAGCGCCGGGUCGACGUUGACUCUCCGGAGAGCACCAUUUUAAAUCGGGCGGCAGAGCAUCACUGACUGGGUGCUCGGAUCCAACUACCAUCUACUUUGACCAUCCGAACCACAUGUGACAACAAGACUCAUCCGAUCUCUUGUCCUCUACCCAAUGUCAUGAGAUAUUGAGAUCCAAUGUUAUUAGUCCAGGUCUGCUACCAUCUACUUAUACUAAUCAAAAGGCAAACCAAUCCACUUACGCCCAGUCUAUCAGGACUAAACUUGUACUCCUAACAGUGGGGCUGUAAAAUUUCCACACGCGUUCAUCUGGGCCUUAUCCUACGCCAUCUCCAAAGAUUUAAAAAUGCAAAAGUUUUCAAUUGACACGACACUUGCCAUUAUAUAUUGUAAAAAAAGUUUAUGUCAUCCGUGCAAAAAACUAAUGCUGAAGUUCUUUCUACUGCCUUUUUCUGAAUUAUUAGUUGCUGAUGCCAAUAAAAACAAGUGCAGUUCAUCUAGCAGCAUACUACCAAAUAUACGCAGCUCAGAAGUUGAAGAUACAAUAAAUAGAUACGGCUAAAAGCAUGAGACCUGCUACUUUGGAAGAUAGUAACUUACAGUAUCCUGGAGAAGGCCUCCCUGUUCUCGUUGAGCUUCCACUGAUCCUCUGCGUCGGAGGCGUAGUAGUCGUACACCAUCUUCAGGAGCUUCUCCCUGGCAAGUUUCCAGUACUCGGACACGUUCGUGAUCAUCUCCAUUCCCCUGCUCAAAUUAUUCAUCAUCAAUUCCCAGUUAAUCUAUUUGCCAAGCAGCAAAAUAGAUCAUCUGCUUUUUCUCUGAAGAGUGAAGACGCUUGAACCUGAACUGUACAUCCUCCGGAUAGCUUGACAGGGAAUAUGAGAAAUCAAGAAGGAUGGCAAGAUAUGGAACAAAUCUGGAGGCUGAUCUAUCCAUGGAGGAGUUGAUUAACUGAAGAAUCGAUCCUGGAUUCCUGAUUCGGUAUCAUAUAUAUCACUCCAUCAGUAGUUCGAGAUGUUGCUUUCGAAUCAGCGGUACUGAAAAAACGAAAUAGAAAGAUUGAGCCGAGGCGAUUUGACGAGUCUUGUUGUCUCAUGACAUUGAGCCGAGGCGGUUUGAGUGGUUGCUUAACUAGUAGCAAGGAUUGGAGUAAGAAAGCAGAGAAAUUUCGUUACCCUGGAUGGCGACGGAGCCGAGCUUGGUGGCGGGGAGGGACGAGAGGCAGCCAAGCAAGGCGUCGAUGGGCGUGCUGGCGACGCCGACGGUGCACACGUCCAUGGGAUCCAGGCCGCCGUCGGGGGCGCAAGUGCUCGGGGACGGCGCCAUGGCGUGGUGGUGGACUGGCUUGGCUGUUGGAUCUUACCCCUCUGUGUGCUAGGGCUCACCGGCGGCGGGUGGAUUGGGUUUGGCCGGAGAGAGCGAGAGGGAGAGAGAGAGAGGGGGUGUAGCGACCCGACCUCAAACGGUAAAGUCUUUGUGCUUCUGUGUCAUCCCUGGAUCGGUAAUGCUGACACACAGUGCUCGAAGGAUUUAUAACAGAGUAGCAAUCACAAACUUAUUACAUCGAAUGUCUCCAAAAAGAACUUAUUACAAUAAAUAUGGCAUAAGGCCAUCUAAUACGAUAACAGCGGAAGACUUGGAAGAUAAAGUGAGUCCAUCAACUCCAACAGCAUAGCUGAGCUGCACGGCAACGACCUAACGAACCUUACUCCUCGUCUGAAAAGUCUGCAACAUAAUACGUUGCAGCCCGAGAACGGGUCAGCACAUGGAAUAUGCUGGCAAUAUAACACAGUAGAGCAAGAACAGAAUAAUGCUACCACUACAUGCAUAUUUGGCUGGUGGAAAGGCUCUAUGGUUAUAGUUUUGCGAAAAGCCAAUUUUUUCCUACAACAAUGGAAUAAGUUUUAUUUAACUAUCAUGGUAGUUGAAACAUCAUUGAGAAGGUUCCUCCAACUCAAUCCCAAUUAAAGUAAUUAUCAACCCAACAUAUUAAAUUAGAGUGAUGAGAUACUUAGGAUAAUCCAAGUACUAGAUACUCAAGAUGUCCAUAACCGGGGACACGGCUAACCAUGAUUAGAUUGUACACUCUGCAGAGGUUUGCGCACUUUUCCCCACAAGAUUCGAUCUCCUCCGUUGGAUUUCUCGCACUACAUGGUGUUUGAGAAACGGAUGACCGAGACACAGUCUUUCAGAAGCAUUAACUCUAACCCCGGGUAGACAGUACCAACCUACAUCCCUCUACAUCUGCUAGCCUACCACUGGAAGAGGUCAGGCAACUUACUCAACUAUGCUAGAGCCCACAAUAGCUUGUGGCUGCACACGGAAGUUUCUAGCAUGAAUAAUCUUAUGAUCCCUUUGAGCCUGGGUGGCGAGCCGUAGGAUGAUCACACGGGUCCUCCGGGAUAUCCUAGGACAACACUGGAUUCUCCAGGUGCCCGUAACCAAUCCACCCAGAUGUGUAUUAAAGUACCCACCUUAAGUUGAACCAUUAAGUAAACAAUCUCACAUCUGUCAUGGAUUCACUCACCCAAACCACGUCUACGAGCAUAGCAUAGCAAUAUAAGCAAUACGUUGAAGUAACUCCCAAGGGUUUGAUAAUAACAGGGCAAUAGGUUCUACCUCAUCAACUACUUCCCAAUACCCACAAGUUAAUCACAUCCUAAUCAUGCAGUGUUUGAGGAUUGGAGCUAAUGCAUAAAAACUGGGUAUGAAAAGAGUAUGAUCAAUGUGUUACUUGCCUUGCUGACGAUACGCAAAACCUAGAGACUCGUAGUAGCACGCUUCGCACUCCGGGAAUUCUAUCGCAAAAAAACAAUAGCAUGCAUAAGCAAUCAAUCAUGGAUGCACGGGUAAAACUCAAAUAAGAAGAACUAACCAGAAAAUCCAACUUAAGAACUCCGGUUUGCAAAAAGAAUCAAAUCAAACGGAGCAACAAAACUCAAACUGCGAAAGAAACAAGAUUCGAUUACUAAUCUGGACUAAAGUCAAAUUUUACAGUACCAAAAUCUUGUUCAAGUUGGUUAAACAGAAAUAGGGUUUCGAGACGAAGAUCUAGGCGCUUGAAUCGCCUGAUUCCGAUAAACGAGCGAAAAGAUAAACUAAAACGAAAAUCGGAUCAGAAAUCGCGAUCGAAAAUAAUCGCGAAAAAACUGAGAAAAAGAAAAACUGACGAACAGGCUAACGAACGAACGUUCGUUGUCUGUAACUAAUGAGCGAAAACGGUUCGUUAAAACGAACGUACGGACGAACGUCCGCUAAAUAAUCUAAACCGAGAAAACCAACGAACCGAUAAAAAAAGCAACUAGGGUUUUUAAAAAAACCGAUGGUUUUACCUAAACCGAAAGAAAAACAGCGGCUCCGGCGGCUUCCGCGGCGGCGCGGCGAGGCGGGGGCAGCGCGGGGUGAGGCGCGGCAGGCGGCGGCGGCUGCUGCUGCUGCUUGCGGUGGCGGUGGUGGCGAUUUGGGGGCGGGGGCGGCGGCUUUUAAAGGGGAGAGGGAGGGUGGCUUGCGGGAGGGGGCGGGAGGAGUCCCGGGCGGCGACGGCGACGGCUGCCGAGUCCUGGCCGGACUCGGGCACGGCGGAGGCGGUGGCGCGGCACGGGCCGGCGGCCUGGCUCGGCUGGGUCUUGGCCCAGUCGGGCGCGGAAGAAGUUUUUUUAAAAAAAAUGGAUUCCGCCGAAAAUAAAUCCUAGAAAAAUAAAUAAAAAUCUAAAAAUGCCAAAACAAAUUUUCACCGUCUAAAUAAAAUAUUUAGAACAAGAUGAACGUUUUCUUGGCCCUAAAAUGCAAUUUUGAAAACAUGCAAUUUUUCUAAUGCAAAUAAAAUAGCACUAAAAGCCGAAUAAAAUCAAAUAUUUGAUUUUAAUAUUUUUCCUCCAAUAUUUCAUUUAUUUUGGAGAAGUCAUAUUAUCUCCUCUCAUAUAUUUUAAUAUGAAAUAUUUUCGGAGAGAAAAAUAAUUAAAACAAAUAAUCCUCGUUUCAGUAUUUGAUAAAAUUCAAAUAUGGAAACAGUGAAAUCCCCAACUCUCUCCCAGGGUCCUUGAGUUGCGUAGAAUUUCGAGGAUCGCGAAACGAAAUGCAACAAAAAUAUGAUAUGCAUGAAUGAUCUAUGUAUAACAUUCCAAAUUGAAAAUUUGGGAUGUUACAAACCUACCCCCCUUAAGAUGAAUCUCGCCCUCGAGAUUCGGGUUGGCUAGGAAAUAGGUGUGGGUGGUCUUUACAAAGAUCAUCCUCUCGUUCCCAGGUGGCUUCAUCCUCGGUAUGGUGGCUCCACUGAAUUUUGCAAAACUUGAUAACCUUGUUGCGGGUGACUCGGCUGGCAAAUUCAAGAAUCCUGACUAGCUUCUCCUCAUAGGUCAGAUCACUGUCCAACUGAAUUGCUUCUAGAGGCACUGUAUCUCUCAGUGGAAUAUCGGCCAUCUCCGCAUGACACUUCUUCAACUGUGAAACAUGAAACACAUCAUGAACUCCCGACAGUCCUUCAGGUAACUCCAACUUGUAGGCAACCUCUCCCAUACGUUCCAAAACACGAUACGAUCCUACAAAUCUCGGGGCUAACUUUCCCUUAACUCCAAAACGUUUCACUCCUCGCAGAGGUGACACUCAUAGAUAUGCUCUGUCUCCAAUUUCAUAGGUUACUUCCUUGCGUUUCGAAUCUGCAUAACUCUUCUGCCUGGACUGGGCUUCCUUCAGUCUAUCUCGAAUCAAUUUAACCUUCUCUUCAGACUCCUUAAUCAAAUCUGGUCCAAACAACUGUCGGUCUCCAACUUCAUCCCACAUCAACGGUGUUCUGCACCUUCGCCCAUACAGGGCUUCGAACGGUGCCAUCUUCAAACUGGCUUGAUAGCUAUUGUUGUAUGAGAACUCCGCGUAGGGUAAAUUGUCAUCCCAAGUAGAUCCAUAAUCUAGUGCACAAGCCCUCAACAUAUCCUCCAGAAUCUGGUUGACUCUCUCGGUCUGUCCAUCUAUCUGCGGAUGAAAAGCUGUACUGAACUCCAGCCUGGUUCCCAAAGUCUGGUGCAACUGAUGCCAAAACUUUGAGGUAAACUGUGUUCCUCUAUCUGAGACGAUGGUCCUUGGAACUCCAUGCAGACAUACGAUCCUGGUCAUGUAUAUCUUGGCCAACUUCGCACUUAUAUAGGUGGUUUUCACUGGAAUAAAGUGAGCCACUUUGGUCAAGCGAUCAACUACUACCCAUAUAGAAUCAUAUCCUGAUUUGGUCCUGGGCAAUCCGGUGAUGAAAUCCAUGCCAAGCUUAUCCCACUUCCAUUCGGGUAUCGGCAUAGGCUGUAGCAAUCCUGCUGGCUUUUGAUGUUCUGCCUUCACUCUCUGACAUACAUCACAUACGGCUACAUACUCGGCAAUAUCCUUCUUCAUACCAGUCCAUCAAAAAUGUUCCUUCAAAUCCAAAUACAUCUUGGUGUUUCCGGGGUGUAUCGAGUAUGGUGAGUCAUGGGCCUCCUGAAAUAUUAACUUCCUGAUCUCUGUGUUAUUGGGCACAUAAACACGGUCCUCAAACCAUAAGGUGUCGUGCUCAUCCUCACGAAAACCUUUGGCCUUUCCUUUGCUCAUUCUCUCUUUUAUCUCGGCAAUUUCUUUGUCAUCCUUCUGAGCUUCUCGAAUCUUUGCUAACAAUGUAGACUGAACUUCCAUUGUUGCAACAAAACCUCUAGGAAUAAUCUCCAAUCGAAGUUCCCUGAGAUCCCCUGCUAACUCCUUUGGCAAUCCUGUGCUUACGAGGGUGUUAGCAUAACUCUUCCGGCUCAAAGCGUCUGCUACGACAUUGGCCUUGCCUGGAUGAUAGUGAAGCUUCAUGUCAUAAUCCUUUAUAAGCUCCAACCAUCUCCUCUGCCUAAGGUUCAGCUCCUUCUGUGUGAAAAUGUACUUCAAACUCUUAUGAUCCGUGUACACAUCACAACGGUUUCCAAUAAGGUAAUGUCUCCAAGUCUUGAGCGCAUGCACUACAGCUGCUAACUCCAAAUCAUGUGUGGCAUAAGUCAAUUCGUGCGGUUUUAGUUGUCGUGAGGCAUACGAAACAACUCUUCCGUCCUGCAUAAGCACACUUCCAAGUCCUAAGCGAGAGGCGUCGCAAUACACUUGGAAAUCCUUGCGUAUAUCCGGCAGAAUCAGCACUGGGGCUGUAGUCAGACGUUUCUUUAACUCCUGAAAACUCGCCUCACAUUCUUCCGUCCAUAUAAAUUUGGUAUCCUUCUUCAAUAACUCUGUCAUUGGCUUCGCAAUCUUGGAAAAAUUCUCAAUGAAUCUCGGAUAGUAUCCUGCGAGUCCAAGAAAACUGCGGAUCUCGCUAACUGAAGCGGGUGCCAACCAUUCAGUGACUGACUGAACCUUGGUGGGGUCUACUGGUAUACCUUCUCCUGAUAUAACAUGUCCAAGGAAUCCAACUUCCUUCAACCAAAACUCACAUUUGCUGAACUUGGCGUACAACUGAUGUUCCCUGAGUUUCUCGAGAACUAAUCGUAAAUGCUCAUUGUGCUCCUCUUCAUUCUUCGAGUAUACCAUUAUAUCAUCAAUGAACACCACAACAAACUUAUCCAAAUAUUCCAUGAACACCUUGUUCAUCAUGCUCAUGAAAUAGGCAGGGGCGUUAGUCAGUCCAAAUGACAUGACCGUAUACUCAUACAACCCGUACCUUGUGGUAAAUGCGGUCUUUGGUAUAUCCUUCUCUCGAAUUUUCAGCUGGUGAUAUCCUGAUUGUAGAUCGAUCUUUGAAAACACUUUAGCUCCUUGCAGCUGGUCAAACAAAUCAUUGAUCAUCGGCAAUGGGUAUUUGUUCUUGAUCGUCACCUCAUUCAAUGCCCGAUAAUCAACAACCAUCCUCAAUGAUCCAUCCUUCUUCUCAACCAAAAGCACUGGGGCUCCCCACGGUGAUGAACUUCGUCGAAUGUAACCUUUCUCCAAUAACUCCUUGAUCUGCUCUUAAUCUCUUCCAGAUCAUUUGUGGGCAUCCAGUAGGGUCUCUUUGAUAUAGGCCCGGUGCCUGGCAACAGUUCUAUCAAAAACUCGAUGUCCUGAUCUGGCGGCAUGCCUCGUAAUUCUUCUGGAAAUACAUCUGGGUAAUCCUUUACGACAGGCACUUCCUCCUGAACAACUCCUGAGAGGGAAUUUACUUGGGUUCUCCUUGUCAUAUGCCUGGAUACAUACUUGAUCCUCUUUCCCUCCGGGGUGGUGAGAUAAAUCGACUUACUAGCACAGUCAAUGCUUCCUCCAUACUUUGACAUCCAGUCCAUGCCUAAUAUCACAUUCAAUCCUUGUGACUCCAAAAUUAUUAGGUCGGACGGGAAAACAUGGCUACCAAUGGUUAAGGGUAUCCGGUCGCACCAUCGGCUAGCCAUAUACUCUGCUCCAGGUGAACUUACUAACAGAGGGGUCCUAAGGGCUUGGGUUGGUAGUUUAAACUUAUCCACAAAUCCCCUUGAUAUGUAUGAAUGCGAUGCACCAGUAUCAAAAAGAACAAGGGCGGUAAAAGACUUAAUCAAAAACUUACCGAUAACCGCGUCUGGCUGCUCUUCAACCUCCUCCAUGUUAACGUGGUUCACUUGUCCUUUGUUGAAUGGUUUGGGCUUCUUCCCAGCGCUCCCAUUACCGUUUCCAUUCUUCGCUUCAGGGCACUCCGUGGCAUAGUUUCCAGUCUUCCUGCACUUGAAGCAAGUAAUGUGACUUAGGUCUCUCUUGGUGGGUGUGCAUGGAUUGGAGCGGUUCUGAUUGUUGCUUGUUCCGUUCCCAGUCCCAUUCUUGGAACCAUUGUGGUUAUGCGAACUUCCUCCAUUGUGAUUAUGACCUCCAUGGUUAUGAACAAGUCCUCCUGAGUUCGGGGUUAGACGAGGCUUCUGCUGAGCUCCUGAGUUGUAUCUUCCUUGCCCAUACUUCCUCUUACGGCUCUCAAUCUGUUGCUGCUUCCCUUCAAUCAUAAGAGCCUUAUCUACCAACUCCUGGUAGUUGUUGAAUGUUGCCACCAUCAACUGCAUGCUCAUCUCAUUGUUCAGACCUUCCAAUAAACUUCUCCUGCUUCGCGGCAUCUGUGGCCACAUCAUCAGGGGCAUAGUGAGAUAACUUGCUAAACUCAUCCACGUACUGAGCCACAGUACGGUUCCCCUGGCGUAAGUUGCGAAAUUCACGCUUCUUCAUAUUCAUAGCUCCAGUUGAGACAUGGGCUGUGCGGAAAGCUUGCUGAAACUGAUCCCAAGUGACGUUGGCUAUGGGGAAAGUGGUCGUAUAAUUCUCCCACCAUGAGGCUGCUGGUCCAUCCAAUUGAUGUGCGGCAAAGUGCACCUUCUCAGCAUCUGUGCAACCUGCGGUGGUCAGCUCCCUUCCAAUACGGCAUAGCCAAUCAUCAGCAACUAUAGGCUCGGUGCUACUGGAAAACACUGGCGGCUGCAACCUUAAAAAGCGAGCUAAGUUGUCAACUGGAGGCGGGUUGUUGUUGUUGUUGCCUUGGUUCUGGACUAACAAUUGCAUCAAGGCAUUCUGCUGCUGGAUCAACUGAGUGAGCUCCAGCGGGAAGGCAAAUCUGGUGUCACGUCUCGGAGUCAUCUGAUGGGUUUAGAGGGGAGAGAUUGGAAUAGAAAAGGGGUCUAGUGAGAAGGCACUACCCAUAUGCACAUGAGACAAACACAAUCAUAUCACUCAAUCAAUCAAGCAAGGGCAUACAAACGGUCUAGAACUAUCGUUAAGAGUGCUCAACUACUACUAUAUACAUGGGGGAAUACUACUAAUCAUUUGGUGGUCAUCUAGAAAUUUUGAUCGGUGGAAGACUCCAUGAUGUCUGCUCCAGCUUCGUCUUCAAAGUCAUCUUCACUGGAGUCGGAGUCGGUGUCGUCGAUGAUGAUGUAGUUCUCCGGGCAAGUGGAAUCGUCGUCCUCUCCUCCUGACGCGGGGUCUCCCAUGAAUACUCCGAUCUUCUUUAUCAGGUCGUCAUUCUUCUCCAAUAGUGUUGCAAUUUCCUCCUCAUAUCCAUCGCGUGUAGACUUAAGUUCUUCUUCCAGCUCGAUGAUCCUUGUCUUCGCCUUCUUCAAAUCUAUCAUGCCUGCGCACAUCUGAUUCUCCUGGAGUCGAAUGUGCUGGUUUAACUCCUGGAUGAAAGCUGCAAUGGAUCUGUCCUUCCUGGUGCUGAUCAUCUCCCAUUGCUCAUCUCGGCGUCCACAUAUUUGGUAGAUAGUGUCCUUGAGAUCCUUGUUGUAGACUUCUCCAAUGCGUCCCAUGGCAAUGUGGGCUGCCAUGCUCUUGCCUAGACUCCAGGUUGGUGCUUCAAAGGAAAACUCUAUGGGCUCAGUGACUGGUGUGAACGUCCUUCCUGGAACUUGAACUCGAAUCAUCCAGCGCUCCUCUUCUGGUAAAGUGGCGUUGUAGGUCCCGGUGAAGCUUGGUAUUCUGAUGUUCAGAUACCUAGUGACUUCCUUCAAGUGUCGUCCAAAGGGUGUGUCUUCAUCCGGUUGUGCAGAUUUGUUCCUCAAAUCCGCCAUCCUAAAGAGUAGAAAAUGGAGAGGAGUCAGAAAUGAGUAGAGAAGAGUGACCUAUGGCUUAUCUUAGUGGUCGUGUCCUACACUCAGCAUGUGCUCUGAUACCAUCUUGUAGCGACCCGACCUCAAACGGUCAAGUCUCUGUGCUUCUGUGUCAUCCCUGGAUCGGUAAUGCUGACACACACAGUGCUCAAAGGAUUUAUAACAGAGUAGCAAUCACACACUUAUUACAUCGAAUGUCUCCAAAGAGAACUUAUUACAAUAAAUAUGGCAUAAGGCCAUCUAAUACGAUAACAGCGGAAGACUUGGAAGAUAAAGUGAGUCCAUCAACUCCAACAGCAUAGCUGAGCUGCAUGGCAACGACCUAAUGAACCUUACUCCUCGUCUGAAAAGUCUGCAACAUAAUACGUUGCAGCCCGAGAACGGGUCAGCACAUGGAAUAUGCUGGCAAUAUAACACAGUAGAGCAAGAACAGAAUAAUGCUACCACUACAUGCAUAUUUGGCUGGUGGAAAGGCUCUAUGGUUAUAGUUUUGCGAAAAGCCAAUUUGUUCCUACAACAAUGGAAUAAGUUUUAUUUAACUAUCAUGGUAGUUGAAACAUCAUUGAGAAGGUUCCUCCAACUCAAUCCCAAUUAAAUUAAUUAUCAACCCAACAUAUUAAAUUAGAGUGAUGAGAUACUUAGGAUAAUCCAAGUACUAGAUACUCAAGAUGUCCAUAACCGGGGACACGGCUAACCAUGAUUAGAUUGUACACUCUGCAGAGGUUUGCGCACUUUUCCCAACAAGAAUCGAUCUCCUCCGUUGGAUUUCUCGCACUACAUGGUGUUUGAGAAAUGGAUGACCGAGACACAGUCUUUCAGAAGCAUUAACUCUAACCCCGGGUAGACAGUACCAACCUACAUCCCUCUACAUCUGCUAGCCUACCAAUGGAAGAGGUCAUGCAACUUACUCAACUAUGCUAGAGCCCACAAUAGCUUGUGGCUGCACACGGAAGUUUCUAGCAUGAAUAAUCUUAUGAUCCCUUUGAGCCUGGGUGGCGAGCCGUAGGAUGAUCACACGGGUCCUCCGGGAUAUCCUAGGACAACACUGGAUUCUCCAGGUGCCCGUAACCAAUCCACCCAGAUGUGUAUUAAAGUACCCACCUUGAGUUGAACCAUUAAGUAAACAAUCUCACAUCUGUCAUGGAUUCACUCACCCAAACCACGUCUACGAGCAUAGCAUAGCAAUAUAAGCAAUACGUUGAAGUAACUCCCAAGGGUUUGAUAAUAACAGGGCAAUAGGUUCUACCUCAUCAACUACUUCCCAAUACCCACAAGUUAAUCACAUCCUAAUCAUGCAGUGUUUGAGGAUUGGAGCUAAUGCAUAAAAACUGGGUAUGAAAAGAGUAUGAUCAAUGUGUUACUUGCCUUGCUGACGAUCCGCAAAACCUAGAGACUCGUAGUAGCACGCUUCGCACUCCGGGAAUUCUAUCGCAAACAAACAAUAGCAUACAUAAGCAAUCAAUCAUGGACGCACGGGUAAAACUCAAAUAAGAAGAACUAACCAGAAAGUUCAACUUAAGAACUCCGGUUUGCAAAAAGAAUCAAAUCAAACGGAGCAACGAAAUCUGCGAAAGAAACAAGAUUCGAUUAUUAAUCUGGACUAAAGUCAAAUUUUACAGUACCAAAAUCUUGUUCAAGUUGGUUAAACAGAAAGAGGGUUUCGAGACGAAGAUCUAGGCGCUUGAUUCGCCUGAUUCCGAUAAAUGAGCGAAAAGAUAAACUAAAACGAAAAUCGGAUCAGAAAUCGCGAUCGAAAAUAAUCGCGAAAAACCCGAGAAAAAGAAAAAUUGACAAAUAGGCUAACGAACGAACGUUCGUUGUCUGUAACUAACGAGCGAAAACCGUUAAAUAAUCUAAACCGAGAAAACCAACGAACCGAUAAAAAACGCAACUAGGGUUUUUAAAAACCGACGGUUUUUACCUAAACCGAAAAAAAACGGCGACUCAGGAUCGGAUCGGCUCCGGCGGCGGCGCGGCGAGGCGGGGGCAGCGCGGGGUGGUGCGGCGCGGCGGCGGCUGCUGCUGCUGCUUGCGGCGGCGGUGGUGGCGAUUUGGGGGCGGGGGCGGCGGCUUAUAAAGGGGAGAGGGAGGGUGGCUUGCGGGAGGGGGCGGGAGGAGUCCCGGGCGGCGACGGCGGUGGCUGCCGAGUCCUGGCCGGACUCGGGCACGGCGAAGGCGGUGGUGCGGUGCGGGCCGGCGGCCUGGCCCGGCUGGGCCUUGGCCCAGUCGGGCGCGGAAGAAGUUUAAAAAAACGAAUUUCGCCGAAAAUAAAUCCUAGAAAAAUAAAUAAAAAUCUAAAAAUGCCAAAACAAAUUUUCACUGUCUAAAUAAAAUAUUUAGAACAAGAUGAACAUUUUCUUGGCCCUAAAAUGCAAUUUUGAAAACAUGCACUUUUUCUAAUGCAAAUAAAAUAGCAAUAAAAUCCGAAUAAAAUCAAAUAUUUGAUUUUAAUAUUUUUCCUCCAAUAUUUCAUUUAUUUUGGAGAAGUCAUAUUAUCUCCUCUCAUAUAUUUUAAUAUAAAAUAUUUUCGGAGAGAAAAAUAAUUAAAAUAAAUAAUCCUCGUUUCAGUAUUUGAUAAAAUUCAAAUAUGGAAACAGUGAAAUCCCCAACUCUCUCCGAGGGUCCUUGAGUUGCGUAGAAUUUCGAGGAUCGCAAAAUAAAAUGCAACAAAAAUAUGAUAUGCAUGAAUGAUCUAUGUAUAACAUUCCAAAUUGGAAAUUUGGGAUGUUACAGAGGGACGAUAGCGAUCAGAGAAGAACGACCACCGCAGGGGUGGACGGCAGAUGAGAGGAGAGGAGGGUGGAAGGGAGGCCGGCGGUGGAAGGGAUCUCGAUCUGAUCUGAAUCGAGGGUGGGCGAUGUGGGAGUGGAUCAGGGGUGGGAGGUGUGGGAUCUGAGUGACACACUUAACGGUAGCGUGAGUAUCUCAAAAGCGCUGCAACUAUCGACUUAGUAGUAGCGCACGUUUUGCAACCAGCAUUAUUAAUAUGGUCUGUCCACGGAUCACGGUUAAGAAUAUUUACUAGUAGCAUGUUUUUAGACCACGCGCUACUAGUAAUAUUUAGUACUAGCGCGGGUAAAUGUAGCUCGCUACUAGUAAGUAGCAGUAGCAUGGGUCAAUAUAGCGCGCUACUAGUAAGCGUCUGCCUAUAAGUUUUUCCCUAGUAGUGGAAUAGUAUAGAGAAAUGAGAUCCCGGGAGACGAAGUUUGUGUUUGUGUGAGAGAAAGAGAUUUCACAUGGAGAAUCAUAGUUAGAGACACAUAGCAGGGAGCGAGAUAUACUUAGAGAGAGAUAGAGUGAUGAAGGUCGAGGGAGAUAGUACCGUCAGUGUGUUACGUAGAUAAAAGAUCAUUGUCAACAUACAGGUAGCACGAGAGAUACCCGAGAGACGAUGAACGCGUAUAGGUCUAGAGAGAUACUCCUAUAUAAGAAUGAGUGAUAGCUAUAUGAGACGAAUAUCUGGAUUAAAGGGGAUUCAAAUAUUUAAACUGGAGAUCACGACAUCGAUAAUAUCAUAACGCAAAUUAGUGUAUCAAACAUGCAUAUUCAUUUGAAUUUGGGGACACGUGUAAUGUUAUAUAGUUUAUCAAUAUUAGUGAUCCAUAGAUUCUUUAAUUAGAGACAAUGCAUGGUUUAUAUGCAAUUAAUGUCUAAACGGGAUUAGACUAUAUGUUGCGUGUGUGAAACACAUUAUAUAUGUUUGAGAAGUAAAAAAACCCGCAUGAAACACACAUUAAUAGGAGACGGUUAACGAGGAAUGCAUACGUUGGAUUUCAACAUAAAGUGGUUUCAAAUAUUUGAAAAUCCAAAUUAAGAUGGAUACAGCCUUAUGAAUCUGAGAUCAUGCCAUUUGUAAACCAUAUUUAUGUAUAAAGGGUGUUGUGCUUUUGAAAGUAUAUAUAAAACUGAUGUAUAUAGAAUUUUAUUCCAAUCGAAAAUGGAUCCUGCCCGAACAAAAAUAGAAUACAAACUAGAUUCGGAUUGAGUUGGCACGGUAAACGUGCACUCUUGCUUUGCAAAAAUUUGAACGAAGCGGGGAAAGUCGCAGUAACUGCCCGAAACCAAAAUCUGUGAGAUGGAAAUUACUGCCUAUCCCUGACACGCAAAGCCUAUCGGCUCGAUUUCUAUAGGUUUCGAUAGGGGUAGGUUUGUAAUUUCACUCAAACGUGACAUAACCACCUAUCACCCGGAUUCAUACACGGUGGGCGCCAAAACACAGUGUCUCCUCGGCCGAAAUUGAAUCCCUCCCUGAUUCAUACACGGUGGGCGCCAAAAACAAACUCUCGUCGGCAAAUAUUCAGUGUAUGCGAGAUUACCGUCCUAUCCCCAACCGACUAAUAUUGUUGUGAUGUAGGAAAUUUUAAACGGGGGCUAAGUUUGUAAAUUUCCAACAGGGAGCCUAUUUUUUGUGUAGUUGUGCCAGAUUAUAUUAAUCUACUCACCAUAUUACAACAUACAUGGGCUAUCUCAUCAGAAUCCAGUGAUAGCACACAAGGGUUUACAGGGAGCCUCUAUUAUAUUACAAUAUCCUCUGCAUUACAAAGAUAAUCUCACUACUAUUUGUGUUUUCAUGCUUUACAGAUAUUGUACGCAAUCACAACGAAUAUAAGAAUACGCACAUCAGAAGAAUAUUGCGGAACAGUUCAAUGGGUAACAAACUUGGCAUCAAGGGAUUGAGGUCCAUUGUGGAUGCAAUGAAACCCACAUGCUCCCGACCUAUAGAUUCAUAUUCAGAAUAUGAUCCUAAUGACUAUUCUGAGCUCAAGGAGUCAAAGGCAGAUGGCCUAUCCAAUUCUCCCAAUAAGGUGCCUGUUCUAAUUUGGCAAGGUUUUAUUGGUUGCACAUAUCUUGCAUAAGGUGUCUUGCAUUUCUUUUGCUUCGUUGCACCGCCAUCUGCUUAGUUUACUCAUGAUAUAUGUGAAGAUGCCAUGCCCAUCCAUUAUCAACACCUAUUCCAUUUGUCGUCAUACCGUGUUUUUCCAUUCAAAUGUUGUUCUUGUGUUUCAGACAUCCAAAAGGAAGAGGGUGGUUGCAGAACCUGAAGGAGUAUAAGCAAAGUCCUUGAAAAAGGUGGUGCUACCGAAGAAAUCACAUAGCACCCGACAUAUAUUGGUGAUAGAACCAGCGCCGCAAAACCUAGGAUAUCGCAACUAUGCUGGUCGCUGCUUUGCUCUUAUGAGUACCUAUUGUCCUAUCGCUGUCCUUACAUUCAUACCUGGUGGAUUAUGUGACAUCAUUGUGCAUUAUAGCUUGCUUAUUCACUGUUUGCUCCAAAUUAUCAGAUCUAUAUUAAUGCUUAAAUUAAUGUACAAUAAACCCAAUGCCUAUGAAGAAAUUUAGUUCUGCAUUGUUCUUGUAAGUAUCUGUUGUCCUUCAUCACUGUACUUAUAUUUGUCAGCUAGUUCUUCAUGUACACUUUGCAGCUUAUUUUCCCUUGUCCUCCAUUUUUCUACACAUCAAAUCUACAUUUACUCUUGACAAAAUAUUGAAUAAAACCAAUGUUACUGAAGAAGUUUAGCUCCGCAUUGCUCGUCAGUGCCUUCUGCCUAUAUGCUGUAUUUACAUUUGUACUCUGCAUCUUAAGUUAAAUAAUCGCCAUUUGUUCCUAUAUUUUCACAUCUAUAUUACUCUUAACAAAAUGUAGAAUAAAGGCAAUACUCUUGAAGAAGAGUGUGCGGUAAACUUCUUGAAUUCCCCCCCCCCAUCAAUAUGGGCAAGGCCUUUAUAGAGCAUGUCUUCACUACUAAUGUAAGUUUGUCCUCCUCGAGCCUUCAAACUUUGUUGUGUAUAUUUGGAUAGCUAUGAGUGCAAAUGUUGUUUAUUUUUGUCGUCUGCAUCAAAUUGUUGUUCAAAGUUUAUAAAGUAGAAAUACAUAAACAUAAGUUUGUCCUUCUCAAUUUCAGUAUUUAGUUGUACAAUCUAGUUCCUUAUUCAUACCAUGUAAAUUAAACUAAACAUAGCAAGUUAUCUUCUUUAGCACUAUGUGUAUGCUUGUGUUCUUGAUCUGUAAUCCAGUGGUGUGGUGAGACUACCAACAACAGCACAAUGUCAUAUCCUGCUAUGUCUCAACUAUGAAUAAUGCCUUAUUAUAUUAAUGUUAUUUAAAUCGUGUCUCUUUAUUUACCAAUCUGAAAUGGUAUAAAUUGACAGUACACUCACCAUUCAUGCUUAUACGUUGUUUAGAACUACAUCUAUGCUUGUGUUCUUGAUCUGUAAUCCAGUGGUCUGGUGAAGCUGGCCGCUCCUGCACAAUGCCAUUUCCUGCCGUCUUAACUAUGAACAAUGCCUAUUAUGUUAAUGUUAUUUUAAAUAGUGUCUCUUUAUUUCUGACAAAGAAAUUAGAUGAAUUGACAGCACUAAUGCUUAUACGUGCAAAACUUGUUAUCUACCUACUUGUUUCUCUUUCAGGGUGACAACAUUGCUGCUAGGAAGAACUGCCACAAUGAUAGUGAGACGAACCCAUUGCUUGUCCCUCUAACACAUAUUCCAGAGGAGAAGGCAACACAUAUUGAGGGUAGGGAUACAACCACGAAGUCACAUCUUGAUGUAGUGUCAAACUUACUCGAUGACACAAGCUCAAUGAAGUCGCCGCCUGAAUCUGUUCGACUUCUUCAGUCUGAAAUUCAAGCAGAAAUACAUGCUUCCACUCAAAUACGACUGAAAUUCCAAUCUCUAUGCAAGAUUAACCAUAAGUACAUGACGUUUAUUGAUGCUAUCCAGCUUAAGUUGGUGGUAUGAGCGGCAAAGAAGCGCAGUCUCAUUAGGUUGCUAAGCUGCUUGCGCUACAGCUCCCGGGCCGGGCUAACCUUUCUUGAACUGUGUUGAAGUGCUGUCGGUUCUGUCUAUUAUUUUGUCCGCCUAUUAACUUCCACUGGUGGCGACCUGCCCAGUUUAUGUAAUUUGAUGUUUGGUUGCCCUUUAUUAUCACUGGCGGUGAACUUUUUUUUUGACAGAAAGACUGUAAGGGGACCCCCUACAGUAUAAUUGGUGCAACAAACCCAAAUUGCAAGUACCAUGCCUUGAACCUGGGUGGAUGGGAAGGCAUCAGCCCCUUCCAACCACUAGGCUAUGCCUUAACCUGCACUAGGCUAUACCCAAAUUUCUUUGUUGUAUAGUCUAGGUUUAUUCUUGGUCGGUAUGCUGUAAUUUAGGUCGGAAGGUUCAGUGGAUCUCAGUGUUGUCGGUCUUCAGGCCGGCCCGUUAGUCAUAUGGGCCAAAACGUGGGCCUAUUAUCAUCUUGGGCCAUUAGUAGGUCUAAACCUAUAGUAGUUUCCUGCCUUUAACAGGUCGAGUAAAGUUCUGGCCAGCUGGGCCAGAGAAUAUGGGCUUUUAACAGGCUAAAAUCUAGAUUGGGCUAGUGUUGAGCCAAAAAAUUCACGGGCCAAUACAGGCCGAAACUGCCUAAGGCCAAUGUUGGGGCCAAAUAGGACGAGCAAUUAACAGGCCAAAAUAUAUCUCGGGUCUGUUUGGCCAAAUAAAAUUAUGGGCUUUAAGCACGCCGGUAUCCGCGUGGGCCAUAGGCCCAAAAGUGUCACGGGCCAUUAUCAGAUGGGCUGUAAGCAGGCCGGAUUCAACGCGGGCUGUAAUUAGGCCCAACUGUUACACGGGCCAUUAACAGGCCGAUAGGCCAGUUGGGCUGAAAUUUAUCCACGAAGACUACGGGCCGUUAAGAGGCCUAAAGUUACUUUGGACAAGAAAUAGCCCAGUUUAUGCAUGGGUCGUUAAAUGGCCUAAAGUUAAACCGGGCCGACAACGUCCCAGAUACACCACGGGCCGCUAACAGGCCGAAACUAUUAUCGGGCCAAACUGGUAAACGAGCAUUUAACAGGCUGAAAUACAAACAUGUCUUAGAAUGGGCCCAAAAGAACAGUGGCCUGUUAACGGGCCUGAUCCAAUAUUGGCCGUAAUUUGGCCCAAAACGCGGCAGGCUGUGAAUGGGCCUGAUGUAGUAUGGGCCUCAAUUUGACCCAAAACAUGGCAGGUUGUUAACGGGCCAGCCCACUAGUGUCUGAAAAAACAUGGUGGGCCUUUAGCUGGGACGGCCUUUUCACCGGAAUGGGCCUCUGUUGGGCCGUGCCACGUGUCGACGUAUCAUAGUCGCCUCCUGUCCAAUGAGUGGAUGACAUCUGUCCCAACGGUGAGCCAACACGUGUUUCCUCCGGCCAAUAAGAAUUUUACACGUGGAAAAUCCCCAUUGGUCUGGGCUGUUAACGGGUGAAAGGACAUGCGGUGCCCCCAUGUGUGGUUUUGGUAAUUGAUGACAAUCUGUAUGGACUAAUGGUUGCAUUGAGUUAUAUUUGAAGGAUUUGUCCAUAGGCAUGUCUUGAAGUCCAUGUGUUGGUUUCAAGGAGUUUAUGUGUUGACAGAGGUGCUUUUAAGGAAUUAUCCAAAGAUUGGUCAUGUGAGAGUUGAGCUUAUUGCAAGCAUGUCUUGGAGAAGAAGAUUGUGUGAUCAUUCAUGUCUACCUUCAAGACAUCAUCCAAAUGAAGAGAGUUCGAAAGAUUCAAGGUUGAUCAAGAUUAAGUCAAGAGUGAAUCAAGUUGAUCAACACACAAAGCAUACAAGAUGUACCAAGGGAUCAAGUGAUCCCAUGGUAUGGUAAGCAUUGUCCAUUAUGCUUUGUAUGCUAUACCAUGGUAUUCGUGAGAGUUUUUUGUGGGGUUAGGUUGCGGUGUGUGAUACGUCUCCAACGUAUCUAUAAUUUUUUAUUGUUCCAUGCUAUUAUAUUAUCUGUUUUGGAUGUUUAAUGGGCUUUAUUAUGCUCUUUUAUAUUAUUUUUGGGACAAACCUAUUAACCGAAGGCCCAGUGCAAAUUGCUGGUUUUUUUGCCUAUUUCAAUGUUUCGCAGAAAAGGAAUAACAAACGGAAUCCAAACGGAAUGAAACCUUCACGAGGAUCGUUUUUGGAACAAACGCAAUCCAGGAGACUUGGAGUGGACGUCAAGGAAUCAACGAGGCGGCCACGAAGCAGGAGGGCGCGCCCCCCACCCUCGUGGGCCCCUCGUGGCUCCACCGACCUACUUCUUUCGCCUAUAUAUACUCUCAUACCCUGAAAACAUCCAGGAGAGCUACGAAACACUUUUUCCACCGUCGCAACCUUCUGUACCCGUGAGAUCCCAUCUUGGGGCCUUUUCCGGCGCUCCGCCGAAGGGGGAAUCGAUCACGGAGGGCUUCUACAUCAACACCAUAGCCUCUCCGAUGAUGUGUGAGUAGUUUACCACAGACCUUCGGGGCCAUAGUUAUUAGCUAGAUGGCUUCUUCUCUCUCUUUGGAUCUCAAUACAAAGUUCUCCUCGAUCUUCUUGGAGACCUAUUCGAUGUAAUACUUUUUGCGGUGUGUUUGCCGAGAUCCGAUGAAUUGUGAGUUUAAGAUCAAGAUUAUCUAUGAACAAUAUUUGAUUCUUCUCUGAAUUCUUAUAUGCAUGAUUUGAUAUCUUUGCAAGUCUCUUCGAAUUAUCAGUUUGGUUUGGCCUACUAGAUUGAUCUUUCUUGCAAUGGGAGAAGUGCUUAGCUUUGGGUUCAAUCUUGCGGUGUCCUUUCCCAGUGACAGCAGGGGCAGCAAGGCACGUAUUGUAUUGUUGCCAUCGAGGAUAAAAGGAUGGGGUUUAUAUCAUAUUGCUUGAGUUUAUCCCUCUACAUCAUGUCAUCUUGCCUAAUGCGUUACUCUGUUCUUAUGAACUUAAUACUCUAGAUGCAUGUUGGAUAGCGGUCGAUGUGUGGAGUAACAGUAGUAGAUGCAGAAUCGUUUCGGUCUACUUGACACGGACGUGAUGCCUAUGUUCAUGAUCAUGCCUAGAUAUUCUCAUAACUAUGUGCUUUUCUAUCAAUUGCUCGGCAGUAAUUUGUUCACCCACCGUAAUAUAUGCUAUCAUGAGAGAAGCCACUAGUGAAACCUAUGGCCCCCGGGUCUAUUUUACAUCAUAUUAGUUUCCCGUCAACUAGCCAAUUUCUGUCACCGUUUAUUUUGCAACCUUUAUUUUCCAAUCUAUACAACAAAAAUACCAAAAAUAUUAUCUUAUUAUCUUUAUCAGAUCUCACUUUUGCAAGUGGCCGUGAAGGUAUUGACAACCCCUUUAUCGCGUUGGUUGCAAGGUUCUUGAUUAUUUGUGCAGGUACUAGGCGAUUUGCGUGUAGUCUCCUACUGGAUUGAUACCUUGGUUCUCAAAAACUGAGGGAAAUACUUACGCUACUUUGCUGCAUCACCCUUUCCUCUUCAAGGGAAACCAACGCAUGCUCAAGAGGUAGCAAGAAGGAUUUCUGCCACCAUUGCCGGGGAGGUCUACGCACAAGUCAAGACAUACCAAGUACCCAUCACAAACUCUUCUCCCUCGCAUUACAUUAUUUGCCAUUUGCCUCUCGUUUUCCUCUCCCCCACUUCACCUUUGUCGUUUUAUUCGCCCUUUUUCAUUCGUCUCUUUUCGCUUGCUUCUUGUGUGCCCGUUCUUAGUGAGGUUUGUCGCCAUCAUGUCUGAAAUUGGGGAGGUUAUCGUCGAAAAAGAUAAUAGUAACAAUGGGGGAAACCUUGAUACUUUUGAUAAUCCAGAUGAAGAAUCCGCUAUUCUACACACUAAAAAGUUUUGGAUUGGUAGUGGUAAUAUUAUUGGAAAAGGAGUUACUCAAGAUUUCUUUACUUGUGCCGGUGCUUUGCCCACUAUGGGAGGGUCUAUUCUUCAUAGAACUAGUAGUCUCGCGGAUGCUAUAUCUUUUCUCAUAGUUGAACUUGAAAGACAAUUUAUGCAUAUGCAUCCUUGCAUACAAAGGAUUUUCCUAGAAUUUUUCAAUAUUGAGCAUUCUUCUGUUAAGCGUGUAGCUACUAUAUUUUUAGCACAUGAGUUCAGAUUUAUAAUGAAAGAGGCCAAUGAAAUUUUUGCGCAUUAUAGGGUGGACGCUUGCCGUCCUCCCAUAUAAGCUAUCCUUUUUAAUCAAGAAGACAUAAUGCGUUUACGAUCUUUAGAUCAUGUUGCUUAUAAUGAAAACCUUAGAAAAAAGGUUCCUACCGAUGUUCUAGUUGAUAGAAUCUCUAAACUUAAUGAUGAUUUUGCUAUUCAGAAUAAUGGGUUAGGAUUUCCUCUUGAACAUAGGCUCAUGACUUUUUGCCAAAAGAAUGCUUAUAAUGAUGAAUUGGUUGUGCAAUAUGAGGGGCCGAAGGAGGAACCAAUACCUCCCAAGCUUGAUCUUGGGGACUUUUGUCCCAUUAAAUUUAGCCCUUUUGAUUAUUUUUGCCUGCCGCAAAGAAAGCUUGCUGCUGAACGUAGGGAGUAUGAGAUGAGUUUUCGCGAUUUGCCCUAUCAUUAUGGCAAUACCUGGAUCUAUUCUUGUUUUUAUGCCUAGCUAGGGGCGUUAAACGAUAGCGCUUGUUGGGAGGCAACCCAAUUUUAUUUUUGUUCCUUACUUUUUGUUCCUGUUUAGUAAUAAAUAUUUCAUCUAGCCUCUGGUUAGAUGUGGUUUUAUGUUUUAAUUAGUGUUUGUGCCAAGUAGAACCUUUAGGAUAACCUAUGGUGAUAGUUAAUUUGAUCUUGCUAAAAAGCAGAAACUUUUGCGCGCACGAAAUUAGUUUUCAUAAAUCACAGGAACGUGCUUUUCAGUUGAUUCUUUUUGCAGAAUAUUAAUAAACAAAUUGCUUAGGACUUCCUAAUUCCUCAGAAUUUUUGGAGUUACAGAAGUAUUUGAAACUAUUAGAUUUCUACAGACUGUUCUGUUUUUGACAGAUUCUGUUUUUAGUGUGUUGUUUGCUUAUUUUGAUGAAUCUAUGGCUAGUAUCGGGGGGUACGAACCAUAGAGAAGUUGGAAUACAGUAGGUUUAACACCAAUAUAAAUAAAGAAUGAGUUCAUUGCAGUACCUUAAGGUGGUGGUUUGUUUUCUUAUACUAACAGAGCUCAUGAGAUUUUCUGUUUGAGUUUUGUGUUUUCAAGUUUUCAAGUUUUUGGGUAAAGAUUUGAUGGAUUUUGGAAUAAGGAGUGGCAAGAGCCUAAGCUUGGGGAUGCCCAAGGCACCCCAAGGUAAAAUUCAAGGUCAACCAAAAGCCUAAGCUUGGGGAUGCCCCGGAAGGCAUCCCCUCUUUCGUCUUCGUCUAUCGGUAACUUUACUCGAGGCUAUAUUUUUAUUCACCACAUGAUAUGUGUUUUGCUUGGAGCGUCUUGUAUGAUUUAAGUCUUUGCUUUUUACUUUACCACAAUCAUCCUUGCUGUACACACCUUUUGGGAGAGACACACAUGAAUCGGAAUUUAUGAGAAUACUCUAUGUGCUUCACUUAUAUAUUUUGAGCUAGAUAAUUUUGCUCUAGUGCUUCACUUAUACCCUUUUUAGAGCACGGUGGUGAUUUUAAUUUGUAGGAAUUAUUGAUCUCUCAUGCUUCACUUAUAUUAUUUUGAGAGUCCUUUAGAACAGCAUGGUAGUUUGCUUUGGCUAUAAAAUUAGUCCUAAUAUGAUAGGCAUCCAAGAUGGGUAUAAUAAAAACUUUCAUAUAGAGUGCAUUAAAUACUAUGAUAAAUUUGAUACUUCAUAAUUGUUUUCAGAUAUAAAGGUUGUAAUGUUAGAGUCAUGCUAGUUGGGUAAUUGUGGAAUUGAGAAAUACUUGUGUUGAGGUUGGCAAGUCCUGUAGCAUGCACGUAUGGUAAACGUUGUGUGACAAAUUUGAAGCAUGGGGUGUUCUUUGAUUGCUUUCCUUAUGAGUGGAGGUCGGGAUCGCGCGAUGGUUAACACCUACCAACCCUUCCCCUAGGAGCAUGCGCGUAGUGCUUAGUUUUGUUGACUUGUAGAUUUUUGCAAUAAGUAUGUGAGUUCUUUAUGACUAAUGUUGAGUCCAUGGAUUAUACGCACUCUCGCCCUUCCAUCAUUGCUAGCCUCUUCGGUACCGUGCAUUGCCCUUUCUCACCUCGAGAGUUGGUGCAAACUUCGCCGAUGCAUCCAAACCCCGUGAUAUGAUACGCUCUAUCACACAUAAGCCUCCUUAUAUCUUCCUCAAAACAGCCACCAUACCUACCUAUUAUGGCAUUUCCAUAGCCAUUCCGAGAUAUAUUGCCAUGCAACUUACCACUGUUCCGUUUAUUAUGACACGCUCCAUCAUUGUCAUAUUGCUUUGCAUGAUCAUGUAGUUGACAUCGUAUUUGUGGCAAAGCCACCUUCAUAAUUCUUUCAUACAUGUCGCUCUUGAUUCAUUGCAUAUCCCGGUACACCGCCGGAGGCAUUCACAUAGUCAUAUUUUGUUCUAAGGAUCGAGUUGUAAUUCUUGAGUUGUAAGUAAAUAGAAGUGUGAUGAUUUUCAUUAUUAGAGCAUUGUCCCAUGUGAGGAAAGGAUGAUGGAGACUAUGAUUCCCCCACAAGUCGGGAUGAGACUCCCGAUGAGAAAAAAAUAAAUAAAUAAAGAGGCCAAAGAAGCCCAAAUAAAAAAAGGCCAAAGAAGCCCAAACAAAAAAACAAAAAAAUGAGAGAAAAAGAGAGAAGGGACAAUGUUACUAUCCUUUUUCCACACUUGUGCUUCAAAAUAGCACCAUGAUCUUCAUGAUAGAGAGUUUCUUAUUUUGUCACUUUCAUAUACUAGUGGGAAUUUUUCAUUAUAGAACUUGGCUUGUAUAUUCCAAUGAUGGGCUUUCUCAAAAUGCCCUAGGUCUUCGUGAGCAAGCAAGUUGGAUGCACACCCACUUAGUUUCUUUUGAUGGGCUUUCAUAUAUUUAUAGCUCUAGUGCAUCUGUUGCAUGGCAAUCCCUACUCCUCGCAUUGAUAUCAAUUGAUGGGCAUCUCCAUAGCCCGUUGAUUAGCCGCGUCAAUGUGAGACUUUAUCCUUCUUUUUGUCUGCUCACAUAACCCCCAUCAUCAUAUGCUAUUCCACCCAUAGUGCUAUGUCCAUGGCUUGCGCUCAUAUAUUCCGUAAAAGUUGAAAGAGUUUGAAAAGGCUAAGUAUGAAACAAUUGCUUGGCUGAAACCAGGGUUGUGCAUGAUGGGAGCAUUUUGUGUGACGAAAAUGAAGCAUGGCCAAACUAUAUGAUUUUGUAGGGAUGAGCUUUCUUUGGCUAUGUUAUUUUGGUAAGACAUAAUUGCUUGGUUAGCAUGCUUGAAGUAUUACUAUUUUUAUGUUGAUAAUAAAAAUUUGUCUAGGAUCUUUUGGAUCUAAGCAUUCAUGCCACAAUAAAUAGAAUUACAUUGAAAAUUAUGUUAGGUAGCAUUCCACAUCAAAAAAUUUGUUUUAUCAUUUACCUACUCGAGGACGAGCAGGAAUUAAGCUUGGGGAUGCUUGAUACGUCUCCACCGUAUCUAUAAUUUUUGAUUGUUCCAUGCUAUUAUAUUAUCUGUUUUGGAUGUUUAAUGGGCUUUAUUAUGCUCUUUUAUAUUAUUUUUGGGACUAACCUAUUAACCGAAGGCCCAGUGCAAAUUGUUGUUUUUUGCCUAUUUCAGUGUUUCGCAGAAAAGGAAUAUCAAACGGAAUCCAAACGGAAUGAAACCUUCGCGAGGAUCGUUUUUGGAACAAACGCAAUCCAGGAGACUUGGAGUGGACGUCAAGGAAGCAACGAGGCGGCCACGAGGAAGGAGGGCGCGCCCCCCACCCUCAUGGGCCCCUCGUGGCUCCACCGACCUACUUCUUUCGCCUAUAUAUACUCUCAUACCCUGAAAACAUCCAGGAGAGCCACGAAGCACUUUUUCCACCGCCGCAACCUUCUGUACUUGUGAGAUCCCAUCUUGGGGCCUUUUCCGGCGCUCCGCCGGAGGGGGAAUCGAUCAUGGAGGGCUUCUACAUCAACACCAUAGCCUCUCCGAUGAUGUGUGAGUAGUUUACCACAGACCUUCGGGUCCAUAGUUAUUAGCUAGAUGGCUUCUUCUCUCUCUUUGGAUCUCAAUACAAAGUUCUCCUCGAUCUUCUUGGAGAUCUAUUCGAUGUAAUACUUUUUGCGGUGUGUUUGCCGAGAUCCGAUGAAUUGUGGGUUUAUGAUCAAGAUUAUCUAUGAACAAUAUUUGGUUCUUCUCUGAAUUCUUAUAUGCAUGAUUUGAUAUCUUUGCAAGUCUCUUUGAAUUAUCAGUUUGGUUUGGCCUACUAGAUUGAUCUUUCUUGCAAUGGGAGAAGUGCUUAGCUUUGGGUUCAAUCUUGUGGUGUCCUUUCCCAGUGACAGCAGGGGCAGCAAGGCACGUAUUGUAUUGUUGCCAUCGAGGAUAAAAAGAUGGGGUUUAUAUCAUAUUGCUUGAGUUUAUCCCUCUACAUCAUGUCAUCUUGCCUAAUGCGUUACUCUGUUCUUAUGAACUUAAUACUCUAGAUGCAUGUUGGAUAGCGGUUGAUGUGUGGAGUAAUAGUAGUAGAUGCAGAAUUGUUUCGGUCUACUUGACACGGACGUGAUUCCUAUGUUCAUAAUCAUGCCUAGAUAUUCUCAUAACUAUGCGCUUUUCUAUCAAUUGCUCGGCAGUAAUUUGUUCACCCACCGUAAUAUAUGCUAUCAUGAGAGAAGCCACUAGUGAAACCUAUGGCCCCCAGGUCUAUUUUAAAUCAUAUUAGUUUCCCGUCAACUAGCCAAUUUCUGUCGCCGUUUAUUUUGCAAUCUUUAUUUUCCAAUCUAUACAACAAAAAUACCAAAAAAUUAUCUUAUUAUCUUUAUCAGAUCUCACUUUUGCAAGUGGCCGUGAAGGGAUUGACAACCCCUUUAUCGCGUUGGUUGCAAGGUUCUUGAUUGUUUGUGCAGGUACUAGGCAAUUUGCGUGUAGUCUCCUACUGGAUUGAUACCUUGGUUCUCAAAAACUGAGGGAAAUACGUACGCUACUUUGUUGCAUCACCCUUUCCUCUUCAAGGGAAAACCAACGCAUGCUCAAGAGCUAGCAGUGUGCAAGUUCAAGUGGAGCAUCACGAAGAAAUCAAAUGCUUGAAGCUUGCCGUCCAUUGUGGUGACAAUGGAUUUGUGAAGAUGUGCGGAAGAGUGGCUCACCCAUAGUGGAGUAUGGGGGAGCAAUCAACUAGUCUUCAUCGAGCCAACGCAAUCAAGAAAGGUGGUCCAACUUGAGGGAGUCAAGAUCGUCAUCAUCUAGCUCAAGUGGACCAUGUGCAAGGCAAAGGUUUGCCCUUGAUAGGUUUUCUAUUUUACCGAUCUCAUGGUGGUAGUUGGGAGACCGGGUUAUAGGAUCGAUUGCCGUACUAUCAAGGGGGGCUCUCAAUGAGUAGCUUUAUCGUAUCAUUCGUAGAGAGCUCAAACCAUUGCAUCCUUGCAUCAUCUUUCUUGGUUCUUGUUUGAUUCUCUUUGUGAGUCUUAGAGCUUAUGGUCAUCUUGAUGACAAGCUCGAGUUCAUCGAAAACGGAGUUCACCUGCAUCUUCUAUGAUGUUUUCGAUGUUGGAGGUUAUGCCGGUUCUUCUCUGUUGGAGGUUUCACUCCUCUAUAUGUUAGGCAUACCUCCCUUGCCCCUUCUUACUCGCUGUUUUGAUGCUACUCGUUGUCUUCUAUCCAACAAGCUUGAGUUUUCUCAAUUCGGAGAUCAUUUGCAGAAGUUAUGGCAGUUCUGGUUUUAUUGGAUCCUUUUGUUGGCUUUAGCUGCGAUAUGAAGGCAGCCAAGUGCUAAAGCCUCUGUGGCGUGCGGUAGUACUGCUCAAGGGAGCGGUAGUACCGCAGGGGCCAGCGGUAGUACCGCUCCUGGUGAGCAGUAGUACCACGGCCUCUAGCCCAGAACAUUGUCACGCACGGAAGUAGGCGCGGAAGUAAUUUUUUACUUCCGUCCCUACGCGGUAGUACCGCUCCCUGCGAGCGGUAGUACCAUGCCGGCUUUCUACUCAAAGCUAGCUCCAGCGGAUGUAGGCGCGGCAGUAAUUUUUUACAUCCGUGGACGCACGGUAGUACCGCUAUCCCCAGCGGUAGUACCGCUACCUCACCGUGUAUACUGCUGUGUGCUGCACCUGUGUGGCCGUUGAAUACUACCCCUGCGGUAGUACCACAAGGGCAGGCAGUAGUACCCCUCCGGCAGUAGUACCACUCUGUUGCCCCGUUGUAGUAGUGUUUCAUUUGGCUACAGCCGCCCUAGCGGUAGUACCGCUCCUUGGAGCGGUAGUACCGCUCGGUGCGGGCUGUGAGGAUAACGGUUGGAUUUUUCCCCACCUAUAAAAGGGGGUCUUCUUCCCCAAUGAACCUUAUCCUUUGAGCUCGUGUUCUUGCCCCAUUGCUGACCUUCUUCGAGCUUGCUAACUCUCAAUCCCUCCAUGGAUUCUUGCUAGUUUUUGAGGGAAAAGAGAGAGGAGAUCUAGAUCCACAUUUCCACCAAUCACUUUCUCCUCUAUGUGAGGGGAACCCCUUGGAUCUAGAUCUUGGAGUUCUUGGUGUUCUCCUUCUUGUUCUUCCUCUCAUUUUCCUCCCCAGAAUUAGUUGCUUCGGUGGGACUUGAGAGAGAAGGACUUGGGCACUCCGUGUGCCCUUGCCAUUGCAUUUGGUGCAUCGGUUUGAGUUCUCCACGUGAUACGUGGAAGUUACAAGUUGAGAAGCUUAUUACUCUUGGGUGCUUGGUACCCUUGAGCUUGUUCCUCUUGGGUGCUUGGGCGCCCUAGACAGUUGGUGGUGUUCGGAGCUCAAUCAUUGUGGUGUAAAGCUCCGGGUGUCAGUGUCAAAACUGGUGGAUCUCGGGUAGGGGGUCCCAAACUGUGCGUCUAAGGUUGAGGGUAACAGGAGACGGGGGACACAAUGUUUACCCAGGUUCGGGCCCUCUCUACAGAGGUAAUACCCUACUUCUUGCUUGAUUGAUCUUGAUGAAUAUGAGUAUUACAAGAGUUGAUCUACCACGAGAUCGUAAUGGCUAAAACCCUAGAAGUCUAGCCUGUAUGACUAUGAUUAUGAUUAUUCAUCCUCUACGGACUAAGCCCUCCGGUUUAUAUAGACACCGGAGGGUUCUAGGGUUACAUCAGGUCGGUUACAGAGAAAGGAAUCUUCAUAUUUGGUCGCCAAGCUUGCCUUCCACGCCAAGGAGAGUCCCAUCCGGACACGGGAGAGAGUCUUCGGUCUUCGUAUCUUCACGGCCGAUCAAUCCGGCCCAUGUAUAACAGGUCGGAUGCCUGAGGACCCCUUAAUCCAGGACUCCCUCGGUAGCCCCCGAACCAGGCUUCAAUGACGAUGUGUCCAGCGCGCAGAUUGUCUUCGGCAUUGCAAGGCGGGUUCUUCCUCCGAUGACUUUCAAAGAGAUAUAUUCGGCACUCCAUUUAACGUUGUGCCCCUCGGCUUCUGUGCGUCAACAACUUCAGCUUCCACGUGUCGAGCGAAUGCGGGAGGUCAGGGUAUUUUCACAUAUAACACCCCGGCCAUGUAAGAACAGCGUCUAUUUAACGGGAUUGGAUCUCAGAUCCAUUCUAUAUCAUGCAAAAAAUCCUCAGAGCUUGCUAGGAAAAACCAUUCCAACAUGGCCAGCGCUCCUAGCUCUUCCUCCCGUCCCCACGGCCCAGAAAAAGGCAAUUGGGAGAGAUGUUUCAUAUCUCACGGUCAGUUGGUGAAGCUGCAAACACAGGGAUUCCUUCCCCCUGCGGAUCUAGUCCCCGUUCGAGUAGGAUUGAAUUCCUUCAACGGCGGGGCUCAGGCUGAGAAUUUCCACAACCCAUCCAGGGGGGAGCGAGUGUGCUUCAUCCCCUACUUGCUAAGAGGCGUCGGAUUUCCAAUCCAUCCGUUCCUCCGAGGGCUUCUAGAGUAUUAUGGCUUCCAACUGCACAACUUCACUCCUGCCUCCAUCCUGCACAUCACGGGCUACGUCACUCUUUGCGAGCUAUUCUUGGGUUGCGAGGCCCAUUUUGAUUUGUGGAGGAAGCUAUUCUGCCUCGUCCCUCGCAACCAAGAUGGAUCAAUAUUUGAAGUGGGCGGAGCCGAAGUAUGGCGCAUCGCCGGGACCGGAUACCUGUCCGGCACGCGGAAGAAGGCAUCCGAAGAAUGGCCUUCCGAAUGGUUCUAUAUCGAGGACGUCGCCCUUCCAGACCCAGUUCGAAUGGGUCUUCUCGAAUUUACAAGGGUUCCGUUGAAGAAAUGCCACAGCUGGCGCCCUCGGAGCCUCGAGGAGGAAGAUAGUGCGGAAGUCCGUCAACUGAUUAGCAAGAUAAAGACGCUUGCCCAGCCCGGAUUAUCAAUAGUCGACGUAAUGGCGACUUCCAUAGUGCGAGGGGUUCAGCCACUCCAAUACAGAGGGCUUCCUAUGUGGCACUACAAUGGGGAAGAUGACGCCUCCCGUUGCGGUCGAAAAGGUCCGGACACCCCCGCCGCUUUGGCCAAGAUAUUGGUCGAACUAUUCAAAGGGGAGGAAGAGGAAUUCCUUCGCAUCAAGCGUCGGGAUGGAUUUUCCAUGUACAACCCUACUAGUUGGGUGAGUUACAAUCCCAUUAUUCCAUUCAAUCUACUCCCUGAGUCACUUUUAACGAACAUUACUCCGUCCAUUCGUAACAGGAAUGGCGAAAAAUCACCAAGGGGCUACACCGCCCCGCCCCACAGCCAGAGAACCAUAACCGGGACCUUGACCCUGGAUUUGAAGAGGAUCCGGACAUAUAUGUGGAGCUCGAGGAUGGGGUGUUCUACCAGGCGAGCUAUGACGGCAUGGAAGUGGCCAUCACUGCCGACUAUCCCGGUCUUCUCCCUGCCUCGCACGUAAAUAAUCAGGAGAUAUCUCCUAUGAAAGAGCCUCCUCAUUCUGCCUCAUGAUGGGGAACGUAGCGAUAAUUCUAAAAUUUCCUACAUGUCACCAAGAUCAAUCUAGGAGAUGCUAGCAACGAGAGAGAGGGAGUGCAUCUUCAUACCCUUGAAGAUCGCUAAGCGGAAGCGUUACAAGAACGCGGUUGAUGGAGUCGUACUCGCGGCGAUUCAAAUCGCGGAAGAUCCGAUCUAGCGUCGAACGGACGACGCCUCCGCGUUCAACACACGUACAGCCCGGGGACAUCUCCUCCUUCUUGAUCCAGUAAGGGGAGAGGAGAAGUUGAGGGAGAACUCCAGCAGCACGACGGCAUGGUGGCAAUGGAGCUCGUGGUUCUCCGGCAGGGCUUCGCCAAGCACUAUGGAGGAGGAGAUGUAUGAGGAGGAAGGGGGCUGCGCCAAGGGAAGGGUAUGGCUUCCCUCCCACCCCCUCACUAUAUAUAGGGGGAGGGGAGAGGGUCCGGCCCCUCUAGAUGGAUCUAGAGGAGGAGGCGGCGGCCAGGGGAAACCCUAGAUGGGUUUGGGUGCCCCCACCCCCUAGGAAACUUGCCCCCCAAGCCGGGAGGGGCGGCUAUCCUAGGGGUGGCGCCCCCACCUCUCCUGGUUACGUGAGAGGGGUUGGGAGGGGCGCACAAUCCCUUAGUGGGCUGGUUUGACACUUCCCCUUGGCCCAUAAGGCCCCCCAACACUUGCCGGGGCCUCCGAAACCCCUUUCGGACAUGCUGGCCAUAGCCUGGUACCCCCGGAACAAUUCCGGACUCCAAUACCCUUCGUCCAAUAUACCGAUCUUCACCUCCGGACCAUUCCGGAGCUCCUCGUCAUGUCCGGGAUCUCAUCCGGGACUCCGAACAACCUUCGGUAACCACAUACUAUUUCCCAUAACAACUCUGGCGUCACCGAACCUUAAGUGUGUAGUCCCUACGGGUUCGGCAACCAUGCAGACAUGACCGAGACGUUCUCCGGCCAAUAACCAACAGUGGGAUCUGGAUACCCUUGUUGGCUCCCACAUGUUCCACGAUGAUCUCAUCGGAUGAACCACGAUGUCGGGGAUUCAAUCGAUCCCGUAUACAAUUCCCUUUGUCUAUCGGUAUGUUACUUGCCCGAGAUUCGAUCGUCCGUAUCCCUAUACCUUGUUCAAUCUCGUUACCGGCAAGUCUCUUUACUCAUUCCGUAACGCAUGAUCCCGUGGCUAACUCAUUAGUCACAUUGAGCUCAUUAUGAUGAUGCAUUACCGAGUGGGCCCAGAGAUACCUCUCCGUCAUACGGAGUGACAAAUCCCAGUCUCGAUUCGUGCCAACCCAACAGACUGUAGGAGAUAUGCCCUAGAGGCAAUAAUAAAUGAUAUUAUUUAACUCCGAGUUCAUAAUUAUGUUUAUGUUCCAUGCUAUAACUGCUAUGGUUCUCGAGUCUGCAAUAACCACGAGGCUCGGAGGAAGACUCAUAUGCACGUGUGGAAUAAUAAACGGUAAAAUGUAUUCCUAGUAUGGCCUCUAAGACUAGCUCAAGUGUUGAUGGUUAUGUUUUCCUGAUCAUGGGCAUGUCUAUGUCAGCAACCUUGAGGGCAUAAUGUUAAGAGAACAUUUGUGUUGAAUCGACCCGGCAUGAUGUUAUGCUAUGAGAUUCAUUCGUCACAAGUUUAUUGGUACAUAACACAGAGAUGGUUAAAGUUUGCAUGAUUCCUUAGACCAUGAGAGUAUCGAGUUUCUUCAUGCUUGCUUCAUGAACUUUGGGGUUUGUUAAACGUCAUCCGUAAAUGGGUGGCUAUUACGGCGGCUUACGGGUUCAUGGAAAAGUGUGUCAAGUAACUUGAUAGCUCAAGAUUGGGAUUUGCUCCUCCGACGAUGGAGAGAUAUCUCUGGGCCCUCUCGGUGUUACGGUAUCCAUCAUCGUCUGGCCAGACACUUUGUGAUUUGAUCACGGGGAUGCCGGAACACGAUAACGAGAAAAGAGAACAAUACCGGUAACGAGGUAACUAGCAUAGUGGACAAGUUGUUGAUCCACGGGAAUGCCAACAUGUCUCACCUCGGGUAUUUGCAACAUAUUGCGAAGCAACAGGAAUAGCACACGGCAACUGGAGGUUCACUCGAAUAUUUAUUCGUGUGGGUAUAGGGGUCAAUAUGGGUGUCCACGGCUCCGAUGUUGAUCAUUGAUCGGAAGGGGUUCCGGGUCAUGUCUAUACUUCACCGAACCUAUAGGGUCACAUGCUUAAGGGUCAUCUAUCUACUGAAUACUAGACAGGGAGUCUGAGAGAAAAUCACCGAAAAAGUUUCGGACACCGAAAAGUUUCGGACAGCGGAAUCGUACCGCAGAGAGAGGUCAUCGGAUAAGUUUCGAUGAUACCGAAAAGUUGUUUCGGGAUACACCAUUAAGUCAAAUUGGUUUCGGCACAUGCCUGAUAAUUCUUGGAGGAUGCCAGAAUCAUUCUGGAAGCUUUUUGGAAUUUUCUGAGAUAAAAACCGGAAAUGUUCCGGAGCUGCCGGAGCCACUUCAGAUGCGUUUCGCAGAUGAAAAUCACUAAAACCGGAAUUGUUUCGGAACGCGUUGAAAAUCAUUUUAGUGGGUAUUGGAAAUGUUCUUAGCCCACAUAAAUAUUUUCAGUUCGAUCAGACGCUGAAAAAUGUCGUCGUGAAUAGUGAAAAUCAGCUUUAUGGUUACUUUAUGGAAAGCCACCUUUUGGGGCUUUGCUCCAAAAGAUCUUGGGGAUGACAUGGAUGGAUAGGAGCCAUUUUUGGGGCCCCUCAUGGGGGUGUGGCCGGCCACAUGGGGUAUCCCCCCUUGGGGACCCUCUUGUUCCUUGGUUUCACUCCUAGGUCCUUGUGGAAGGACUUCAUUCAUGUGCAUUUUGGGUUUUUUGUGAAACUACCCUACCCCCUUGGGAUUUCCUAUAAAUAGAGGUGGAGGGGCAGCCCUCCACACUCAUCCCUUGCUCUCAUACACAUGCCAUGCAUUAUCUGGCUUCUUCUCUCCCUCCCACGAAAAGAGUUUCGUAGAGCCGUAAGGCUGUCUGGGUUCCGGCAGGAACUAGUUCUGGACGGCGAAGCCCUGCCGGAUAGAUGACACCGUAUGUGUGCAACUCUUUAGAGAGAUCGUAGUUUCGGUCUUAGUUCGUGAGUGCCUCCCGAAGGGCUGUCCGUGUGACCGUCCGAGUUUCGAAGGUCCUCCCGAAGGGCUGUCCGAGUGACCGUUCGAGUUUCGAAGGUCCUCCCGAAGGGCUGUCCGCGACACCGUCCGGGGGCUGUUCGACCGCCUCCUGGAGGGCUGUCUGAGGAGCAGAUGAGGGUAUACAUCCUCGCGGUUGGGAGGUUGUAAAUCCUAGCUGUGGGGAUCUGCACCGCCGAUCGUCAUCGACUCUACUUCCCGCUGCGCUACGAGUCGGUAACGAAAAAGAUCAAACCAUGUAUGCAGUCUCCAUAGUGGUCCUGGGCUGGUCCGUAGGUCGGAAUUUUUUUUGUUUUCUGCUGCGUUCCCCUACACAGACACUUUCGGAGAUACCUGUAGUGCACCUUUAUAGCCACCCAGUUACGUUGUGACGUUUGGUACACCCAAAGCAUUCCUACGGUAUCCCGGAGUUGCACAAUCUCAUGGUCUAAGGAAACGAUACUUGACAUUAGAAAAGCUCUUAGCAAACGAACUACACGAUCUUGUGCUAUGCUUAGGAUUGGGUCUUGUCCAUCACGUCAUUCUCCUAAUGAUGUGAUCCCAUUAUCAAUGACAUCCAAUGUCCAUGGUCAGGAAACCAUAACCAUCUAUUGAUCAACGAGCUAGUCAACUAGAGGCUUACUAGGGACAUGUUGUGGUCUAUGUAUUCACACAUGUAUUACGGUUUCCAGUUAAUACAAUUAUAGCAUGAACAAUAGACAAUUAUCAUGAACAAGGAAAUACAAUAAUAACCAUUUUAUUAUUGCCUCUAGGGCAUAUUUCCAGCAGUCUCCCACUUGCACUAGAGUCAAUAAUCUAGUUCACAUCACCAUGUGAUUAACACUCAAAGUUCACAUCGCCAUGUGACUAAUACCCAAGAGUUUACUAGAGUCAAUAAUCUAGUUCACAUCACCAUGUGAUUAACACUCAAUGAGUUCUAGGGUUUGAUCAUGUUAUGCUUACGAGAGAGGUUUUAGUCAACGGGUCUGCAACAUUCAGAUUCGUGUGUGAUUUACAAAUCUCUAUGUCAUCUUGUAGAUGCAGCUACCACGCGCUACUUGGAGCUAUUCCAAAUAACUGCUCUACUAUACGAAUCCGGUUUACUACUCAGAGUCAUCCGGAUUAGUGUCAAAGUUUGCAUCGACAUAACCCUUUACGAUGAACUCCUUUUCCACCUCCAUAAUCGAGAAAAUUCCUUAGUCCACUAGAUACUAAGGAUAAGUUCGACCGCUGUCAUGUGAUCCCUUCCUGGAUCACUAUUGUACCCCUUGACUAACUCAUGGCAAGGCACACUUCAGGUGCGGUACACAACAUAGCAUACUGUAGAGCCUACGUCUAAAGCAUAGGGGAUGACCUUCGUCCCUUCUCUCUCUCCUGUCGUGGUCAGGUCUUGAGUCUUACUCAACACUCACACCUUGUAACACAGCCAAGAACUCCUUCUUUGCUGAUCUAUUUUGAACUCCUUCAAAAUCUUGUCACGGUAUGUAUUCAUUUGAAAGUACUAUUAAGCGUUUUUGAUCUAUCCUUAUAGAUCUUGAUGCUCAAUGUUCAAGUAGCUUAAUCCAGGUUUUCCAUUGAAAAACACUUUUCAAAUAACCCUGUAUGCUUUCCAAAAAUUCUACAUCAUUUCUCAUCAACAAUAUGUUAACAACAUAUACUCAUCAAAAAUUCUAUAGUGCUCCCACUCACUUCUUUGGAAAUACAAGUUUCUCAUAAACUUUGUAUAAACCCAAAAUCUUUGAUCAUCUCAUCAAAGCGUACAUUCCAACUCCGAGAUGCUUACUCCAGUCCUAAGAAGGAUUGCUGGAGCUUUGCAUACUUGUUAGCAUCUUUCAGGAUUGACAAAACCUUCUGGUUGUAUCACAUACAACCUUUCCUCAAGAAAAUCGUCGAGGAAACAAUGUUUUGACAUCCUAUCUGCAAGAUUUCAUAAAUAAUGCAGUAACUGCUAAUAUAAUUCCAACAGAAUCUUAGCAUCGCUACGAGUGAGAAAGUCUCAUCGUAGUCAACUCCUUGAACUUGUCGGAAAACAUCUUAACGACAAGUCGAGCUUUCUUAAUGGUGACACUUACCAUCAUUGUCCGUCUUCCUUUUAAAAUCCAUCUGCACCCAACAGCCUUACGACCAUCAAGUAGUUCUUCCAAAGUCUAUACUUUGCUUUUAUACACGGAUCCUCUCUCGAAUUUUAUGGCCUUGAGCCAUUCGUCGGAAUCCGGGCCCACCAUCGCUUCUCCAUAGCUCGUAGGUUCAUUGUUGUCUAGCAACAUGACUUCCAAGACAGGAUUAGUACCACUCUGAAGUAGUACGCAUCCUUGUCGACCUACGAGGUUUGGUAGUGACUUGAUCCGAAGUUUCAUGAUCACUAUCAUAAGCUUCCACUUCAAUUGGUGUAGGUGCCACAGGAACAACUUCCUGUGCCCUGCUACACACUAGUUGAAGUGAUGGUUCAAUAACCUCAUCAAGUCUCCACCAUCCUCCCACUCAAUUCUUUCGAGAGAAACUUUUCCUCGAGAAAGGACCUGUUUCUAGAAACAAUCACUUUGCUUCCGGAUCUGAAAUAGGAGGUAUACCCAACUGUUUUGGGUAUUCUAUGAAGAUGCAUUUAUCCGCUUUGGGUUCGAGCUUAUCAGCCUGAAACUUUUUCACAUAAGCGUCGCAGCCCCAAACUUUUAAGAAACGACAGCUUAGGUUUCUCUAAACCAUAGUUCAUACGGUGUCGUCUCAACGGAUUGCGUGGUGCCCUAUUUAAAGUGAAUGCGGUUCUCUCUAAUGCCUAGCCCAUAAACGAUAGCGGUAAUUCGAUAAGAGAUAUCAUGGUAUGCACCAUAUCCAAUAGGGUGCAGUUAUGAUGUUCGGACACACCAUCACACUAUGGUGUUCCAGGCGGUAUUAGUUGUGAAACAAUUUCCGCAAUGUCUUAAUUGUGUGCCAAACUCGUAACUCAGAUAUUCAUUUCUAUGAUCAUAUCAUAGACAUUUUAUCCUCUUGUCACGACGAUCUUCAACUUCACUCUGAAAUUACUUGAACCUUUCAAUAAUUCAGACUUGUGUUUCAUCAAGUAAAUAUACUCAGCAUCUACUCAAAUCAUCUGUGAAGUAAGAACAUAACGAUAUCCGCUGCGUGCCUCAGCACUCAUUGGACUGCACACAUCAAAAUGUAUUACUUCCAACAAGUUGCUUUCUUGUUCCAUCUUACUGAAAAUGAGGCCUUUCAGUCAUCUUGACCAUGUGUUAUGAUUUGCAUGUCUCAAGUGAUUCAAAAUCAAGUGAGUCCAAAUGAUCCAUCUGUAUGGAGUUUCUUCAUGCAUAUCUACCAAUAGACAUGGUUCGCAUGUCUCAAUCUUUUCAAAAACGAGUGAGUCCAAAGAUCCAUCAACAUGGAGCUUCUUCAUGCGUUUUAUACCAAUAUGACUCAAAUGGCAGUGCCACAAGUAUGUGGUACUAUCAUUACUAUUUUAUAUCUUUUGGCAUGAACAUGUGUAUCACUACGAUCGAGAUUCAAUAAACCAUUCAUUUUAGGUGCAAGACCAUUGAAGGUAUUAUUCAAAUAAACAGAGUAACCAUUAUUCUCCUUAAAAGAAUAACCGUAUUGCGAUAAACAUAAUCUAAUCAUGUCUAUGCUCAACGCAAACACCAAAUAACAAUUAUUUAGGUUUAACACCAAUCUCGAUGGUAGAGGGAGCAUGCGAUGCUUGAUCACAUCAACCUUGGAAACACUUCCAACACAUAUCGUCAUCUCACCUUUAGCUAGUCUCCGUUUAUUCCGUAGCCUUUUAUUUUGAGUUACCAACACUUAGCAACCGAACCGGUAUCUAAUACCCUGGUGCUACUAGGAGUACUAGUAAAGUACACAUUAAUAUAAUGUAUAUCCAAUAUACUUCUGUCGACCUUGCCUGCCUUCUCAUCUACCAUGUAUCUAGGGUAGUUCUGCUUCAGUGACCGUUCCCCUCAUUACAGAAGCACUUAGUCUCGGGUUUGGGUUCAACCUUGGGUUUCUUUACUAGAGCAGCAACUAAUUUGCCGUUUCAUGAAGUAUCCCUUCUUUCCCUUGCCCUUCUUGAAACUAGUGGUUUUACUAACCAUCAACAAUUGAUGCUCCUACUUGAUUUCUACUUUCGCGGUGUCAAACAUCGCGAGUUGCUCAAGGAUCAUCAUGUCUAUCCCUGAUAUGUUAUAGUUCAUCACGAAGCUCUAAUAGCUUGGUGGCAGUGACUAUGGAGAACCAUCACUAUCUCAUCUGGAAGAUUAACUCCCACUCGAUUCAAGCGAUUGUAGUACUCAGACAAUCUGAGCACAUGCUCAACGAUUGAGCUUUUCUCCCUUAGUUUGCAGGCUUAAGAAACUUGUCAGAGGUCUCAUACCUCUUGACGUGGGCACUAGUCUGAAAUCCCAAUUUCAAUCUUUGGAACAUCUCAUAUGUUCUGCGACGUUUCAAAAUGUCUUUGGUGCCAUAAUUUUAAACCGUUAGCAUUACGCACUGAACUAUCACGUAGUCAUCAAAACGUGUAUGUCAGAUGUUUCGCAACAUCUACAGACGACGCUCGAGGUUCAGCACACCGAGCGGUGCAUUAAGGACAUGAGCCUUCUGUGCAGCAAUGAGGACAAUCCUCAGUAUACGGACCCAGUCCGCAUAAUUGCUACUGUCAACUUUCAACUAAAUUUUCUCUAGGAACAUAUCUUAAACAGUAGAACUAAAGCGUAAGCUAUGACAUAAUUUGCAAAGACCUUUUGACUAUGUUCAUGACAAUUAAGUUCAUCUGAUUAUUUAAUGAACUCCCACUUAGAUAGACAUCCCUCUAGUCAUCUAAGUGAUACAUGAUCCGAAUCGACUAGACCGUGUCCGAUCAUCACGUGAGACGGACUAGUCAUCAACGGUGAACAUCUCCAUGUUGAUCGUAUCUACUAUACGACUCAUGUUCGACCUUUCGGUCUCUUGUGUUCCGAGGCCAUGUCUGUACAUGCUAGGUUCGUCAAGUCAACCUAAGUGUUUCGCAUGUGCAAAUCUGGCUUACACCCGUUGUAUGCGAACGUUAGAAUCUAUCACACCCGAUCAUCACGUGGUGCUUCGAAACAACGAACCUUCACAAUGGUGCACAGUUAGGGGGAACACAUCUCUUGAAAUUUUAGUGAGGGAUCAUCUUAUUUAUGUUACCGUCGUUCUAAGCAAAUAAGAUGUGAACAUGACAAACAUCACAUGCAAAUCAUAAAGUGACAUGAUAUGGCCAGUAUCAUCUUGCGCCUUUUGAUCUCCAUCUUCGAGGCGCGGCAUGAUCACCUUCGUCACCGGCAUGAUCUCCAUCAUCGUGUCUUCAUGAAGUUGUCUCGCCAACUAUUACUUCUACUACUAUGGCUAACGGUUAGCAAUAAAGUAAAAUAAUUACAUGGCGUUUUUCAUUGACAUGCAGGUCAUACAAUAAAUUAAGACAACUCCUAUGGCUCCUGCCGGUUGUCAUACUCAUCGACAUGCAAGUCGUGAUUCCUAUUACAAGAACAUGAUCAGUCUCAUACAUCACAUAUAUAUAAUUCAUCACAUCCUUUUGGCCAUAUCACAUCACAUAGCAUACCCUGCAAAAACAAGUUAGACGUCCUCUAAUUGUUGUUGCAUGUUUUACGUGGCUGCUAUGGGUUUCUAGCAAGAACAUUUCUUACCUACUCAAAAGCCACAACGGUGAUAUGCCAAUUGCUAUUUACCCUUCAUAAGGAUCCUCUUCAUCGAAUCCGAUCCGACUAAAGUGGGAGAGACAGACACCCGCUAGCCACCUUAUGCAUCAAGUGCAUGUCAGUCGGUGGAACCUGUCUCACGUAAGUGUACGUGUAAGGUCGGUCCGGGCCGCUUCAUCCCACAAUGCCACCGAAUCAAGAUAAGACUAGUAACGGUAAGCAAAUUGAACAAAUCAUCGCCCACAACUACUUUGUGUUCUACUCGUGCAUAGAAUCUAUGCAUAGACCUAGCUCAUGAUGCCACUGAUGGGGAACGUAGCGAUAAUUCAAAAUUUUCCUACGUGUCACCAAGAUCAAUCUAGGAGAUGCUAGCAAUGAGAGAGAGGGAGUGCAUCUUCAUACCCUUGAAGAUUGCUAAGCGGAAGCGUUACAAGAACGCGGUUGAUGGAGUCGUACUCGCGGCGAUUCAAAUCGCGGAAGAUCCGAUCUAGCGCCGAACGGACGGCGCCUCCGCGUUCAACACACGUACAGCCCGGGGACGUCUCCUCCUUCUUGAUCCAGCAAGGGGAGAGGAGAAGUUGAGGGAGAACUCCAGCAGCACAACGGCAUGGUGGCAAUGGAGCUCGUGGUUCUCCGGCAGGGCUUCGCCAAGCACUACGGAGGACGAGGAAAUGUAUGAGGAGGAAGGGGGUUGCGCCAAGGGAAGGGUAUGGCUGCCCUCCCACCCCCUCACUAUAUAUAGGGGGAAGGGGAGAGGGGCCGGCCCCUCUAGAUGGAUCUAGAGGAGGAGGCGGCGGCCAGGGGAAACCCUAGAUGGGUUUGGGUGCCCCCACCCCCUAGGAAACUUGCCCCCCAAGCCGGGAGGGGCGGCUGCCCUAGGGGUGAUGCCCCACCUCUCCUGGUUACGUGAGAGGGGUUGGGAGGGGCGCACAGCCCCUUAGUGGGCUGGUUUGCCCCUUCCCCUUGGCCCAUAAGGCCCCCCAACGCUUGUCGGGGCCUCCGAAACCCCUUUCGGACAUGCUGGCCAUAGCCUGGUACCCCCAGAACAAUUCCGGACUCCAAUACCCUUCAUCCAAUAUACCGAUCUUCACCUCCGGACCAUUCCGGAGCUCCUCAUCAUGUCCGGGAUCUCAUCCGAGACUCCGAACAACCUUCGGUAACCACAUACUAUUUCCCAUAACAACUCUAGCGUCACCGAACCUUAAGUGUGUAGACCCUACGGGUUCGGGAACCAUGCAGACAUGACCGAGACGUUCUCCGGCCAAUAACCAACAGCGGGAUUUGGAUACCCAUGUUGGCUCCCACAUGUUCCACGAUGAUCUCAUCGGAUGAACCACGAUGUCGGGGAUUCAAUCAAUCCCGUAUACAAUUCCCUUUGUCUAUCGGUAUGUUACUUGCCCGAGAUUCGAUCGUCAGUAUCCCUAUACCUUGUUCAAUCUCGUUACCGGUAAGUCUCUUUACUCGUUCUGUAACGCAUGAUCCCGUGGCUAACUCAUUAGUCACAUUGAGCUCAUUAUGAUGAUGCAUUACCGAGUGGGCCCAGAGAUACCUCUCAAUCAUACGGAGUGACAAAUCCCAGUCUCGAUUCGUGCCAACCCAACAGACACUUUCGGAGAUACCUGUAGUGCACCUUUAUAGCCACCUAGUUACGUUGUGACGUUUGGUACACCCAAAGCAUUCCUACGGUAUCCGGGAGUUGCACAAUCUCAUGGUCUAAGGAAACAAUACUUGACAUUAGAAAAGCUCUUAGCAAAUGAACUACACGAUCUUGUGCUAUGCUUAGGAUUGGGUCUUGUCCAUCACAUCAUUCUCCUAAUGAUGUGAUCCCAUUAUCAAUGACAUCCAAUGUCCAUGGUCAGGAAACCAUAACCAUCUAUUGAUCAACGAGCUAGUCAACUAGAGGCUUACUAGGGACAUGUUGUGGUCUAUGUAUUCACACAUGUAUUAUGGUUUCCAGUUAAUACAAUUAUAGCAUGAACAAUAGACAAUUAUCAUGAACAAGGAAAUACAAUAAUAACCAUUUUAUUAUUGCCUCUAGGGCAUAUUUCCAACACCUCACCCACCGCACUGUCUUGUGCUCCAAAGGGGAGGCGCUCGAUGCGUCAUUCUACACCAGAGGCAACUCCAAAGAGAGCGGUGCCCAAGCCGGGCAGGCCUUCGAAGAGGAAGGCAAGCGAAGACACGACCGAGCCUUCAUCGAAGAGGUAUGGCUUUGUAAAUAUGCCCCUUGGCAAUCACAUCCAACUGUGACAUUAUCCGUUGUGUCUUAACAGGAAAAGCGUUCACCGGACUAUGUCCAGGGAUCUUACCGGCCGCGCCUCCACAAGUCAGGUUCCCGACCCUGCUUUAAAGGCAAGGGCUGAUACGGGAGUGACGCCGGAUUGUCCCUCGGCAGAUGAGUCGGAUGAUGUAUCCGUCACAAACUCGGAGGUGGAGAGCGCCAUGAAUCAUCGGCGCCGGAGAGCCGUUCUACGCGACCCCGGCUUUACGAGCGAGGCAUUCAAUGCCUUCAGCUCGACUGAUGCAUAUAUCCAAGCUGCUCGAGACGGGCUUGCCAGAGCCACAGACCAACAUUUGAAAGGUAUGCGGGUAAAUUUAUAUUAUACAAAACUGAUAAUUAUAUACUAGUAGCCCCCGAGACUUGAAGCAGUUGAUACAACUGAUUUAAGGAUCAUUGUAUAACUAGGUGCUUAUGGAGAAGAACAGCCUGUUGUCUCAGGAACUAGAAAAGUGUCGGACCCAGCUAACUGCUGCUACCACCGAACUGGAGAAAUCCAAGAAGGCAUCACCUGGUAAUGUUCCCCUCCAUCGAGAAAACAUAAUUAUAUACCGGAAAUGCUAACACUGUUGCUCAUCUUAUGGCAGGAUCGUUAGAUCAACUGAAGGAGCAACUGAAAGCCGCCCAAGCGGAAGAACAAGAGGCCAAAAGACUACUGGCCGCGGGCGAACGUGUGCUGACACGAGUCAGAGAUGAGAAAAACAAGCUGUAGGAUGCCCACACCCAGCUGGGCGAAGAACUGAAAGAUGUACGGGCCCAGCUGGCUAAUUCUGUAAAGGAAAAUAAGAGGCUGCGCGGUGGCAUAUUUGGUAUGUGGUCACACUUACCUCCGUGUAGUUCGGAGAUGAAAGGGACUGACAGAAUUAUAUCUGUAGGUAUGCUGACCGGCCGUCCCGAAGAGGAGAUGUCCAGAAUCUCGGGCGAUCUGCUACAAGAGCUGUCGCAAAUGCACGAGCAAGCUCGGCAGGUGAUGCGAAGUAUUGCCAAGGCUUUAUGGCCAUCCGUCUCCCCUCCAGGAAGGAUGGAGGAGCUUAUACAGCUAUUCAAGGGAGCGCGGCGGCGCUUCCGAUUAUGGAAGAUAUCGGCCUGCCGGGAAGGUGCACGAGAAGCCUGGGCCAUGGUGAAAACACGGUAUACCAAGCUUGAUCCAAAUCAUAUGGCCCAGGUCGGACCUCUAGGGUCAGAUGGGAAAGAAAUUCCCAUGAAUUUGGUAUAUGACCAAGUAGAAGUAGCUGCCAGAUAUUCCCAAUAGGAUUGUAAGUUAGACAGCCUGUUAGACGGUAUAGAGGAGGAAAUUUGUGAGUCUAAGUGACUAUGUACUUUCCCUGACGUAUUUGUCCCUAGCCGGAUUGUAAAACGAUUGUCAUGGCAGACCUUUUCGCUUUGACCUCUGGACCCAAAGGUGCAGAGUGUUUCCGAAUACCUGAGCGGCAAAAUAUACCGGAGUAUGCGUGGAAACCAGGCGUAGGGGUCAUAGUUGCUUGAACAGACAAGUUGUCUCUGGCUAGCUAUGUUAUAUUACAUUGUGAUUGUAAGAAACAUCUUCCAGAGAGAAUAGUUCUGUUAAGGGUUCCUUUCCCUGGGUGUGCAUGCGGUAAUGUGCAUGUCCGGACUGUGAUUGAAAAAAUCGCAGUAUAUUCAAUAUCUGGGGGUUCAUAUUUUAAUGAAUGUAAAAACAUCUUUAGUUUGCCGACCGAAUAUUCCCUUAAGAAUGCUAGCUUUCGGCUUCACCCAGUCUGAGGUACACAUCUGGAUGACCCGGCAGUAACAAUCGCAGAGGUGCUCCCUUUAUGCCCUAGCCGAACUAACGGGAACGUAGGGCAUAAGCACAGGAGCCAGGCAACCCAGCUUGGCCAAAACUUAAGUCAUAUCGAUGCAUAUAAUGGCGAAGAAAAGGUACAUAUGGGGAAAACGCGCAUAUGUGAUGAGCUUGAUGCUCAAAAAUAACAAUAAUAAGCUUCUAUCAAAGAAGCCCCCAGGUAUAAUUGACGUACAUAUUUGAGGAUGUGUAUGUCACUAGUGCACGGUUUAGCCGCACGAAAAGCUUUAAGGCUAAAAACGGAAAAAGCAAAAAGAGAGGAAAAAGUAAUGGAAACAAUAGGGAUAAGGAGACGAACAAAGAGUUCGGCGCUAGGCAUAGAAUCUUCGGAGUCUGGCCGCGUUCCAGGGGUUCGGCUCUAGGCGAUUGUCUGACGCAUCACGCAGGCGGUACGCUCCUCCGGUGAGAACUUCGUCGAUGAUGAAGGGACCCUCCCACUUGGGCUUGAGUUUGUCUUUUUUUUCUUCUCUGGCAGGCGUAGAGCAAGUUCGCCAACGUUAUAAGUCUUGGCCCGCACUUCUCUGCUUUGAUACCUGCGAGCCUGCUGUUGAUGAAAUGCGGAACGGGCUUUUGCAACGUCGCACUCCCCCUCCAUGGCAUCUAAGCUAUCCUGCCGAUCAAGCUCGGCUUCUCUCUCUUCGUACAUGCGCACUCGGGGUGAGUCAUGAAUAAUGUGGCAGGGUAACACAGCCUCUGCGCCGUACACCAUGAAGAAAGGUGUAUAUCCGGUGGUGCGGUUGGGCGUGGUCCGCAGCCCCCAGAGUAUGGAGUCGAGCUCCUCAACCCAGUGCUUGUCUGAUUCUUUCAAAGACCGCACCAGUCUAGGCUUGAUGCCGCUCAUAAUAAGACCAUUGGCUUGUUCGACUUGACCGUUUGUUUGCGGGUGAUAGAUGGAGGCGUAAUCGAGCUUAAUGCCUAGAUUGGUGCACUAGUUUUUCACCUCAUCGGCUGUGAAAUUGGAGUCGUUAUCGGUGAUGAUGUUGUGUGGGACACCAUAACGGUGUACAACGCCGGAUAUAAAGUCUAUCACUGGUCCGACUUCGGCCGUUUUAACUGGUUUGGCCUCUAUCCACUUAGUGAAUUUAUCCACCCUGGCCAGCAGAUAUUUUUUCUUAUGGCUUCCUCCUUUAAGGGGUCCAACCAUAUCAAGCCCCCAGACCGCAAAAGGCCAAGUGAUGGGGAUUGUUUGCAGAGCGGUGGGUGGCAUAUGGCUCUGGUUGGCGAAGAGCUGGCAUCCGACGCAACGUUGGACAAGGUCCUGUGCGUCUGCUCGGGCCGUCGACCAAUAGAAACCUAUACGGAAAGCCUUGCUUACAAGGGCCCGAGCCACGGCGUGGUGACCACCGAGACCGGCAUGAAUUUCAGCCAAGAGUUGCCGCCCCUCUUCCUCGGAGAUACAUCUUUGGAGUACUCCGGUAGCGCUUUUCUUGUAGAGUUCUCCCUCGUGAACCUUGUAGGCUUUAGAGCGCCGAACAAUGCGGCGAGCCUCGUUCUGAUCCUCGGGGAGUUCUCGCCUAUUAAGGUAAGCCAAGAAGGGUUCGGUCCAUGGGGCAAUGACUGCCAUUAUGAGAUGGGCCGACGGUGUUAUUUCGGUGGCUGAGCCCCCGAUGAUAUCGGUGUGUUCGACAUCUAAGGUUAUAGUCGGGUCCGGACUGUUGUUGCCGCUCUCCCCUUGCCACACCAUGGACAGCUUGAAAAGCCUUUCCAGAAAGAUGUUAGGUGGGAUGGGGUCGCGCUUGGCGCCGAUGCGAGCAAGGACGUCCGCCGCUUGAUUACUUUCUCGAGCCACAUGAGGAAACUCAAGCCCCUCGAAGCGGGCCGAGAUUUUAAGAACGGCGUUGCGGUAAGCCGCCAUUUUUGGAUCUUUGGCAUCGGAAUCUCCAUUUAUUUGAGAUAUUGUGAGGUUUGAGUCCCCACGCACUUCCAGGCGUUGUAUGCCCAUGGAGGCAGCCAUCCGAAGCCCAUGCAACAAGGCCUCAUAUUCGGCUGCAUUGUUGGAGUCUGUGUAUAAUAUUUGGAGUACGUACUGAACUGCGUCUCCAGUGGGGGACGUUAAGACAAUGCCCGCCCCUAACCCCGCCAACAUUUUGGAACCAUCGAAGUACAUAACCCAGUUGGAAUAUGUGUCGUACUCUUUAGGGAGUUCGGCCUCUGUCCAUUCGGCGAUGAAAUCAGCCAGUACUUGGGAUUUGAUGGCCCGGCGUGGUUUGUAUGUUAUGUCGAAUGGAAGGAGCUCAAUGGCCCACUUAGCAAUCCGGCCUGUCGCAUCGCGGUUGUUUAUUAUGUCAUUGAGUGGUACUUCGGAGGCCACCGUGAUUGAGCACUCUUGAAAGUAGUGUCGUAGCUUCCGGGAUGCCAUGAAGACCGCGUAUGCUAUUUUUUGGUAGUGAGGGUACUGGGAUUUGCAUGGUGUGAGGACAGUGGAUACGUAGUAUACCGGUUUUUGGAGUGGGAACUUGUGUCUGUCCUGCUCUUGCUCGAUGACGAGCACGGCGCUCACCACCUGGUGUGUUGCCGAUAUGUAUAAUAACAUGGGUUCGCCGAUGUUCGGCGCGGCCAGGAUUGGGUUGCUCGCUAAAAAGGCCUUUAUUUUCUCCAGUUCGGCCGUUGCCGCGUCCGUCCACUCGAAGUGGUCGGUGCGUCGGAGAAGGCGAUAGAGUGGCAACGCUUUUUCUCCCAAUCUGGAGAUAAAGCGGCUUAAAGCUGCCACGCAUCCUACAAGUUUUUGGACCUGUUUAAGGUCUGUUGGCGUAACCAAUUGUGACAAAGCUCGGAUUUUCCUCAAUUCCUCUAUUGGAAACGAUGAAGCCCAGCAGUUUUUCGGCGGGGACGCCGAAAACACACUUUUCCGGGUUGAGCUUGAUGUCAUAUGUACGGAGGUUGUCGAAUGUAAGACGUAAAUCAUCUAUCAGUGACUCGACGUGCCUGGUUUUGAUGACAACGUCAUCCACGUAUGCUUCAACUGUCUUGCCGAUAUGUUUCUCCAGGCAUGUUUGAAUCAUGCGUUGGUAGGUGGCGCCAGCGUUUUUGAGCCCGAAAGGCAUAGUGUUGAAGCAGAAAGGCCCAUAUGGGGUAAUGAAUGUCGUUGCGGCUUGAUCGGACUCCUUCAUCUUGAUUUGAUGGUAUCCGGAGUACGCGUCGAGGAAACACAGUGAGUCGUGUCCUGCGGUUGCGUCAAUAAUCUGAUCGAUGCGAGGGAGGGGGAAGGGAUCCUUAGGGUAAGCCUUGUUGAGGUCUUUGAAAUCGACGCAUAGGCGCCAGGAUUUAUCUUUUUUUGGUACCAUCACCAGGUUUGCUAGUCAGUCCGGGUGUUUUAUUUCUCUGAUGAAUCUGGCUUCGAGUAACUUGGCUAGCUCCUCUCCCAUAGCUUGUCGUUUGGGUUCGGAAAAACGCCGCAGUGUUUGUUUGACCGGUUUAUAUCCCUUUAAGAUAUUGAGGCUGUGUUCGGCCAACCUGCGUGGGAUUCCUGGCAUAUUAGAAGGGUGCCAGGCGAAUACGUCCCAGUUCUCACGCAGGAACUCUCGUAGCGCGGCAUCGACCGCUGGGUCGAGUUGUGCCCCGAUGGAUGCUGUCUUCUUGGGGUCCGUCGGGUGGACUUGAAAUUUGACUAUUUCAUCUGCUGGUUUAAAGGAGGUGGAUUUGGGUCGCUUGUCCAGGAUUACGUCAUCCCUAUCCACAGUGGAGCAUAGCACGGUCAGCUCUUCGGCCGCGAGGGCUUCAGACAAUGCCUCGAGGGCUAGGGAUGCGGUUUUAUUUUCGGCACGCAGUGCUAUGUCUGGAUCACUGGCAAGAGUGAUGGUGCCGUUGGGCCCGGGCAUCUUGAGCUUCAUCUACCCGUAAUGAGGUAUAGCUUGGAAGCGUGUGAAUGCGUCUCGCCCCAGUAGGGCGUGAUAUCCGCUGUUGAAAGGGGCCACUUGGAAGGUUAUCUCUUCGGACCGAUAAUUCUCCGGCGUGCCGAAUACCACGCCGAGCGUGAUUUUUCCUGCGCAACGCGCCUCUCGACUGGGAAUGAUUCCCCGGAAGGUCGUGCUACUUUGCUCAAUGCGGCUCCUAUCAAUUUCCAUUUUCAUGAGUGUGUCCUCGUAGAUGAGGUUUAGUCCGCUGCCGCCGUCCAUGAGCACUUUGGUGAGCCGGAAGCUGUCCACGAUUGGACUGAGGACCAAGGCGGCUGGUGCCCGGACUGUCUUGAAUUUUGGUUCGUCAUCGGCAUUGAAAGUUAUGGCUGUGUAGUUCCAGGGGUUUAUUGCUGCGACUUGGCAGACUUCCGCAAGGUCGCGAAGUGCCCUUUUGCGCUGAUUUUUUGAAGCAAAGGUCUCGAAGACCGUCAAUACUCUGAGGUCGUCGUCUUCUGGGGGGUGUUGUUCUGGGGUAUUUUUGGUGAGGAGAUCUUCGCCGCUCUUGGCCACUUGCCGGAGUAUCCAACAUGCUCUAAGGCUGUGGGUUCGUGUGGCAUCCGGUGUUGUAUGUAUUUUGCAUGGCCUAUCGAGCCAUCCUUCCAGAACAGUUCCGUGCCCCAUAAUGGGCUUUGAUUUCUUUACUAUUGGGUCAGGCGCUCCACGAGGGUGCGUCCUUUUUGCCCGGACGAGGGGCUGAGUUGAAACCGGUGGUUCCCAACGAGCUGCCUGAGUUUUCCAGGCGCUUUCCAUUGCGCAGUACUUCUGUACUAUGGUUGCCAAGUCAGCAAAGUGUAAUACGCGACGGCGGUUGAUGGCGUUGAGGAUUCCUUCGUCCGUGCAAUUGUUGCAGAAUACUGAGAUUGCGUCUUCAUCGCGGCAAUCUUUAAUCUUGUCUUUGACAAGGAGGAAUCUGGCCCAGAAGUGAUGGACCGUUUCCUGAGACUGUUGUCGUAUGUACAUAAGAUCGCGUAUAGCUGGGUGGGUGGGUGGUUUUAAAUCUGAACCCUGACCCGGUUUGGGAUCCGGAGUUUGUAAAUCUUCCGAACUUAAUGGUUCAGACUCCGGGAUAUCAACUGAUGUUUUAGGCCCGUCGUCCGAUUCUAGGUUCGGAGGGCAGGGCACGUCGUUCCGCGAACAGGUAUCCGGCUCCUCGAGCUCGGAAAUCUGAACAUAGUUCGUCCUCAAUAUAGAGGAAGAGUUAUUGUCUUGCUCCUCCACUAUCGCUAUCUGAUGGGUGAUAGGCGGAGAUUUAAUUUCUCUCUGGUCAGGUUUAAGCCCAAUCCGACCGUAGUCUGUAGCGACCCCCAAGGCGGUGAUGCGAUCUAGGAGUUCGUUUAAAGACGACAACUCCGUCGGAUCCAUCCGUUUGGAGUAUUCGGAGUCAACGCAGAGACGAUUUUCGAUGACUCGAGAGGUCAUCGUCGGCUUAAAGGCCGAACAGGCGGUCAUGGUGAAGCCGCCAAGUCGGAGGGUUUGGCCCGGAGCCAGGGCUCCUCCGGAGGUGAUAUUAUCCUUGACAACAAGGCGAGCCAUCAACCCUGUCUUCGACGUCACAGCGGAACUCUCAAUGAAAGCACCAAUGUCGGUGUCAAAACUGGCGGAUCUCGGGUAGGGGGUACCGAACUGUGCGUCUAAGGUUGAUGGUAACAGGAGACGGGGAACACAAUGUUUAACCAGGUUCGGGCCCUCUCUACGGAGGUAAUACCCUACUUCCUGCUUGAUUGAUCUUGAUGAAUAUGAGUAUUACAAGAGUUGAUCUACCACAAGAUCGUAAUGGCUAAAACCCUAGAAGUCUAGCAUGUAUGACUAUGAUUAUGAUUAUUCAUCCUCUACGGACUAAGCCCUCCGGUUUAUAUAGACACCGGAGGGUUCUAGGGUUACAUCAGGUCGGUUACAGAGAAAGGAAUCUUCAUAUUUGGUCACCAAGCUUGCCUUCCACGCCAAGGAGAGUCCCAUCCGGACACAGGAGAGAGUCUUCGGUCUUCGUAUCUUCACGGCCCAUCAGUCCGGCCCACGUAUAACAGGUCGGACGCCCGAGGACCCCUUAAUCCAGGACUCCCUCACCGGGCAAGCGUCGGGGUCUCCAAUUAGGUUGUGGAGAUCACCCCGAGCAAUUUGACGGGUACCGAUGACCGCCCCCAAGGGUUCCCAAAGGGUACGGGUUCGGUGACCGCCCCCAAGGGUUGCCAUUUGUACGAGUUCGGUGAUCGCCCUCAAGGGUCCCUUAGUGGAAUCACGGCAUCUUGCAUUGUGCGAGGGCGUGAGGAGAUUACGGUGGCCCUAGUGGCUUCUUGGGGAGCAUUGUGCCUCCACACCGCUCCAAACGGAGAUUAGCAUCCGCAAGGUGUGAACUUCGGGAUACAUCAUCGUCUCCGCGUGCCUCGGUUAUCUCUUACCCGAGCACUUUUACUUAUGCACUUUACUUUGUGAUAGCCAUAUUGUUUCUUGUCAUACAUCUUGCUAUCACCUAGUAGUUUAUCUUGCUUAGCGUAAGUUGUUGGUGUACAUAGGUGAGCCUAGUUGUUGUAGGUUUGUGCUUGACAAAUUAACCGCUAGGUUUAUUCUGCAUUUGUUCAAGCCUAAACCAUAAUUAUUUUAAAGCGCCUAUUCACCCCCCCUCUAGGCGACAUUCUCGAUCUUUCAACGGGUUAUCGGAUCCAAAACCGGUCCCGAUAGCUGGCGACCCGUUACGGUCAAUGCCACGUGUCAGUCACCCUUGACGAAAGCACUUCUAUGACGCGCGAUUUAUCGUCAUGGAAGUGGACACUUCCGUGAUGAUAAUUUUGGUAAUGUCAGGAACACUUCUACGAUAGCACAUGUAUGACUAUUUUGAUUCUGUCAUAAAAUCGUCAUGGAUGUACAUGCAUGACAGAAAACGUGACCUGCUGUGACAAACACGUAUCAUCACGGAAGUGUAUUUUUUUGUAGUGAGUAAUGCCUUAAGCAAGAUGCCAUGAUUUAGAGGGAUAGAUCCAAUCAAUAUGAACAAACCCCAUCUUUUUAUCCUUAAUGACAAUAAUACAAAUAUGUGUCAUGUCCCUUUAUGGGAUUGAGCACUGCAAGAUUGAACCCAUUACAAAUCACCUCUCCCAUUGCAAGAAAAAAUCAAUCUAGUUGGCCAAACCAAAUCAAUAGAUCGGUGAGAAAUACAAAGCUAUAUAAAUCAUGCAUAAAAGAGUUCAGAGAAGACUCAAAUAAUAUUUAUAGAUAAUCUGAUCAUAAAACCAUAAUUCAUCGGAUCUCAGCAAACGCACCGCAAAAGAAGAUUACAUCAAAUAGAUCUUCAAGAACAACAAGGAGAACAUUGUAUUGAAGAUCAAAGAGAGAGAAGAGGCCAUCUAGCUACUAGCUAUGGACCCGUAGGUCUGUGGUAAACUACUCACACAUCAUCGGAAGGGCAGCAAGAUUGAUGUAGAAGCCCUCCAUGAUCGAAUCCCCCUCCGGCAGAGUUCCGGAAAGGUCCCCAGAUGGGAUCUCACGAGGACAGAAGUUUGCGGCGGCGGAAAAGUAUUUUUGGUGUGCCCCUGGUCUUCGGGGAAUAUUUGGGUGUUUAUAGAAGAAAGAUUAGGGUUAGAGGAGCCACGAGGGGGCCACAAGCUUGGAGGGCGCCCCCCUAAGCUUGUCGCCAGCUCGUGGCCCUUCUGGCCUCCCCCCAAAGCUUUCAGGGUGUCUUGUGGUCAAAGAAAAAUCAUCAAAAGUUUAAUUCCAUUUAGACUCCGUUUGGUAUUGAUUUUCUAUAAAGACAAAAACAAGGAAAAGACAACAAUUGGCAUUGGGCACUAGGUUAAUAGGUUAGUCCCAACAUAAUAAUGCAUAUAAAACAUCCAAGAUUGAUAAUAUAAUAGCAUGAAAUAAUAAAAAAUUAUAGAUACGCUGGAGACGUAUCAGGUACCAUUGCCACUUCUGGCACUGCUCAGUGUAAACCUGUGGUGACCCAACCCCGUGCGGAACUUGAUUGCAAAUCGAACGGUGGCUUUCAUGACAGGCUCAACCUUAGGUCACUCCGAGGCUGCCAAUGUUUUCCUGACACCUGAAGCCCCCUGUAGAACGGGGUAUCCGACUAAGGAGGCCCAACCCCUUAUACCGAAGAACGACGGCAAGGACUGGGAUUGCAAUAAAGCCUGCGCCAACUGGUGGUAUCUUUUGGAACUAGCACGACGUUUGGUUACCAACGCAUGUAUCGUUCCCGCGGGCCUCCCUCCGGGCUAUGGUUUCGCCGAAGUUCUAUAUGAGAAAUCCCCUUGAAGGCCACCCUGGUCCCAUUGUAGGCCCCUUGCGAAUCCCUCAGCAGAACUUCACCAAAGAGACUGGUCCAACUGGUGGUAUCUUUUGGAACUAGCACGACGUUUGGUUACCAACGCAUGUAUCGUUCCCGCGGGCCUCCCUCCGGGCUAUGGUUUCGCCGAAGUUCUAUAUGAGAAAUCCCCUUGAAGGCCACCCUGGUCCCAUUGUAGGCCCCUUGCGAAUCCCUCAGCAGAACUUCACCAAAGAGACUGGUGUGUUUUUUUAAUGAUAUUCUUGUCGAGUUUCAUGUGCUAACUUAAGAGUGUUUAGUUCUUUAGUCAAGCGCUCAAUUUCCAUCGUUGCAUUGGCAACCGUCUCAUCUUUACUAUCAUGAUCACUAUAAAGUUCAUUAUAGCUAACAUCACUAGUUUUCUCAUUGAGCAAGUCAUCGUCACCUAGCAAGUCAUCCUCAUCACUGAUACGUCUCCAACGUAUCUAUAAAUUUUGAUUGUUUGAUGCUAUUAUAUUAUCAAUCUUGUAUGCUUUAUAUACCAUUCUAUAUCAUUUUUGAGGACUAACCUAUUAACUCAGUGCCAAGUGCCAGUUGUUGUUUUCUGCUUGUUUUUGGUUUUACAGAAAAUACAUACCAAACGAAGUCCAGAUGACAAACAAGGAGACGUCAAGGCAGCACGGCCCCCCUUGUGGGCCCCUCGUGGCUCCGCCUGACCUAAUUCUAGCGCUAUAAAUUCCCAAAUAUUUCGAAACCCCCAGGAGAGGCCCCGAAACAAUCCUUCCGCCGCCACAAGCCUCUAUUCUUCCGUGAUAUCUUCUGGAAGCCUUUUCCGAUACUCUGUCGAGGAGGGAAUGCAUCAGGGAAGACAUCAGUAAAGCAACUUUGUCAAUCUCAAAGCUCCGCAACUUUGAUCUAUCUUCGGUAGGUGCUGUGCGUGGUGAUGUGAUUGAGUGCAUGUCCAUAAGAAAAAAAAACUCCUUAAUUAAUGAAAAAUCUUUUGCCCCCUUGAACAAGUAUUGUUUUCGAUACGGGCUUGGGAGUACAACGGUAGAUACGAUGCAUUUAUUACAUCGAUGAUCCAUCGUCCCGUGUGCGGCCGCCCACACCAGUUUCCUCGUCCCACGAAAGCCCCUUCCAUGCGGGCCCUCGGAAGAGCGCACGCCCACUGGCCCCACAGGCAGCGGCACGGCUAAAAACGGGGGACGCUUCCCUUUCAUCUCGCGACUAUAAAAAAGAACGGGCGGCCCUGCCUAAAGCCCCCGCCCCCUGUCCUCUCCCCUCUCCUCGCCUUCUCCGCCCUCCGCUCCAUUCGUUUCGAUCUAUUUCGGCUUCCUCUCCAAGCUUCGGCCAUGGCGGCGACGAUCCAGUCCGUGAAGGCCCGCCAGAUCUUCGACAGCCGCGGUAACCCCACCGUCGAGGUACGCGCGGAUGCGCCCAUCCCCCGUCCGCCUCCCCGAUCUGUACGUUGUGGUCCGGUUCGAUUCGAUCUGGUAGGGCGGCGGGCGUACGCAGCAACGGCUUGUUUUCGAUCUGGUGAUUCGUCCGUCGGCUGUGGGUUGGGGCUUCUGGGGCGCGGGCAGUAGGUUUCUGAUGCGCUAGAUUCGAGGGGUUUUGGGUUGGUGGGCCGGUAGGUAGGAUGCGGAUUACUGUUGCCCCUCGGCCAGACUUUAUGGGGUUUGGAUGUGCUAGAUAGAUUCGAUGUGAGGUGGUUUGUUUAGUCGGACGCUGCCUGCUCGUCAUGCAUUUUGGGGUUUCGCAGGAUGUAUCCACAGAUCGGCUGGCCGCCAUGCCCAGCGUUUAUGUAGUCAUUAUGGUUUCGUGCCCUGGUUGUUGCUCAGCGCUUAUCGUUUGAUCUGCGCAUAAUGCCGUGGUGUGAAGUAAUGUGACGAAAAUGUAAAUGAGUGUAGGCUCAUCUCAUUCUGGUCCAAGUGGUUUUGGGCGUGCAGGUAGGAUUUAUAAUGUCGUUUGCUCGUUGCCCCUUGGCCAGUUUUUGUUUCUUCAUAUGUUAGAUAGAUUUGACGCAAAGUGGCUUGUUCAGUCAGGUAGAUACUGGGUAGAACUAUUUUUUAUUUUGCCUGCCAGGCGUCCAUUGUAGGUUUUCACAGUGUGUAUCAACAGAUGGUUGUUCGCCGUGCUUGGUGUUUACAUAGCUAAAUGUAGCCAUAUGGCCUGUGUCCUAGUUGCAUGCGACAUUGUCUGGAUUUUAUUGUUUAAGCUAUGCAUAAUGCCAAAGUGUAAAAUAUUUUGGCAAGUUAUUUUGCUAAUCUCAUGGUUUUGUGCAUCAGGUUGAUGUGUGCUGCUCAGAUGGAACCUUUGCCAGGGCCGCUGUUCCCAGCGGUGCAUCAACUGGUGAGUUAUUUUGUUAUUAUCAUCACUCUCUCCUUUUCAACCUUAAGUUUUUGCUUUGGUUUCCUGAGUUCCUGACUAGUGAAGGCACAAACUCUUAUUUGGAUCAUUAUUUAUGGAUUGUGAUUGUAUUGUUUUUGUUGAACUAAUCUUGUCUGAAUCAUCCCUCUUCUGCAGGUGUUUAUGAAGCUUUGGAACUGAGGGACGGUGGAUCUGACUACUUGGGAAAGGGUGUAUCCAAGGUUUACAUCCAUUUGAGCGAAUUUUAUCUUCACAUUCUUUAAAUCUAUGUCAUAGUUCUUAGUCAUGUAAUGUGGCUGCUGUAUAUGUUUUUUUUUGCCUCAACUCUGCUUUUGUUACACUAGCAAUAUUGUUGCCAGCUUUUGAAAUUUUCCUACUUGUUUACCGAAUUAUUAUGCCAAAUGGACCAAACAGUGCUAUCUUUCCGGUUAUCCUGUUUGUGAGGACAAGUUAUUUUGCCAUGUUGGUUUGGUUUCAUCCAUACAAUGUUUCCUUGUGCUGUAUAACUUGAUGUUUCUAGUUUGUGCCAGGUUGUAGAUUUUUUUUCUUAAUUUUAAUGUGAACUACAAUAUUUUUUCUUAAUGUUAAUGUGGUAGGUUGUAGCUUUUUUUUUUGAUAUCUCAUUGCCGUUGAUUGUAUGUACUCCCUCCGUCUGAAAAAGUUUGUCCCAAGCUUGUCCCUCAAAUGGAUGUAUCUAGCACUAACUUGGUGCUAGAUACAUUCAUUUGAGGGACAAGCUUUUUCGGACGAGGGAGUAGUAGCUUAGGAUUAUGUAUUUAUGAAGUGAAUAAUCGUGGGCAAUAUCUCUUGUGCACAUUUUCUUAUUUACUAAAAAACCAACUUGCUCAAGUACUGUCAUGAAAUGAACAACUCAGGAUCAUUUAGUGCUUGAUGUUUCACUAUAGCUAUCCUGGUUUUUUCUAUUGUAGCGAAUAGUCCAUUUGCAUGCAUAAUUUAGUCUUUUCUUUGUAUUUACAUGUAUUUUUUUAUUUUUUUCGCAGGCUGUUGACAAUGUGAACUCGAUUAUCGCGCCAGCUUUGAUUGGCAAGGUUAGCAUUGUCUCUGCCCCCUUUUCUAUUGUGAUAUGAGAGUUGAAUGCAUAAUUCAUUCAGUGCUCUCUUUCCUUCCACAGGACCCUACCGCUCAAACUGAGCUCGACAACUUUAUGGUUCAGCAGCUUGAUGGAACCAAGAAUGAGUGGGGUUGGUGCAAGCAAAAGGUAUAACAUAACCCAUGAUGAGUUUUACCUUUAGAGAGGGAGUACUAAUUUCCAUUUGCAGAUUCCCUUCUAACAGCUUGAUUUCUUUUGUAAACUCAGCUUGGUGCUAAUGCAAUCCUGGCUGUGUCACUAGCUGUUUGCAAAGCUGGAGCCAGCGUCAAGAAGAUUCCGCUGUACCAGGUGUGCAUCAUUGCUAAUCUCCUCUUUUAAUAUUCUACAUUUGUUUGCUAUUGCCUAAAGUCUUCGAACAUGAAUAUUCUUCACUGCAGCACAUUGCCAACCUUGCUGGCAACAAGCAAUUGGUUUUGCCUGUUCCUGCAUUCAAUGUCAUCAAUGGUGGAUCCCAUGCUGGAAACAAGCUUGCUAUGCAGGCAAUGCUCUGACCUAAGAUUUUCACAUCUUUCAUCAUGUUGUUUUCGCACAUUUCUUAUUUAUGCCUAUACUUGCAUAUCUGCAGGAGUUCAUGAUCCUUCCUACUGGAGCUGCCUCAUUCAAGGAGGCAAUGAAGAUGGGCGUUGAAGUGUACCACAACUUGAAGGUAAUUCUUUCAUCUUCUUUUUCUCUUUGCUAUCUUGUAAAAAGCAAAUUUACUAAAACUAACAUUUUCUGUGACAGUCUGUUAUCAAGAAGAAGUAUGGGCAAGAUGCCACCAAUGUUGGAGAUGAAGGUGGUUUUGCUCCUAACAUUCAGGUAUUUCCCUGUCCUUAGAGGUUUACGAUCAGAUUUCCUUGCUUUGUUAUGCCUUGUUAUUUCGACAACAGUUGCUGAUUGUCAUGUUUGGACGUAUAGAACUACUGUGUUGUUAUAAAUUGAGGUCAAUGUUUGUGGGGUGUGAUCUGAGUUCUUUUUAUUUUCGGGUGUUGUAGGAGAACAAGGAGGGCCUUGAGCUCUUGAAGACUGCAAUUGAAAAGGCUGGAUACACCGGCAAGGUUUGUCUGCUUGAAUUAAUCUGUUGUCACGCACUUCUCAGUGAGCUUUUAAGUUAGUGACUGAAGGAGAUUUGUUGGUUUGGGAAAUUCUAGGUUGUCAUUGGAAUGGAUGUUGCUGCUUCAGAGUUCUACAAUGACAAGGACAAAACCUAUGACCUCAACUUCAAGGAAGAGGUAAUUAGCCCCAUGGUUUAUUUUGUGGCAACAAUUUGUUUUCUUUUCAUGAGCAUUUUUAACAUUUGCCCUCCCUUGCUGUAGAACAACGAUGGUUCCCAGAAGAUAUCUGGAGAUAGCCUGAAGAAUGUAUACAAGUCAUUCGUGAGUGAGUACCCCAUUGUGUCGAUUGAGGACCCAUUUGACCAGGAUGACUGGGUGCACUAUGCUAAGAUGACUGAGGAAUGUGGAGUGGAAGUUCAGAUUGUUGGUGAUGACCUUCUAGUCACCAACCCAACCGUGAGUUAUUUGUUUUCUGUUGUGUAGGUGGGCAUUUUCAUUCUGUUGGAUCACUGUAAUUAAUUUGCUGUAUCACUAUGUUGUGCAGAGAGUUGCUAAGGCAAUCAAGGAGAAGUCAUGCAAUGCUCUUCUGCUGAAGGUAUUAUUCUGUUCAAACAUAAGCUGUUAUUGAUUCUUAUCCUUUGGUCGUCAUAGUACAAGUACUCCUUCCGUCCAUAAUAAGUACCUGAUCGGAUGGAGUAUGUAUUACAUAUUCUGAUUGUUUCAUCCUUUUCAUGUGUAGGUUAACCAAAUUGGAUCCGUCACUGAGAGUAUUGAGGCCGUGAAGAUGUCAAAACAUGCUGGUUGGGGUGUGAUGACCAGUCACAGGAGGUACAUACUAGAUACUGCCUUAUUACCCAUCCGUUUUCCCCCUUGUUUCUAUUGUUAUUACCAUUUGUAUGCUUAUGUACAUUCACUGUGUGCAGUGGUGAGACUGAGGACACAUUCAUUGCUGAUUUGGCUGUCGGUUUGUCCACGGUAUAAUUUUAUAAUCUUCAUUUUAUUGUUUGUCUGAAUAAUUUUAAUGAGACUACUGUUUCUUCUCCUCUGGAUCGAUUAGGAGUAUCUGAACAAUGUUUCUUCAUGUGCAACAGGGCCAGAUCAAGACUGGGGCUCCCUGCCGCUCAGAGCGGCUUGCCAAGUACAACCAGGCAAGUGGCUUUCCUGUAAUUCUUGUACUGCUGAAGCAUUCUCCUGAUAUUCUGUUGACCAACAUGACCUCUCGCAAUAACAAAAACCAAAUUAUUCUUCCUCUUUAAUCUUCUGUUCGAUGCAUUGUGCUCAUUUAAGAAUGAUUUCUUGUCUUUUGUUUGGUGUUAAGACUGAUCUUACAUGUUUGGUUUCUGAUAUUCUUUUGUUCAGUGUAAUGUGUUUAUUUGAGCAGUCAUGUCUUGUUUUUUUCUUGAUCUGUUUCCCAAAUUUAUACUAAGGUGUUAUUUCUUUUCCAAUUGGAACAGCUUCUGAGGAUCGAGGAGGAGCUGGGCGCUGCCGCUGUGUAUGCCGGCCUCAAGUUCCGUGCACCGGUGGAGCCAUACUAGAUGGGAUCUGCAUCCGAGACAUGAUCACCACUCUGCACUUGUUUUUGUGAAAGUGGGCGUGUGUUAACUUGUGGAAUGAACUAUGGUUGAAGCUCUUAGGACUUGUCGAGCAAUAAUGUACCGCAUGUUGCUGUGAACGGGACGGAUAUGUACCUACGUACUCCAAACUUGCUCCAAUUUUGGUCUUUGUGGUGAGCGAGCAAGUACGCCUGAUUACCUUUUGGAUCUGUAGUAAACUGUUUGGCUGUUGGCAUCAUCAUAUUUGGCGUCAGUUUAAUCUUGCAGAAAGCAUGCUUUUCGUUCGCCAUUCCUAAUUUACCACUGUUUUCGGUCUCUCUGUUUUUCUUAUUAUUAUAACUAGCACAAAUGCCCGUGCGUUGCAACGGGUUAAGUAGUUUAUAUUC
rnacentral:lncRNA from 1 species